rnacentral:lncRNA from 1 species
AAGUCCAUAACAUCAUAUAAUCAUAUUAAAUGUAAUAUGGCACUAGAGUUCUUUUCCUGGUUUCUCUGGUUCCCAACAGCAUAAUCCGUUGUACAGAGCAAAAGUUAGAUGGAUUAAAAGGGGCCAAUCAUAAAAUCAUCAUCCAAUUGUUUCAAACGAGGCAGGGUACAAAAAUGGAAACCAGCUUUAUUCACAUCGCAGAAGUUAAAACAACAGAAAUGUCUAAAGGAAAUUAGCCAAGCAAAUCAAACACAGACUAACUCAGGACUAUGAAUUCUUGUCCUCUUUGACUAUACACAUUUCAUUGGGAUCUUGUUAGACCUACAAGAUCACGUGAACAGCUAUGCUGCAGGCUGAUUAGCAACUGCGAGUUCGACAGAUAUGAUAAAAGUCGAUCGCCCCGCCUCCCUUAGGUACUGAACAUCUCCAUUCAUAAGCUUCACCAGUUUUCUGCUGAUAAGAAGACUUAUUCCCUCAUCAGAUGCUUCUCCAUUGGUACCGAACAUUUGGUUCAGCAAUUCUUCUGGAACCCGAAUGUGUCAUCCUGCACCCAAAAGAAAUCACAGUAGCUCAUGACUCUGUAUCCCGUAGAUGGCUUAAAAAUAAAGAUACUGCAGUCAUAAAUUGGCGUAUGGUCCCAAAACAAAUGUUUGUCGAAGUAUAUUUUCAAUGGAUUGAUCCUGAUCUGUGAUCUGAAAUCUUCAUUAUCUGCCAUGCAUAAUCUAAGUACCAUAUACCUAAACCAGUUUGUAGGGUACUAAAGUACCGCUAUAUUUGCGAUGAGGAGGAUACCUCAUUUAAGUGUAUUCCCUUCUACAUAGGAUUAAACCCAAAUAUUUACUUCUAAUGAAUUCCUUCUCUUCAAAAAGAAAUAUUAAAAGGAAGAUCCACCAAGCAUUGGAAAUCUAUGCAGUAGUUCUGAGGACUUUACAAGGAAUAUUAAAAUAAAAAAGAAACUAACAUGUUAUGCCAUAAGUAAUCAGUCCAUUCUCAAAAUCUGGUUGUAGCGGUCAAUUGAGGUAAAAAAAUACACAAUAGAAGAAAUUAAGAAGAGACAAGGAUCUCAAUACUACAUUGGGAAGCUUAGCCACAAGCUACACAGGGAGGGGGUCCAUCAUAACAUUCAAACAUGCAAUUGAACAAGUCUUUUCUCAGAAAUGGCAGGCAGAAAAGAAAAGAUAGAAAUGAUACACCUCCACUGUAUGUAUAAUCGCCAAUAAAAUGUGUACUCCACCUAUCAUCUUGAACACAAAACCUUUUUCAACAAUCAAGUAAUGUAAGCCAGGAAAAGAAAAAUAAAAAUCUACACUGAUCAGGAGGAGCGCCAUAUGCACCAGUACAAGUUGCAGGGAAAUUCUCAUACCUUAAUUCCAAAUGGGCAAGCUGAACUGACUCCCCUAAUCGGUCUUUAGUCAACUUUCCUCCAAGACCCAGCUGGCCUCCAUUUGGUGUAAAAUUCACCGAUGUCAACAGGAAAUCAGCUAGAACUUGCUGAAGCCUCAGUCCAUCACCAUAUAGAGUUUCAUUCAUAAGACUUUCAGCCAAAUUAUUCACUAUCACAACACCCUUUGCACUGCUUUUGAUCAUGACUUGACUAAUGGAAGCAACCAGUACUUCAUGUAGCUUGAAUUCCACCAUUUCCAGAUCCAAAUACCUGCAAAGAAAAGGCAAAGGAUAUCCUAAGAAUAUAGCAUAUGAACGCCAGAACAAAUUAAAAAGAUAUGAAGCUCAAAAUGAAGCAAAGCCACACACAAAAUCCACACAAUAGGACCAAAAAGUGUAGACCAUAAGUACCUGAACAGAUGAAAGCCAAAGAACAUCCUAGGUGCAGUACGCUUGAAAAUGGGAUCUUAUUACCUUUAACUUCUAUAUGACCUAAACCCAAAUUAUGAUUGAUUGAUCAACAAUCUCAAGAAGCAUCAAACAUAACUAAAUCACAUAAAUCCCAAAGAUUCAGAGAAACUUUGCAAACAAUUAUUGUUAAUCAAUUGCGAAACAUGUACAUGAAGGUUAGACAUCCUAAUGUAAUGACGAUUUUCACACAAUUUAACCAGAAAGCUCCGACAUAAUGUUGUUAGUGAACCUCUGCUGAAUCUCGUAACUAGUAGCUAGAUGCUGCUAGCAAAAAAUUCAAGUGCAAACAGAACACUUCAAUCAAAUGAAGCUUUAAUUAUGCAAUAGUCAGACAUCAAGGAUAAGGAAAUAAAAAACUUUUGAAGAAUAUCGUAAACAUAAAACCAAACCAAAAUACAGCGAGCAAAUACCAAUGAUUUUAUCAUACCCAUCAAUUAUGCUGUCAAGAUCAGUGUCAUCAAGAAUCUUGUUAAGCUGACGCUGACACUGGGCACUGGUUUGUAGCAGAUUCUUCUGAUCCUCUCCCAACUCAGUGUCCUCCAACAUCUUCCUUGAAAAAAUAAUUCCAGACAGUGGAUUUCUUAUCUGCAUCCUUAUGUAAGCCAAUACCUUCAACCUUUUCAAUGCAGUUUCCUCAGAUAGUCUUUGAAUAUGAAGUGCCUGCUGCAACUCGUAACUUGCCAGCUGCAGAAAGCAAAAUACCCCAGUGACUGCACCCUCUCUAUCCAGCUUUUUGCUCACACAGAGCAGGCACUCUAUGUACUUCCCAUUCCGUGCAAAGAAACCAAAGGUAUCUUUUCAGAUGCUUGACCACUUAUGGCAUUGUUUAGUAAAAUACCAAGAUUCACAAAAGCUUCCUGAUUCCUGAGCCUGCAACAGGCUGUAUGAAUUCCAAAAACCUCUCCUAAAAGCAUCUUAUCCAUAACCUGCUCUCUACGCCAUCCAGAUACUUUUGUCAUGGCAGAAUUCCACUCAGAGCACCAGCCAAAUUCAUCCGUUCCAAAUAUUGGAGGAAUCAACGGGUUGGGAUUUUGUACAAUAGCUCUGUAAUCACCUUCAAUUCUAGUAAACUUGUCCAUGAUAGCCUUCUGACCAGUUAUAUCCUGGGCAACAAAACAUACACCCACAACAGUCCCUCUAACAUCCCUGCUUGCACAGGCAUUCACAAUCAAGCUAACUGGGCCGCAUCAGCUUUUGAUCCAUGUGUUUUAAUCUCAAAUUGCACAUUUUGUUCUUCUUUGCCUGAUAAAAACAAAGAAAGAUUAAAAGCUGUACACAAAACAUUUGGGUGUGAAUUGACAUCAUGACUUAAAAAAUAAAAUAAAAUAAAAUACAAAGAUAAACAAAAAUGAAAAGGGAAGAACAUCAAUGAUUCAAAUCCACCCAAAAAAGGCUUGCAUUUAUGCAACUAUAAAAGCAAAUGAAACAUCAGUGUUUCACUCAAACACAUACCCAGCAAUGCCAAUUCCAGCAUCUUAUUCACUGUUUCAGCCGAUGAAUCUUCAACAAGGGUAAGCAAUUUCCUCCCAAUUGCUUCAUCAACAGCAAGACCAGUUAAAUCGGAAAUCUUUGUAUUCCACCCAUUAACCACCCCAUCAAUAUCAACCGCCAAGAUUGGAACUGAUGCUGUCUCAAUCAGCCGAACCAUUUCAGAUGUCACCGCUUCCAAUUCCUGCAAUCCGUCGAUCCGGAGGUCAUUAAGUUUUGAAUGGAUUUCCUGAGUGUCUGACUUGGUUCCCUCAUCUUCCUUGGAAGAAUUUCUCAGUAUAAGCUGCAAAGAAUGGAUUGCAUCCAUCUCAUAAUCCUUCCAAGUUAAACUUCUGGUCUUAACAACUUCAAGAAAUGCUUUGAAUGAAGACCUCGGAUGCAUCUUCCUACCAUCAUCCUUCUCCCCAGGUUCAUGCUUUGCACCACCCCAUCGAAUCUCUGCAGCAGUGUGUGAUCUGAACCAGAAAAGCCAGUCCUUAUCUGAUAUCCGAACAGCUGCCAUCCCACAAACUACAUCACCAAGAGCAAGAGCCCCAGGGAACCCAGCAUCAUAUAAACUGUCUGUGCUCAAACCCGUUGAAUCCAUGUGAUACUCAGAAAGCCAGGAUAUUAUAUCACGCAGCUGAAAGUCAGUUGGAGUUAAUCCCAUUCUAUGUAUUUCGUUCUUGUACAUUAAGACCGCCCCAUCACAUUUCACAAGAUCCAUUAUGUUUGGACUCUGUGAAACAAUGCCCAAGGGUGCAUCACUCAACAGCAUAUCACACAAGAGAGUCUGUGUUUUCAGAAUGUUCUUCUCAACAAUCUGAUUUUCUAAUUCCAACUCCUUGCUGACAUGGAUAGCAAACACUUGAGUGAGGAACUCACAGGCAUACCGAAGAGGGAAAGGAACAAAUCUCGGUGUUGUGUUAUGACACACAACCAAUCCCCAAAGCCUUUUCCUUUUUUGAGGGUCUGCAGGCUCAGAACUAUCCCCCUCAUCAUCCCCAUCAUUGAUUAUGACAGCCAUCACCAGAGAUGCAAUUGAAGUCAUGUUUUCCAUAUAUUGCAAAUGGCACGUAUGAGGGGCCCUGAGUGUGGAGCCACAUAAAGUAAGAUCAAAAGGAAGCUUCUCAUCUUGAAUCACCUUCAUAUGUUUUGCUCGGCAGUCGCAUAUCAUGCGAACUUUGUUUUUCAUGAAUAAAAAGCGUGCAGCCUGAGGGAUAUCUGUAGCUGGGUAAUGCAGACCCACAUAGGGCUCUAGGCCUGGCUUCGUGACUUCGCUUAUCACCUCUCCAUGAUCAUCAUCGUGAAAUUUAUAUGUCAUCACCCUGUCAUAACCUGUCAGUUCAAAAACCUCUUGAACCAUUGUAUCACAAAGUCUAUCCAAGCUCCCACUGGGUAGGGACUGCAGGCGUGUAAUGGCUUUGGCAGCAAGCUUAUAGGACUGCAAAGCACCAGCAGCAGUCAUGGGGACUUCAUAAGGCUUCACAGGCUCAAAAUCAAUGAUUAAGCUACCUGUCACCCUGUGAACAAUGGCAUAAAACGGCUUCCCAGAAGUUUUACAGUGGACCAAUAUAGGAUUCAGCAGAGAAACCUCUCCAAAUCCUAAGGCCUUAUACAAUGCUGCUGCACUAGGAUUAGUAAAAAUAGUUCUGAUAUCAGUUCCAAUGUCAAUAACCGGAUGAUCACCAACACUCGGAACAGCGUGACUGACCAUGGUCAGCAUUUCAGGAGCAUUUUCACUAUAAGCAAUGACUUUGAAAGUUUUCUCAUCCAGAGCUAAAAGACAUCCAAAUGGCUGGAUAAAUUUUCCUUUCUGAAUCUGAUGAAGGUAAGCUGUGGUUAUCCUAUCAGAUCUAGGUCUGUGCUCUCCAGGAGGUGUGACACGCACUGAGCUCGAAUAGUCAAAGGAACUACCUGACUCCUCAAAAUCAGCAUUGAGCUUUGCAUCUAUGGAGGUCUGUGCAAUUAUCCGAGCACUGUGCUUUGAUCUUGCUGAACUGCUGGAAGACUGACUAGGUCUUGAAGCUGACAUUUUUAGCUCAAACCUGCAUAAUACAUAAGAGUAAAGUUGAGAAAAAGGCAUCAAAAUUGAAUCUUUACACGAUCAAAGAAAUAAAUGACACCCAAGCUAAACCGAAGAAAAGAAAUUUGUAUCUUCAAAAUCCCGUAAUGAUUUCAGAUAUUCAUAAGUACACAAACCAUUAAUAUCCGAGACUCUUUCUACCAAAACCAACUCUCAUAAAUGGCAUUCUAGCCGACCACCGAACAAGAAAGAAGGUCCUAAUUUUCUUCCCUACUCUGAAAGAAGACAAUAUAGCACAAAGCUUGCAAAAUUAUGACAGCCGAAAAUAAAAUGAACGUCUCCAAGAUCAGGCCCACCAACUGUGGAGACAUCAUUUGACAACCCCACCCCACCCCCCACAAAAAAAAAAAAAAAACUACGCUGAGAAAUGUACGAAUGAAGUAUAAUGCACCAAGUGCACUUUAGGCCAAUAUUUUCUACAGCUUUGUAACCACAGCAGAAGUAUCAGAGUUAAAUGGAAGAGAUAAUAGAUUUAAUGAUAUCUUACAAUGCAACGCAAUCUAAACAUAUCUCACAGGUUGCUCUCAGACUCCUGGCUAGCAGUAAAUCAGAACUAAACUAAGUUGCCUGUUUAUCUCAAUACAAAUCUUUAACAGGAAAGCAAACAGAUAUUGCCGACUAAACAACAUAUGACAACAUCCUUCAUCAUUUAGAAGUCAUAAUUAGCUAUCCUGCCGGCCAACACUUCCAAGAAUUAUAAGUUCAGACUUAAAAGGGACAAGGGAAGAUGAUUCGAAAAAAGUCGUGAACUUUUACCAAUUAAGAUCAACAACAACAACUAAGAUGAAUCCGCAAAGUUGGUAUAAAAAGAAGCACAAUCCACAAAAUUGAGCAAGCUUCUACCUCUCAUCCUCUCCCCAGCAGAGAUGGUAGUAAUACUAACCCUUUUAACAACUUGGUUGCAGAGGCUAAAAGCAGAGUAGUAGCAAGUAGCAGUAGACUCCAAAUGAAAUCUUGAAAUAUUGAAACUUAGAACAGCUUCAAGAAUGAGCAACACCAGUUUGGUAAAUUGGAAAAACCCAUCAAAGCCCUCGGGAAUCCUAUAAGACUGCAAAGUUCAGCUGUUUCCAAACCUCCCUCCCAAGAUCUUGAUCACCGCCUCUUCUGAUUCUUUCAAGGGCAAAACCGGACCACAUCACCACCUCCUCUAACCACCAACCUGAAUACACCUUAUACUUGCUCACUCACUGAGGCCUAUCCCACUUAGCAUUAAUUUACUUAUUAACCAUACUUCCACACAUUUCCCCAGCAUACAUGACCAGAUACAUGUGACUGUACAUCAGCAAAUGAAAUUUUAUAUAUACUAAUGGUACAAAUCAUGUACAAUAUUUUAUGUCUAUAAAUAGUAAGAGGUGACAAGUUUACUGGAAGAAUGUGAACUCUGUUGGUAGUUUUGUUUCUAAACAUGUUAAAAGCAGCAGCUGAUCCACCAGGAAAAUCUAAAAAAAAAAAUCAAUUUUUAAAAGCUAAUAUAGCAUGGAUUAAUCUUAUUCAAAAUAAGAUUAGGUAACAUGCUGUUAGUGUAUACAUUGCGGUUGUAUGUAUACAAGAUUAAUUUCUAUAUAUUAUGAUAUUAAAGAAUACUAAAAUAAACAAAUGCCAAAAAGGAUAAGGCUAGAAAGUGAGUACCUAAAGCGGCGUAUUAAAAAGGGGAAGUGUCAAAUGGCGUGAAAAGUGCCUUUGUGAAAAGGGGUGAAAAUGGUCUUUAAGGUCUUGUGAGCUGUGAGGAUUAGUGCAACAAGUUAGGGCAACCCAUGUUUGGGGAAAUGGAAUUGAUGGGUAGAGAACAAAACUCGAACGGGAAGGUACCCACCAGCUACAAGGCCAAAAGGUUAUGCCGGUCACCCCAGGAACAGAAAAAGAAGGAGGCAGGGGGUGUUGGUGUCAGAAUUUUGGGUUAGAAGGUAUGGGGAGGAGGAAGGAUGACGGUGUGCCCAAUUAGUUUGGUUUGGCAGGUUUCCAGAUUUGCCUGCACUAUCAAACAGUUAGCUGCCCAUCCCAUCCCCAUCCCCAUCCCAUGCAUUUGCUUUCUUUGGACAUUUCAAAGCUUGACCACCAUCCACUGCAGCUGGGAGUGGUCAUAGUGGUAAUUUGGAAGUGCAAGUGUUGUUUAGCAAGUGGAAUUGCAGUCAAAUGAUGAUGAUUUUACUACUGUAAUUUAGUGCUAGUAACAGUGCAGCACCUCAUUUUUUUUUUACUUUCUUGUUUCUUGAUUGGAUGACUUCAGGUGAGAAAGUCGGAUCCUAAGAUGUAAAACGUGUAAGAAGGCGGCCCCACUUUGUCGGAAGAAAUGAUCUUUUAACGUUGUGUAGAUUGAGCAAUUUGGUACUUGGCAUGGCAUCUCAUUAGCACUCGGAUGUUUCUAGGACAGGAGGAGAUAGGUGCUAAGGUUACUAAGGUGUACGACUGCGUGUAUCAGUUUGGCUGUUUUGAGGAUUACAGCUUCACCAUUUCGGACAUUUCAGGUCAAAUAAUCUGUGAACAAAAGCAAAAGAAUUAUCGGAUAUGUGCACUACAAAGUAGGAGUAGUAACUAAUAAGGAAAGGUUUUUUCUACUAUGUACUAUAAAUUAAUUCACAAAAGAAAUAUUGCUGAAUUGCACACUCAUAUCUGCAUGUCUUCAACACUAGUAUAGAUAAAGGCAGGGAUAACAUUGAAAAAAAGAUUAAAAAAAUAAAUUUAACUUUAAUGAAAUGACAAAUAUUUUGGGACAUUUCAGUGUGGUAAUUUUUUUUUAAAAAAAAGGGAAAAAAAGAUUGAGAAGGUAAAGACGGUUGGUAAUAAUUUGUAAUGAGAAAGUUGAAGUUCAUUGUCCCACAUUGAAAGAGGAUAGAGUGCUCAUUAUAUAUAUAUAUAUCCUUGUCUUGUUUCCUUAACAAACUUGUUUUAUCUUAGAGGUAAUUUGUCUAAUAUAGAGGUAAAUAACACCUUAAGAAAAGUAUUUUUCACAUCUUAAAGUCUCUACAUUUGUCUAGUUUAGAUUAGUUAUUUACUGUAUUUCCAACAAAGACCUCAAGAAAGCUGCACUCUUGGGAAAGGUCUCCUGCAGCUGCGGAUAUUUUUGGCUAUUUUUGGACAUGGCAGGUAUCUGUCUAUAUACCUCGAAAUCAGGUAUUUUGGGGCAGAAAACACGACGAUUAGAUUCGACAAGUGCCGAUUGACAAAAUAUAUAUAUACGAUUCCCAUUUUGUAACUUUUGUUGCUUUGAGGGAAUCGUACAAGAAUUGGAGUUUACACUUUCUUUCUCCCCCAGUUGCUGAUAAAUUUUACAAUUUUGGUUUGGAAACGUAUAUUAUCAGCACAAAUUUUACAAUUUUGGCGCAGACCGUGGCCGUGGGGACUGGGCAGCUGGGCCUGGCUUGCACCCAUUGUCGAUGGAAAAACAGGCUUAAACAGCAAAUAAACACUUGAGAACCCAUUUGUCUGUUUCCAGUUUUUUUCAAGUACCAUUACCAAUAAUUUGAGGGAUUUUUUGUCUGGGAUUUUGUUUGCAACCUAAAAAAACUCCAAAAGAUGGUCAGUUAAGAUUCGGCCAUCCUAUGAAUUAUUCUGAUACUAGCAUCUUAGACAGUCACAUUCAAUUAUGUAAACGACUCUUCUAGGUUCUUCUGGCGAAAUCCAAAAAACAGUAAGCAACUCCUCUAGUUUUUUGUUAUAUACACCCUAACAAGGAAAGGGUGGAAUUUAAGGGAAAAAAAAAAAAGGAAAGGAACAAGGAGAAUUAAAAUUCAGAAUCUCUAACUUUUGGAAUUUGAAUUUUAGCCACUGGACCAAGACAACCUCAAUGAUAUUUGUGUCUCCAGAAAGUGAUAUUUGUGACACCAAAUUUGAGAACACCGGGAGCUGCGGCCUUGUUUGGAUUGCGAUUUUUCGUCGGAAAAUUACAUCGUUUUCCGUGAUCACAUUUCCCUAUUACCUUUUUCCCUCACAUAUAUCAAAUCGCUACAGUAAUUUUUCCAUGAAAAAUCAUGAAAAAUGCAAUCCAAACACAAAGGUACCGAAAAAUUUGUAGCUGUAUUCUCUAAUGUUUAGUAUAGGGUGGACACAGAUUGGGUAUCUGCUCAUCCACUAUUUGGCUGACCUAACUCGCACCUUGUGGGUCAGUUAUUUUCUAAUCCUUACCCGCAUCGCAUAUCAAUGAGUAUCCGAUUAUAGGGUAUCCGUUGAGAUCAAUAGAUACCCGACCCCGCCUCACUUAUCAUUUAAUUUUUUUAAAAAAAAUAAUUUAUACUAAUUUAAUUUUAUAUUUUACACAUUCAUCUAAGAUUUAAUAAAGAAUUUUUUAAAAAAGUCUCCCAUCAAGAAACAAGUAUGUGAAGAGAUUGCAAGAUAAAGAAAAUUUUUUUAAAAAUUCAAAGUCAAUAAAAGUUUGAAAUAAGUAGCACUUUUUUUUAAAUAUAUGGUCCACAUUAAUUAAACUCUUUUUUUUUUUAUAAAACAUAAAAUCAUGAUCUCUACAAAUAAAUCUUGUAAAUAAAAUAUAGCCUCUCAUAUUUGCAAUGCAAUUUGUUCAAUGAAAUUACUUAUUUAGCUCUAAAUUAUUAUUUUAUAAUAUGUAUAUAAAAAUAAAAAAUAAAUAUAUAUGCAAGUUAGAUCGAGUACCCACGAAUUUUUAAUUAUGUAACUCUAACCCGCCCCGCAUCUUAAUGGGUACUCGACCCUUUUUUGACCCAAUCAAUAAUACAAAUCCUGUAUCCUAAUUUUCGGAUCGAAUUCGAAUAUGACGGAUUUUCAGGUUAAUGGAAAAUUUUGCCCACCCCUAAUUUAGUUACCAUGCAGUUUUAGUUCUUAAACUUUAGAUAAACAUAAAUUUGAUCCGAAAUGUUUAGUGGAUACUGGCAUAUUCAAUCACAGCAGAUUUAGGACAAUUAAAUUUUUUUUUUCAAAUUGCGGAUAAAAUUUAGUUAUGUACAAUCAGCGGCUAAUUUUAAGCAAGGGACUAAUAGCACAUGAGUAAAAAUUAAUCAAUAAAAAAAAUUGAUAAACUACAAAAUUUAAACCGGUUGGAACAUCUAGUUCUUUGAUCCACCAUUCACUCUCCUAAUUAACAUUUGAUUUUUGUGCCAUCCCGUGAGUUAUUUUUAUUGUUUAAAAUUUAGCCGCCGUUCUGUUUCUUUUUUUUUUUUAACAAAAUUAAUUUAGCAAACACGUGACUAACGUGAUUAGGUUUCAUAAAUAAUUGGGAUGACCUGUCAAUUGUCUUGAAUUUGCUUCAAAUUGGAAAUAUUGGGAACCAAAUGUUGUUAUGCCAAACCUUUAGGAACUAAAAUAUCAGAGGCGCCAUACACUGGGGAUUCAAAUUUAUUUAUUUUUUCAAUCAAAUCUUUAGAGACUAAAAUCGCUCAGGUACCAAAUAUUAGAUAUUUUUUCCCCUUGUAAACCUAGAUAUGUCUAAACAAGAACCAUUUAUAAAUAAAGACCAUUGGAUUUGAAACCUACUCAGGAAAUUGCCCUGCCAAAUGGAAUGAUGACCAGCUUUCAGCUUCACUAAUUAAUUUUGGUAAAUUCUGUAAAUCAUCAAUUUUCACAAUAAGCUAAUGAAAGAAAUCAUAGAAAUAUAUACAGUCGCAGGCCCACAGGGAACUCGUUAAGAUAUAUUUCAGGUUAGGAAAAGUAAAUAAAUACAAGAAAUGAUAUGCAAGAUUAAAUAAGAAAAGUAUAUAAAUGCAAGAGAGGAUAAUAAUUGUUAGUGCGUGUCUAUAUUUGAUAGGUUAGAUGAACGAUAACGAGUGUCCUAAGGCACCCGUUAAAAAUUCAAAAAUAUAUAUUCUCUUCCAGGUUCAAAGUACCACCAAGUGUCCCCUACCUUGUCUUGGUGCCUUGAAAAGGGACAAAAAUGGACAUGCCCGAUUAUAAUAUAUCUAUAGAUAGAUAGAAUGCAAAGAAGCCAAAUCCAGCAAGGCAUGUAGUUCAAUCAGAUCUCCACAGGAUUUUUUUUCAAAAAAAAAAAACUUCAUCUUGCACGUCUCUAUCUCGAUCCAGCACACAAGGAUGCCCAAAAUAUCAUGACAAAAUACAGCAGAAGUGCAUUUACAUUCUUUCAGACUUCCACAGAGUUAGCUUAUUUUACCUUUGAGCAACUUUCAGCAAUGAGAUGGAACGAGAUAAUGACCAAGUGAUGGUGGAAACGAAGACUAUCAUAAUUCUUAUUCUUGAGAACCCAUAUUAGUAUAUAUGACAAAAUGGAAAAAUUAAGAGCUAACACCUUCAUCUAGCAUCACCAAUUGCCAGUGUUUACUACUUCACAGAAUGGUAGGUUUCCCUGUUGUCCAACGAGCAAAAAUGCAAAGUACGUAUUGUGCAUGAACACACAAACAAUUAAAAGAUCAUAACUACAAGGGAACAGAAGAAACUAGUCUUGAUGAGCAGAAGGAACAAGAUACCAAAAACUCCUGGUGGGUAAACUGCAAAUCCCUCUCGCUUAAAAUGCAGAAAGAAAAGGUUCAUCUCAUUUCCUGAUUUCAAAAAGCGGAGAUAUUUUGCCAUGCUUUAGGAUAUUCUGGUGCUUUUCACUUGAUGAAUGUGGGGCAAGUAGACCAAAUUGUUCAUAGGCGUUAUCAAAGGCAACCAACUGAACAUGAAUGCAAAAACUUUUAAUCCCAAACCAAGAAAGAGUUCAAAGGUAAAUCUUGUUUACCUAACCAUAAAUGUGGCUACAUUUUCUACUCUUUUCCCAGUCACAAUUCUAUAUCCAGACUAAAAUAUGUUCCAGGCAUCGCCUAUGUUUAAACUAUAAUCAAGAUGAGUCCUCCUGUUCAACACAUCUUGAUCACUUCUAUAACCAAGCUGUGAAAACACUCAAAUUAAGCAUAAGCACACCGUAUCUUGUUAUCAGAGUCCCAGAAUGCACAAUGUCUGGGUAAUUUGGAACUAAAAUUACGUUCUUACACCCAGUGAUCCAACAAAGGUCCAUCUGAUGUGUGACAGAUUUAAUCUCCCUUUCUCAGAUUUACCUCCAAUAGUACCCUUUGGUGAAGUCAAAAAUGCCCGAUCAAGGAACCGGUAAAGCCUUAUCAUUAUCACCAUCUUGCAGUGAAAUGGAAAGUUGCCAGUGUAACAUGUCUUUCCAUUUCCUUUGAACUAUGUUGUUCUUUUUCUUAAUAUACAACAGUUCAGUCAGAUACUAGCAAGUUCCAGAUCUAAAGGAGAUCUAUAAGGCUUCUAAUGACAGCCUAAUGUAUGAGGUACCAUAGCAGCAUAAUUUCAAAGCUAAGGAGGGCCAAAAUGAGUACAGCUACGAAGAAAAGAAAGACUGCUUUUGCCAUUCGGCUAGGAAUAAGUAUCAAAUAGCAAGCAAAACAGAUCAAGAACCCUAAAGAAACUCCUUUUUCCUCUCCUUGUACACCUGAAAUGUUCAGAAGCUAGACAAAUGUGGCAAGAGCUUCGGUGGAGAAAAACUGUUAAAAUUACAAAUCGAAAAAGUGGAAUCCCAAUAGUCCAACUCUAAUGGUAGCUCAAGAAAUAGCAUAUUCACUUUCCUUAGAGAACUUAGGUAUUGGAAAAGCAAUCUUCUUCAUAUAUUUGCACAAGUUAAAGACUGGUUGAAACAUUAUUCCAGUUUAACAAAAUCACGUAGGACAAUAUUUACAUGGACUUGGUUGAAAGCACAAGAACUGAGGAAACUAAUAAGAUGAGUGGCUAUUCAUCAGAAUGCAGAGCAAGAAAAGUAUCAUAUCCAGUGAUUUCUCCAUCACGAUAGAUAGAUCGGACAGAUAUGAAUCAAGCAACAGGCAUCAAAGGAAAAUUGAACUCAAGAGAGAUUUCACUAAUUAAGAAUAUACAUAAAACGUGUACAAAAUCCCCAAACUGAGGAUAAGAAGCAGUUUCACGCAAGGCUGAUAGUGCCUUAUUAAUUUCAGUUCCGGUGCUAUGGGAUCCAAUGGAGGGUCUGCCUAAUAUCAAAUUCCAAGACACUUUAGACAAUACAAAAGAUCUUGCUUUUUCAUCAAUAGAAAUUUAGUCACUAGAUGUUAUGUAAGGCUUCUUCUUCAUUACUUGAGCAUUUUAAAGCUCUAUAACUGAUUCUUCAACAAGUAGUUCAGAUAUUCCCAUUGGUGCUGUGUUUCAACUUUCAAAAGUACCAAAAAGCAAAGGUGCCAUAAAUAUGCUUUUCACCAUGAAACUUACCCAGAUUAAGACAAUCUAAAAGCAGAGGUAAAAAGCAAUAAAGGACAGAAAUAAGACGUUCAGAAGUGAGCUACCUAGAGUGCUGAUUCUAAGCUGAAACUAGCCCCAAAUCAUUAAUAAUGAAAGCAGCUUGUUGCUCAUGCUAACAAUUUCACAUGGUCGUGCUCAAAUACAGCAAAGAUACUCACACAAAGUUAAGCACAGUGACCACAGAAACAAGAAUUAAAGUCAGACACAGACUGUAGACUCAGAAUUUGGAUUCAUAACUCCUCUCUUCCUGCCAUCAUCACCCCCCAGUUAGCAACUCAGUAAUAACAUAAAAAUAUUUAGCAGAUGGAUGAACUCAAAUGGCUUCAUCUUUCACCAGUUUCAGAAUUACAGAUUCUACAGAUCAAAAUUCUUCGCACUUUUCAAAGUAACUUUUGAAAUGGCAGUUAUCAAGCUGUGUCAUCUAAAUGACAAUUGUGCCCCAAUCUUACAGCAUCUUCUGAAGUUUAUAAGCAUGCAGUGAUGGAGAUUCUCCAACCAUUUGGUACUUAUCAACUAUUUACAGUCUGGGGAACACUAGACUUCUAUCAAAUGUAAUCAAACAAUUAAAAAGAAGAAGAACAAGAACUUGAAGAUUUUGAGGCAAAAUACAAAUAUACAACUGAGAGAAACUCAACCAUUUCCUGACACGCACUACAAUAUAUGACCUUGAGUGAAAAAUCCUCUUGCAGCGCUUCAGAGAUACAGAUGAGCUAUGGCAACAACAAAAUUGCAAUCAAUCUAAAUUAACAAGCUCCAGCUUAUUGUAAAAAUGAGAUGAGAUGACAAUUUGAUUCACCACCUAAAUAGUUAAGAAAAUUCAAUUCACCAGGAGGCAGGAAACAUAUCUAUGAACCAAUUCCAGGAUGUAGCACAUCCAUAUAACUGAGUUUCCUUCAAAAUAGCACACCAGGAAUUUCCCUUAGCCUUCUGUGGUCCAUAUCCAGACCACAUGCAACACAUAGAAGAGCUUUGCUACAAAUAUUAGAGAAGUUUCUGAGAUGACUUGUGCAAAAAAUUUUUUUGCAUUCCUGCUAAGAUGAGUAUUGAUAAAUGAUUGCACAGAUUUCACUUUUAAAAACCUGGAUGAAACAGAGAACCCACUUCUAGCUCAAAAAGUUUUAACAACUCAAGUAACCGAUUUGAGACCAUUCUCUUCUACGCACUAUUUUCUCAUUCUCUUUCCAUUUCUUAUCUUCUAUUUAGUAUCCCUUUCUUCUUUUCCUCUGGGUAAUACAUAUACUGUACCUCAGAUGUAUGAUCAUGUGAAAACUUUCAUGAACAGACCUAUGCAAAAACAAUGCAUUAAUAAUAGUAGCAGCAAAGAUCGCAUUCUCAAAGGCCAAACUUUUCUGAGCUUUCCACAACACCGAAAUCCUGAUAAUGCUACUUCAUGUGGUCUCAAAGAACAUGAAGACAACAAUUCCUCCACAACUCAUGCUACUUCAUCGAAUAUCAUAAACUGACAUACUUCCCCAGUAUUUUGAUCUUUAUUCAUAAACCGACAUGCAUCGAAUAUUCAAGAAAGUAUACAGAUAUCAAAUUUGAUCUUUAUAUCCCUACAGUUCCUACACCUUUGAAAUCAUUCACCUCGAAUUUUGCAUUUUGAUUUAUGUUCCCCACAAAAGCCUCUGCCAGGUAAUCGAAUAUCAAAUACUCAAAAUUUUUACAAAAAAAAAAAAGAAAAAAAUCAUCUUUUUGAAUCUUUUUUACGAGGAAUGAGUGGAGGAUCCAAUUGAAAAUUAAAACAACCAAGCAAUUCCCUUGAAAAUUUCUCCUUUCACUUCUAAUCAUCUUAUACAAAAUUUAACUGGAAUCCAAAUGUGGAUUACAAUCUGCAGCAUAAAAAUCAUUCUUUUCAAUAAAAACUUUCAACAUGUCAUAAGUAAACUCCUUACUAUUAGGAUCACUGGUGGGUGGCGACUCACCUGAGGAAUCCACUGCCUGCGGUUGCUUUGUGCACAAGCAACAACAACCCUCUACCACCCCACCUUCCCCUCCACCUCUCCCAAAACACCCCCUGAAUUUAUGAAACCAGCCUUCCUCCUCCUCCUCCUCCUCCUAUUACUCUGCAACAGCUUCAGCUUUUUCUUGGCCUUCCCAAAUCGAAAUAUAGACACCUUUUGGGUUCUUUAUUACCCCCUUGUCCAGUUUCCUUCUUUAGACCAUCCCUUUUUGCUGGGCUACUAGUAACUUGUUCUUGUUCUUGUUCUUCUUCUUCAUCAUCAUACCCACCACCACCACCACUGGAGGAUGGAUCUUUUAUAUCAGAGCCAGACAUAUAAAAAAAGAAUUUGAAUUAAUAAUUUGUAAGUUUAUGAGAUGAAAAAAUCAUGUGCACAUACUUUGGACCACAUAGCAGCAGUAGUAUAUCAAAUACAAGUUGUAAACUAGGCAAUGUGUCAGUUGUAUUAUUGUUAGUAUGUUGUACAAUAACAAGACAAAGUCGAUGCAGUAUUGGAGAAACUGUGGGAUUUUUCUAGAGAUUGGACACAGAAGAAUGGAGAACUAACUUGGAUUAGAAAGAAAGAGAGGAUGCAAGAGAGAGGAUGAUGGAGACAGGGGGAAGGGGUCCGAAGGCGAGAAAGGGACUGGGAAUUGUCGUCUUUUACGCGCAGAGUUUCGGAACACGAGUCAUAAAUUUCGACAGGAAAGGUUGCAGUUUUUCUUUUAGUUUUCCUCCUUGGAUGAGUUUGUGGUUAACCCUAAGUUUGGAAAAAAUUGCUCUUAUGUAUAAUUAAUGUGAAAAUUUAGUCUCUUGAAAUGAAAACGAUUUUAGUUCCUUGCAUUUAAGAUGUCGACUCCCUUUCAAAUCAAUUUUAGACCAAUGACAAAUAUCAUGGACAAGCACUCGUCACGCCAUUAAUUUAGACUUAAAAACCAAACCAUCUACAAAAUUCUGAUUUCCUAAUUUUAGCUUUUUUUUUUUGGGGUAAGGUAAACUAAAAGGAGGGCUGAAAAACUGAAAACACCUCAAAUCCUAUGAACAAAACCAAGAAUCUCUCUCUACAGAGGAAAGACAACGUGUGGGUUUAGGAAGCGGAAUAUGAGAUAUGGGAGGCGGGAGAGAUCUUCCCAUUUUCCAAGUGCUUGUUUUUUUCACUUGGUAUGGUUGGCUUCCUGGCGGUGACAGACACCCGUUGCCAAGUAGAAAGUUCGGGCGAAAAGCGGCACGAAUCUAGACAAGCUUAUUUAACUUUUGUUCUUGAAGAAUCUUUAAUAGAAGAUGCAAUGAGGCGAAUUAGAAUCAAAGCGUCCUUACAAUUUAGGAUUUGGAGGAGACAGGGUCCUAAUGAAAAUGCUUCCAAAAUUCUUAUUAAAGAUAAGGACCAACUUUUGACUUUUAACAUUAAAUUCGCAAGGGUGAUGUAGCAAAUUUUGCGCCACGCAACAUAAGUGAAGGAACUUAAAUCGAGUCUACCCAAGUGUUGAUCCGAAUUAACCACUACGCCAAUGGCUCAGUGGCCACCAGAGAGGACUUAAGUCCCUCAUUGGCCUGUUGUUGAUGAGGGUUCAAAUCUCAUCUGCCAGCAAAAAAAAUCUAAAGGUGUGCCAUAGCACUCCCUUGAUCUAGUUGGGUCUGUAUACCCACUAGCCUCUAUCAUAACCUCCUUAGCGCUCUCACUCCCCCUAGAUUAGGAUAGAAACAAAAAAAAAAGUGUUGGUCCAAAAUUUUAUGUGCUUUGAUUGAAUCAAUUCCAAAAUUUUAAGUGCUUUGAUUGAAUAAAUGAGUUUAGGCAAUAAGUAUUUUGUCAAAAACUUAAAGCACGUGGUUUAUGCAUUAAGCACGUGGUGGGUCCGUUGCUCAUUUUGGUCAAAAAUAGCUUGAAAAGGUGUUAAGAGAACAAAAAACGAGCAUAAUUUAUAUGUUAGGGACUAAAAUGGCUUGUUCUCGUUUCGGGAGACUAAUUUUCACAUUAGUGAUAUGUAAGUGAUAAUUGGUGCAAUUUUUCCUCAGAAUUUAACUUCAGUGACACUUUAUCCUCUGAAGAUUUUUUUCCUUUUCCACCAAUGGACCUAAAUUAAUAAAUUAUGAUCUUUUUGGACAAAAGUUCCUCCAAAAACUUUAAAAUAUCUCCAUUGUUCAUUUAGAUAUUAUAUAUAUAAUAUUUUAAUUUUUAAAUAAUUUUUAUUUAUGACGUCAUCCGGUUCGACCCCCUAUCGACCCCCGGUCGAACCCAUUGACCCCUGACCCCUGACCUCGGCCGAGUCGCUAUCCGGUCCGGUUCUGAAAACAUAGCCUUUACCAUUACAUAUUGCCAAUAUUAUCAAGCAACUUAACUACAACUCAUUUUCACCCAAACCAUCCAAAAACAUUAGUGUAACCACCAAAUUAUAGUUCUUAUAUUGUUAGUUGAGUAAGAGAUAGGGCUUCCAGCACCUAUGUUUCCUAGAAUCUGGUAGUGUUAAGAGAAUGAAUUAGGCUUGUAAAUUAGAAAUAUGGGCUUUAGAUAAAGACAAAAAAGAACAGCAAGGGUCGAUAAUCUGCGUCUAUAUAAUUAAACAUACAAGAUAUGAUUAGUCUAGGGGAUAUCUUAUGGCUAUUUUCUGAAAUUCAUGCUGCUCCUGCAGAUUGCUUGUCAUCUGCAGCUCGCUCUAUCUGACUUUUCUUGUCUGUUUAUAUCCCUGUUACCCUCUUUUAUUAUGUUCUGAUGCAAAACUAAUAUAUGCUAUCUGAAGCUGAAGAGAUCUGCCAUCCCAUACCUGUCCUGAAAGAGAGAAAGAGAGAGGGAAGCAUAAGAAUAACAGAAACUACACUAAUAUGAACUCCUACUUAUUGUGACUGCUUCGCCAUGCGAUUUAAAUGUAGCAAUAUACCUAGCACCUUUAAUUCAUCUUCGGCAUAUUGUAAUCAAGUUUCAACAUAAUCAUAAAUCCUUAAUCCUUAAGUUAUUGGAUAAAGAUCCAUUUCUACAUGCUUCAUGAGCCUAUAGUGAAUAGAUUUACCCAAUGAACAUAUUUUUUUGUUCUGCAAUUUAUGUUUGAGUUGAUGCAAAAUUUGUUUAAAGCACGAAAGGUCUUGGUUAUAGACUUCCGAUAGUUGAUAUCCAUCGUGGGAGAAUGAGAUAAUUCAGUUAAAUCUGAGGAUUAGUUUUCCAUUUUCACCACCUAAACAUUUUAUAUCUUUGGAAGUACUUUGGUCAUCCUUUCAAUGCAUAACUACUUUUAAAUUACUGUCUGUAAGUUGUCUUGAUAAGGAAAUUUUCCAGUUGAGACGUCAGUUUAGAUUGAGACCAUGAUCCAUGAUCAGAUCUCAAGAUAUGAGUCUACUGUCUUGAGUUUCUAGUACACACGUAUUGCUAAAUACAAAAAUUCUCACGUCACCUAAUCACAAAAAACUAAUGCCUAUAGCAUGAGCAUUCAUCUUUAACCAGUGUUUUAGUUUUAAAGGUUCGAGCUUUAACUUCCGUAGCAGCAAAAGAUUGAGGUAGUAAUUGUUUCUACCUAAAGUAAGAGCACCAGAUGAAUGUAAAAUGGACGACCUGUCAUAUCCAUAAUCUGCUUUGCAUUUUGAUGCAAAUUGCUGCUUUCUGCAGGAGUAGUUAAGUUGGAUCAAGCUACCACUCACAGUUGAAGAAAGUUGAACUGCAUGAUAACCAUCAGAUACUAUUUAAAUAUGUAUAUAUUCAUAGACGUUCUGCAAUGGGACAUCUGCAUCUAUACAUGUGUAGCCCAACUGUUCAUGAAAAGAAUAUGGCCAGUCUUUUGAGGACCAUCUGGUCUGCGACUGAGAUCUUAUGUAUCGUUGGCUUAUUAUUGCUGCACCUUGUCAAAUAACAUCUAUAUUUCUGUCCUUCAUCCAAUAAUCACUUCGGAAGCAGUCUUGCUUGCAUUUUUGAUGAUUGCAGAAUCGAGCAUGCCACUAAGGUCUGCACAUCAUUGAACCAAUUCUUUUGGCUCAAAUCUGCAACUAGUUGAUUGCAAAGUUAGGUUAACUUAUAGACAUAUCUGAUAUACCGGGGUCAUCUUGCUUGCUAUUUAGGGACAGAUGUCAAGAAAGGUUAGAUUAUAUACAGUUUUAGAAGAUUAAUCAAUAUAAAGGCCCACUGGCUGGUUUUGUCACCACUAGGAAGUCUGCCGAUAGAAGCAAAGAGAAACGUUAUCUUGUCUAAGCAUUAUUGCAGAUGGUGGUAGUGCUGUCAUUUGAACCUGAAUACUUUUAACUUCUUUGCAAGAUCCUUAUGGUUUUACUGGUAAGAACUUGGGAAAUAUGCCGUUCCGCUUCCUAAAAUGUCGGCGUACUAUAAGACGUUCAAUUUUCUGCCCAAGUAUUUGCAGGAAAAUUGCCCCACAAAUAAUUUUCCAAGUCAUGAUAUAUAGUUAUAUUGAUCCUAAACUGCGGUCUUAUCAGUGCUUUCUGGAUUUUCUUUUAUAAAACUUUUUCCUAAUGUAUUUGUUUGCCUUGAUUGCUGAUAGACUGGAAUGAAGAACUACAAUGAAGGUUGUCAUACCCCUUGUCCUUUGGAUAUUAAAUAGAUGGAGCGCAAACAUGCAGUUAAAGUCAAGAUGUUAUAUCAGUUUAUUCUUCCACUUAUUUCUCCAGUUUAUUGUUAUGUUGGCAUGGGAAGGGAGAAGUUUUUAGCUUGAUUACUAUUUUUUUUAACUGUCUUUUUUUUUCAAUAUCAGAGUUACUUCACAUGGAUGGUUGCACUGCAUUCCUUGCACUUGGGGACCAAAUUCAUUUUUCUUGUUAUCAUUACCAGAAUAUAUUGCAAAUCCUCAGAGCAUUGCAUUUAGAAUGGUGGCUUUGCAAUUACGAGACGUUUCUUUCUUCAGCCACUCAAUCUCUGAUUUUUACUUUGUUGAUUAAAGUAGUUUUGUUUGUGGUUCUAGCUAGCCUUCAAUCUAAUAGAUAGCCUUGGAAAAUAGUACGUACUCCUUUCAAUCUAACCACGAGUUUAGAAUGCUUUUCAAACAAAAAUGUAGCAAAAACCUCAGGAAACUUGUAAACAUGAUAGGUAAGAACAUGAGCAAACUACAAUUUUGUUCUUAGAGAUCAAAAAAAUUUUGAUCAUCGCCACAACUAUUCAGAUUUUUAGCAUACAUUACAGAGGUCUCAUAGGCAUACAUGCCGGAGAAUUUUCGUGACGCUUUCAGGAAUAGAGCCUGUUAUGUCGUAUUUCUGGGAAAGCAUUUGCGGAGUCACGAUGCUUGGUAUCUGGACAACUGUCUCAGCAGACUUGAUGCUUCAGCCGAGUUAAUUUUGUUAUCCAACAAUUGAUUCAGAGUUAAUACAAUUGAUUCAGGCGGGGACCUUUCGGAGUGCAGUAAGUUUCUUUCAGAAUCACUCCGAGUCAUCACGAGUCAACUCGAAUUUUCAUUAUUUUUACUAAUUUUUUAAUUAUUUUUAAUUAUUAUAUUUUUUACAAUUUUUAGAAUAUUAAAAAUUUCAAGAAUUCGCGUCUCGUCGAAACCGCGACCGAUAUGCCCAAGACCAAUGUGAAAUGGUCCAGGCCGCGACCGCAACUUUGAACCAUGAUUACAAUGCUAUAUCAUGUAUGCAAAUGUAUUGGCGUGAGAUGGUAAAAGCCGGCUUCAGGGUGAUUAUAUACCGUGCAAAAGCCAUUGCUGGUACGUUUGAAUGGUGGAUUAGGAUUAGAAUGCGGUCGAUAAAAAUGUCUUGUCAAGUUAGGAUGUUUCUUGUGGUCAUGUGCAGAUUGCAGGGACGCCAGAGACAACGAGAUGCAGUUACUCUGUUAGCAGUAAAGAUAGCAGCACUAUUGACUCAUGCUUGGUGCAGUUAACAAGGCUUCGCAGCCAAGCCAAGAUGAAAUUAAUAAACGUAACGUCGACAGUCCCACCUCUGGCAAGCUGGUGGGGGCUCACCAUAUUUAUCUACAAUAUCCUCUGUCUUUCCUUCCCAUAUCCCUGCAGCAGUCCUCCUAUUAUAUUCUUUCAAUGGGUUUAUUCUUGUCAAUACCACCUUGUUUUGCCAGAACUGUAGCGAAAACCGCCAGCACGUGAAAUUAUUUUUAGAGAUGGCCUGCAGUUUCCAAAGCACUACUAACGAUAUGUUCCCUCUUCUCCAUGUUUUCAGGUUGUUGAUUGUUCUUUACAAGAUUUUCUCUUGAAUGAGUUUUGCACCACCUGUAACCACCAGCUCUUGGGCUGGUGACCACCACCAAGCCCUUAAGGCUUUGGUGUGGUGGAACCCUUGCCUCCCACCAAAAUGCCACUCUUGUGGCUCUGCUUCAAAUUCAGACGAGUGUGUAGUGUACCCAUCUGGUCCGGUGAUGGUUCUGUCCCCAUAGGCUCAAUUGAGCCUCCCUCGUAGAUAGAGUAGGAGUAGGAGUAGGAAUGACAAUUGACAAAAAAAAAAAAAAGAGUUUUGCACCACCUGUCAUCUGAAAUCAGGACUGAGCAACAUUGGUUGUGUAGGCAUCAAAUUCAGUUAAAGAAACCCACAAAUUUUAAGCAGAUUGGCAGGUUUAGCUAUGGCCUGUGUUCUUUUGGUAUGGCAUUUUUCGGACUAGUUGGCUCCUGUAGACCUCACGGGGGUAUUUCUCUUCUAAUAACAUAGAAGCUGCAGAAUAUUAUGCAGAUGACUGCGCUAAAGGUUGGGUCUUAUGCUUAGGUAGGAAUUUAGUUGGGGGUAAAAUUAGAGGAGGACUGAGCCAAUAUAUACAUGGCCACCCAAUCUUCAACUUUCCUGCCAAAAAGCAACAGAAAAAUCCCAAUUUUAAAGAGGAAAAAUUUGGAAAAUAGAAACAGCCUCGUGGAGGGGAGCAAAAGAGCAAAGACAAGUAGAAGCAGCAAGAUACCUUAAGACAACUUAAUUUAGGUCGGCCCUUUAUUGCUUUUUUUCUUUUUCUUUCUUUACAGUAGUUCUUUUACUUAAUGUGGAAGUACACUGCUUUUCUUUCUUUUAUAAGGACAAACUGGAAUUUUAAUACUCACUUAGUUCUAGAUAGUCCUUUUACUUUCUCCAUAUAUGAUAUAUCCCUUGAAAACGAAGGGGGAAGAAAAGUAAAAACAAAAUCUCUGGCUUGACUUUUCCUCCUCCGUGCAUGGCUGGUUUCCAACUUUCAUGGAUUGCCAAACAACCAACCAAACUAAGCAGGUAGGAAUAGCCAGGAUACUAUAUGUGCAGGCAUAAGUCAAAACAAAUGUAUGAAUUCUCAUCGAUCAGUACGAAGAGAAUCCAGAAAGAAGUACAGAUAUUCAUUUGACGAAGCCCAAGCUCAAACAAAGGGGUCAUGAUGCAUGGUGGUGAUAGACAAGGGACUGAACGAGACACAGAAGCAAAGAAGCCACGGGGAUUGCCCAGUUGCACGUGAAAUCCCACACCUGACCUCUUCACUUUAGCCAAUCUUUUUCCCCACAUCCAGAUUGUUUGAUCUUGAUAUUGAUGUAAAAGUCAAAAGAACCCUGAAACAUUUUCCAGGGAUUUUGGGAUGAGGACGAGGAAAUGGAGCCAAAUUAAGGGCCACCUCCGGCUUGCGCUGCAAACAGCUGCUCCACAUGAUGCAUGGACCGGAGAGUGGGGAGGGGUCCUCUUAGAUUCCACCAAAUCACUUGCUUGCUCAAGGCAGGGUCCAGGUGGACAUCUCCAAUUCCAUUGGAUACGUAGCUUCAGUUUUUUUGAGUCGUGUCCGACCAUUAUUUGCUAGAACUAAAAGCCCAGUGACAUCAAUCUCAUUCCAGUACAAUACAUGAGUGGAGCCAAGAGCGAGUAAUUCCAGUUCCCGGCCAGCUUGUCAAGUAUAUCCUGUAUCUAUUAUGACAGGGGUUGAACAGAAUAUUGAGGCCUCGAAGAAGGAUCGACUGAACAUGUUCGAAAGAGUACUCGUAGACAGUAGGCAUGCAGCUACUGUUUAUUUUAAAUCUCGAGAGUUUGAAGGUCGAAUAAAAAAUUUUAGACUCGUCUCGUCAACGUUAUUGGUAAUUAAGUCGAACUUUUGCGUCUUUCAUCCUUUUAGAAGAGAGAAGAGUGAGGAGUAAUUUCUCUAUCUCUCCCCUUAAUUAGUAAAGCAAUAAUCAGUUGAUUAAGAAGUUGUUUAGGAAAGUUCCAACUCAAGGGGGGCAAGUAGCAAGACCUAAGAGAUAAAUAAUGGAGUUCAAACAAGUGAGCUUGAUCGAUCAAUGGUCCAAAAUUUUGAUAAGUAUUCCUUUUUCAUGCAUGAACAAGAAAUUUAUAGUAACUCGAGCCUUGUUUUUCACUAAUUUUUUGGACCUACUUUUAGCUUCUGAUUUUAGAAAAUUAAUUAUGAGAUAUUUUAAAUUACUUUUUCUUUCAAUUUUCAGCUUUUUCUAGAUCUAAAAUCAGAAGUUACACAACACUUGCUUUUCAAAUUCUGAUUUUGGCUUUUUAAAAAAAUCAAAAUCAGUUGAGUGCAGGCCAGCCAGCAAAAGUUCACAUCUAGGUUCUGAAUUGGUCUCUUCAUUAGAAAUGGUGGUUUUGUUAUAAUAUUAAAAAGGGAAGAAUUAGGAGAAGACAAAUCCUCUUUGUUAGCUUCUUGUGCCAACUAUAAAAACGACGGAGGAAGAUCUAGCUAGGCACUUUAAUUAUGAAUCUCUAAACUGUCCAAAUCUAUAGCCAUAAUCAAACUAAUGACUUGUACAGUUCUUAAUUAGUAUUAGGUAUCUCAUAGCAUUUGAAAAUUAGUCUGUCAAAUACUAUACAUUAUCCACAUCAAUUAAGUAAUUAGAUGACUUCUUUGGGCCCUACGAACAUCUAAGAAAGCAAAAGGCAGUGAUAUUAUUUGUCCCUAAUCACUUUUAAAUGAAUAAUGCUGUCUAUUAAAAGCCGCUUAUGGCUCGUUUAAGGAUGUUUUGCUAAGACAAAGAGCAGUUAUGACGGUUUAGUCAGCUUAAUUAAAGUUGUUCUUGACUCUUUUUUUUUUUUUUUUUCUUUCCUUUAAUAUGAUUGUGUGGGUUUAUAUGGUAACAAUUUGUCGAAAAUGAUUGCAUCUUUCGUUACUUGUUUCCUUCUCCAACACAAAAUUAUAAAAGUCACUAGAAACAAAUACUUUUAGGCACCGGCUGACUGGAUCUUGGAAAUCUGCUAAUGGAACAUGUGUAAAGGGUCGUGAAAUUUAAAAGUUUGUGCUCCAUACUUCUAAAUCUUGUUUUAGACUAAUACGAGAUUAACUAAUGUUUGGAGAAGUAUUAGUGACACACACAGUCUGUAAUUAAUUUUGCAUAUAUAAACUGUUAUAUAUAUAUAUAUAUAUAUAUACACACACACACUAGUGUUAAUGUGUGUACAAUCAGGGAAUUUUUAUAAGGAUAAAAUUUAAAAGAUGAGAAAAAAAUAUUCAUACCAAUAUUUCUAUUGUUCGGACAUUAUAUAUUGAUGAAUGGUGCUCAAAUAGAGUAGUGUGUCCAAUAUCUGAGGGAAAGAAGAAUCAUAAAAACCCAUCAUGAGCAAAUCAAUGACUAGACUUGUCCCACAAAAACCUAAUCUUUUUUUGGUUAAAAGCUUAAUUUAAUACAAGAGAGGAGAUCAAAGAGGAUAAGAACAUGUAGUCCCACGUAUAAUUAAAGAGAUAUUGGCACAAUAUUUCCAGAUGUCAUAAUGGUGCCAAAUGUGGAUCAAAGAUCUGGGAUAAGAUAUACUAAAUUCUUUGAAUAACAACAAAGAAAAAAAAGAGGAAAAAAAAAAUAAAAGUAGUUAAACAAUGGAGGAGGUGACGAAAUUUUCAAAAUACAGAGAACACAGACACAUUACAUUGCACCUUACCAAAAAUGUAAUACUAUUAUUAUGUCGUACGUAGUAGAAGACUACAGACUCGUUCCUAAAAACAUUAUUAUUGCUUUCUAUUUCUAAUCCAAGCCGUCAUAAUCAAUUUUAUAGUAGUAGUAGUAUUUCUUUUCUUAUCCGAGUUUAGGGCUCAAGUUGUAAAGCUAAAGGACCAUAAAUUAGAAGCUACACAAUCCAUUAAAACCUUCGACUAAAUGAACUAGAAUUUCUUCUUCUUCUUUUUCUUUUUAAAUUAUUAUUUUCCGUUUAUCUAAGAGAUACUUUAAGGUCAGGCUUGAUAAUCCAAUUCAAUAUUUACAUUUAAUGGAUUCAGAUAUUAGCAUAUUCGUGUUUGAUAACAAAAAAUAGUACAUUAAUUAAUUAAUUAAGUAGGUCUGAAUUGUGUAGGCAAUGCUUAUUUUUAAAAAAAAAAAUGAUAAACUGUUCACUUAUCACUUAAUGCAAAUGUAGAAUGCACUCAAAUGUUAACAUUUCAGUAUUUAUAAUUCAAUAGUUUAAUGAAUUCAGAUUUCAAAUUUUAAUUUUAAGAAAAUAAAAGUCAUGAGCGCAGUCGAGCCAAGAGUGUCUCAACCAAUUCCCUAUCAAUCAAAAACAAACUUGGAGUAAUACAAUUGAAAUAUUUUUGUAAGGGCAAUAUUUUCAAGUGUUCAACUGCUCGCUAGUGGUUAGAAAAUCAAAUCACCAUCAUCUUCUCAACCGAUGCAACCUGAAAUCUUUUGUUUUUACCACCAUAUUAUGUGAUAUCUCCACAAAGAAAGAGUAGUGUCAGAUGAUUAAUGUCACAUAAAACCGGACAAUCAGCUAAUUAUGUCAAGUUUUCAUUGAAUCCCAAAUUAUGUCAUUUCUUGACAGAACUACAAAAGCUGGGCAGGGCAUCCAAAAAUUGACACGAAUAUGGCCAUGUCAUAUUUCCACAAAACCAAUAUUGAUGGUCCAGAAACGUUGAUUUGAAACCAUUCUGAAACUACGGGUUCUCGAUUAAACAUGAAUGAAAAGGCCAACCAGAACUAACAAAACAAAUAAAAAAAAAGGUGGUUUGCUCUUUUAGAGAAAGGAUAAUGAAGAUUGAGAAGUCAUAAUCACCCAUUAAGCCUAAACAUAUAUGUUUGUGGUGCCCGCAUUGACCUAUACAAAAUUUAGCUCAUGUACGACGACAUAAAGCACUAUAGUACUUUUAUUAAAUGAUUUCUUUUCUUUCUUGCUUGGGAAACAGAAAGCACUCCAGUGCAAAAUGGCUAUCAGGCACCUCGAUUGGAAGAUAUUAUACAGUUACUUUGAGUUACCUUUUGAAAAGAUUGUAAGCAAUUCUUUAAAAAUAAUACGUACAAUUUUGUAACAAAUGCAUAAUAUCGUGUUAUUGCUAACAUGGAUUUAUACAUACGAGCUAAGUCGAGAACUACGUGCGUGAUGAAAAUAUUACAUUCAAAUAUUUACGCAUCUAUAGAUGAUUUUCUACUGAUUGAUUUGGCUAUUAAUUUAUGGACGAUACGCGUAUAUGAAUUUAUAGAUGCGAGUUAUGUCGAGAAUCACAUGUUAAAAAUAUUACAUUCAAAUAUUUACAUAUCUAUAAAUGAUUUUCUAUUGAUUGAUUUGGCUAUUUAACUUAUGAAUGAUAUCCACGUCCUUAGUUGAGAAUUAUAAGGCGUGUGACGGAUAUUGAAAGGUCAAAAAAAUCAAAAUUUACGAGAUUGCUAUUAAAUUUAGGAAGCAAUUUAGUUGGAGAUUCCACAAGAGCUAUGAGAGUUGAGUAGGUAACAAAAUCAAAUUUAAGAAAUGCAACCAGGCACAAGUUCAAAGAGUUGUGAGCUUAACCAAGUUGGGAGGUGAUUAGUUUUGAGAUUAUCAAGACAUAGCCAAUAACAAAGCCAAAAAAAAAAAAGGAAAAAAACUUGAUAAGGAACUUUUAACAACGGUUGAGUUUUCAAGGUGCUUUUACUAACUAUGGUUAAAAAAUGACCAACUCAUUGUUUUGUAGAGCAGGAAAAAUAUAGAAAAGGCCAAGCCUUGAGCUGUUUCUUCAUUCGUACUGUUACUGUUAGUCUGUUUCUACUCUUUACUUGCAUUUUUGUGUUGCUUCUUCCUUCGGCCAGCGUCAAAAUACCCAUGCCUUUCGCCGACUUCUACGAGCCCUCUGAAUCCUCUGUUUCUCUUUCUGUAUCAAUCUCCGCUUAAUGUAGUAUAUAACAUAUUAUUUUAGGCUUUGUUUGGAUUGCCAGUUUUCGUCGAAAAAUUACAUCAUUUUCCGUGAUCACAUUUCCCUAUCAUCUUUUUCCCUCACAUACAUCAAAUCGCUACAGUAAUUUUUCCAUGAAAAAUAACGAAAAAUACAAUCCAAACACAACCUUAGUAUUCAGCAAGUACGUUUCUUUUGUCCUUGGAGCUCAAAACCAAGUGGGGCGUGUAAAGACUGUACUUUUUGGGAAGCUAUUUGAAGGCAUGUGGAUUACAAAAUAUUGGUGGGUUCAAGAGAAUUAUCACAGCUCAUUAGUGGAUGUGAUAAUCUUUCGAGAUUUUUAAGACUUUGUUUAAUAAUAAAGUUGAAAUCUCGUUAAUGAUUUUGAUUGGACUAAUGGGUUCUGAAAAUCCUCCCCUUCUUGGAGAUUGGUGAGGUGAGUGAGGCUUGGACUUGGAGUUCAUUUUUAAGAGGUGGGUUUUUUCUUCUUUCUUCUUUUUUCUUUAAGAUUAGUGCUACUUGGUUCCCUUUAACUGAUAAAGAAUUGAGGGUUGUUAAUUAAUUUAGCAAUCUCGUGUGGUUUUAUCUUCUAAUGAUUGAGUUUCAAUUAAAAGAUUGAAUUUUUUAUGGUAAAGAAGCUCAAAUAGUUGGUUAUCAAGUAGCUUAUGCUUCCAUUAAAGAAUUGGUUUGACUGGUUAAUAUAUUUUUAAUGCUGUUUCUGGAUUUUUAUGUACUUUUAUUGAUCGAGACAUUAGUAUAAACCACAUGUAAUUUAUGUAAGCUUGUGAUUUUUUCUGGUGUAUUAAGCACUCGUAUCUGUAUCUUGUAUAUUGGAUUUAUCUGCUUAUAUGCAACUAAAAUUGUCUUGUAGUAGUGGGGUAACGUCAUUUGUUGAUGUCGUGCUAUUUGGAUUUAUGUGUUCCAUUUUAAUGUCGGUUGAACUUUGCUGAAGUGCUUUAUGUUCACACUUUUUGUGUUUCAAAAGGGGUUCUUUUGUUCUGGGGAUUUUAGUUCUCUGACAAGAUCAAGGGUGUGCAGGUGUUCCAGUUUGUCCAAGUUAAUGAAUUUCUUGCAUUUCUGAGUGGGAGUUGUGUUGUUUUUUCACCAUGCCCCUCUCUGAGUUCCUGAGAAUGGCCAGAGGAAAGCUUGAAUCUGCCCAACCGAAAACUGCAUCUUCUACCGAUCUAUCUCCAGCGUAAGCAGACUUUCAUUUUAUUUAGGAAAAUGAUCCACUAUUACAUCUUAUUGUUUUUAUUUCUAGGUUGCAUACUUUUGUGUUUGAAACAAAUUGAUGAUUUCUUUCCCUUUUUUCUGUGUAUUGUUUGUUACAUGUUGUAUGAUAUUGGUGUAUAUGGUUGCAGAACUGAAAAUGAUCUUGUUGAGCUACUGUGGGAAAAUGGUCAGAUUUUGAUGCAGGGUCAGUCUAACAGGGUUAAGAAGAGCCCUAAUUUGAAUGAUUUUCCAUCACAGGAGCCUGGAAUUCGAGAUAGGUUCACUGGAAAUGUCAGCACUUCAAAAGUUGGGAAGUUUAUUGAGAUUGGGUCUACCUUGAAUGAUGCUAUGCCAUCAGUGCGAUCAGGAGAGACUUAUUUGAAUCAAGAAGAUGAGAUGGGGCCGUGGUUGAAUUAUCCUGUAGAUGAUGGUUUUAGAUCAGAUUUUUGCUCUGAAAUCUUACCAGAAAUAUCUGGUGUAACUGGUAAUGAGACAUCCGCCCUUAACAGCUUCGGAUUAGUGGUCAAGGGAAGCUGCAAUCAAAUGCCCCAGCAUUCGUAUGCAGUUCCGGUGCAUAAUGGUUUAGAUAUAGAGGCAAGGAAUGCAUCAAAGGUUUCUUCUUCAAGGACGGGUUUGUUGAGUCCAUACUCAUCGCAGCAAUGCCAAUUAUCUGUUGCACCUGCAGGAUCGGGAGUUUCAAGUGUAGUUAUGAAUACCACAAGCAACAAUCCAGUUACAUUUUUUGGAGAUACAGGUCAAGGUCAAGCUUCCCCAGGUGGUUUGGUUAGCAUGAAGAUGCAGAAUCAAAAAGUGGGGGCAUCCAAUUUUUUGAAUUUUACCCAUUUUUCAAGACCAGCUGCUCUUGUUAGAGCUAAUCUUGAGAAAACUGAUGGCGUAGCUGCUUCCUGUUCAUCAGGUAUUGAAAAGGUCUCUGCGGUGAGUAGUAGUAGUCCUGUCAAAUCUACACAUAAGCCAUCUAGUAACUCCCAGAAGGAUAUUUGCGUCCAUAACCAACCUAAAUUGGUCUCGACCAAGGUAGAUUCCAGACCAUCAGUUGAUAAGCCACCUGAGGAGUCAUGCAGUGCUCAUCGACCUGAUAAUUUGCACUGGGAUGAUUCAAUUAAGAAUGAUAAGUCCUCGAGCCCGAUAAUUGGUUCUAGCAUCACUAAAGAAGUGAAAGACAGUGAGAAUCCUGUUGAACCUGUUGUUGCUGCUUCCUCUGUGUGCUCUGCAAAUAGUGGCGAGGGAGCUUCAAACGAUCAGAUGCAUACACUGAAGAGAAAACAUUGUGAUAACGAGGAGUCUGAAUCACGAAGUGAAGUAAGACAUAACACUGACCAACCAAUUUGUAAACGCUUACUGAUUUACUCCCUAGUGAUAGGUAUAGUGAAAUUAAACACCUGACAUGCAGGAAAUUGAAGAAGAAUCUGUGGGUAUAAAAAAAGUAGCUCAUGCAAGGGGUGUUUCUGGUUCAAAGAGAAGCCGAGCUGCGGAAGUGCAUAAUCUGUCUGAGAGGGUGAGGAAAACAAAUUUCUGACAAUAAUGACUUCAUGUUGGUGUGUCUCACUUAUUGAUCCCUUUAUUGAUAAUUGCAAACAGAGACGAAGAGAUAGGAUUAAUGAGAAGAUGCGUGCAUUGCAAGAACUUAUACCCAACUGCAAUAAGGUAAUUAUAGAUAUAAACUCUUGCUUAUAUGCUCACUAUCUGUCUGAUGCUGCUAACAGCUCAGUACAUAAUCACUUGCAGAUAAGAACCAACAGAGAUAAAUUUUGAUUCAAUGUGUAAAGAGAACUGUAUUCUUAUUUUAAAAAACUUUGUGUGCAUCUGUAAUGUGUAUACCUCUUUUUGAAAAUAUAUAUAUGUAUGGAGUAUAUGAUGAUAUAUGAAUAAGAUCUACAUUACCCAACAUUCUGUCCUAUGACUCGAAGUAUGUCGUCAAGAAAUGUUUUUACUUGAUUUAGCAUACUGUGUAUACUUCGCAUCUAUAAAAAAAUAGAAGCUUUAAUGUGAGCCUUAGUAUAUUAUGAGCUCACUUAAUGCUUUUCUGAUUGCAAGAUGUUAGUUUCCUUUUCCAGUCUCACCAUGUUGCUAUUGAACCGAAACUGGUUUGCAAAUCUUAGUGAUUUAGAUUAGAACUCCAAGUUUCAAUUAAAUAAGAAUUUUCUGUUCUUUGUUUCUUGUGUAUAAUUUUUUUGGGAUGCCUAUCUUCAUUUUCUAGGCUGACAAAGCUUCGAUGCUUGAUGAAGCCAUUGAGUACUUAAAGACUCUUCAACUUCAAGUACAGGUAAGGUGAAAUAGGGUCCUUUAUGACUUUAUUUCUACUAUUAUUUCGGUGGUUUAUUUUCUGUUGUGUUCUACAUUUAUCCCUCCGGCAUAGAAGUCUAAAGUGUAUAAUAGACCUUGCAUAACUAAAAAUUGCUGUUGCUAGUUUAUUCUAAUUGUCUAUGUUUCUAGGCUAGCUUAUUUAUUUCACUUUAUUUUCUUGGAGAAGUUUUGUGUGGGAGAAGGCUAAAGGAAGCUGCAUGAUGAAAUUGAAGAUACACCUGGUUGGUCCUACCGUGUAUGGGUUCAUGAAAGGAUAUAUAGGUGCUAAACCUUUGGAACUAUAUGCACAAGCUGGCUCUUUUUCUUUUUGUUUUCCUUCCCGAAAAAGUACUUUUUAGUGUUAUUCCGGGUGGCAUUGAUGCAAGGAGUCAUGUCCAUACAAAGGCUAAACUCUAUGAAACCUGGCCGUUUCAGUGGUGAAGAUGCUGGAUGAAUUGUUUUGUUGUUUCUUCUUUUUGAAUUUCUAAUAAUGUCCUUGAAAUAAUUAUAGUGCUUGCUUUUCUCUUCUUUAUCCAGGUGAUGUCAAUGGGAGCUGGAUUGUGCAUGCCUCCAAUGAUGUUUCCAACCGGAUUACAACACAUGCACGCUGCUCAUGUGCCACAUUUUCCUCCCAUGGCUGGUGGAAUGGGCAUGGGAAUGGGUUAUGGGAUGGGAAUGCUAGACUUGAAUUCUGGAUCUCCACGAUUUCCGAUAUUUCCUCUACCGCCCAUGCAAGGAGCACAUUUCCCUUCUCCAACUAUUUCUGGAUCUUCUGGUUUCCAAGGCUUAGCUGGAUCAAACCUUCAGGUGUUUGGGCAUCCUGGUCAAGGAGUUCCUAUGUCAAUCCCAAGGGCUCCCUUAGUUCCUUUGGUGGGGCAAGCUCCCAUAAGUUCAGCUGUGGGUGUGGAUACCUCAAGAAUGGGAAUUCAUGUUGAAGCUUCAAAUGCAUCUCCAACUUUAAAUUCUGUUGUUGAAGUGCAGAAUAAAAAUUCACAGCUAAAUCAUAAAACUGAUACUGGCAGCUCAAUAAGCCAGACAUCUAGUCAGGUUUGUGGUUUAUGCAUGAGUUAGCUUAUUGCACUCGUAAUCAAAGGAGAGAUUCUUUCUUAUAAAUUUGCCUCACCAAUCCGUGUAGUAACUGCAGCUUCAAAGUCUUUGAGCAAAGAUAGCAAUUUACUGCUUUCGCUCUCAUUGCUUUCCUUGCAAGUUCUUUUCCUUUUUCUUUCCUGGUGAAUUUACAUUUUGCUAGGUAGUUGUGGGGGAUUUAUUUAUCAAUAUUUAUGAUUUCAUUAGACUAAUACUCCACCUCCUAUUGCUAUAAUCAUUCUUUUGUUUUUGGGAUUUCCCAUUAGAGGUGGUAUCCUUGUUUUCAACAUAGAUUUCAUUUGAAGGAGAACAAGUGUUGUUCCUUUUACAUUCUUGUGGUGAAAUAUAACCUCAAUUCCUCUUUGAAAAGUAUGGAAUCAUUUCAGAACUUGCCUCGUUGACUAAAUGGGCCAACCUGUUAAUGCCUUGUCUGAAUUCUAGAUGCAUUUCUUAGGAGCUAAAACAAGUCAGACAUAGAGCUAGUAGCUCUUCUCUAGAGGCAAUAAUGGAAAGUUUGCUGUGUAUGUUGGUACAACUUUGCUGCUCAUAAAGAGUUGAAAUCACAGAUUGACUCUAACUACAGGGUGAGGCGGAAGUAAUUGGGUGCAGAUCAAUUGUUAUCGUUCCUCUGUACUCUGUUUUCUUUAGUGCCCUUUUUAAUUACUGUCCUGCCUUCUCAUAUGUGCGAGUUACAAUUUUUCUUUGAUUAAAUUUCAUCCAGCCGAUUGGUAGGGUAAAUGUUGAUCUCUGAGUUCAGACUUUGAAGUCAUUGCCCAAGUUUAUACUUGGUUAUAAGCUAUGGAGCUACAUUUGCAACUUCUGGUUUCAUGCUGUCUGUUGCACUUGAAUAUGAGAAGAUAAUCUCAGUCAGAUGGUAUCCAGCUUUUAGUUCAUUAUACCAGAUUUAAGGCAAGAAUAGCAUAUUAUCCAAGAAUAUUCUGGUUAUUGUUGGUUGGUUCCUGUAAAUCUCCGAUAAUCCUUAAAGACUGAGAAUUACUUUUCCAAAAUUAAAAAUUUUUUUGACUAAUAAACAAUUCUAGUCAAGCACAUCAAGGGGGAAAAGAUGAACGCUGGUGGUUAUUCUUAGUUUGAUGUACUGUGACAAGCUGGGCAUCUAAGAUCAAUAUGGAAGACAAGCUUAUGUGUUUCAUUUUUUGUUCUUCUGUGCCCUUGAGAGAGGAAAGAGGUAGUCUGGUUUUGGGACACUUGACCGUAGACCUGAAUCUGAUGACUUGGUUCUUGUCAAUAAUGUGAUUGAAAACUUGUAUUUAGCUUGAUAUUUGCAAUAUGAUUUCUUUCUUUGUCCUUGGCAAGACAUCUGAUGUAUCUAUCAUGUGUGGUUUUUCUAUUCCUUUUAUCUGGUCAUUAAGUAUCAAUUAGAUAUAACGAAGGGUAGACUUCAGGAAGUUAUAUUCUUUUUGCUCUUAUAAAUUAUGAAGGACUGAAUCUUGAUAUACCUCAGAACAAGAUUGCAUUUUGAUGUGUACAUGAUUGUUUGCUUCCUCAUCAAGCAGAAAUGUAGAUCCAUCUAGCUUUAUGCUAUUAUUAGAGGAAUGGGUGAGAUUUUGUCCGCUUGAUAGUUGCAGAGUAUAACUAGGACGACAAUUCCCGAUCCAUGUAUUCAUCGAUUUCUAGAUUUCUUUUCUAUUCCCCCCUUUUGUCCUUCGUAAAUUUAUUUGUUUGUGCUUGAUUUUCUUCUUUCUUUUUUCUUGGCAAUUUCAGAGGCAAACUUCAUACUUCUUGUUAAUUUCUUUUCGAAGCAAAACCGAUCUUUUCAUUUUUCAAAUAAAUAUUCACUCUUAACUCUCAUUCAUUCCUUCUGCUUUGUUCUUCCUUGUCUCUUUCAGUCAGAACUUCUGAUUUGAGUUUUUUUUUUUUUCCAAAAAAGAAAAAAAAGGGUUCAAGUUCUAUGUUUGUUCAGAAUCUGGAUAGACUGUUGAUCAGCUUUCUAGCUGAUUUGAUUAGCAUCCGUUGCGCCUAUUCAUCAACUCUCUUAUCUCGUCAGCUGCAGGCAACAAAUAAGGAAUUUGAUCAGUCUGCCAUGACUUCAAAGGAUGAUCAGGCACCUGAUGUUUGUGCUGCGGCCUCCAUUAACAUGGCGAGUACAACUGAUCUCGUAUGUGACAAAGAAAAAGGUGAGUAUAUCAUUUUCUUAUGACUUAACAACUGGUAUUCUGGAUACAGAUGCCCCCCUGCCUCUCAUCUCUUUCUUUCCUCCAGAUGUUUACGCGACAAGUCAUGUCUGUGAACUGAAGUUCUUCGCUAAAAUCAUUGGAUAGUGAGGCUAAAAACACCCCGUUUCAUGUGCAGGGAGUAAUGGGAUGUGCAAGGGGUGAUUAACAGUGAUGACUAAGGUUCCAGCAGCCACAUGGAAUUCUUCCAGUUAGUGCCAUUUCUGUCCUGAGAAAGAGUCAUCGGUGACUUAUAUGAAGACGAGGGUUUUGCCGAGUUGUAGACACCAAAGAAUCGUUUUACGUUAUUGACUUGUCUGAUUUUUAAUAUUAGGACUGUAUAUUACAAGCUGCACAGGUUUUUGUUUUGAAGAGAACUUUUUGCUUCAUAUGUACACUUUUUUUUAACGUAAACUCUGCUGCAAGAGCAGCUGGUUUUGAUCUUGAGAAAUGCAAUGAAAAUGGUUAUUGGACAUGUUACCCGUACAUUCCCAAAAAAAAAGAAAAAAAGAAAGAAGUUCGCCAAAAAUUUAUGAGAGAUAAACUUCAAAAAAUUCAAUAUAUAUGUAGAGGCAAUUUACAAACACACAUACAAAUAUGCAUUGUAGGAGAAGAAUGAUACCAACAAUAAUAUAAUAAUUACUCACCAUAAUAAUAAAGCUAUCAAAUAUCUCUCUUUUCGACUGACAGCAAUAAUAAAAUUUCCUAUUUAUAGAUUAGAUGACUUGGUAAAUAAAUUUUACAAUCAUAAGAAAUUUUCUAGAAGUAAAACACUGAUUUCCUAAUAAUAAAACUAUCAUAAUUUGAUUCAGAUAGAAUUGCUAAAAUUUUAACUUAAUUAAAAUACUGCUAAAUAAUAAUACGAAAAUUUCUACUUUUGAGCGAUGAUUUAAUAUGCUAACAUUACCAAUUUUUGUCGAAUCAAGCUUUAUUGUUGUCUGUACAUUUCAACGCUAAAUGUGCGUUUCAGAAAUUUUCACUCUGUGUAACUUUUGAGCAUAAAUUACAGAUCCAAAAUGUUUUAGUCAAGUUCUUACUAGCCGACCAGGGGCAAUGCAUUUUGCACACCGUGUAAUUCUGUUUACACAUGGUGUAACUUACUUUUCACAACGUAUAAUUUAAAAAUAAAGUUUUAUGAGUCCCAUACAUGUUGUUAAAAAAUGAGAUAUAAUAUGAAAUUUGAACCGUAUAAUUUUUUUUGACCAAAUCUUGAUCGUGAAUUGUGAGGAUGCAACCGUUCCUGCCCCUCUUCCGCCCAUCACCCAAAGUAUCAAUCAACGAGUACUUUCUACUACAAUUUUUUUUGAUGUGGCAUGAUGCGUGAGUCUACGGUUAUGUGGCAUUAUACUUGGGUAAAACUGAAAACUUGGCAAGCCACGUAAGUAAAAAAGGAGCAACAGCUGUGGAGUCUGGGAACUUCUUCUCUUGAUGGCCGGCAAUUCAUCGCUCUCUUCUUGAUUUGACAUGAAUCUGAAUUGCUAGUGCCUGUAAUCCUCCUCGUAUAUGAUGACCUUUUGACAAAAAAAAAAAAAAGAUAAAAAAAGUAAUCCUCCUCGUGUGAUGUCGAUAGUAAAUAGUUUAUUUGUUUUAACUUGGUAGUCGGAAUUAUCCCUUUGAGGUAUGGAAAUGUAUCCAAGAAUUUGUUGAACUACAAUUAAUCAAUCACCUUUAGUUAAAAAAAAAAAAAAAAAUUGAAGCCACAAGCCUUGAAUCACUUUCACAUUACAUUAAACGUGGAUCAGAUUUGCAAAAAAUAUAGGAUUUAUAAAGGCCUAGACAUAAAAGUUUGAGAUGUUUACAUAUACUUUUUUUAAAAAUUUUAAAAAAAUGAUGGUAAGUCUUACAAGGAAGAAGGAGAAGAAGAACACUACUUAAGGAGUCAAACUUGGAUCUCAGGGUCGGCUAAUCAAUGUCCCUACUAGCCAAAUUGAAUCUUGGAGAUGGUUGUAGUUUUUGUUAAAGAUCAUAAAUCAAUCCGUGACAUCUCUAUUUGGGAUUCUCAAUCCAACAAAUGAGUAUCUCAGUGUUAAAGAAAAUAAAAGAACAAAGCGAAAAAUUUAAAGAUAAAAACUCGUUUGAUAAAACUUAAAUCUGAAAUAUAAAGAUUUAGCGUUGAAAGUGUUAAGUAGCUAAAUUGAUAAUUAUAAUUUUAUACCUAAAAAGCGUCUGUAUUUGUGUGUUUGGAGAGAAAGAAAAAAUACGCAUACGGGAGAGGGAGUAAAUAAUGAAAUAUCCGAGAGAUAGUGUUGAAUUGUAUAUAUUUGUGUGUGUGGGAGUACGUGUAGAAUAAAAAGAGAGCAAAUGUGUAUUUUGUGUGAGAGUAUAUUUGAGAGCGCGUUAUGUGUGCGAGAGAUGUAGUAUGCGUUGUCAAUUCAAUCAAAAAUUUUCACUUAAAAUUAUGCAUACAAAUUAAACGGUGCUUAAUAUAUUAAGUGAUAAGCCAUUUUCAUUAUCAAACAUGUUGAAUUCAAAAAGUUCUACAUGAAUUAAUUUCCAACAUUAAAUAAAAAUCUCAACCACGUAUUUAGAUGUAUGCACCCUAAGUGGCUUCUCUAGAAUCCUCAUCUUUUAGCAAUUGUUGCAAACAAUCUUGAUUACCCCCACAGAGGUAGAAAGGUCAGUGUAAUUUUUCCAAACCUUGGAGGUUCAUGAAUAAUUUUGCCCAGCUUUAGAGAAGAAUAAUAAUAAUGCCUCUUGCUUUGAAAAGAUUCCUGGGUGAUAAUGAUGUAUAUCAUCUGUCAUUGUUAUGUAAUGGAGUAAUAUGGCAUCAGUCAUUUGUCCCUACUACUUUUGGACCGUUUCUGUGUAUCCUCCAUACGGAGCUGCCCAGCUCCGCUUUUCUGAAAGUAAAGGAAUACAAUUGCUAUGCAAACAGCUAGUCUUGUGAAAUAUCUGCUUGGCCUGUGGCCACAUCUUGGCUAAGGCCAAAGAACCCUAGCUUAAAAGCAACAAGUGCCUUGUCAAACUGGUAUUUCUAGAUGGACAAAUCUUGCAUGUUUUGGCAUGCACAAAUAUCAUCAACUGCUGCAGAAAGUCUAGAAUCAUGUAAUGUUAAGCAUAUAGGCCUACUACUAGCCAAUGUUCUCUGUAUAAAACACCAUGGAGCAGGAAUUCCUACCUUUUUAUUUCCGGUUAGCAAGUCUUGGCAAACCUGAUGAUAUUGACAGGAGCAACAAAGAGCUAUUUGAUUAAAUCUUAAGAGCCAAGAAGGAUGUGGACUACUUCAGGCAGUUACUGAAGCAGAUAAAAUUUCCCUGUCAGCCAAUACAUGACAAUAGGUAGCAACAAAGCUCCUCAAGCAAAAUAACAUAUUCUGGUUUCUUGAAACAAGAAGCAGAUAAACACUAAAAAACACUAAUGACAGCUUUGAUGAGUAAAAUAAUAUUCACAAUGUAACAAAUCUAUACGCUCCCUCAACAAACUGAAUACAAUCAAAUUCACCCACAAUUAAGCAAAUACACACAACUCAAUGAACAGGUAGGAAAAGAGAAGAAAAGCAAAAAAAACCAAAAAUACAAUCUUCCUACUAUUUGGUAUGUAGCAAAGCGGGGUAUCAUACCACGGUAGCAAAAAAAUCCACUAAUGCAGGCAAACCAAUCUGGAAAACAAAAUAUAUCACACCCUCAAUAAAAUUACCCCUUCCUUGGUCUCUAUAUUGUUUCUUUAACUUGAUCUCUAUAGUAGCCAGGACAUUACUCAGCUUUUAACCUCCUCUUUUGUUUCAGGGGGUGGUGCUGCUGGUGUUUUUGCUGGUGAUUUUCCAAUGAUUGCUUUCUUUGCCUUAACAAGAGAAUGCUUCACCUUAGAAAGUAUGUUAGUUGAUUUUUGGGUUGCCUUCCCUGGAACCACUUCUUUAGGAGCUUCUUGUGUUGUUUUCAAGUCACCAACUUCUUUGGACUCUUCAACUGCAACAUCAGUUUUUUCAGUCUCUUUAACAGCCUCUGCGGCUUCCUCUGCUUUUGUUUCUGUCUCAGCCUCAGCCUUCUCCGGUUCUUUUUCGACAUCCACAUUUUUGUCUACUACUGCAUCCUUUUCGGUUUCAGCUGAAGCCACGGUUUCUUCUAUUUUGGUCCCAAUUUCAGCAGGAAGUUCAAUAUCUCUAGGCAUUUGUUCUACAGAUUUACUAGAAUCUUCAGGAGGAGGAAUAGAACUGGUAACAGCAUCAACUUCCUUCGCUUCCAGCUGAGAUGAUUCCUCAGAGAAACCGCUUUUCUCUUCCUUUUCUUCAGUUUUCAAAUCCUUGGUUUCAGUUUCCUUCUCAACCUUUUCCAGCAAUUCUUCCAAUGUCACUUGCUUUUGAGGUUUGGCAGUCAAUUCUUUUUCUUUGUCCUCAGCCUUUUCUGCAACUUCAGUUGGAGGAACUUCUACAUUUUCUGUUUCAACUUGAGCUGCCACAGGGGUUGAAGCAAUCAGUUCUGAACUCUCAGUGGCAGUAGAUUCUACUCCCUCUGCCAACUUAGUUUCAUCAAUCUCAUCAGUUGAAAUUUCUCUGUCUUUUAUUGUUUCCACCUCUAUUUUCUCUUCAGGCUCAGCCGUUGCAGCUUCUUUCCCAGUUUGUUCUGUAGCUACAGGUUUUUCUUCUGGUCUGUCCUCUGCUACCGGUUCUGGAAUCGAAAUUUCUUCUUUCCCGGGCUCUGCUGCUGAAACUUCCACGACAUCAGCCGCAGCUGCCUCUUCUACUUGCUCCACUUUCGUCUCAAUAGCCCCAUUUACUGGCUCUGAAAUAUCAAUUUUCUUUGGUAACUCCUCUACUUGCUCCACUUUAGUCUCAACACCCUCCUUUACUGCUUCAAGAACAUCAAUUUUCUCAGGUGACUCUUUCACUUCCUCCUCUUUAGUCUCAAUAGCCUCAGUGGCUGCUUGAGGUAUAUCAAUUUUCUCUGGCAACUCCGUCACUUCCUCAGCUAUUGUUUUAGUAGCGCCACUCACUGAUUCAGGAAUAUCAAUAUCUUUUGGUAUCUCUUCAACUUUCUCCGCUUGUGCCUCCACAGCUUCAACCACUGAUGCAGGAAUAUCAAUUUCCUUUGACUCCUCUACCAGCUUCUCCUCCUCGGAUCCUUUUGGGGGUUCUUCUUGUGGCGUUUCCAAAUUUUUUAUCCCUGAGUGCCCUUCUGGUUCACGUUUUAGAAUGUUAUCCACUACUCCUGCAACAUUAACAGUUUCUUCUUUGGGAACAUAUUCUUUUGCUAAUUCCGGAUUAUCUUUGGAAGAAAUAUCCAGAGCAGGGAUAUCAUCAGGUUUCUUAAUCUCUUCAAUUGCAGGAGGCUCAAUGUGCUUAUCCUCAAUCUUUUCUUCCGGUUCAGCUGAUGUAAUAGGCAAACUUGGGGGCUCCUCAGCUUUUGGCUUCUCUUCCACCUCAGCUUUCACGACCUCUUCAACUACAAGUGGUUCACUUUGUUUCUCCUCCAUCUUUUUCUCUGUUUCAGCCAAUGGUACUGCUGUUUCACCAGGGGUGUUCUCAUCUUUUGGCUUUUCUUCAUUUUCCUUGGGUGGAGAAGUACCGUCUUCUGCAAUUUUCUCUACCUCUUCUUUUACUUCCUUCUCAACUUGCUGCAAUUUAAGUAAAAGCAAUUAAAAAAUGCAGAGAAAGCGUAGGAAAUCAUUUGCAUUCCGAAAAGGGGAGCAUCUUAUCCUAAACGAACCUAAUUAGUAAAGUUAAAGGAACUGCAAAAGUGAGUAGGAAAUCUGGAAGCAAAGUAUCUUCAGAAAGAUUUAGUCCGAUUACGUGAUGAAGGUUGGAAAUUUUCAACUGAAAUCGACAUGGUGAACCUGCUGAAAAAUUUAUUGGACAGGACAUCGGUAGCAGGAAUGGAGAAACGAGAAUCUGAAACAAGAGUUACUGAUGACCAGAACUCUCUCUGAUCAUGGUUCAUUCUUAGUCCUGACGAAAACUGGAAUUCCCAAAAUAUUGCAGAAGGAUCUUUAAAGUUUCACAGGCUCAUCACAAGUUGCUUUUUUUUUUUUCCUUGUCUUCCUUUGUUGAUCACAACAUAAAUCUAGAGUAAAUGAUUUUACUUGAUUUUUCAUAACACCAUGCCUGGACCUUGCUCAUGUGAUAUCAUAAGAAGUGCUGGAACCAUGAUGAUGUCAAAGAUUUUAUCAAUCCUAGUGAAAAGCUAGAUGAAACACUAGAAGAUUUUAUUGUUGGAAAUAAAAUCUUAGAACAUAUAUACUGCAUAACAAGAAAACAACGAAGAAGCACACAAAAAUCCCAUGAAAUCCCAGAGCACAAAAAGAUUGAAACAAGCAUGCCCAAAAAAAAAAACCAAACUUGAAGGUAAAGUAACAUGGAAUAUUAAACUUGCGUACAGAGUAUAAACUAUGAAGUUAGUGAAAAUUACCUCAAGGGCUGGUGUAGAAUGAUCUGAUGAAACAGUUUCAGUAGCCAUGGAUGAUUCCUGAUGAUGAAGUGAUAAAAAUUCAAGAAUCAGGAAUGAAACUGCUAGAGUGAAUUCAGUAGUCAGAGUAUAGUUGUAGACUUGUAGUAGUAGUAGUAUAGAAUAAAGAAGUGGACAAGAAAGGAAAGGAAUGAUGUGGUUGGCUGUUGGCAACAACCUAAAAGGGCUCCAAAGCAAACUCAACAAAGUAGAAAGUAGAAACCACAACUAGCCAGUCACAUUAUACAUUUCCUUUCUAUAAUAAAAUAGUCUUUGAGAAAAUAAAAAUACCAAUAAUGUGUGUGUGUGAGGGACUAAUCUUCACAUGGAUGAUGAUCUGUAAAUAGCUAGUGGGAACCCUUUAUCAAAAAAAAAAAUUUUAAUUAAAGAAUUGAAAUUGAUAAAAGGAAAGAAAUUAAAAUUUAAAAUUUUUGAAAGUCAUAGAAAAUCAUGAGAUGGCAUUGUCCAUUUCAAAAGGUGACAGGCUUUAAUAUGGGGACCAGGGGGUGUAUUAACGGCCUAAUUCAUUUUGAAAACAGUUGUCUAAUUUGUCGGAUUGUUUUAAAGGAAUAAAUCUGAUGUGAAUCAGAAAUUAAUGAAUGCCCUGCCCAAUAGGAGAUUCGGAAAAUUAAUGGAACCCAUUUUCUAUUACUGACAUUAAUUAGUAAUUAAUUAAUCAUCAGUAUCCUUUUCAUCCCUUUCAUAACUCACAGUUUUUUGUAUGAGUGUUUCGAUAAAUGAACUCUGCGAAGACACUUCAAAAGCCGGCAACUUUUGAAGUGCUCCGCAGCACUUAACUACUAAACCCCCCAAACCCCCCCAAGCGAUGUGGGAACUUAACCCCACAGGGUGCCCCGCUGCUAAGAGAUAAAGACCCCCCAGACUCCCCGAGACAGGUUUUUCCCUUUCAUAACUCACAGUUUUUUGUAUGAGUGUUUCGAUAAAUGGACUCUGCGAAGACACUUCAAAAGCCGGCAACUUUUGAAGUGCUCCGCAGCACUUAACUACUAAACCCCCCAAACCCCCCCAAGCGAUGUGGGAACUUAACCCCACAGGGCAUCAGUAUCCUUUUCAUCGACACCGCCUUUGAUGCAUAAUAAAUAGUGUAGCAGAGUUGUUGUUUUGUCUUUGUUUUUGGGGUUUCUUUCUUUGUUGUUUUUUGAGUGGACAGGGAGGUGCAUCGUUGUGACGGCCCGAGUGCUUUACAGCUUACCUUUUACAUUUACUUCAGAUUUUUAUGAAUUAAAUUUUGUAUUAACUGAAAGUUUAUAUAAAAAUAUAUAUUUAAAACGUCGAUCACAUUUCGAUGAAUUUUCUCUCGUUCUUUACUUUUAAAAUUAUAAUUUUACGUCUCUUAUAAAAUCAAGUUGAUAAAAUUGAGUCCUAACUUAGAUUUUUAAUCACUUUUUACUUUAAAUCCAUCACGUGACCCAUGUAUAGUCUUUUUUUAGGGGUAAAAAUGUUAUAUCUCAUUUACAAUUAAACAAAUAACCCGAUCUAUAUUCAUUUUUGCUCAUAAAAAAGUAAGUUCUGGUUAAAACUAUAUUCAGUUUUUUUUUCCUAAAAAAUUAGUUUGGACCCAAUUUUUAUUUAUUUUUACCGUUAAAGUAGUGGAAUCUAACCUUUUUUGUAUAUAAAAAGAUGAUUGCAUUUGGGUCACAUGACUAAAAAGUGAUAAAAAAAAAAACUUAGGUUAGAAUCAAAUAUUGCUAACUUGAAUUUGUAAGGGACGUAAAUUUGAUAUUUUAAAAGUGAAUGAUAAAAAAAUUCAUUUAAUAAAAUGUGAGGGACGUUUUCAAUAAUUUUUUUAAAAAAAUUUAUAUAAUGAAAUCAAGGAUUUUUUUUUUUUACUGAUUUAAAAUAUUUUUCCAAUUUCUUACGAAGCAAAAUUCCUCGUAUUCUAGAUGAAAAGGGCCUCCAACCCAAAAAAACAAAAAUGGAUCAUGAAAAAAAAUGCUUCGGUUGAGUCUAAAGUAAGAAGCGGUAAAGGCAACAGGGUCUUCAAAAUGGGAAUCUUGGGCUAGGUCUUGCUCUUGGCCAACCUUUUGAUUCCUUCAUUAUAAUUUAUAAUUAUUGAGAAGACAAUCAAUAUUACGUACACAUUCACCGACUAAAUUAACGAGGAAAACCUUUUUUUUUUGGAUGAUUAUGUAAUUGGUUAGUCGGUUCACUAAUUGUACUUAAUUAUUGAAUCUCGUCGACACAGAAUACAUUAUCUAGUGGAGGAAGCAUAAUUAAUUAUCUUUAACUAAUAAGCGAGUGGAUUAGAUUAGAGACCCUUUUUUUUUUUUAAACAUCCAUCUAUAUGUUUAGUAAAUCACAUUAGAUAGUAUCCAAAUUUAUGUAGCGUUUCUUGAAAAUUCUAUCAACUAUUGCGUGGCAAAUUCUAGAAACAACCGUAAGAGAUAAUUGGAAUAUUUUGGACUAUUAAUAUGCGGAAUCUAAUUCAUACAUACGUAGCCUUGAACCCAAAGAAAGAAAGGAAAGGAAAAAAAAAAACUCUCCAUAGCUUUGGAAAUGAAUAUAUUUCUUUAUCGUUAUGUUUCCAACUUAGUUUCUCAAUUGUAAUGUUAGUGUAGUCAAUAGUUUUAAAGAUUUUCUAGUGAGUGUCAAGAGAAAAGUCGUUAGCAUACAAAAUUUGCUAUUUAAACAUAAACAUUUUUGUAAGUGGGAGGUCAAGAAUUCACAAUUUUCUACUUAUAAUCCCUCCCAUCUUAUCACUCAACCCAACUCUAGGGUUGUAAUUGAAUCGAGCUGCUCGCAAGUUUGGUCAAAAACUUGACUCAGACUUGAGUUGACCGAGUUUCAAUCGAUUUUGAGUAGCUCGAUAGGCCUAUCAAGUUGAGUUUGAGCAUUCAACAGCAAAGUUCAAAGGUUCGUUGAACCUUAUCGAAUUUUUUAAUUUUAAUUCUUUAAUAUAUUAUUAUUAUGAAAUUAUCCUUGUGCCUAUGAGAGUGGUUGAAUUUACUAAAUGUUUCAGGUCGUAUGAAAUUUUUUGAAAGGCAAUAAUAUCUUUUUGCUAAAAAUUUGUCAAGAAAAAUGGAAUCUCCAAAUCUUCCUGACUCAAGCUCGGUGAAGCUCACAUUGACUCGAGCCCCGUAUGAGUCAAGUUCAAGUUCUGUGAGAAAUGCAUCGAGAUCGAACUCAAGUAUCUUUCCAGCAUGUCAAGUUGAACUCGAGUAUGGAUUCGAAUAGAUUACAUUCCUGCCUAAUCCUCCUCCUAAACAUAGGCAUUUGUAUCUAUUACUCUCUUUAAUUUUAUCACCUUCUUGAUUUAAUUUUCCUUUUCAGAAUAUUUGUUUCUCCCACUUCAAUUUGCCCUAGUUUUUUUAAAAAUAAAAUCAUCAUCUUAGAAGAGAAUAAUCUCUCAUUAGAAAACUUAAAAGAAACUUUAUUACAAACAGAAAAACAAAGAAGAAAAAAGAUAUGGGAGUGAGGAGACUUGGUCUUCCUCCCAGGGAAAAGGCAUUUUGUUUGCGAGGGAAGAAAAACGCUAGAGAGAAGGAAGAGAGUUUAGGUUUACGUCUACUGCAAUUGGUGUUUCAUCUUCUUAUCUGCCCUAGUUAAAUGUGAAAAGGGUAUAAGUUAGUAAUUAAAAGGUGAUCAGGGAACAUAUAUAGAUGAAAUAGAUCUUACAAGUUGUAUUGUAUCAUAAAAAUUGUAACUUGGGACAUGGCUGGGAGAUUAAUAGCGUGUAGAAAAGUGAAUAAACGGAUUUGAAAUAGUUAGAUCCAAUGACUAUUUUGUAAAAUGAUUGCCAGAUCGAUCACUUUACAGUACUAAAAUGCUCUACCUUUUUUCAUUCUUUUGUUUUCUUAUUAUCUUUUUCCCCACCCAAAGGCCUCAAUAUGAGAAGACACCAUACUAAUACAUCAAAUGCAUAUGCAUAUGUGGAAUUGGAAUCAUCAAUUGAACCAAUAUGGCUAUCAGUAAAACCAACUACUCUAGGUGUAGUUGGUCACCAAAAAAAUUUUAAGAACUCUAUUUGGAUGUAAAUUAAGGGAUCGAAUCUUUUGACUUGUAUUUUCUUGGAAAUUUCGUCAACAGGCGCGUAGACACCUGUUUGGCUGAUGGUGAUUCAGUUUGCUCCGAACAUCACUUUACGGUCUACUUUUGCAAAAUAAAUUUAGAUAAGGUGAUGUCUUGAAUCAGUUUGUAAGUCCCUCAAGUAAAUGGCAUUUUCAGCUACAAAAUGCUGCCCCGGUUCACCAUAAAUAAGAGAAACAAAUCAUGAAUAUUGCAAACCUCAAUGUAUUCAAAUAUUUGUCUUUUGCUUACGAGGCAUUGAUUUAGUGGUUAAAGUUAAGAUCUCAGAUAUUAGAACUUUUGGGAUCAAAUUUCACUACUCCUUCUAGUUUCUUAAGUCUCGCUCCUCUUCUAUUGGAAAAAAAAAAGAAAAUUUUUUUAAAAUUUUUUCCCGCAAUCAUGGAAUUGCAAGUUUAAAAACAGCCAUGUAAAUAAGGCUAUACAAAAACUAAUGCACAACUAUGAAAUUUGAAUCCAUGAAUUUUUUACUUCUAAUUCUUUACAUUAUUUUCUCCCUUUAAAUUUGAUUGUUGCUGCAACUAGACCAAAUCAUCAUUAUGUCAAUUCAAUUAACUGAGUGAUUCCUUCCUCUGUGCUUCCGUCGCCUGACUUCGUCGCUAUAUAAAUGGAGCCAUCGCUUAUCACUUCUCACAAGGGACCCCCAACCACAACACCCUCCCUCCCCCAACACACAAAAAAAAAAAAAACACUCCCCAUUUAAAAAGUGAUUUUUGAAAAGAUACAAAGAUAAUUAAAAAAUUUUUAUAAUGAAUUAAUUUUUUUUACUUUUUAUUUUUGUAAAUAAGGGCGAAUCAGUAUUAAAAGUACAAAAUUAUAGGUCCCAUUUCGAUCGUUAUUAUUAGGAGUUUUUAUAGAACAAUGUACUGUAACAACUUGACGUAGGUGAGAUAACAAAGUCACUAAGAAAUAUGUUCACCAAAAAUAUAAAAAUCUUUUGCAAAAAAUCACAAUCCACCUAUAUAUUCAAAAUUUUCAAAUGGGGAGAAACCACCAAUUCGUGUGAUUAUUGUGGUUGCACGUGAUUAUAUUACACAGCAUUGUGGAUAAGGCAUAGAAUUUCCACUUGUUAACCAUUAAGCCAGCUUUGUACAAGUGAUAAUUUGAAAUUGCAGCUGGAGCUGGACUAGUGAUUAUUUCGCCACAGGGGCAAGUGUAUAGGCCAGGAGGAGCCUAGGAGUCUUAAUUCUUCGAUCUCCUCACAAUUUUCUUUUUUUUUUUUUUUUUGAAGGACCUCAUCAAUAUUUUGGGCGCAAUAAUUACCGGAGCCGGUUGAAUGGGCAUAGAGCGGCCCACAUCUAUAUAUCGGAACUAUUUUUUUUUUAAGCGGCCCACAUCAUAUCGGCACUAAUUUGCCCUAACGCAUAAUCUUUUAUUUUCUUGAUCAUCAUCUUGUUUCAAUAUCCAGAUGUUAAUUCACGGGUUAGAGGACGAGAAUUAUUCACUUAAAGUGUAAAUCCCUAUUAUGGUCAUCGACCGCAUUCUCUACGAGACACAGUUGUUUGGAUAAAAUAUUAUUUGAAAUAAUUAUUGUAACAUACUUUGUGAUGUGAUAUUUGUAAGAAAAAAGUUGAUUGAAAAUAUAAAAAGAUGAAUUAAAAAAUUGUUUAUGAUGAACCCAAAAUAUUAUCUUAAAAAACUUAGCUAUCCAAACACACCUGCAACCGAAAUAUUAAUACUCUAUGUGGUAUUUUCACAUGAAUUAAAUUACGUCCUCUGUCCCAAAAUGUUGAUCAUGCUCUUUAUUUUGAUAUAUCCUAAAAUAUUUAUCACUAGUCUAAAAACUCGUAAUAUGCACGGCUAUAAAGAAUGUUAUGAAAAAAAUAAAUAUAUAGUUAUGGGAAUAUGUAACACAUAAAAAUUUAAUAAACAAUAGUUUAACCUAGAAAUGUCAAACAAUUUUUAGCUACCCCUUCCCACUUCUACCUUUUAUAAAUCCCAUCCUUUUCCUUGCUGAAAUUUUUUUUUUUUUUUUUUAAAAAAACAAGUUUUAGCUGCCGUCUACCUAGUACAAACAUGCAUUACAAAAAAGAAAAAAUGGUAUUAAAACUUAAAACAUGUCAUAUCAAAUUUUAAUAGAUCUAAAACCAAAUUAUGUUUGCUAAAUGCCAAUUCAUUUCUCAACCAUCAUGUCCAACAUUCAGAAAAUUCAAAAAGUAUUUUGCCAAAAUGUUAAUUUCAUUUCUUAAUCAUCAUAUCCAUUACCUUUGGCAUAAAAUUCAUACAAUAUCGAAUUUAUUUCAAGAAGUUAAUUUUUAAAUUUCAAAAUUUUUGUUUAUUUAUUUGGCGUAAAAAUAUUCGAUAGUCCAUGAUUUUACAAUUUUCAAUCUGGCCUCAUAUUUGUAAACCAAUAAUGUAAUGCUUUAAAUGUGUGUAACUUAAGUAAUAGAACAUUGGUGAAUAGAGGUGAGUAAACUUCUUAAUCAAGAUAUAGAGUAUGACAAAUAGAAGCAUGCACAGUAAAUAGCAAAAAAAAUGUGUCAUCAAUGCACUAUAAUGUAUAAAAAUUAAAUUUAUCACAAACCUAUUUUUUUUACUCUCCCCACCCCUUCCCACACCCUUCCCAUCCCCUAAAUUUUUCAAGACUAAUUACAUAUAUAAACUUCAAGAUUGCCACAAAAUUCUUAAGGGAAAAAAUACUAUUUAUAAUCUUGUAUUGGUAUUUCACUUGACAUAAGAAUAAGAAUUAAGUUUUUCUUUUAGUGAAAAACUUUUUUUUUGUUUACUAUUCUCUAUCACAAAUAACCUUCUUAGAUAAAAAUGGUUAAAGGCUCUAUCUAUAUUUUGUGCAACCAAAUUUAGACCAUUGGUUGACUACAUUUUAUAUUUUUAUUUUGAAUGGGAAUUGAAUUUCCUUCCCAUAGCAAAAUAAAAAAAAUGUACAUUUGUUGUUUCAUUUACUAAAUUUACUAGUCAUUUUUAGCCUAAUAAUUGGAUAAGUUGCUUUCCAUCAUAAUAGUUUAAAAUGUUGUUUCAUUUUUAAUUUUUAUUAUUUCACGUAUUUUUAUUUUAGUGUAAGUGAAAGGUUUGAAACCCGAUAUCUCUAUUGGUCUAAAAUGCACAGAGAUAGAAAUGUAAUAUGUAAAAUCCAGCAUUUGUCUAAAUAAUCUCAUAAUCGGAAAACACAAAUAAUAAAUAUAGAAAACAAAGUAGAUCUUGGAGAUAAAGAAAAAAGGAGUAAGCAAAUUUUUACUGUAAGUUAUUUGAGAUAUUUUUACUGUAGCACUUUUUGUGAUGUGAUGUAUGUGAGAUAAAAAGGUAAUUGAGAAGAUUAAAAGGUGUAUUGAAAAUUGUAAUAAUGAUGUAAGCAAAUAGAUUUGGGGAAAUAAUCAGCUGUCCAAACAAUAGUAAUUUAGAUUACUAUAAUACAUACCCAAAAAUAUAUGUGGAUUGAAAAACUCUUUUUUUUCUCUCAAAUGUUAAAGUCAUGUGUAUCAUCAAGGUGUUAGGAUUUGAAAUAAUUUAAAUUUAGAAAUGAUGAGAAUAUAUAUAGUCUACAAUCAAGAUUUUGAAAUCAACUCAUUACAUUUUAGGAAUUAAAAUAAAUAAUAAAUCUACAAAAAGGAAUUGAGAGCUUGGGAAGAAUUUAAAUUUUGAAAUAAUCAGAAUAUAGUCUACAAUCAAGAUUUUGAAAUUAAUUCAUUACAUUUUAGGAAUUAAAAUAAAUAGACAAUCUACAAAAAAGGAAUUGAGAGUUUGAAAAUAAUUUAAGUUUUGAAAUAAUGAGAACAUAGACUACAAUCAAGAUUUUGAAAUUAACUCAUUAAAUUUUUGGAAUUAAAAUAAAAAGAAAAUCUACAUAAAAGGAAUUGAGAUUUUGGAAAUAAUUUAAAUUUUGAAAUGAGAAUAUAGCCUACAAUCAAGAUUUUGAAAUCAACUCAUUACAUAUUAGGAAUUUAGACAAAUAGAAAAUCUACAAAAAAGGAAUUGAGAGUUUAAAGGUCUAGGAUGGCUUUUAACCAAAAACCCUUCCGUAAUUUAUAUAGAUAUAGAUGUUUACUACCUGUAUCCCAAAAUGUUUAUCAUGCUUUUUCAUUUUAGAAUGCUUCGAAAUGUUUAUCAUAUUAUCAAAAUCAAAGUUAUUUUUUUAUCUCUUUUUUCAAUACUAUCCCUAUCUUUACAUAUAUUUUAUGUUAGAUUAAGAUUUGAAUUUUGAAUUUUUGAAGAUAAAGUUCGAAACAAAAAUACUAACAUUACAAUCAUGACACUAUUAAUGUGUGUAUUGAUAGUGUGUAUUGAUGCAUCAUUAUCCAGGCCUAAAUCCAAAGGAAAAGUUCACACUGCACAGGAAGGAAAUUAGUUUUUAAACAUGUACUGCUAGCUUCCACUGGUCUUUACCGCUAUAAAGUAAAUGCACUACAAUGCAUUGUUGGUACUCCUCCUUUGUUUUCUUUGUGGAAAAUCGAGAUGAACCCAUCAGCAGUUUCCCAUUGACAAUAGCUAACUUCUACUAAGAAAGGGUUCCCAUGUCUCAAAUCAAUCAAAUCCCUUUUCUCCUUACUUUAUGGCAAUUAACCUAUCUAAAUUCCCUCCAACUUUUGCUUUUGAUUAAAUCAGCUUCUGAAGCUUUACAGGAGACGGUCAGAAUAAAGAAGAAAAGACUGCCAAAUUGUUUUAAACUGUUUAUUCCAAUCUUAACAGCAUCCAAUAAAGCGAACGAGUUUUAAGGUUAAUUACAAAGUAAAUUACUAAGUCAUCUCUGCUCAUAAAGUCAUAGUCCCACUUUCCAAAAAGCCAAUUUUGACUGGAAUCUUGAAAAGUAACGCGUUCCCAGAAGCUACUACUAGGUUGAAUUUACUCGUCUCCUGUCUCAUUAUUCAACACACAAAUUCUUUAACCUUACACAAGAUUUUUUUUUUUUUUUUAAAAGAAAAAAUGAACCACCAUCCACAAAAACACAGCUCAUGAAUUAAUCAAGGGUAACGGUAAGAUCACUGGGCCAAAAAGCCUUGAUACAGAAACGCAAUAUCAGAUCGAGGUGCAGAAGACAAAUGGAGUAUAGUAGUAUUAAAUGGCAAUCAAAGGAUUUACCAUGAACUGAUCAAAUGCAUAGAGCAGGCGAGAAUGUAAUCAGGAAGAUGCACCGUGGCCUUCUGACCAUACCAAUAGCUAAAUCCAGCAACCGAUUGAAAACCAAGUUGAUUGAACUUGAAGAGUCCUAAAUAGAUGGGUAUACCCCUACCUAUGUGGACAUCAAGAUUUCGGGCUCGCAGUUGCUUAGAGGGACAAAGCUAGGAGUAUGAGCAUACAUGGAAGCAUUGGUUCUAUACUCAAGUUUUCUGUCAAAUAUCCUCACUGUACCAUUCUCCAAAUUCAGGCCAAAUAGCCCCCUGUUUGGCCAUUCCAGUAGUAAUUCUUUGCCUACGAUCACAACAGGUUGGACGUUAUGAUUCGAUCUCGAGGUGGUAAAUGGAAAGCGGUCUACAUCCAAGUCAAUGCCAACCCUGUGCCAUCUGAUCCAAGAUGGUCUAGUGCUGUUUCCGUCAUCUUGGUGCCUCAAGAUCCAGAUGUUGAUCGACUCUUCGAACAAGGAGGAUUCACACAAGCAGAGGAAACCGCGAUCAUCCAUUUCUACCAAAUGCAUCCUGCUGUGCUCAGGAUCGUCCUUGCAGUAUUGAUUUUGCGGACCUGGAUGAGGCAUCACGGAGAAUUUCUCUGUUUUCGUGUCCAAUUUCAUGAUUGAUUCUGCACAACGAGGAGCCAACCUAGUCCUCGGAAGGGGCGAGGGCGAACUCUGCCUUGCAAUUGCAUAUCGAUUUCCAACCAUCCAGUAAAGAACGUUGUCUACGAUUACCGGAGGAGUUUGAGCCCUGGGUUGGUAUGAAAACGGAGCAUCAUCAUCCUCGUACAGCUCUCUCCAGCAGCAAGAUGUUUGUGAUUCAUCAGAUUGUUCUGAUUCCGAGUUCGACCCGCCACCCAAAACAACUAUUCUGAACGGCAUGCUCCCGUUUUCGCGUUGGAAUCUUCCUCCCCAGAGCAAACAGUGCUGAUCUUUGGCAAAAGGGUUGGAAAAGAUUCCGUAAAUCAGACCUUUAGGGGUGAUUAAUCUCACCUUCUGCCGCGUAAGGGGAUUCAGGAGGACGUAGUGCUCCAACCCGGCGGUUGAUCUCCGGAACUCCUCCCGGAAAAUGACCAAGCCAUUGGAAGAAUACGAGAAUUCUUGGCGAUCGGAUUUGGAAACCGGCCUGACAGAGUUAACGCUGAUUCUACAACGAUUGCUCUGCGGGGUUGCUGUUUCUUCUGUGGAUUCACAUGUGUCGACCAAAUAUAUUUCCUUCUGCUCCCCAUCAGCUUCCCUCUGCCGGACAACAAUAACCACUGGAACGCUGUGGGGGAAAUGCAACUGCGCAAAUUCCUGAGUGGAGGUCAAGGCCUUCCAUCUCCGACAGACGCAUCGACAUCUUAGGACAGAUUUAGCCGGGAGUUUGCUGAGAAUUUGCAGGAGGACUUCGUCGGGAAUGUGUCUGUACGGCCUUCCUAGGAUCUCUCCUAGUCCUAGUACUGCUAAUUUGUUCCACAAGGCUGGAAUCCAGGACAAGCAUGCCGAGGUUAUGGAUGUCAUGAUUAUUUUCAGAAGACGAAAGGGAUUUAUAGGGUUUUUCUUGAGAGUUUUGCCCAUCCAAAUCCCUCAGGGAACUAAAACUGAAGAGAUCUGAUCAUGUUUUUGCAAGAAAAAAGAUGAAGAAAAGGGAGGAGGAAAUAGGAAGAAAUGUCCAUCUCUUCACUGCUAGGAAGUCACCAAAAUUAUGGUCUCUAACUUUUGUCUGAUAUUACCGUCACUAGUACAAUUAUUACGAGGAAACAUCAAUAUGGUCCCCCCCCCUCCCCCCCCCCCAAGAGAUGCUGUGAACGUGGUCCUAACGCGAAAUAACUCUCACUAUCUAGUACUCUUUGCUUCACUGAUUUUCCUACUUGUAUUCGUUGCUAUGUACGGCUAAUUUUGACUAACGCAUUUUUCUUCCUUCAGGUUUUCAGGGCAAAAAUGAAAGAGUCCCAACUUCCAACAUCCAAAGCAAACUCCAAGAAAGUAGGCUCAUGUCUCCUAAUCCUCACUCGCUAGAGUCUUGAGAAAAAGGGGUUGGCAAUCCAAUUAUCAGUAAGCGUUUGGUUCGGUUCACGCUUUAGGAUCGGAUUCGAAUUUGAGAUCAAUCAUUCAGAGUUUAGAAUGAAAUUAUUCAUUUUAAUAUAUCUGUUUGAUUCAAUAUGAGAAAUGUUUAUCAUUACUAUAGUUGAUAUUUGAUUUAUUAGUUUUUUCGAGAUGAAAUAUAAAAAAUUUUCAAUUCUAACCUAACCUGUAUAAAAUUAAAACAUGGACAAUUGAAGAUAAACCUGCUGUAAGCCAUCACAAGAAAAUGCAUAAACUUUGUCAAUAAUCUUGUUGUCUAAUUACAAGUUAUCAUUUAACAUAAAAUGUAAUAUGCCAAUAAUUACUUAGAAGUAAUCUUGUGACAUAAAUAAUGUUUUAUCAUCUUCAUCUGGCCAAAAGGAAAAGAUACUACACAAAAUUACCAAAUUCCAAUUUUACAAAAUCAUUCUAGCCCAAGUGGAUAUAAUCCCCACCAAAAACCACUAUAUUUCUGUCAUAUCUCAAAAGAACUAUCUUAUCUAAUGUUUCAAGAUAGACAACAAUUUAUCACCAUAUUAACUAGUAGCAUUCAAUUUUCCAAAAAUUCAUAACAAGCAGCCAUGCUUUAGAAAUUCAUUAUGUUAUUCUUAUUAUUGUGCUCUUGUUUCUUUGUGAUUUGUGAAGCACGAAAUAUGCAUUGCAUUGGCAGAGUUUUAGCCAAAGACUGUGCAUUGAACUUCCACAUACGGUAACAGUCAUGAACAGAUCAUGAAAACAAGCGAUGUACUUGCAUUUAGGGAUAGCAACGGGGCGGGGUUGGGGCGGGGGACCCCUCCCCCACCCCCGCCCCGUUGCCUAUUAAUUCCCCCGGACCCCUGCCCCGUCCCCCGCCCCCGCCCCGCCCAGCUUCCCCCGCGGGAUUAAUAAAAUUGCCCUCGCGGGGUUAAUAAAAUUUUAUUAUAAUUAAAUUUUAAUAAAUAAUCAAGUACUAAAAUAUCAACACAUCAUCAAGUUAUUAUUCAUUGUAAUUUUACAAUUGAAACUCAUAAAAACAAUCAAACAAAAGUUAUUUAAAUACAAUCCAACAUGAUGAAAUAAAUACAACUAAAAUAGUCAAGUUUUCACUUUUGGUACAAAUACAAUCACUAAUUCAUUAUUGUGUUUGUGCUUUUUUUUGAAAAAAAAGUGUUAUUCUAUUAAGUGUAAUUAGAAAUUUAGUAUAAAUGUAUUAGUAAAUUUAGUAUAACUAAUUAAUAAAUUCUAUUAGUAGACAUGUCUAAUUAUUCAUAUAAUUGAUAAUAUCAAUUAUAUUACAUACACUAAUAUACAUUAUAUAAUACAUCUAACUAAUAAUAUCAUUAUCAUAAGUUUAAAACUAAUUAAAUUACAUAUUAUAUAUAUUUAUUUAUAUAUAUAUACUUUUUUUUUUUGCGGGUGGCGGUUCUAAACGGGGGGAAAAAAUUCCCCCCCGCCCCCGCCCUGAGAGCCCCUCGCGCGGGCAACCGCCCCCAUUGCCAUCCCUACUUGCAUUAUUGAGGAGAUCACUCCGACUGAACUCUAGGGGUAUUAAUAAUUGUCUUGUGGAGAAAUUUGCAAACCUUGAAUGAAUGAUGAGUUACUGUUCAAAUUCCUAGGAAAUUAGGUAGUACGUCCUUGCCAUGUUCCAAAAUGCUUCCUUUCUGCUCUAGUUACCGACUUUACCGUACCAUGUUUUGGUUCUAAUUUGCAGUAUUUAGCCACUUAGAAUUGUUUCAGGAACAAUAAUGAAAUUAGCAGCAUUAUGGAUCUAUACACUAUAAAAAAUUUUUAAAAAAAUAACGUAAAAGCCAUUAAAGAUACAGACAACAUAUAAAGCUAAUAAUGAAGAGAUCUAGAAUAUUUUUACUCUUAAUAACCGAUUUGUUGAUUUCCUUUUUCUGCUGCAAAGAUGUAAACCCAAUCUUCUUAAAUCCGCUUCUUCGUUAUGUAUUCCCAAAAGAAGAAAACCUUACAUUAAAGAAAAUGGAAAAAAAAGGUGUGCGAUAAGAUUUGUUGAUACUCCAUUGGUAGAGAUUCUAGGAGAGAAGAGGCAUCAGAAGAGCGUCGGCUGCUGAUAGGGAUAAAAGAGUGUGCUUGUUUUCAAUAAAUUGGAUAGGAAUCAGAUUUGGGUUUUGUUCAAAACCUUUCAGGUUACUAGGGAGUUGGCUAACUCCAAAUUUGUAAAUAUAAUUCCAAAACUCCAAUUCCUAUAGUAAUAAUCCAAAUAACAAUUAUGGGAUUUAUUCCAAUUUUUCAUUCCGAAACCCUCUUAUCAAUCGCCACCUUAGAUACGCCAAGAAAAUUUAAAUCUAAAGUUUUUUUUUUUUUUUUAGAAAAUGAUAACAAUUGUAUAACUUAUUUUAUCCUAAAUUAUAGGGGAAGGGGAGUCUAAAAAGACUUAUAUUAGGAGUUAGUAGAUAUACAAAUAUUAUUAGAUUAAAGAUGUGCUUUGACACCAACUUGAUUUUUUCCGAGUUUGAAAGGGUGCAAUAUUAAUUAUGAGGUGCUGAUCACAGUGUUAUGCUCAUGCAUUUGCCUUCUCUGAGUGCUGGGUAAACUUUUCUGACUCCACCAUUGACCAAGACUUAUGCUCAAGUCAAGUUCCAAUGUGAACCCCAAUUCCCAAAUGCAAACCAAACCCCCCCCCCCCCCCCCUCUGCUCUCUCUCUCUGUCUCCUAACACCAGCUCUGUGGGGUUCUCAUCGGAUUGACAAUGCCGCCCUUUUUACCAUUGGCUGGGCCUUUUGGAGUUUCUAAGGUGCUAAUGUGUGUUAAUUGGCUGGCUCUUCACCCAACCCUCACCUUAGAACCAGAACAAGGGCAAGCGCUGCUUCUUUUUAAUCCUUUUCUUCAUUUUACAGCACGGGUAACACAAAAACAAGCGCAUAUCAGACCAGUGACGGAGCCAGGAUUUUUUUUUUGGGGGGGCCAAAAUUGAAAUUCCAUUCAAAGAUGACUAAUUCAUAUAUAUAUAUAUAUAUAUAUAUAUAUAUAUAUAUAUAUAUAUCAACUCUCAUAAUAUAAACUAAAAUUGAAAAAAUUUAGGGGGGGCCAAUUUUAUUUUACACACAUAUUUACAUAUUAUGAAUUAAAAUUCUCAAAACUUAGGGGGGGCCAUGGCCCCCCUCUGCCCCCCUUGGCUCCGUCAUUGUAUCAGACAUAUUAUUGGAAAAAAAACGUUAGUCCAUAUCAACGAACGUUUGCAUGAUGCUGAAGCCGUUUGCGGCCCUGAAAAAACAGAACCGAAAGCUUUUAUUAGCUGCAGUGGUUUCACGUCUCUCAGUUUCUCUUGUUGCUUCAUCUUGGUGGUGCAUUUGUACGACUUACUGAUCACCAAAUUUCACUUAACAUAUUUCAUUAGUGGAACAUUUCAAUUCAAUCUGCCAUCUAAGUCCAACCAUUCAGUUUUCCUUUACGUUUAGCAUCAAUGUGGUUCCCAGGGUGUCUGCUGAUUUUUUGUUUCCACAUGGUCAAGGUGAUAGUCAAAAAGUAUAAGCUCAUAUUCCUCAGGGGAGGACCGGAAGAGACAUGCAAGUCGUCUCACUUACCUACCAUACCGUGUCUUCUUUACUUUCAGUGUAUGUGCAUCUGAUAAAGGAAUUGUUUUAUGCAUCCUUAGUUGAAAAUUCACAUUAAAAAUGUAGGUAGGAUUGUAAUUUAUUCAUAAAUUUUUGUUUAAUUGCACAAUCAAUAGAUUAUUUAACAACAUUUUUAUCUCAUAUACAUCACAUUAAAAAAGUGUUAUAAUAUAUUUUUUUUGAAAAAUUAUCCCAAAUAAUUUACUAUCCAAACACAGUAAUAUAAGCAUAAGCAAACUUAUCUCUUUCAAUUGCCUUUCCAUGUGAUAACUAUUCUUUAUUUUUUUCCUAGUAAAAGGAUAUAUAUAUAUAUAUAGAAAGCAUCAUUAAUUAUUUCUUGCUUACAUUGAGAUAGGGAGGGAAUAUUGUUCUUCAUGUAAUAUACUAUAGAAGAGCGACAAUAUUUCCAUUUUUUUGGCUAAAUUACUUAUAACCUCUUGUAGUUUUGCAUAAUGCUAGAUGGCCCACUUAAGGUUUCAAAAUAGCCAUAUGAAAAACCCUUCUGUGAUUUUGUAUUAAUUACGUGAAAAAUGGACGGAAUGCAUAACCAGUUACGGCGAUUAUACAAGACAUACUCCAAAAGUGCAUGUGAUGAAAUCAUACUAUAUACUUAACCCUAUGAUUUACAUAAAUAUUCACUUUAUUUCUUUGUGAUUUUUGCACUUAUCGACGUAAUCCCCUUAUAGUUUUACAUAAAAUGAUUAAGCCAUUGUAUGAUUUUUCAUUUAAGUAAGGGCAUUAUUGAUAUUUUAACUAAUGACAUUGGAUAUGUUAUUUUUGGUCAAAUUUUCACUUUACAUAAAAUUAUAGGAGAAUGAAAUGAAUAUUUUAAAAUAUUAGAGAAUCGUGUGACAAUAAAUGAAACUAUAAGGAGAUUAUUUGUAAUUUUUUUUUGGUCUGAUAGGAAAUAGUUUAGGAGAUGUGAGGACCCACUUCCUUUUAUGGUCAAGGCAGUACCACUAGAGCACACAUCUUUUGCUAACUCAUGUACAACUGGUUGCCACCAACAAUGGACACUUUUGGAAGGUUCUCCAACCAUGCAGUUCUUCAAAAGUCAAAAGGGGCUUCUUUUUGUAAUUUUUAUUUUUAUUUUACUUUUGUAAAUUGUAUGUGUUAAAUUCAAAAUUUUUUAUUUAUAAUCUCUCUUAUUUUACCAUUCAAUUAAACCCUUUUCCAGUAUUUACAGACUCCGAAGCACUAAUUCAUCUACAGGACUGGUCCGACAUCAUUUCUUGUCAGCAGAUCCAAAACUCCUUGGGCUCAGCCCAGUAUCGUUUUAUUGGGCUCAGGGUCAGCUGUCAAUGGGUAAUCACUCAUCAGCCAUGUUAAGUAGGCCAAACAUAAGCCAGUCACCGUUGUUGGGCUUUCCCACUAAUCCUGUCCUGGAUGUCGAAAUGAGUUUUUGUGACCUUCUUUUGAUAGGUCUAGUUUCCCUAAUUUUCAUUACAUUGACAGCAUAUAUAAUAUUUUAUGUUAUAUGUACAAAACUUGAACUCUAAAUUCAAAUUAAAUAUAAUUAUCAUGUAUCCAUACCUAAUAAUGUAUAAGUCGUCAAUGCAUAAAAUUGUCUUUCUUGAAAUUUGUAAAAUUACACAAACCUCCCUUGAAGUUUGCAAAAUUACACAAACCUCCCCUAAGAUUAAAGUUUUGAUAACAAAAUUAGUUCAAUUAGAAAAAGUAAUAUUAAAAUAGUACUUUAAGGAGAGAGAUGAAACUUUUAUUCCAUAAAUAUCCGUUAUGCAUAUAUAUAAGUUGUAUUUGUAAAAGAAAAAAAAUAAUUAAAAGUUAGAAAUAAUUAAUACACACAUUUUACCGUUCAAAAAAGUUCACAUUUAAUAAAUUCGACAACACAAAUAAGUAACAAAAUUAUGCUAAUGAUCACAAGAUUCGGCAAAAUAAACUAAUCAUCUCUUUUAACAUGAUGUUUGCUAUUAUUCUUAUGAUUUUAAACAGAAAAAUUUUCGAAUUCAUACUGAUAUGUAACUAUGAGAUGGUUACCAGGGCGUGGUGCAUCCAUUGAUCGGCUGUAAUAUGGAGACUAGGCCACUAUCAUUUCCUCCUUUGGGUGAGUUAACUUCUAAUGGCCAAAUGACAAGUGUUAAUUUGUCGAUCAGUAUAGUGAACUCGUCCACUUUAGCUUAAAUGUUUUACUACCUUCUUCUUCAGACUUGACCUUUCACCAAGGUCUUUUUCUCAUCUUCAGGUCCAACAUCAGUUAAAUUGAUCCAUUAAAGCAAUUAGUCCUCCUUCUGCCAGGUACUUAAUUCUUUCCUCACGUAUGAGAUUGACUAUGCUGGCUUUUCCAUGCUCAUUGGCCGGGCCGUAAUUCCGAGUUGCUGUAUGUUUAAGGCAUUACUGCAUAUAAUGCUUCUUUUACUUGCUCUCCUUGUUAACUUACAUAAUCACACUUGGUGUUUCUGGAAUAUCCAGGUCACUAGUGUGUUGCUGAAUGUACAAGUCCUGUAAAGAUAGAAAACGAUAAGUUUUUGGUUGUCAAUUUAUUAAUAUUCUCUAGGAACGAUAUGGUGAUAAUAAUCCGACAAAUUUUGUUCUGAACAUUGCAGUAGUAGCUACCAUCUAAAGUCCCAAACUCAGUAUUCUUUAUGUGGAGAAUCUGUAUAGCGUAGAUGUUGGGAAAAUUCUUAAAUUGUUAUGAAAAAAAAAAGUUAUUCUACAAAGGAGGUAAUUUGUGGAGCUGAUUCCAGACUUGUGAUCUUCGCAUUUGUGAAAUGCGAGUUCAGGUACCUCGCAUUUCACAAAUGCGAGGUAAGUGUUUCCAGAAAAAAAGAAAAAGAAGCUCGCAUUCUGCAAAUGCGAGCUUACUCAGCUCGCAUUAGGAGAAUGCGAGAUUAAGUACCUCGCAUUUCAUGAAUGCGAGGUACUCAAUCUGAAAUCAAUCAGACUUCCCACUUUCGCAUUUCUCUUCAGUUCGUCACUCCCUUCACUCUCUCCGUGCAGCCUCCUCACUCUCAAAAUUAUCUUGGAAAUCAGAUUCACAGCUUUGUCGUCGGAAGCUGUCGGAAUUCUCCUCGGAAGCUCUGCAAUUUUGUCAGCCCGUGCGGCGUUUCUCCUCAGGCGAAACCAGAAAGGUGGCAUUUCUUCUCGUCCGAAGCCGUCAUCGGAAGCAUCGGAAGCUCUCGGCCAUUGCAGAGCUUCCCCUUUGGGAACCCAUCUCUGGUAGCUAGCUCCAUUCAAGUCCGGCAUCCGUCUUUCUCCAUUUGCCAUUCCUUUCAGCAGAAACAGCAUAAGAGGUAAGAUAUUUUUUUUUCUGAGUCUUAAUUUUUUUCUGGGAUUUUUUGUUUUUACGAAUUGAAGUGGCUUUUAUGAUUUGGCAAUUUAUUGGACAUUGUUGUUGUUUCGGUUGGUCUCUUAUUUGGACAUUGUACAUUGCUUGUUAUCGGAGCUAAGUUUCUUCUUGUGGUUGAUUACAAGAAUGGUCUGUCCUAAGUUUCGGUUGGUUUAAUGAUAAAUGUCGACAAUAAAGAAGAUAGCUUGUCAGAUACCUUAAAGAUCAAUCAUGCUAUGGAAAUUCAUAACGGACAGGAAUAUUUUUACGUGCACACAAUGCGCAGGAGUGCUUGUAUAUCCUUAUAUAAUAAAUUUUUUUUGAUCUAGCAAUUAAAGAUCUAGCAAGUAAAUCUGAUAUAACUUUUAAGAUCAUGCUAUCCUUUGAAUUGUUUCCCCUGUUGCUGUCUGUACUUUGAAAAAUAAAUGGAGUAAGAAUUUGUUUAUGCACUUACAAAAAAUUAAAAUUAAAAUAAUUUAUUUACACACUUUCGAAUUUAUCCAUUAAUUCUUUGUCUAUCCUUUUCAUUUUUCAUUUUUGCAUUUGAAGCAUGUUAAUUACUUCACUCAGCCUCCACCUCACACUGAACCACAAGAGCAAGCUCAAGAGACGGAGGCACAGCAGACCCUUCCUCCUCCCAUUCCACGACCACCACCUCCGCCGCGAUCCAAGUUGCAAGAGAUCCUCAAUGCCAUCUGCUGCAUGGAGACACGUGUCAUGGAGCGCAUUGACCAGACCGAGCGGAUGAUGACUAAGCAACUAGACAGGUAGGAUCGUCGUCUUCGAGCGAUGGAAGAUCAUUUCCACAUUCACCGCUCACCUACUCCUAACCCUCAUCAAGAGGAGGGGCCUAGUGGUACAUCUCAGGGAGCUGAGGAGGCAAUAGACCCUCGUUCUGAGCAGUCAUGAAGACCUUUCGAGGAUUUCAUCUUUUAUUGCUUUAUUUUUCUUUUAUUGUGUUCGGUUCAAACUUCGUAGUUUUCUUAUUAGAUUUUCUUGUACUACUUAUAUUGUUUAGUACCCUUGAUGUUUCAAGCAUGACAGAAUUUGGAUGGUCGUGCGGAUUAAGGGCUUCAAACUGCAUCACCACACUUACCAAGUGGGAAGUUUCGUUUUCUUUUACCUUCCUCUACAAUGAGGACAUUGUAGAUUUUAAGUGUGAGGGAGGGAUUACUUUAUUUUAUGGGUGAUUGUGUCUUGAAAUGCAUGAAUUUGAUUGUCUAUGGCUUAAACUUUUAUUUGGAAAUAUUGUCUUGAGGUUGUUGGCGGGGAGUUUUGUCCAUUUUUAUGGGGAACUCUGUCAAAAUUUUUCUAAAAAUAUUUUCCAAUAUUAAUGGCCAAAAUGUUCAAAUUUUAAGUGCUCAAACUCUUCCAUUGGAUAGAAUGCUAUAUGUAUUUUGGAAGGUUUAGUCCUUAUUUUGUUUGGAAAGAAUUAUUAUGCUUAGAAAGUAUAUUCGGUUAAAUAAGAAAAAUUAUGCUUACAAAUUUGCAAGAUUAAUGAUAUUUCUCAUUUUGACUUAAUUUUAUAAGUAAGUGAUUGAUAUAGUCAAAACAAGACCAAAUUCUUCCUUUAAUGAUGUUAGACGGAAAAGAAAUCAUAUCAAAAAAAAAAAAAAAGAGAGAGAAAAAAUAUAUAUAUUAAUCUUCUACUCCAAUCAUUCACAUACCGAGUAACCGGGGGUUGGCAUCUACAAAUGUCGACAUUUGCGUAAAAAGGUAUCGGAAUUAAGAGUAUGCUUAGCAAUUUGAAUAAGUUAAAUGUUGAGUAACCGGGAAUCUUCACCUAAAAGUGUCGAUUUUCAAGUAAAAAGGCGUUUUCACUAUUAAAAUAAAAUGGAAUAUAAAUAAAUCCCUCUCAUUAGUUAAGUUUUGAUGGUAUAAAUGCAUAAAUGUAUAUAAAUAUUUAAACAAUAAAAAUUAUAAAUUAUAAAUAAUAUUAAUUAUACAUUUAUACAUAAUAUUAUAAAUAUAUUUAUAAAUUAUAAUUUAUACAUUUACAUAAUAUUCAUUUAUAAUUUAUACAUUUAUAUUAAUUAUACAUUUAUAAAUAUAGUUAUAUUAUGUAUUAUAUGUAAUAUAAUACAUUUAUACAUUUACAUAUUCUUAUAUAAAUAUAUAAAUAUAUUUAUUUAUAAAUAUUCAUAAAUGUAUUAUAAAUGGAUAAAUGUAUAUAAAUAUAAAAAUUAUAAAUUAUAGAAAUACGCAAAAAUAUGUUUCAGAAAUACGUGAACAAAAUAAUCCAAAAAACAUCUACAGCAAAUUUUUUUAUAUAGUUUUUCAAAAACAACCCCAAAAACAAUUAAUCCAAACGGACUUGUAUUUGAAAAACAAAAUGCUACAGUGCUACUUUUUGAAAAACAACCCCGAAAACAGCUAAUCCAACGGGGGCCAAUGUCAUUUAAGAAAUUUAACUUUUCCAAUAUAUAAUAGCAAAUUUGAGAAAUUGAUUAAUCAAUUAUUAGUAGUAUCAAUAACAAAAAAAUAAAAUACUAUUCUUGUUCAUUCUUAUUUUUAAUUUCACUGCAAAUAAUAAUUGCUAACUUUUCUUUUUUAUGUGGUAUAUAAAAUGUUACUUUUAAUAUAAGUAAUUGAGUAGCUACGAAUUCUCAAUUAGUUUAUAGAUACUUAAAUUAUUGAAUUACUAGAUUAAUACACUUUACAAAAAUUGUUGACUUACUACAUUAAUACACUUUACAACAUCAGCUACAUAUAUUUUUUAAUAACAAAGAGUUUAUGAUAAAUUAUUAAGAAUGAAUUUAACAAAUAAACAAAUUUAAAAAGUAAUUUAAAAAAUAUUGAAAUUUUUUGAUGCAAUUUUCUAGGAAUUCGUAUUUAUCGGAUGCAAGAUACAGUCCAACCAAAAAGCUUGCUAGUUUGGUUACGAUUUAUUGCCCCAAAUUAUUAUCAACUAUUGAUGUCAAUAUUAAGGGAUCUUUUUUUUCCCAGUUGUGAUGAAUUUAGAGCCUUAAGUAGUAAAAUUUGUAGAAAUUUGCAUUGCAAAUUGUAAAUCAUUUUAUAAUUUGCAGUGAAAUCAUAAAGCAAGGGAAAAUGGCAUUACAAUUGAAGCAAAAACAAAAAUUUUUUAGGCAAAAUCUAGAAGCCAAUGUUGGAAAGAACCUUAAGAUGGUACAUAAUGAAUACUUGUUCACUAGUUUUAUCACUCGCAUGAUGAAGCACGCACGGCUUGUUACUUAUGAUUAUUGUUUGAGCAAUAAUCAUAAGUGUAAAAUUGCAGCUUGCUCGCUCACUGGACAAGGAAGCUUCUUUGGUCAUUGCUGGGCGGUUACUUACCUCGCAUUUCACAAAUGCGAGGUCUGCUUUUGUUUUUUUUUUUUUUUUUGAAUUUCGGUGGUAGAAUAAUUUAGGGAGACUUCGCAUUUAGCAAAUGCGAGCUCAAAGAACUCGCAUUUGCUGAAUGUGAAGACCUCAAAAACAGACAACCAUACACAAAAUACCCCCUUUAUAGAAGUUUUUUAAAAAUCAUCAUAAUUUUAGAAAUUUCUCCGUAGAUGUUGUUCCCAGAGCAUCGGUCUUUUGUAUUACUAAUUGAUUUUGUUGAAGGUGUUUGUCCGGGAGCAAUAUCUUGAAACAUAUAUAACUGACUUUGCUGAUGAGGGGAAGGGAAAAGCAAAUUAUCUUACUUGAUUACUCAGGACUACAAAGUUGACAGCAUGAGCAUCUUCCACCAAUUAUUUGGUUCGUCUUCAGUUGAAAGAUCAAAUUGAAAAACAAAAAAUAAGAUAAAAAUAAAGCAAUUAUCUCUUACAAUCGCCUCUUCAUGCGACAAUAUAUUUUUUUUUUUAUUAUUAUUGUUCUUAGAGAGUCUUCAAUAGUAGAUAUUUAAUCUGGCCCCAGACUGGCAAGCAAUGGGGGUGGUGGAAAAUUAUCUCACCAUACCACUCUAUUCUCUAAAUUUAAAUCUGAGUUAGCAAGCAAACGAGUUGGGAGAUUCCUACUUCUAGAAACAUGAACCAGGAAUCCUUCGAUUAGGUGCCUGACUUUUUCCACUAAACAUGAAUCACGAAUCCUUCAAUCAGGUGCCUGAAGAAUCGGUUCUGAUUCUUCUAACCAUAUAUGUUGAUUGAGUCACUUUUCAUCUCGAAAGCUUCUAUUACAACGUCAUGCAACCCUAUACUUAUUGUAAGUUCGACCGCUAAUCUCUUUUCAAUUCCUUCAGCAAUUGCCGCCAUAAUCUGUCAACCAUUAUUCUAUGAAAUUGGGCCUAAAAAUUUUUGUUCGAAGGAUGAAAAAGAGUGUCAUCAUGAUGGUGUUCCAACUGCCGCCCCGCUUGAUUCAAACAUUUUUUUUUUCGGUUUUUUGGGUCAGAUCUCAGAUUCUCAGCCGUUCUUCUUUUCUUUGUCCUGUGCUACUCGGCAAUUUUGUAUUCUGAAGAGCUGUCCAGAAUUUAACAAACUCAAAAAAUCAAAAUGCAUAAAAAAUGAGAUUUUUUUUAUGAAUUUUCUGCUGUAUUUUUUAAUUUUCUAUUAUAUAUUACUUUUUUGAAACUGUUGUAUUUAUUUUUUACUUAAUUAAUAGUUAUUGGAUCUUAAGGAAACAAAAAAAAAAUAAAGACAUGAUAUUUAUGUAGGAGAAAUAACAAUAUAAUAAAAAGUGGGACAGGAUGAGGGACAGAAGAUCCGUUGCGGUUUAGCACCGGCCACGGUCACCGCCGUUGGGCUUUUUCCGCUACUAGUGUCGUGGAAGUAGAAAUGAAGUCUUGUUGCCUUCUCUUUUGUCCGGUCGAGCUUAUGGAACCACUCAUCAACUCCUUCGUGGCCUUGAGCAACCCCAUGAACGUCCAUCGGUCCGUCUAAGCCUACCAGGAGUAAGCAAAGCAUGACAGCUUGAAUUUGCUUCUGCAUUUUAAAUCAAUCACAUAUGCUCUCGUUCUCUUUUGAUUAUGGUCUGCACUACUAUCUGUUGUUUGUGAUACUAUCGGAAUAAUUGGGAAGACAGAACUGGGGAAAGAAGGGUCCUCUGCAUAAUAGCGGUGGCAAUUUUUGGCAUGACGAGACAGCACGACAAGACAACACGACACGAUCCGAAAUUAGGCAUGUUUUAGUAUGACCGAACUUUAAUGGAUCAUUAUUUUUUUUUUUUUUUUUUGGUUUGGUAGGAGGGCUUUAGACCCAUUACAUGCCAACUAAUCUAGGAGUUGCAACGCCUAGGACAUCAUAUGCCAACCACUUCCUCACCUCCUCUGGUGGCGAAGCCAACUCUUGGACCCUCUCCUCCAGACUCAAUCCACUCUUAGCUAACCAAUCCGCACUCAUAUUGCCUUCCCUCCAUUGAUGUAUUACCUCACAUUGCCAUUGUCUCUUCCUUAAGUUCCGGAUUUGGCUGAUAGUCACCAUAAGGGGGCUCUCCGUUGCCGCUUUGUCAAUGAGCUCUAAACUCAUUUUAGAGUCAGUUUCAAUGAUCACUUUCGUGUACCCCUUUUCCCAUGCUGUCUGCAUUCCAAACCAGAUCGCCCAAAGUUCAGCUUCAGUUAUGGUCCGUUGUCCUAGGUUUGCCCGAAAUCCGCUGAUCCACACCCCAUUCUCAUCGCGUAAUAGCCCUCCAGCCCCUGCAAUACCACUCCUGGUGCUAAGCGCCCCAUCUACAUUAACUUUUAUCCAACCACUCUCCGGCUUAUCCCACCCUAUGUUCCUAAUUUGCCUUUUCUUACUCCCGGGUUCCCUCUCUAGUACUCUUUGAUUAGCUUCCAACACUGCAGCGACCGUCCUCUCUAAACUGUCGACUGUACUGCUAUCCCCAUUGACGUUAAAACGAUUCCUGCCUUCCCAUAUUAAGUAUACCACCUGUUGGAACACGGCCUGCCAGUCCAAAUGAUCCCACCUGCCAAUAUUCCUCUUCUUUAGGUUCCAGUCUAUCCAAUCCUCAACACUCUUGCCGUUAAACUCCUCCCAAUAUCUUGGGUGAACUAGGCUGAACCAUAUCUUCCUAGCCCAAGGACAGUCUCGUAAAGCAUGUAUCUGCAUUUCCGGAUCCUGCCCACAUAACUUGCAGUAACUAGCCUCCUGGAUGUGCCUCCGCUUCUUUUCUGCAUUGGUUAACAGUCGCUGGUGCCUAGCUAACCACAAUAUAAACUGCCAACGACCCGGUCCUCUUUGCUUCGAAAUGCGAGCCCAACCAUGAUGAUCAGCAAGUACUGCUCCAUUGCACUCCAACUGAUAUGCAGUUCUUGUUGAAAACACUCCCCUGGGGUCCGGGGUCCACACUGGCAUAUCCAUGUCGGAGUCUUCCUCUGCUAACUGGACUUCCGACAGCCUACUUAAUAUUUGGAUGGGCAGUAAAAGUUCCAAAGUAUCCAUUUUCCAUCCCUCCCCAACCACCCAGUAGUCCCUGACCUUCUUAUGCAGCUCUCCUGUCGAAACAUCCCCUCCACUCAAGUCCACUAACGGCUUUUCUAAUAACCAAACGUCCUUCCAAAAACUAACGUCCGCUCCAUUGACCACUUUCCAUUUCACUCCUUUCCUCACCACUCUCUGUCCCUCCUCUAUACUCCUCCAAACGAAGGAUUUUCUUCCAGCCCCCCCUGAUUCCUUAUAUUUAUUGCUAAGAACUCGUACCCACAGUGACUCCCUCUGGUGCAUAGCACUCCAACUCAACUUCGCAAGUAUUGCUCUAUUGGUCUCCCUCAUUUUUCGUAUCCCAAGCCCUCCUUCCGUUUUAUCCCUUGUCACCGUGUCCCAGCUUACAUGAUGAAUUUUCCUACGCUCUGCUGAAUCUCCCCAUAAAAACUCCCUUGCACACCGCUCUACUUCAUCUAGCACUGAGCAGGGUAGCAUAGCCGUCUGCAUUGUAUACAAUGGAAUUGCAGUAAGCACUGACUGUACUAGUGUUGCCCUCCCCGCAAAUGAUAGCACCUUCUUUUGCCAGCCUGCUAAUCUUUUUUUGACUUGGUCCACCACUGGCUGAAAGGUGCUCUUUGUCACUCUCCCAUGCAGAAGAGGCACUCCCAAAUAUUUUCCCAAAUCAUCUGUAACCUCUAUUCCAAAUCUUCCUUUUAUCAACAUUCGCCUACUCCAAGGUACAUUUCUUGAGAAGACCAUCUUUGUUUUGCUUACAUUUACUUUUUGCCCCGACACUUUGCAAAAGGUCCCCAAAAUAUUCCCCACCACCUCUGCUUGUUCCAUACUUGCCUCUGCGAAUAACAUUAAAUCAUCCGCAAAACUUAAAUACGCUACACCUGGGCCACUCCGAGUAACUUUAAUUGGUCUCCAGUCCUUCACAACCACUGCCUCUUUAAUCAUAUGACCCAACCUCUCUAUACACAAAACAAACAAAUACGGUGAUAAUGGGUCCCCUUGCCGAAUCCCUCUAGUUGGCUUAAAAGGUUCUAAUUUUCCUCCAUUCCAUAGGAUUUGCAUGGCACUGGCCUGCACACAGUUCAUAAUGAGCUCAUUGAGUUUUUCUGGGAACCCUGCCAACCUGAGAGUCUGAUGUAUAAAGCUCCAUCUUAGUCUGUCAUAAGCCUUCUCCAAAUCUACUUUUAUCGCCAUUCCUCCUUUCUUUCCCCUCCACUUACUCAUAGUGUGUAAAACCUCCUGUGCUAUAAUUAUAUUAUCAGCGGCUUGUCUACCCGGGAUAAAACUGCACUGAUUCUGCUCAAUUAACUCAGAAAUCAACGGUCGAAUCCUGUCCACUAUAAUCUUUGUCACCACCUUAUAAGGCACAUUACACAACGAGAUGGGUCUGAAUUGUGAUACCAUUUCUGGAAAUUCCACUUUUGGUAUUAAAGCUAUGAGUGUGGUGUUGACAUGACCCGGCAUUGCCCUCGCCUCAAACACCUCCUUGACAAAGUGCACCAUUUGGGUUUUCACUAACGCCCAAUGUUGUUGAUAAAAUCCCGCAUUCACUCCAUCCGACCCUGGUGCCUUGUUUGGAUUCAUGUUAAAAAUCGCUUGCUCGAUCUCAUACUCAUACACCUGUCUCCCUAGCGCUUCCAGCCUCCUAUUCGCCAAUUUUGGAAACAUACCGAUUAUGGUAGUACCUCCAGCUUCUUCCACCCCCUCCUCUCGGUAUAGCUUGCAGAAAAAAUCUCGCACCAUACCCUUAAGUACCUCUGGAUCAUCAUGCCAUAGAUCAUCAUCACCCCGUAAGCUCGCAAUUUGGUUCCUUCUCCGUCUAACUAUGGUCGACAUAUGGAAGUAUUUUGUAUUCCUGUCGCCCCCCUGCAGCCAUUCUAUUCUAGACCUUUGCCGCCAGUACAACUCCUCCUGCUCUAGUAUUUGGUUAUACUCAUCCAGCAGCUUCACCUCUAGUUUUUCCAACUUACGCGAAUACCGAUUGCACAAUAUCCUUUGAACGCCUUCCAACCUCGCUUUACAUCUCCUUUUCCUUUUAAAAACAUUCCCAAAUACUAAUACAUUCCAUUCCUUUAGCCUCAUACUGAGCGCCUGUAGUUUCCCUUCUAACGUCUCCUCAGCGCCGUUCCAAACCUCUGUAACCACCUUCUCAUAUCCUGGAUGCGUGGACCAGGCUUGCUCUAGCCUGAACGGUUUCUCCCCAUUAAUUCCCCAUGGAAUCCCCUCCAAACAGAUCUGCAACGGGUGAUGGUCGGAGUGAGUGCGGACCAAAUGUUUGAUCACCGCUCCCUGAAAUUGCUCUCUCCACAGCCUAUUACAUAGCGCCCUGUCCAGACGCUUCCUGACACUCCUGAUCCCUUUCCUACAGUUGCUCCAGGUAAGCGGGGGACCACUACAAUCCAUAUCCAUUAACCCACCCUGUAAGAGUAACUCCGCAAGACUUGAUUGACUUGCUCUUCCUAGCGGUCGACCUCCCUUUUUCUCUUCUGAGUUAACCACUUCAUUCAGAUCCCCCACUAACAGCCAAGGAAAAUUAAUAGCUUUAUCUAUACUGGAAAAAUAUUCCCACAAAUAUCUCCGUGUAGAUGAAUCUGGUGACGCAUAUACUGCUGAUAACAUCCACUCCUCUCCCCUCACUCCUUUGACCACCAUAUUAAUAACCUGUCGGUUUGUAGAGAUUGGUUCCACCUCCCAUUUAUGCUUGUUCCAUAACACCCAAAUACCUCCUGAAAACCCACAAGCCUCAACACAGAUUUUAUCUGUAAGUUGCGUGCUCUGGACGAUCCAAUCUGCUUUCCCACUAUCUGUCCUCGUUUCCACUAGUAUAAGAAUCCCAGGGUCAUAUUCCUUUAGAAUUUCCUUUAAAUUCCUUCUAAAUUUUGCAUUUGCCGCACCGCGGCAGUUCCAACUGAUAAUAUUCAUAAAUUUAAUAAGGUGAUUGAAAUUUGGGAUCCAAUCCCUCCUGCUCCUUAUGCAUAUCCUGCUCCUGUGAUUCCAUGACAUCUGAUACGUCAGUCAUAUCCCCAAGCCCCAUCCCCGCAUUAUUCUGGAUCUGCGCAGGGUCCCCUGGGUCAUCAAUCAUCACAUUCCCCCUACCUUCCAGAUCCUGUUCCUGUCCCCAUUCCACAACCCGGACACCCUUAUCCUGCCUUUCCACUCUUUUCCCCAAGAAUGUAACGUCUUGCUCAUUUGUACUCUCAAACGUGAACUCUCCUGAUCUCCCUUCCUUAUGAUGCUCUCGCCUCAAUGGCCCCAUUAUGUUCUCCACCUUGUCCAAACUCCCCCCUUUCUGAAUCCUCGAGCAUUCACCCUGAAUCCUCCCCCCAGUCUUCUUCAAACCCCCUCUUUGUAAUUGAACUACAGCCCCAGCCUUUUUCUUUGCGACAUCAAAUCCAUUCUUUGGCCCGCCAGGCUUCUUUUUACCAUUAAGCUCAACCCCAACUUGGAGGGGACCAGGAAUCGAGCUAAUCUUCUGCUUUAGCACAGCACGCGUAUCUCUCUCCACUGGGGAUUGGGCGUCAUCCUCCUCCCUUAGAACCUCAAAUCUUGACCCUGAAACUUCCUCCAUCAAUCCCUUACUUCCAAAUCUGAAUACAUUUUCCUGAACCUUAGCAUUCUGAUUCUCUCUCCUGUCACCGACCUGAAUCCAUUGAUGAAUUCCCGGAUCAUCUUUUUGUCCAGUACCCGCCAUCCCUACCCCCUAGAUUCCCCAUGCUGGUCCACUAUAUGACCAGUCCCUUUCCCCUUCGACGCUGCCUCCCAACCUCUUGAUCUAGCCACUGGACCCGAUACUUGCCUUCUAGCCUUCCUUGAAUCCGCAAUCAUCCAUGGACCAAAGGGGUUAGCCUCUACUUCUUUAACCUCCUCCCCCUUGCUUGACCCCUGUUCCCCUCUUGCUGCAACACCUUGUUGAUGAGUCGGGCAAUCAAUCACCCCAUGCCCGUACCUUCCACAAUGGAAACAAAUGAGAUGAAGCCCUUCAUACUCUAUUGCUUGGAGUUCAUCAUUAAUCCAGACAAACGGAACCAACGGAGAUAAAGAGCUUACUUUAUGAUAAUAAUCAAACACUAUAGAUGGCAUUUUGACUAUUUAGUAAAAACUAACAACGAUAAAAUAUGGUUUGAAGAUUUCAAUUACAAGUUUUAAAAAUUCACAUGUUUUAUAUCUUAUAUGAAACUAUCUGAUCGUGUUUUUAAAAGAUUGAUUGGAUCUCAUUUUCUAGAGAAUUUCUAAAAAAAAAAAAUUACUUUAGUAGUUUUUAAGAUGUGAUAUACAGUAAAAUCUCGAUAAGUUAAUACUCGGUAAAUUAAUAACCUUUAUUAAAUGAUAAUUUUUCUCAGCCCUAACUUUGGCUAAUGAGUUAAACUAAUAAUUUUGAUGAAAUAAUAAGAUUAUAAUAUUUUUUUUCAAAAACCUUACAUAAUCUUUGAUCCCAUUCAUAUCAUAAAUUAAUAAUUUACUGAAAUUAAGUAGCAUAUUUUCAUAAAAUAUGAGUUGUUGAUUUAUGAACAUCUUUUAAAUGGGAAACCAUAAUUUAAUAAUGAGAAAUGUAAGAAAACUUUGUGUUUAUUUAUUAUAAGAAUGAUCUUUUUGUCAUUUAUAUACAUAAUGUUAAUCUGAAUCAUUGUAUACAUUCAAUGAAAUAGAAGCGGAAUCUAUCAUUUAAUAUUUUCAAGUGCUUUUUACCUCUUCAUAAUAUCAGUUACAUGUGUACAUUGAAAACAUUACUAGAAUUAAAUUAUACUUGCAAAUCAAAAUAGAUAUGAAUUGGUUUAUAGUUCUUAGACUUUUAGUCUCUUUUUAUUAAUAGAAUAACUCAAAUUUUUUAUAAAGUAAAAUAAAUUUUAAGCUAAUUAAAUGAGUGUUUCUUUGAAUUAUAAGUACAUUCAAUAAAUUAAUAAGUUAUUGAUUUAUCGAUUAAUUAAUACCUCUUUAAAUUAAUAGAAUUUGGAUGGCCCCAAAGCUAUUAAUUUAUAGAGGUUUUAUUGUAUGUGAAAUAAAAGAUGAUUGAAAAAUGUGUAGAAGGAAUAUUCAUAGAAAAUGGAGAAAUUUUUCAAAAAAAAAAUCAAUCCAAACAAGGCUGACUUUAUAACUUAUAUUAUAUAUUUGAAAGCUUUAUCAUCUAUUUUUUUAAUGUUUUGAAAAUUUCAAAUUUUGUGUUGACUAUAUAUUACAAAAAAUUUAUUGUGUGUUUUAACAACAACAACGUUGAAUCAAUUACAUGAUCAAAUGGGUUAAAUGAGUGAUUCAAAUGCUAUAGUGUUUCUAACAUGGGUCAAUAGGUUGAUUUGACAAAAUAAUACAUCAUAUUAAAACUAUUUUAGUCGUAUAGAGUAUUUAACGGGUUACACUGGUUGAAUUGGGUUAACUCGUUAACAAAUAAGUUACGACAUGAUUCACCACAAAAGUCUAGUGGAUUGGGUUAGGAUUGAGGUUUUUUUGAUACGGACAUGCAUGAUAAUACAUGAUUUGACACAUUGCCUCACCAGUUGGUCCAAGUACUGUACUAAUCAAUCCUGCAAGGAACGGAGCGAAGUACAGACCGAUAAUACUCAAUUCUGUGAUUUCGUACCCUUUUUUUAGGUGAAGAUUCCAUUCUUUUUUGGAUCUUCAGCCGUAAUCGUCCAAGGCUUUUGCCAUCGUUCUCCUCAACUUACCACUGCUAAACAAUGUAAUCACGUUGGUUUUUGUAAGAUAUUGGCUUGCAGAAUCACCACUGCCAUAAGUAGUAAUGAAUCUACGGAUAAUUUCAGAACCGCCCCUGAGAUUUCUGAUAAUCUCACUUUCCCUCCCUGAGGUUUUCAAAAUAUCAGGGACCUCCACCAGUAAAAUAUUGGGUCCCACUUCUUACAUUAUCAUGGAUAAAAUGACUUAAAUACCCAUACAACUUAUCAGAUAUUUCACAAUCAUUUGGACAAAUUUACUUAAAAUAGUUAUAAAUAUGAUUAACUGAAUUAACGAUAAUUUACAAGUGCAAAUAAUAUCUAAAAUACCAUGAAAAAAGGGCACUAAAUUCAGGCACUCUACUCUGGUUGAUGUAUGACAUAGAAAAUUGCAAGAGUAAGAAGUCACUUCAAUUAGAGUAAGAGAAGCAGAUUAUAAGCCAUAUGUGAAGAUUUUCACCUUGAUUAUAGAGGAUUCAAGAGUUCUUUAACCCACAUCUUCAUAUUAGUCUCUAUGAAUUUUGUACUAAAAAAUUUUUAUUCUUUGGCAGUUUAUGUUGAUAUAGUUGUUGUUUGUGUAUGGUAGAUUAUGCUUAACUGAUUUUCUGUUUCAGAAACCUCUCCAAAAAUUUCAUUUUUGUUAAGUUGCUUAGGCGCCGUUCAUUUGAAAUUAUCUCGCUAAUGCAAGGUUUGAGAGCAUUUGUGGUAUUAGGUUGUUUUCUCUCUCCAACUCCCAAUUUUUUAUUGUUUAUCUUUUUGAAUUGGGUUGGAUUUAAUACUAACGACUUACAUUUAGAGGAGGUUUCUGAUAUUUUAAAAAUCUUUAGAGGAGGGGGGUGAGAUUGUGAGAAACCUCAAGGGAGGUUUCUGAAAUUAUCCCAUGAAUCUAUUAACAUAAGAUAUUCCCUUGGCUACGUACCCAUUUUGUUUCUUCUUUUUUGGUUUUAAACGGAGACAGAACAACAGAUUAUGGAUCUAAAUGCAGAGACCAUAUAAUAAUGCUAACUGAGAUGAAGAGCAACUGGAGGAUAGAGGCAUUCAUGUGCAUGCAUCUCGAGAAAUCAUCGCAGAUCCUCGCAGAUAUGCAUUCAGGUAUGUUCCAAAAUAAUUAGAGAGAGGGAGAGAGAAUAAAGGAAUAAUUUCAAAAAUCUCCCCUGAGGUUUCUUAUAAUAUCAAUCAACUCCUUUGAGUUUUGUAAAAUCUCACUUACUUCUCCUGUUAGUUUGACAAAACUAAAUAUUUUUAUCAAAUGUUAUAAAUUGACAAUAAUACCCUUGCUCUUAAUAACUAUUUAACCAAAAAGUCAAAACAAAAUAAAGUUGUUAAACCAAAAAACGUAGAUUAAAACGAAAAAUAAAUUGUUAUCUGAUAAUGGUUUAUAUUUCUCUAUAUCGAAAUCAUGGUGGGACAGCAAAAGACGUGGAUAAAUUAAAUCUAGUUAAAAUCAACCAUGUAGAAGGAAUUUGGUGAGUAAUUAAUACCUAGAAAACUUUCAUAGACAGUUAUAUGAAAGUCAAGAAUUUUUUUUUUUUAGAAAUACAUUUUAAUACAUGAUGGGGUUUAAGUUAUAUUGAAAAUUAAAAUAAUCUCUUUAUAUGUAUGAAUUUUUCAAGGUGUAAAUUUUGCUUUGUUCCAAAACAAAUAAAAUAACUAGUUUGAUUCAAGAAAUUUACAACUUAUAAAAAAUUAACGUUAUUUUAUUUUAUUUUUGUUGUAAACUUUAUAAGUAGGAUAACAUAAGGGUAUUAUUGAAAUAAAAGUUUUAUUUUUCUUGCAUUUUCUUCAAAAGGGCUAAAAUGUUACAAUGAAUGUCAAUCCAAUCCAAGGAAGAUAAGUGAGAUUUUAAAAAUCUCAAGUGAGGUUUCUGAAAUUAUCCCGAGAAUAAAAGUAAGAAAAAAUUGUAUUUUAUUCCCGGCUAGUUUGUUCUGAUCUUGCCUCGCUUGCGUACAUGUAUAGAUGCAUGGAAAGAAAAGGAAGGUACUGGCAAUAUUUUAGCUUUUCUGCGGACUGACCCCACUUUAAGGAAGUGUGCCGAGCCUUGCAGAUAUACAGUAGUAGGAAUCCUCUGCGUGACCUGAUGGAGAUCAUCCAUCAUAUUCUUAUGUACAUUUUUUCUUUUUCACUUGGAGGCCAAACCCUAGUUGCAUGGAUAACAUCCUAGAUGGUGAAAUUCACUAAAUCUUACAUAUAUAAAGCGUCGAUAGCCUUUGUGAACAGUGCAGGAUAAGCCGGUUAUCGCGUGAUUCUCGUGACUUUGAGGGGCGUUUUGGUCCUUUAAUCAUUCGGUGGUAGCAGCUGUGCUGGAAUUUCCCGUGUGUCUGCGUGGCUCUCAUUCCUUUCUUCUCAUCCGCGUGGCUCUCAUGCUUUUGUUCUCAUUCUUGGCCUGUGGUCCUUUAAUCAUUCGGUGGUAACAGCUGUGCUGGAAUUUCCCGUGUGUCUGCGUGGCUUUCAUUCCUUUCUUCUCAUUCGCGUGGCUCUCAUGCUUUUGUUCUCAUUCUUGGCCUGUUAUUGGUUUUGGGAGCACCGCUUCAGGAGUACAGCUUUAGUUCCUCGUUCUUCUUCUUAGAGCUAACUCUCUCAUUCUUUACUUUGUUUACCUUAGACGGUGAGCUGAGUCUCUUUUUAGCUUUUAUUCUUUCGCCUACCUAAUGUUCUGAGUAAGCUUAUCUUGUAAAGUCUUAACUUCAGAUGUGUGUUUGGUUUCCACUUUGGUGGUGUAUGAUUUCCAGGUUCUCUGCUUAAUUGGCUUUGCUGAAAAUUUUGUUUUCCAGUUACUUCAGCGCUUUGUGGUUUUGCAAGGUGAAAUCUUUAUUCUUUCACCUAGCUAAUGUUCUCAGUAAGCUUAUCUUCUGAAGUCUUCACUCUUUGCUUUAUUUGUGCCUCUUGAUGGUUUGCUGCAGAUUAAUUCUUUAAGAAUGGGUCGGAAUAGAGUAUAUGGAAGUUUGGAGGAGGCUCGUGCUGCGAAAAAUCGAAGGAGCCGCGAGCGGCGUGCUGCUGUUCAUCGUGGAAUGAUGCGCCAUUAGGAGUGUGUACAUUAGCUGUCAUGGCUUUUAAUAUACGUGAUCCAAAUGCUAUGAAUCAACCAAAUAUGGGAGCCACUGAAUCAUCAUUGGCGUCGGACUCAAUGUUUGCAUCUGCAGAGAGUAAUGCAGAGCAAUUUGCGACUGUAUGUCUGUGUUUAUUUUGAGCAUACCUCGUGGAAUGUAAACUAUUGUUUAAAUCCUUUGGAAUAAAUGUUAGAUUAUUUAUGUCAGCAAUGGUUUCGUCCAAGCAUGUACUUUGGUAUGGCUAACCAGUUGAUCAGAUGUUAGCUUUUAUCUAUUACAGAUCAGAUUGACUUAUUUAGGCACACCGAACUCAUAAUCUUUACCUAUGCUUUGGUUGUUUUGUAGGAAAAUCAACGAGAUGUAUCUAGGCCUAUUGCUGAUGGUGUUAACAAGGUUACACCAUUGCUGAUGGUGUAUCUAUACUGUGAUUUUUGUGAGCUUGAGGGGUGUUUUGGUCUUUUGGCAUUGGAUGGCAAUGGUUUUGCUGGAAAUUCACUUCUGUCCGCGUGGGGCUCUUGAAUGGGAACAUUUUCGCCGUCAGCAAUUUUCUCUCAUUCUGUUCUUGGUUCUGUUCUAGGUUUUCUUUACCUCAGCUGUCCAGGCAAUUUAGGCGGUGAGUUGAGCUGAACCCAGUGCGCACCGCUUCAAGGUUUUGGGAGCUGCUACUUUUUCUUAUUCUUUUGUCGGUCUUGUUUCCUCUCGUUCUUUUCUUGGCCUUCUUUACCAGGUGUGUUUUUCCCAUUCCUCAUUCUUUUUCUUAGCUUUCUCUGGCCAGUGCUUUUUCCUUCCCUUGUUUUCCUAUUGAAUUUUCUGAGGACGGCGAUGAUUCCUGAUAGAUAGUCUUGCUGUAGUUAUGCCUUAUGUUACUGCUACUUCUUUGUUUUAAUGCAGCUGCUGCUUGGCUUAGGUAUAGCUAUGGUGGAUAUUACUCAGUGUAACCUUGCGAUAUCUUUAUUUGUUCUUCUUUGGCUGGAAUUGGAGAACAAUUGCUCUUUUUCUUGUUAAUGGAAUGCGUCGAUAUAGCUGUAAUAGUUAUUAUUCAAUUAAAUGUUAAGUUGUGUUUUUCGUUCCUUUUCUUUGUGCUGUAGAUUAAUGCUUUGAGAAUGGGUCGGAAUAGAGUAUACGGAAGCUUGGAAGAGGCAAUUAAACCAGAAUUAACUAUAAAACAGGUCUUUGCAUAAUUAAUGCUUUUACAAAUAUCUUGAAAUAAUAUUUCUUACUCCAUUAAAACUUUUCCUAUCAGAAAUUAGCAGUGAGAAUCCGGGUUCUGAUAUGAGUUCAGUGUUGCAUGGAUUGGACAAGAUGAGUUUGGGGUACGGGGCUAAAGCAGACGAGAAACAGGGGAAUCUGUAAACCAUUUGGCCUGACUUCUCAAUGUGUUAAUUCGUUUUUUUAAUGAAGCUGUUUAGACUUCACUAAGAGACAUGAAAACUUACUGAGUGUUGUUUUGAUCGGUUAAGUGAAUUGUUAUCGCAAUACAAAGGUGAAUCUUUUUUCCAGAUUUAUUUUCUUUAGAAUUCAUCAAAUGCUAAUUUCCAUUUCAGAUUUAUUUUGUUUAUGCUUUCCCACUACUUUCUUUAUGAGACUGGGGAUUGCCAAGUUUGUCGCAUGAAUCAGGAAUAUAUUUUAUACUAAAGGCAAAACGAAGGGCUCUAGGAAAUGUCUGGUGUUUUGGCCGAGCAUCAUCCAGCGCUAGCCAAUGCCCUGAUCGUAUGAUUGUUGGGUAACGUGUUUGAUGGUGUGAGUGCAGCAAAGGGUGUAUGUUCCAGGAAGGGAAAAGGAGAAGCAAACUGUUGAGCUGAAGGUCUACAAUCAGGGAAUGUUCAAAACUGAGUUGUGUAACAAAUGGCAAGAAACCGGGGAAUGUCCCUAUGCAGAGAACUGCCAAUUUGCUCAUGGAAUUAAGGAGCUACGCCCUGUAUUUCGCCACCCAAGGUACAAGACUGAGGUAUGCCGUAUGGUGUUGAACGGUGAUCACUGCCCUUAUGGACACUGAUGCCACAUCUGCCACACCCUCACUGAUGCGGAGAAGCUUAUCAAGUCUAUGAACAUCAGGCCCCUAAAGCCACUCAAUCGUUAGGUCCAUGAUUAUAACUCCCCUAAAUGAUGUUAGACAACUGCAAAAGUCUUGGCUGGUAUGCAACGAUGCUUUUGUUCUUCAAAGUAAGCAAUUGAUUAAUAGGCAAUAAGGCUAAGGUCUACUGAUGUGAUAAUACUGACUGCUUGAUUAAAAAAAAAACUGUAUGAUCCGUAGUCAAGGAGAUUAAAAGUAACAUUUCUCGGCAGUGCACCUUUGAUGAGUUACUGUGCAUUGUUUGCAAACAAACACCUGGCUAACACCAAUGCAAACCACCGCCACGGCCUAACCUUUCCCUGCUGGCUUUUCCUGUCGGUUGAAUAAUUCUCUUUGCCCUCCAAUUUUUCAAACUCAUGCUCAUUAUAAUAAAAUACCAGGUUCUAGCUACCUGACGCAUAGCGUCAGGGCAGAAUACCUAGUCCUUACAGAAAGCCGGCCUUACGGAAUCUGGUGGUCACCGAAGCAAAAAAGGUGGCUGAACUGAAGAUGAGUCCUACAUAUAUGGACACUGUUGCAUUGACGAGGAGUCACUGUAACUCACAAAAUGAGUGGCUAACGUGGUGCCAAAUAUAGGGUUUAAUCCAUUGUUACAGGUUUUACUAGGGAUAAAAUUGUGAUGUUGAAUUUAAUACAACCAAUACUAAGUUUUUCUAUAAAAUAAAUGAGUUUCAUAAUUUAUGUAAUUUACUCUUUAAAUAAAAUAACACUUUUUUUUUUUGCUCUUUCUUGAAACCUUUUUCUCUCUUUGUGUUUUUCUUUUCCCUCUAAAUUCUCUUUCUAUUUUUUUUGUUGCUAUUUUCUUAUAAUUUUCCAUUGUUGAAUUCAAAUCUAUGAGGAGUGUUAGUUUAAGAAAUCAAUUAGUGUUGGAUUCGCUAAGAUAGUUGAGGAAAAUUAAAAAAAAGCGUAGCACAACCAAAAAGUGAAGAAAAAUCUUGUUUUUACAUGUUUUACUGAUUUCUGGUGAACUAUGAUUUUUCUCCGUAUUUGAUAGGCUUUUUGCUAUGUGGAUCUUUAAGUAAAUUCAAAUUGGAUAUAUAACUACUCGGUUUUCGGUUGAACUAAUAUAAUCAACCAAUUCAAUUUGAAUUUAAAGUAUUGGUUUUAACGGAUAUUCAAGCUUUACUUGGCUCGAUAUCACCCCUAUUCGUAACCUUAUGGAGAUCAUCCAUCACGAUUAGGAUUACAGAUGUACUUUUUCGUUUCUUUUUUCUCUUGGAGGCCAAACCCUAGUUGCAUGGAUAACAUCUUAAAUGGGUGAAAUCCACUAAAGCUCAUCUUACCGAAUCCGAUGGUCAUUGAAAAAGAGGGCCGAAGCUGAGUCCCAUACAUAAAUACACACACAUAUAUAUAAGAGUAAAUGUUAUAUAUAUUGACGAUAUAUACACUAUUACCAUUUGUAUAUUGUCAUUCACACUAUCACUACAUGCAAAAUUAAUUCUAUAAAUAAUAAUAUUGUGUAGUAUAUGUAAUUCUAAUAUAUACAAAAUUGGGAAUUCAGACGGAGACACUAUUUGUCUAUUUCUUCCCCUUCAAUUCCUUUCCUUUAUUAGGUCUUAGUAGGUGUAAAGUUGUGAACUUUAGGCCUUGAAUGAUUGCGUAUUUUUGUCAUUUUGCCGCAUAUUGAUAACAAUGUGUGUGUGUGUGUAUGUUUUUUUUUUUUUAAAUUUGUGGUGCGGUUGAACGGAACUAGUUGUAUCACUCUGAAUGGUGCUUGUGUUUAUCUUUCCCUCUCAUUCUUAACUGGACCUUCAUUUCCUUAGUUUUUCCUUGUCCUCCCCUUCUUAUUUUCUCUAUCCUUCCGAAUUGACAUAAGGUCUUAAGUGAAAUCAUUUCAUAGUGGUGAUGAAUUGGAAAUUGUAGUUAUUAAAUCUGGCCGGAGAAGAACUUGACCAAAGAAUUGGAUCAACGUGUUACUGGUCCAAUAAUUUGUGUUACAUCUUUUUGUUUCAUGAGUAUCAAUAAUUUUCACCUUUUAUAUUAGUCAUGUCUUACCAAAAAGCAUGUUUAGACAGGAAAUAGUUUUUCUAUUGUUUUAUAGAAUCAAAUUAUGUAUAAAUAUUCGGUCUCAUUUGGAUUGCUAUUUUUUGAAAUUUUUGUAAAAGAAGAAAAAUGUAUUAUAACAAUUUGAUGUAUGUGAGAUAAAAAAAUAAUUUAAAAAUAUGAUCAUGAAAAACAUACUAUUUUUUUUGAAAAAUUUGUAUGAGAUUUCAUUUGAUGAAAAACAUAAUUGCUUAUGCACAAGAGGACCCGUGUUCUGGCCUCUUCCAUGAAAUUGAAUUUUCUCCCAAACACCACCCAUCAACCCACCGGGUUGCUGCAAAUCCUGCCCGUGUUGUAUAAAAAGAAAUACUGGAAAAGUUACGGGCAUGGAUGUAUAAUUCCAUUCUUCUAUUCCCCUUUUUGAACAACUCUGCAGACGUUCUCUUUUACUGUCAUCGCCGUCCUGAUUCUUCCGCCAGCAAAUCAAUUCUUUUAUCUUCCUAUUUCCAUGUUUUUAUCUUUUGCUUUCUUCCUCUAUCCUACAAAGUCGCAAACAAAAAAAAUUUUAACUCUUUGUCUUAAAACAAGAAUAGGCCUUUUAGUCUACAGUUUUUUUGGUUUUUCCAUGAAACCUCUUUCUCUCUUAGUGUUUUUCAUUUCCCGUUAGAUUGUCCUUCUUUUGCUAAUAUUUUUGCAGAUAUACCAUUAUGUUAGUUUGAGAAAUCAAUUAGCGUUGGAUUUUGCAAAGAGAUUUGAUAACAAAUUUUGGCUUUCAUCUCAAAACUAAUUAUGAGUGAAGUGGUCCAAAAUCUCAACGCUCCCCCUCAUAUUCAUUUAGGUAUGUUCCAAAAUAAUAAAAACAAAAAAAAAAAGAGAAAAUAAAAGAACAAAAUUAGAGUCAGUCCUGGCUAUUGUGUUCUGACUUUGCUUUGCUGGCGUAGAUGUUUAGAGCUACUACCUGCUGAUUAUUAGGUAGAUGCAUGGAGAGAAAAGGCAAGUGGGAAUAUUUUAGUUUAAGUUUCUGCGGACUAAUUCCACUGUAAUGGACGUGCCGAGCCUUGAAGAUAUGCACUAGAAAUCUGUCCCCGUGACCUUACCGAGAUCAUCCAUCAUGUUUUCCUUUUCACUUGUAGUUGGAUGGAUAACAUCCUAGAUGGGUGAAAAUGUGAAAUCCACUGAAUCUUCUUAUAAAGCUGACCUUACUGAGUCUGGCGAUCAUUGAGAAAAGGGGCUGAAGAUCAAUUUAAUAUGUUUUUAUAGUAGAUACUAUUGAGAAGAUGAAUACAUGUCUUUUAGCAAUAAAAGAAAAAUAACAGUAAGUUAUAUAUGGUCUCAUAAGUCAUAAAUAUUUAAGGCAUAAUGUCACUACCCUCACUUUUUUUUUUAUAACAUUUCUAACUCUAACUAGGGUAAAGUACAUAUUUUUAUACUUGAAGAUAAUAAAGUGUGUCUACCCCUAAAACUUUAGGGACUAAGUGUGAAUAACCCGCAUUUUUUUAAGCGCCAAUUGUCCUUAUUGCUAUCAUUUUCCUCAACCUGCCACUACCAGCCAAUAAAAAUUAUGUAGGUUUUUGUAGAACUUGAAAUCCGGAAUAAUUCCCUUAUCAUGAAACAGCUGUAGAACAUACGCACCAAAAAAGACACUUUAUGGAUCCGUUGGAUUAUUGAGUAUUUGUUGAUGGGCGCUCCUUUUUGGCCUGCUAAGAUUUCUACAAAUGCUUCAUGGAGCUGAAGGAAAAUUUUGCAACUAAGAAGUUGGAUGAAAAAUUGUUUUGUGUAAAAAGUAGGUGAUGGAUCCAGUAUCUUGGCACCCCCUGGGAGCUUUGCUAGAUCAUUUUCCUCAAUCUAUUAUUUCUAACUUUAAGAGCCAUAGUAUGGCUCAAAUAGCUACUAUUAUCAGGAAUGGGCAGAGGUAUUGGCCAACCAGUGGAAGGUUUGACAUACAAACACUUACUUUAUUGCAAAAGGUACCUUCUGAAAAAAUAUAAUGGAAGCUGAUCAGGUUGUAUGGAAAUAUGCAAAAAAAUGGUUUGUUUACAAAGACCAUGAAAGCAGUUCAACAACAUUGAGCUAAAGUUGAGUGGUCCAAUGUGGUGUGGAAGAAACCUUUUAUCCCUUGAUUUGCCUUUAUUCUUUGGUUACUUUACAGUGGCAAACUCAACACUAGAAGCAGACUGAAGAAAUGGGGAGUGGUAAAUGAUGAGUCCUGUGCAUAUUGCUGCAAUGACAAAGAAACAUGUGAUCAUCUUUUCUUUGCCUAUCCAGUUACUUUCCAAAUAUGGAAGCAGAUUCAGAGCUUACUUGUUGUUUACAGAGGUUCCUCUCCAUAGGUUAGUGAGAUGCAUUGGCAUUGUUUGCACUCCACUAGAAGCUAAUGAGAUUAUCAUUGGCCACUACGGUAUACUAUAUUUGGUGGGCUAGAUAUCAAAAGAUAUUCAAUAGUAUGCAUCAGAAUUGUGAAAAAGAUUGUCUCACAGAUCCAAACUGUGGCCAUGAACUAGAGAGGUGUAAGGAAAAACAAGGAGAACUGGGAACUCAGCUUAGCCUGAAGUUUUGACCAGUGCAUUUUUCUCUAUUUUUAUAUCUUCUUCUGAUUUUGUUUAUAUAGAGAAUUCUAGUUUACUGAUUGUAUAGUUUGUUAUGGUUGCACUACAGGGAGUGGUAACUCAAUGAAUUCCUGGUGUAUGUGCUUAUUGCUAUGUCAAUAAAAUUUUCUUUUAUUAAAAAAAUUCUACUAUAAUUAAAUAACAAUAAUUGGCUAGAAUAAAGGUACGAUAUCAUUUAACAAAAUAACUUAUUUAGUACUAAUGAUAGACUCUUUGUUGUUAUAAAGAAUUUAUAUCUUAUUGAAACACUUCAUAAAUUAGGAUAUUGCAUAUUACAUGAUGACCAAAAAAAAAAACACAUAUGCUAAUAUACCACUUUAAUUAAGGGCAAAUUAAGUGGAUUAAAAAAAAGUAAGAAACAUCACUAUGUAAAUCAUCCAACACACUUUUAUAUGGAGUAUAGAUAAUACCAAGAUAGAACAACAGAUUAUGGAUCUAGUUGUUAGAAACUCAGCAAUAAUGCUAACUCAUGAAAUUCAAAAAAAAAAAAAAAACACCAGGAGCCUAGAGGUAAACAUGUGCAUACAUGUGGAGAACGCAUCGUAAAUUCUCGCAUAUACUCCUUCCAUCUCACUAAAAAUGUGAUACUUUCUAUUUUGAAAUAUCUCAAAAUUUUUGUCAUAUUAAAAAAGUCAAAAUAGUUUUUAGUUUCUUCUUCCAACAUGGGAGGAAGUUUAUUGAAUUUUAACCAAGAAUUGUAUACAUUUGAGAUUGAAAGAAGCCAUAGUGUAUACGGUAGAGCUUGAUGCUUUUAACAAUCGUAAUUGACUAAAUUGUAUUCUUUACUAAACUUAAUAAUGGGUUAUUGUAUCCUUUCUUCCUUUGUGUUGAUAUAGAAUUUGAUAUAUGAUAUGAUAUUUAUCAAAAGAUCAUUGUAGGAGAAUAGGACAUGAAGGUUAGUUAAAAUAAUUUCCGCCAUCAAUAUUAUUUAACUAUGGCUUUCAAAUAAGUAAAAUAUACUAAAAUAAUUACUAUAAAUACUUAGCAUGGCAAAUAUAUAAAAAGAAAAAGGGCACAAACAAGCAACUCAUAUAUCAUUGAGCACAACAUCAAGAAAACAAUUACAGUGCAAACUUUUACCGAUACAUUGUAAUACUUGCUCUUUAAGAUCUAAGACUUCUUGAAUUGGGGUACAAAGGAAACACAGUCACACAGGCUUGAAAGAAAAGGAAAAAGCUGAAAGCACGUAAUUGUACUAGUUAAAUCACUCCCAGCAUUCAUGCAACUUAAUAUCCACUCGUAGCCGGAAGUAAUAAUUUCCCUCGUAUGCAUCAGUCGUCAAAAUGGCAAUGCCUCUAGCCAUGAAGAAGUCACCAGUUCCGCUUGUUAUCGAAACAAUCCUAGUCUGGUUUAGAAUAGGAUCAGGACCAGCAAAGUUAAGCGAACCCUUGUGUUGUGUGGAAUUGAAGACGAAGGAGAAGGAAAGCCAAGCAGAAAAUGCAUUUAGCUGAUCGUAUACGUACAUGCCCUGUGCUCUUCCCACUGGAGUCGAAUGCAGAUUGUUGUCUAAAGUGAUGGGGUCGUCGAAAACCACCAGGUCUCCAAAGUCGAAAGGUCUUGCAAAUUCUGUUCUGUUACCCCAGUCGGGCGCCCCUACUAUGGCUGAAGUUGCAUUGUCCUUAUUAUGGCCCUUGUAUAGGAUAUCGUGGAAGUAAAAUGAGAGCUCUUUGCAGGGCCGUCCACGACGAUGAGUUUUGUAGCCGUGACUGGUGGUGAAAAUAGAUAAAAGGAGGCAAAGAAAGAGAGCCAGGAUGAGGGGUCUUACCGCCAUUGCUGUUCACCUUUUGCUUGAGCUUCUGACGAACGACUGACUGAUGAAGAUCUAUCACCAUUUCCUCUCCUUUUUAUAGUGCAAGUGUUACUUUGAUUACUAAAACUCUUUUUUUAAAGGCAAUAAACAACAUUUCAUUAAAUUUGCACAAAUGGCAGAAAUUACAUAAAUUAUGCAUACAGAUACAAGCAAAUCUGAAAAACAAAUACUAGAUACUACAUAUUUGAAAAUUUUAUAGAAUAUUACACUUUGAAAUUUCAAAAAUAUCAAAAGAUAAAUUGAGUUAAUAACACUUUGCUUCCUGAAUUCUGGAAGUAGUCACACUUUGCUACCUCAACUUUAACAAAUACACUUCACCUCCCCCAGAACUAGUAAACCUUCAUAAUCUGAACGCUAUGAAAAAAAGUGAGCAUUAUGACAAGAUUGCCAUUUUGUUGCUGAAAUGAUUUGUAGCAACUAUUAUUGCCUUUCUCUUGCCCAAAAUAGAGAAACUUUUAAUUUAACCUCUUUUUUUCCUCUAAAUUUAAAAAGUAAGGCAUAUUGCACUUUUUAACAAUUUUAGUUAAGAAUUUAAUAUUUGACAAACCAAAAAUAAAAAGACUACUAUUUUAAUAGUUUAAAUAAACUAAUAUAAUAAAAUUUAUUUUUCAAGAAUAACAAGUUUAGUAGUAUUUUAUUUUUUUCAAAAACUUUCUAACUCUAUUUAUUGGUAUUACUGUGCUAUUUAUCCUUAUUGUUGGUUUCAAAGUCCAAUAAAUUGAACAUAGUAUAUAUAAAAGUGAAGAUUAUUACAAUAGGAAAAAUUUUAAGGAUAAUAAACUAAAUGUAAACUUUUUUCAACUUUUAUCAAUUUGAUAUUGUUGUAUAGGAGAUACCGUUGACAAGAUGCAUGUCUUUUAGCAAUAAAAGAAAAAUAAUAGCAAGUUUUAUAUGGUCUCAUAAAUAUUUAGAGCAAUAAUGCCAUUACACUCACUUUUUUUCCCAUUUCUACUUUAACUAGGGUAAAUUGUAUAUUUUUAUAGUUAAGGGUAAUAAAAUGUGACUAUCUCCAAAGUUUAAUGGGUUUAAGUGUGAAUAGCCUGUCUUUUACAAAAGCGCCAAUCGUCCAUAGUGCUAUCAUUUUCCUCAACCUACCACUACCAGCAAAUAAAAAUUAAUUUUUUUUUUUUUUUUGCAAAAUAAUACGGUAGAUAGAACAACAGAUUAUGGAUCGAAUUGCAGAGACUCAACAAUAAUGCUAGCUGAAAUUAAAAAUAAAAACUUCUGGAGUCUAGAGGUAAACGUGCAUGUGCAUAUGCAUGUGGAGAACGCAAGUCGCAGAUCCUUGCAUAUAUGCAUUUAGGUAUGUUACAAAAGAAUAAAACAAAAAAGAGAGAAAAAAAAUAAUGUAUUUAGUCCUGGCUAUUUUGUUCUGAUUUCGCUUUGCUUGUCUACAUGUAACAUGUUUAGGAAGAUGCAUGGAAAGAAGGGUAUGCAUUUAGCUAUAUUCCAAAAGAAUAAAACAAAAAAGAGAGAGAAAAAAAAAAGGACAAAAAAUAAUGCAUUUAGCCCUGUCUAUUUUGUUCUGAUUUUGCUUUGCUUGUCUGCAUCUAACAUGUUUAGGUAGAUGCAUGGAAAGAAGGAUAGUGGCAAUACUUUAGUUUUAAGUUUCUACGAACCAAUUCCGUUUUAAUGAAUUUGCCAAGCCUUACAGAUAAACUUGCACUAGAAAUCUGUCCCCGCGUCGUUACGGACGAGAUCAUUAUUAGGAUUACAGAUGUACUACAUUUUGUUUUUCACUUCUAGUUGGAUGGAUAACAUCCCAGAAUCAGAUGGGUGAAAAUGUGAAAUCCACAAGAUCGUCAUACAAAGCUAUUCUUACUGAAUCUGGCGGUCAUGGCGAAAGGGGCUGAAGUCUUCAAAUUUUUGGUGGCUCUUUUUCUCCUAAUAUUUUGUCAAUGUCAGACUUUGCAUUUUUUGUUUUCUUUUGGUUUUAACUUUAAGGGAAGAACUGCGAAUAUCUGCUUUAGCAUUUAAGAAGUGGGAGUGGGAGCUAGAUUAUCUUUUUGAUUUGCAUGGUUUAAAUUUUUAAAACCCUUUAUCAUCUUCCCUUGCCUGGCUUAAUUUCAUGGAGAAAUAUGUAUAUCCCAAGAUUCAUGCUAGAAAGCUGUUACCCUCUUUGCUUUCCUGUACUUUUUCCACACUUUCUGAUGCUCGUAGAGUGUGUGCUAGCCAGUUUGAUUAAAAAAAAAAAAAGAACGAUAAUGCAAGAAAACGAAAGCUGGUUGGCUAAUUUGUUUUCGAUCCCUUGUCAUUCAUCUCUUAAAAUAAGGCAAACAAUGUAAGGAAAAAAGUAUACGUCUUGUCUAUUAUCGUUUUGUAAAAACAAGGGAUAAUCUCUUGACCUGACAUUGACAGUGUUGGUGGCCGAAUCUUAAGAAUAGUUGUUUACUGAUAGCUAUCCGCGUCCCCAUUCCCCAUUGCGUUGGUGAACUUUGCAUUUCGAUUUGGGAUAAUUUAGAAACCCAAGGGAGGUUUCUGACAUUCCCACUAUCAUCUACCAAAGUUUUCAAAAUAUCAAAAACUUCUCCUAAAAUAUCAAUAUAGCAAAAUAUUGUGUGACAUUGGAUUAGGGGACGACCAAUUAGCGAGAAAAAAUUGCUCUGUACGGUUGGCCUAAAUAGCUAGCAAACAAGGAAAGAUUAAAUUACAUGCAGACUGUACAAUCCGUCCUGUCAUUUACUACCCAAUUUUUAGGUGAAGAUUCCAUGGAUUUUUUUUAAGCCGUAAUCGGCCAAGGCUCCUACUCUCGUUCUCCUCUACCUACCACUACCAGCCAAUUACAUUGCCUUAGAAAGUCACCGCGGCCAUCUUAUUUUAUAGAUUCCUUUUCUGCUGCAUACCGUUGAUUUUGUCUUUAUAUCCAACAUCAAAAAUUUUAUAAAAAAAUCUCUUCUCUUAGUGGUUAUAGAUAUGGUGGACUUAAAUGAAUUUAAAUAUACUAAAUGCACUAGUCCAAAUACCGUAUGUAUUGGUCCAAGAGAGUUUUAGAAGGUUUAUGCCUCAAUUUAAGAGAGGUUUUGAUAAACAUCGAACCAAAAAAGUAAGUUAUGGACUUUUUGGUUAUUAAGCAUUUUGUGCUAUUUAAUCUAUUUUGUGUUUUCUGUUUUAGGUGCUUUUUGGUCUAGGAAUUAUUUCCUAGAUUUUUUGUACUCUUUCUUUUAUACUCUCUUUUUGUUAUAAUAAAUUUGCUACUCCUUCACCCGUGAACAUAGGUCAAUUUGUCUGAAUCAUGAAAAUUCUUCAUCCUUUUAUUUAUUUUAUUUGAUUUGUUAUUAUUUUUAUUGGGUUGUUAAGAACCAUAUUUUCUUGUUGGUCAAUUUUUUGGAACUAGACCUAACAAAUUGAUAUCAGAAUUUCAGAUUUUGAGUUCUUGAUGAUAAUAAUAGACUAUCGAUAUCAAUUAUGGGAUAUUGAUUUAGUGCUACAGAGAGUGAAAAAAAAUUUUCCAUUGGAGUUCAGUUGGAUUUUUGAAGAAGAAUUAUUUGGCUUGUUGGAACUCGUUGAGGGUUUUAAGAAAAAGGUGGAAUAAGAUUACUAUGUUCAUAUUUUUUAGCCUGUUGGGAUCUAUUGAAUCUUUUGUGAGUUUUGACUCGUUGGGACCUAUUAAACCUUUUGCAUCUUGGUUCGUUGGUGGCUCGUUGGGAUCUCGUUGGGAUCUGUUGAAACUUUGAUAAUUCGUUGAGAUCCGUUGAAAUUUUUAUAAAGAAGGUGGAGCUUGUUUGCUAUUUGUCUACUAUUUAUCAAUGUUAGAUACACGCUAAGGUGGAUAUUUGUUGAAUGUGUUUUUGUAUCUCACAUUGAAAAUUUUACAAAGAAAUCUCUUCUCUUGAUAGUUAUAAAUAUGGUGGAUUUAAAUGAAUUUAAGUGUGUUAAGAACAUCAACCCAAAUGCCGUAUGUACCAAACCAAGAGAGUUUUAGGGGCCACACCCUAAUCUAAGAGAGGUUUUAGUUAGGCAUCAAUCCAAUUUGUUUAUAAGUUAAGAUGGAGUUCGUCAAAAACUCAUUUUCAUGAGGGAAGAGAAAGUGAGGAGUUUCACUUGAUUCCUAGCAUACUUCAUAAUCGCAGUGCAUGAGCAUGCUCUUAGGAAAUGUUUAUUUGUCCUUAGCAGAAAGAUAAACUAUAAGGGAAAAAAAAAAGUAAAAAGCAAAAUUGGCUUGAGCAACUUAGCAGAAACUGAAAAAAUAAAACUUAACAGAAACUGCGAGUGAUAAAUUCAUUCACUUUCUUUUUCUUAUUACAUUGUUCUUGAUUCAAAGAGAAAUCAACGGCAUUUCAAUCUGGAGAGUAGUACACGAUGUCUCACUGUCUCCAUUGUUUUAGACGAUCAAUAGUGAAGAACUACAACGUUGUACUCUGUAAUGAUAUCCAUGGUGGUCUCAUUAUAAAAAUAAGUCUUGGUGGUAACAAGUCCGCGCGCCAAUCGGAAAACCCCGGUGCCGCCAACGAUGGAGAAUUCGUCGACGUUAUACAAUUCAACAUCUCUUCCGAGCAUGUUCAGAGUGCUUCCUUUGUACUCUCCCGCUGUGAAGCAGAAAUUCAUGUACAGGAUUAGUCCUAUUUCACUCAGGUCAGCGCAGGCAUAAAUGCCUUGGGCUCGACCAACUAUCGUCGAAUUCGGCUCAGGACCAACUGUCAGGGGAUCAUCAGCUACGUUAACUAGUCCGAACAGUGUGGGGGAUGUCGAAGUCGUGUUGGCGCGGGCCACGGUGACCGCCGUUGGGUUUUUCCCACUAACCGAGUCAUGGAUAUAGAAAUGGAGCUUUGUCACCUUCUCUUUUGCCUGGCCCAGCUUACUGAACCACUCAUCAACUGCUUCAGGGCCUUCUGCAAUGCCAUGAGUCGUUGCCACGGCUACGCCUGUCAGGAGGAGGAGGAGGAAGCAAUGCAUGACAGCAUGAGCAAUUGGCUUUGCCAUUUCUUCUGUCUAGUAACCCGCUGCUUUUCUUUAUUACUUUGAUCUCCCUCUACAUGCAAAGAGGUGAUAGUAUUUGUUCCUCUGGGGGGUGUGAAUUAGGGAAAGAGGUUUCUCUAUAUAUAGUUGUUCCAAAUUACCAACUCAACAAGGAGGGGCACAUAUUACAUGUAGAGAAUACACAAGGGAUCCUGUCAUCUGGUGCCCAAAGUUUGGAUGAAGAUUCAUGAAUAAUUUCUCUGAGCGGUAGCUGGCAAAAUGCGUUUGCACCCAGUGGCGGAGCUAGAAUUAACUUGGGGGGCGAGUCUAUAGCAAUGAAAGUAAAAUAUAUUUACAAAAAAAUAAUGUGAACAUAUAUACCACAAGAUUAGAAACAACCUUAUAUAGAAUGAAAAUUACUUAUACGCUUCACAUAUACAAAAAUAUCAUCAUAUUUACAAAUCUAUUUGAUUGUGUGGGAUAUAUGAAAUUGUGCACAACGACUUUUAAUUUUAUCAAAGUCAUCAAUGAUUGAAUUUAUAUCAAAAGUUCUAGCAAUUUCUUUCUCAAUAUACAUUAUCAUAGAGUUAGCAAGAAAGUCUUCCUCCAUCCUAGAACGUAAACAAGUCUUGAUGAUUUUCAUAGCAGAAAAUGCACGCUCUGUUGUAGCUGUUGAAACAGGAAGAGUCAAAAUAAGACGAAUCAAUCUAUCAAUAAGAGUAUACCACAUUGACUUUCUUGUCUUUGCUAACACUUGGCACAACUUCUGAAGUGAUGACAAAUUUUGAAGCCGAGAAUUACAGGAAAACUCAAUCUGGAAAAGCUCUAAUUGAGUUCUUAAGUGUAACUUCUCUUGAUAUGUGAAGUCAGCUAAAUAAAACUUGCUUGCAAGUUGACAAAUUUGUUCAAUAUUGAAAGCCUGAAAAUUAUCUUUGGGUUGCAAUGCUGAACUAAGAAUAAGCAAUUCUAUUACAUCUUCCUUAAACCUAUUCUUCAUUUCAAGUAUUUGAGAAUCAACCGUUGCCAAAAACACAUCAAUCCUGUAGUGAUGCUCCAUGGUAAUUGAAUCAUUUUGUUUCGAAUUCUUCCUCGACCUGCUUUAUAAAUGACAUUCAUAUCAGGCAUCUCUAUAUUUCGUGCAUCACAAAAUGUCUUUACAUUGGUGAACAAUUCAUUCCAUCCAUUAUCUCUGUAAUUUUGAAGUCGAUCCAUUAUCUCCGUACCUCAUCCCUUUGAUACUCUAGAUAUUUCCAAAUGGAUUUUCGCUUUCCAGGAUCACAUUUUAUGGAUGAAAUAUCAAACUCUAUUGAUUCAGCUCUACAAAAUUUCUUUGUUUGAUGCUUAGGAGAAGAAUCAUGAAGAGGAUAAGAAGUUUCACCACUUCCACUUGGUUCUAGAUGUCUUUUCUUGAAAAAUGAAUCAAUUGUCCUGUUGGCCAUUACCACUAUAUUUGCAACAAAACAACAACCUGUAAUUGAAAUAAAAUUGAUUGAGAAAUGCUGGUUAUGGCCUAUAGAAAUGGGAAUUCGACCAAUGCAAAAGACUGGUUUCCCUAAUUCCCUUACAAAUUUUGGCCAUUCAGCCUGACUGAAAAGCUCGGCCAUCACCCAAGGAAGCCAACAGGAUCCUCAAAAUAAAAUUAGUAUAAAAAUUGGAAAAGGAAACCAGUCUCAGAAUCAACUAAAAUAAAUGCUUAUCACCUGAAUUUAAAAGGCCAAGUACGAAAAACAAUACAAGUCCCUCUCGAGCAAUUCAUCAAAAACAACUGGCAGGCGAACUUUUUACAGCCACAUUUCACUAAAUAAAUGCAAUAUCAAACUAACCUAGUAAAUGAUAAUAGCUUGAAAUUUCAGAGCUUUUGGUACAUCCAGUUUCAAAGCCACGCGUUUCAACUUUUGCAGAAAAAUUCGGGUGAGAACUGAGGAGUUACAAUUCUCUGCCAUAGAGUAUUAGCUUGUAUUUUGAAAUGAAAAAAAAAAAAAAUUGGAGAUCGAAGAGGAAUUGAAGUUGGGACUUGAGAGUUGAGGCUUUUCUGUAAGAAGGAAAUAAGAGGUGAAUUGGUGAAAAAGGGCAAUUGUGAAGUUCAGAAAAUAGUAGGUAAGUUAUUUGGACCAAGUCUGUUAUUCUCCGUUAAGAAAAUAGUGGCAAUUCUCUGUUAUUUGGACCAAGUCCAAAUAACUUUCAAACAUUAUUGUUUGGGCCCUUGGGGGGCAAAGUGAAUUUUUUGAUCAAUUUUUGGGGAGGCAAAACAUAAUAAUAAAAAUUUUUUUACUUAGAAAUUUUUUUUUUAACAACCGUCCCCCUUCCCUCCGCCCCUGUUUGCACCAUUCUCCACUGCCUAGCGCCUACCACUACCGGCAACGUAAUCUGAAGAAUCACUCCCUAUCUUGUUUAUCUUCUAUCCAUGAUCUGUGCAAUCCUAUUCGUCUAUUUCUUUCUCACACUUUUUUGCCUUUUCCGUCGGCAAUCCUUUUUUUCUGUUUUUUUUUUUUGUCAUCGUCAAUUUAUCUGUCACAAUCCUAUUUAACUGUUUAUCUCCUUCUCUCUAUCCCUCUCUUUUUCUGUCACCUUGGUGGUCAACCUGGCGGCUACUACGAGGAAGGAAGAGCAAUUCUAUUCAGCUAUAAUAUAGUGAAAGUAUAUCAUGUAUCUAAUUGUGAUAAUAUUAAUAUAUAUAUAUAUAUAUAUAUAUAUAUAUAUAUAUAUAUAUAUAUAUAUAUAUAGUGUCAUUGUAUAUAACAUUAGCUCUUUUCUCCAAAGUAAAUAUGUUGACAAAAGUUAGAGGAGGCAAACUUGUGAUUAUACCAAAUAUUUACGACAUUUUAUACCAUAUUAAGUGGACAUUUUUCAAGAGAGAGGAGGCGAUGGCUCCCGCUGCUCCUGUUUCCCCGCCACUAUAUGAACUUAAAACAAAUUAGUGAUCAUAAGAAAAGAUGAAAGCUGAUAGAAGUUACUAUGAUAGUUGAUGGCUAAGGUCUUGUUUGAUAACCUAAUUCAUCAUUUAAAUUUAAUGGAUUCAGAUCUUAACAUAUUCAACCGUUUGAUAACAAAAAAUUGAAUAUCUGAAUUAAUUAAGUGGCACUGAAUUUUUUAGAUAAAACUUGUUCCCAAAAUUAAGUGAUAAACUAUUCACUUAUCACUGAAUGUGAUAUGCACUCAAAUGUAUCAGAUUUAAUACUCAACAAUUCAAUAAUUUGAUGGAUUCAAACUUCAUAUUUUAGAUUUUAAACUUCAAUUUUUCAAUUUUCAGUUUUAUCAAAUGCACCUUAACUCUAGAAACGGCAAAAUGGAUUCAUAUUCGCUUAUCCAUCCCACACAAACCAGGAUUUGGAUGACUGCAAUAAACUUACCGAGUUUAAAUGGAUAAUUCAUCUAAAUCCAAUUAUGUUGAUAAAUUUAAAUGGAUUAUUCAUAUCACCCAUAUAUAUCCACUUGUUACAAAAAUAGGUGCAAAUGUUAUAUUUCAGUCAAGUGAAAACCGAACCUUAUGGGACCACUUGCUGUUCCUUUUCAGAUUUCCCCCUGGUCCGUUUCCAUUUUAGUAAAAUUUUAUCUUAGUCUAAUUAUUAAUGCAUUAUUUUAAAAUUUAUCUUAGUCUUUACGCCUUCUUGCUAUGUUUUCCUUCUCUCUUUCAUAUAUGCUCUCAUAGAAAUUGCCGGUUGAUGGCACAUUCGCAGGAAUUAAGAAGAGAGUAUAUUAUCGUACAAUAUAAACCUAAUUUUUCAUUUGUCAUUUUUAUUAUUUUAUUUUGGAACAGUGGUUUCUAUUGUUUGUCUUGGUAUCUAGAGAGGGGAUUAUAGAUGGCUAAAUCUAGACCCUUACAAUCUAAUCCACACUCCUAAUACAUUAAUAACUAAUACCAUGAGCAUUGUUAACUUGUACCAUUACUGUUAAAAGUUGUACCAGGUUUGAAUUUAAUGGAGGGUAGAAUUUUUACUAAUAAAUCUUUUACACCAUAGAAAUGAAAACAAUCACAAUAAUUUCUUAAUCUAAUUGGUAGAAGGUUGGGAUAAAUUAUGAGUAUUGAGAAUUAGAAAAUUUUCAUAACAUUCUUUUUAGUAAUACAUUCUAAUCAAUUUUCAUGAAUUCUUAAUUUAAUUAAUAGGAAAAAAAUACAGUAGAAAUGAGGUGUGAAAAAAAAUUUCAAACUGUCAAGCAUUAUUAGAAAAUUAUGAAAAUGACUAAAAAAAUAUUCAUUUUGCCGCUUAUAGCUAAUUCUUUGGUAGGAUUUUUACUAAAAUAAAACACUUAGUGAGACCAAAAAUAAAACUUUACAGAGUAAUGUAAAAGUUAUCAACGUAAAAAACAAAAAAACCCGUAAAAGUUAACAACAGAAAAACGCCUUACUCUUGCUUUUUGCAUACUCCAUAUCUACUACUAUAGACUGAGUAUGGAUAAGGUGAAUAAUGAAAUGUUUUUCAAUUAGAAUCAUAUUUUUGUGUUUGGAACUGCACCCUGCUAUUCUCACAUGGAAUUUGAAACUUUUUCUGAUCAUUAGUACAAAACACUGGAAACUGAAUACAAUUUUUUUAUCCCUUUCACCAAACAAUUGAGAUCACCAUGAGGGGCACUUUUUUUAUUUCUUCACAAUAUUCUCUCGGGACUAGCAAAGGAUUAUCAAAUUGUAGCAGGUUGCAGGCAUAUACCUGCCCUUACUAGUCUAAUCAUAGUCAGGGGACAAGUUGUCUCUAUUCUCCACGUUACUUUUGUAUACAUCGAGACGGACUCAAUUUACCAAAUAAGCUAACCCAAAAUGAUUAAUUCAGCACAUGAAAGCCUGCAUUUUACUUAAGGAUAAGGGUAGGGACGGUCAUCAAAGGGGGUCAUCAAAAGGACCGUUCUGCAUAGUUUAUGGUCAGAAUUUGGUUAUAAAAAAUUGUAUAGUCCAAAUCACGUUUUGUAUCUUGAUUUUCAUAAUAUGUGUGGGACUUAUAAAAUUUUGUUCUAAUGUUACACGUUGUGCAAAUAAAAUUACAUCAUGUACAAAUAAAAUUACACGGUAUGUAAAAUGCACAAAACCGCCAGUUGCAACCGUUCCUGCCCGUGGUCCCUUACUUAGAACUUUUUUUCUUUUUCUUUUUUUUACGUCAGCCACUUGCACUAAUAUUGGAUAAAUGGGUACUAACCGAAAGUUAGAACAAUACAAGAGGAUGGUUUAAACCGAUGCUUUUUAAACUCUGGCAAGUUGAUUGUGUGAUUUCGGUUUUUUUUUUUGGUUCAACCAGCCAAUAUGUUGGUUCACCGAUUUAUUAGUUUUUAUAAGAAAAAAAUGAAAAAUAUUACUAUUUAUUAACUGCAUAUUCAUUUAAUUAGUUUUAGCCUAAUUCCCGAUCAAACAGGACAAAUAUUUAUUUAAUUAGUCCCUAUGGGUUAGGACCUUCGAUUUUAUAAACACAUUUUGAUCAAGAUGAAUGAGUCUCCUCAGAAAGUACUUGGAGGAUGUCUAGUGGCAGUUCUUUCGCUUCUCCAAUUAUGAAGAGGCAAGUAAAAAUGAAUAUGUCGAAUAAUAUCAUCAUUAAAGACUAUGUUAUAAGCUUUUCCCUGAACAUUUGAGCAGUAGACCAAUUCUGUUACCAUAAAAGUCUCGAAUAUCUAGCUAAUAUUCCUGUUUCAACAGGUUAGAAGGCAAAGUUGCUGUGAUUACGGGCGGUGCAAGUGGCAUUGGCGAAUGCACUGCGAGGCUGUUUGCCGAGCAUGGUGCUAAGGUCAUCAUUGCUGAUGUCCAAGAUGAUCUUGGCCACUCCAUAUGCAAAGAAAUCGAUUCCAUAGAAUCCUUUUCUUAUCUCCACUGCGAUGUAACAAAUGAAUCUGAUGUCAAAAACGUGGUGGACACCGCGAUUUCCAAACAUGGAAAGCUUGAUAUAAUGUUCGGUAAUGCGGGGAUUGCAGGAAAUGCUGAUCCAUCAAUCAUGGGUGGAGCUGAUUAUGACAACUUUAGAAAAGUCAUUGACGUUAAUGUGUUUGGCGCAUUUCUAUGUGCCAAACAUGCUUCUAGGGUAAUGGUCCCUGCCAAGAGAGGAAGCAUUCUUUUUACUUCUAGUAUUUGUUCGGUCACAUCUGGCGAUGCCUCUCAUGCUUAUACUGCGUCUAAGCAUGCGGUGAUAGGGCUGACCAAGAACUUGUGCGUCGAGUUGGGGCAGUAUGGGAUCAGAGUGAACUGUAUUUCUCCAUUUAUGGUCGCCACUCCGGCGCUGCUGAAUACUAUGGGAAUGAAGGAGAAGAAGGAAGCAGAGGAAUUCAUGUGUGGUAUUGCCAACUUGAAAGAGACCACCUUGGAGGCGGAUGAUAUUGCAGAAGCUGCAUUGUACCUUGCCUGUGAUGAAUCCAAGUAUGUUAGUGGGCUAAACCUUGUAGUUGAUGGUGGAUACAGCACAACCAACACUGCUAUGAAGGAAGGCAUCAAGAAACUCAUUGUUUCUUGAAUUGAAUUUUAGUGCCAUUUUGUUGUUGCCCCAGUUCUUCCUUUUGAAUUUCCAAUAAUAAAUCAAAUUAAGUGUUAAGAUGGAGUUCAGGCAUUUUAUUUUUGAAAAAGGAAAAUAAAAUCAGGUAUUAAACAAAGUACCACUUUGUUGUUGCCCUGUUUUUCCGUUUGUUUUAGGAUUAUUUAUGUUAAUUCAUGAAAAAUGCAUUGUAUCACUCACCACAUAUAUAUAUUUUUUGUGUUUUGCCUUGUUUUUUUUUAUCUACCUUUUAUUGCAAUUGGUUCCGCAAUAUUUUUUCCUCAUUCUUCUUUAUGUAUAUGUAAAUCAUAGAAUGAACGUUAAAUGAAUUGACACAAAUACCCCAUUAAACUAAUAAAAAUAAAUAAAUUUGACAGCAAAUUUUGAUGGAAUAACUAUUAAUAUACCACUUCUGUCAGUUGGGUACAUAAUUUGAAACUAAAAAUUGUUUAGUGACCAAAAGUAUAUUGAUCACGGAAAAAAAAAAAGAGUAUACUAUCGCUCAAUUUCUUAUGAGUUGUUUUGCUGCGUGACAAUGCAGCUUAAUCUCACCUACCAACAUUCUUGAAAAAAAAAUUAUUGAUGAUUCACAUUCCAUCAAGCAAAAUAUCCCCUAAAAAAUUACCCCGCUCUGUUCUCUAUAGCCCCUUUUUUUCUUAACCUAGAAUUUCUGUUUAUUUGCUAGAGUUGGAACUUUUGACAAUUAGUUUGAGUCGCGAGAUGUCUUUUUUCGUGUUUGGUUCUUCAUGCUUUGGUGCAUUCAUGUUCCUCUGAUAUUCUAUUAAAGCCAUUUUUUCUUCAUUUUGCAUAGCUUAUAGUUGCAGAAAUAGCAUCAAGAUGGGCAUUAGUUCUUGUAUUGAAGAGCUUGCCAAAAGGCAGUUGCAACUAUUUGUACAGCUCGAGGACCCAAACAGCACCCACACUACAUUGAAAUUUAAUGCCUUCAAAUCCAGCUGCGAUAGCCAAGGCCCGAACAUCAAUUUCUGAUCGCUCUUUUCCUCUAGGGGUUUGAAUCAUCAUGAACAAAUCAGUCUGAAAAAUGUCUUUUACCAAGGCACUAUUAUCAGGUUUCACAGGCAGGAUCAGAUCAACAACAAUUACUUUUCCAUGAUCUGGUAGAGCUUUGAAGCAGUUCUUCAGUAGUUGUAUGCAGAGAUCAUCGCUCCAAUUAUGGAGUAUCAUCUAUGACAAACAUCACCUUAUUCAGAUUGCAAAAUAUAUUAACAUGUAGCACCAUCUUGAAGCCUAAGUGUAACCCCUCUUGAGAAAAGUCAAUUUUAGUCAUUAGACGUAUAAACUAUCCAUUUCUGCUCUAAAAACGUUUUUAAUGAUCCCUGGUACGCAUAUAAAUAGGAGGUAAACAAAAUCCAGGUGUGACUCUCCGGUCUGAUUUGCAAGGUUUUCAUAUUGCAAUGGUAGGUGAUUGCAUAAAAAUUUACACGCACGAGUAAUCAAUAGAAUCAGCUUUUAUAAGGCUACUUCCUAUCUCACCGAAUCUAUCAAGUGUCUGUUCUUUUAGACAAAAGCGUGGAGUUCCAGAAGCAUUAAGGUUACCUUCAGAAAAAUGGCAUCUCCUUUUGGAACACUUUCAAACAUAUCUCCACCAAUGUGUUCCACUCCUGCACCAUAUUUUUUUUUUUUAUGAAAAAUGUAAAUCUAUGUGACUAACAAUAUUAAUCUGGAAACAGAUUCAUAUCUACCAUUAUAUUGCCACACAUCUCUAUCAUUAGUACAUAGGACUAGUACGUAGCUAUUUCAUUUAACAUAAUAAGAACGAGGGCAUCAGUAUAAAUGCCUAAGCUUUUCGGUAAAUCCUACCAUAGCGAGUCAGUCUGGGCAAUAUGCAUUCUGUGUCAAGGUCCUGCACAAGCUUUUACUGUUAAUUUGCUUUUGAUAAACGAAACUUUUUAUCCAGUCAAAUAAAGUUUUUGAAAUAAGAAAAGGCAAAGAUAUUCAUAUCAAUCUCUAUUUUUAUUCCUCAGGCAACGCAUACACAUGUAAAACUUCGUUAGCAUUAAGGAACAGUUAGUAAUUAAUAUCUCUGCAUCGUAUUAAGCUGAACAAAGGCUUAUUUAGUUCUUAAGCGAAUGUGCAGUCCUCAUGAUUAGCAUUUAUAGUUCAUAGAGAUGUCCUGUAUGCCAAACUUGUUUAUUUAUUCCUCGAUACAAUAACAUGACAUAUAAAAAAAAUUAUGUGUGACAGUGCACUUGCCCAUGGUACAUAUUGCAGAAUAUAAAUCAAAUUAGAAUUCCUCUGCAGUAAGCCACGCUGAAAUUAAUGAGAUUCUAUAUAUUAAAAUUGCUACUUUAUUUGAUAUAAGGAAUAUUGAUUUCAUUUGAAGAAUGAAGAUAUCGGUUCAGAAAAAAUAUUACUCCAAUUAUGUGAAAUUUCUUGAAUCAAAAUCAAUUGCUAGUGUGGACUUAAAUGGUAAACAAGCAAAAUAUAUGAAGACUACUAGCUAUGUUUUAACAGUGCAAAUUACCUGGAUAGGAUGGCGCAUUUUCAAUGACAUUUGGCAGGUCAAAAUUGAUCCCCCUUAUAGAAGGGUACUUUGACACAAUCUUGUGGAGGGACAUUCCAAGCCCACCACCAACAUCAACUAAUGUCUGAAGGUUCUCAAAACCUUUAUAUUGAUGAAGCAGUUCUUUCAUUGUUAUGACUGUAGGACCAACCAUGCCCUUAUUGAAUAGAUCAGUAAACCUGGGAUCCCUGCUACAAUAGUCAAAUACAUGUGUACCAUGGACUCUACUGAAUGGAAUUCCUCCUUCAAGCACAGCAUUCCCCAGUUCAUACCUAGAAUGAAAGCUGAAUGUGAGGAACCAACAAAUUGCAACCGUAUGAAUUUUCACAUAUCAGAUUGGAUUUUGCUAGAAAAGUUUAUUGAUGCAGCUUGUUACUCCUUCUGUCUCAUUCAAAAUAUUAUACUUUCUUGCGAGUCUAUCCCAACACUUCACAUACCUUAAACGGUAAACAAAUUUUUCUUCCUUCAAUAUGUGUAAUCUUUAGCACAAGUCUAAUUGUAAUUUAUGGGUCUGAUGAAUCUAGGUUACUUAUCCUGCAACAAAUGUUCUACCUGUUUGGUGUUCCUUUCCAAAAGAUUAAUAACACAUUUAGAUGUUUAACAGUCUGAGGAGUGAGGAUAUCUGACUCAACUCAACCACCACAGUCCACAGUCCACACGUAUAGACUUCAGAAAGAAGAUUGGAGAUAUGGAAUGGAGGGAGUUAGCCUCCUUUUGGAUAGUGUGAUUAAUAGACAGGAGUUUUUUGCAAAAACAUUAAUGUAUCACUUCUGGAUGGGCGUGUAAGGUGAUAUAUCAAAGGUGUUUCAAAAUCUUGUUUGGGGAAAACGUGUUUUCGAAAUGUCCAAACUCCAAAACAAGCUUACCUGAAACGUUUUAUGGAGCCUUGUUUAUUCAGGGGAAGAGGGGCUCCUACAGGCAUCAAUCACAAUUUGUUUUUCAUAUUGUUGUAUCAGUGUUUAUAAUACAUGUGUUACUGUUUACAUCCUAUCAUGCAAUUGGGACGGAUGAUUUUAGAAGCUCGAAUCCUAUCAGGUUUGUUAUGGUUUAAAGAUAUCAGGUUUUAAUAGUACUACUACUUUGUCUCAUCUAAGUAUGCGAUCAAUUUACUGAAAGAUUCCGCAUUCAAUACUCCAAAAUCCAGAACCAACAGACCUGGGAAUACUCAUUGGAAAAAAAAACUCAAAUUUAUUUACAGAAACACUACCAAGCAUUUAGGUCUUACCAGCAGUCCAUCAGGACUUUAUCUUGAACAAGCUCCAGGGUCGGCGCAAGUGAGUUUCCCUCCUCAUCGGGUACAAAAUAUUCGCCGACUGGAGACAACCCGUAAACUCUUUCAUAUCCAACAUCAUUUUUGCCACCAGCACCGCCGUCUGCAACCUCGACAACGUCGCAACUGAGCAGCGAGUGGCUACUCAACAACCGAAGCAUCCUGUCAAGCAUGGAAGAUGCAUCAGGAUUUUUGGUCUUGAGCAACACGGAUGCGAUUUUUGAAGGUGACAGUUUUGCUCCUGGGCCGGCUUUGGCUAUUAUUUCAAACAACUUUAGCUUGACUGCGGUGUAUAAAACCAUGCUGAGUGAUGCUGAGGUGAUCAGGUGCAUGGCAUAGGAGAAAUGGUCCGGCUGCUUUCCUUCUUUCACAUUUCCAUAGGCUAAUGGUGACAAUGAUGAUUUCAGUUGGGUUUUUUCUGAAUUCUCCAUUUUAACUGAUUUUGGAUUUCUACUAGCUUUCGACUUUAUAUAUGGAAGCACUCCAUAGACUAUGCCACUAUGGGUUAUCUCCCCCUCCAUAUCCAAUUUUUCUUUUCCUCUCUAUUACCAUAGCGAGAUGGUCUGAACAUUUGAUGUAUAUUUUACUUGGAGACAAGAAUCAUUGCUUCUGGAUUAACGGUCGGAAUAUAGGAAGUCGACAAAUUUGUUCCACGUUUCCUGAACAGUUGUAUGCUGUGUAGCUUUCUAUAUUGCAAGUUGAAGUCUGAGUUAACCUUGGAUGGUUUCAGAUCAUUCAAGUUUAAUAAUGUUAUCUAUAAUGUCCACCUCAUAAGCAUGCAAUUAUGUUAGAUAGGUUUUUGGUUCUUUCUAAGUGGUAUCAUGCUAAUUUUCAGAGUGAAAUAUGACAACUAAUACGGUAGUGUAUGUUGAUGGACCUGAGCAGAAUCAAGUCUUUAAUAGCAAAGAUUUUUUUGUGUGUGUAAUAUAGGCAUAGACUCUGUGUGUGUGUAUGUAAAUGGUACCAACUACUUAGUUUACAACUAAUUAAUUGACAACGAAUCUCUUCGGCACCAACUGCCUAAUGGCUUUCGAUCAUGCAGCGAAUUGAAGUUCAAGUUGAUUUUGUAAAUUUAUGUAUUUUUCAAAUUCUAAAUUAGGUGACUUAAGGCUUGCUCUAAAUUCAACCUCCAAAACAUGCAAGCAUCUUAGUCAUGAUUUUUUUUUUUUUUUUUGGUCUUUUUAAAAUGAACUUAUGCGGAUUUUGGAGAAUGAUGUUGUAUAACAGACAUCUUUGUUAGUCAAAUGGAAAAGACUUUGACAAUGGUCUUAGAGGGCUCAAGCACAGUAAACACAUCAAAGUAUCCAUGAUACCAGAGGCUUAAGCAGUAUUACACUAAUUUGGAGAGUGAAAUUGAACAAAUAAAAAGUAAUUUCUUUAAGGGCCCGACUGCUAUAAUUUUAUAUCUGGGAGGGCUUAAUUGAGAUUCACAUACUAAAAUUUUCAUACAUUUCAUAUCUGGGUGCUGGAUGCUCCUCUUUUCUUCCUAAAUUGACAUUUUCAUUUUCUUAAAGUAUAGUUGCCAGCUCAUGCUUGCUGUUCAAUUCCCUCAAUGUUUUUAUAAAUCGUCAACCAAGUUGGCAGUUGGUGGUGUGAUCUUGUCGUUACUUCAUUUGGUAGGGAGUGGGGAAACUAAUAUUACAACAAAUGGUAGGCGAUUAUAUAUGGUGGUAUCCCCUCUUAAGAAUUAAAUAUUUUUCUUCAUGAUUAAUUUAGUUCAUCCACCAUAUUAAGUGGAGUAGUUGUGGAAUUCUUAGUCCUGUUUGGAACUGUAAUACUGAAUUUGGCCUACACACAAAGGCUAUAGCGAUAUAAUAAGAAGCAUGAUAAUGCAUGUGAGGCACGGUAUAUCGUACAUGAAUCGUAGAAAUCAAGCCCUAACCAAAUUUAUGACUCUCUUACAGGGUUUGAGUUUCGGCAAUAUUUGUGUAACAUCCAAUCCAUUGACAUAUCUACUUACACCUUAUCAAAUUAAAAUAGAAAUGGUUGAGUUUCUCUGUGUCAAAAAACUACACAUGCAUAGCAUUCUAGCUGGCCAUAUUUCAUUUGAUAUUUAGUGUCAAAAACUUCAAAGAUUUCAUUUGAUACACUCGGGUAUCAAAUAUUCCUCUUACUCGAUCUAUGAAAUAAGGAUCAUAGCAAAGAUUAAUUAGGUGAAGUACUUGCUGAACCAUAUGGGCGGCAUGAUCUGACUUUUUUGCCCCCGUCUAAUGGAAUAACGAGUGAUCAUUUCAACUAAGAGCAUUGUUACUUUUUAUUUCCCAAUAGAAAUCCACUACAGAAAAGAAAAGCACUAAGGUUGAUGAAUUUUUGUAAAUGAAAACAUUAAUUGUACCCUCUAAACUUUGAGAUAUGCCCUCUUUAAUUUUUCCACAAUUUGCCAUAAAUAGUUUUCUAAUCGUAUUGGUUCAUUCAUCUAAAAAUUAAAAGUGAUCCAACUAGGAGAAAAACUUUUAGCUUCCGUUUGGAUUGAUGGGUUUGAAUUUUAUGAUGAAUUUGAUGCAAUAUGUUUGAAAUGACUGUAUUUGAAAUCCACAUUAACUAUAAAUAACUUGUUUGGAUAAGAAUUUAUGCAAGGCAAAGGAUUUCUAAAUUAAUAAGACAAUUGGGGUAGAAAUCAAAAUACUUAAAAGUUAAGGGGCUAACAUAAAAUUUUAGUUUUUUGGUUCAUCCUCAGGCAUGUGAUCCUCAAAACCCUAAAUCGAAGCUUUGAGCUUUCAGAAUCGCAUACUUGCUUCCAUGGCAGCAGCACCUUCACAAUCUUUUCAUGCACCGUCUUUUUUCUUAUUCCUUUUCUAUUCUAUCUUUUCUUUUUUCACAUAAUUUUUAGGGAAAAAAAGACAAAAAAAAAAAAAAAAGAAACUUUAAAGAGAACUAGCAAGGAGCAACCAUGCCGCCACGGAAGCAGCAGUAGGCUAGCACAGGCGAUGCCACAGCAGUGACACUCAUAGAACCGGUUAUAGUGUUGAUCAUUUUCUUUUCUUCGAACCAUGACAGAAACAGUUUAUAGACUAAAGAACAAAGAGAUGUGAAGAGAUGGAUUUCAAUUGACGUGUUUUGGGUCAAUUUCAGAUACUCCCAAUUUUUAGUACUUGAAGGACUGAUGGAUUUCAAAUCCAAAUCGAUUCUUAGUUAUCCAAACAACUUGAGGGAUUUGGGAAGAGGAUUUGAAAUCAAAUCCGCUUCCCAAAUCUCUCCAAUUUCAAAUCCUCUUCCCAAAUCUCUCCAAUUUCAAAUCCUCUUCCCAAAUCUCUCCAUCCAAAAACACCCUUUAUGACCCAUUAUGAUUUUGUAAAUCCAAAUGCGUUGCACAUGCAUGUUUGCGUGCUUUUUUUUUUUUUUUUUUUUUGCUUGAUUUAAAGUUUUUAUCUCCUGCUCCUCUUCUUCUCCUUCUCGUUAUUCUUCCUUCUUGUGGAGAGUAAGAUUAGCUAUAUGCUUAACAAGAUCAUUCCCCCCCCCCCUCCCAUCCUUGGUUCUUCAAAUUUUUUGAUGCGCCAUGUUCUUCUAACAUUUAGUCAACGUCAGACUUUGCAAUUUUGUUUUCUGUUUGGACCUGUUUGGUAAACAAGUUUUUGGUCAAGUUUAUUUUUUAUCAAUUUUUUAACAACUUUAGUUAAAGUUAUUUCAAAAAAUUUCUCAAAAUUUUUAAAUUACAUACAUCAAAAUACUCAAAACAGACAAAAAAAAAUUAUUUUUCCCUUCCUCUUUUCUUUUUCUUCCUUCCCCACUUCAACCCACCACCACCACCAACUGGCACCUCCUCCAGCGCCGGUAGAGAGAAGCUUUUUUUUUUCCCUUUUCUGCCUUCCCCUUUCCCUCCUCCUUUCCCCUCCCCUCCACUCUCCCCCGCCACCUCUCUUCCUCCCUCCCUCUCCCCAGCCACCUCUAUUCCUCCCUCUCUCACGAAUGAGAGAGGGAGGAAUAGAGGUGUAAUAGAGGUGGCUGGGGAGAGGGGAGGGAAGGGGAGAGGAGCAAAGGAAGAGGGAGAGGGAGAAGAGAAAGAGAGAGAAGAAAACAAGAAAAAAAAAUGGAGUUGCUGCCGGCGUUGACCUCAGUUCCGAUGCCAGCAGCCGGCAAGUGGUGAGGUGAGGGAGAAGAAGAGGAGAGGAAGAAAAGAAAAAGAAAAAGAAAAGAAAAAAUUUUUAUAUUUUAAAAAUUUUUUACAAUUUCUGCAGAAAGUUAUAAUAAAAUUUUAAACAAAUAUCUAAAAAACUCAUUUGCCAAACAGGACUUUUGUUAGGAAAAACUACGACAUCUGCUUUGAGAAGUGGGACCUUGGUCAUCUUUUUCUUAUUUGCAUGGGUCAAAUUCAAAAAUCCUUUUUCAGCUUCCUUUGCUUGGCUUAAUGCAUGGAGAAAUAUUUUCAAUAAUAAAAAAAAAAAAGAAAUGCAUGGAGAAAUAUGUCCAUCUGAUUCAUGCUAGAAAACUGUUUCCCUUAUGCUUUCCUAUACUUUUACCACAAAACCAAAAAAAUGAAUAAAUAAAUAAAAUGGUUGUUUGGCUAAUUCGUCUUUUCUUGUCAUUCAUCUCUUAAAUUAAGGCAAACAAUAUAAGAGAAAUUGCACAGCACGGCUUUCUCUCUGAAAACACAGAGAAAUUGUCUAUUAUGUUUUUGUAAAAGGAGGAUUAUGUUUUUGUAAAAGGAGGAUUAAAAAAGAAAGAAAACAAAAACGACAAUGCAAAAACGCAAAAGUUGUUUGACUAAUUUGUCUUCUCUUGUCACAUUCAUCUCUUAAAUUAAGGAAAACAACCUAAUUAGCAAACUUGUACACCACAGCCUUCACCUGAAAAUCUCUGGUAUUCUCAAUUCAAACAAGGAUUAAUCACUUCACAAACUCAGGAAAAAGGGUUCAAAAGAGAAGUUCAUCACUUAACAUAGGACCAACAUAGAACUAAAAGAGACAAAAGGGAAAAAAAAUGAAAUUUCCAAAGACGUGAAUAUCAAUAAUGUACAACCACAAGGUUGUACUCAACAAUAGCAUCAAAGUUGGCAGAAUUUUGAAAAUAAGUUUUUGCAGUAGCAAUUCCCCGUGCCAACCGGAAAACACCAGUACCCCCAACGAUGGACAUUUCCCUAGUUUUCUGGUCGACGGCAUUUCUUCCGACGAGGGUCAGAGUGCUUCCCUUAUGCUCUCCGGUCGUGAAGUGGUAAUUCACGUACAUGGCCAGUCCGAGUUCGUUUUGGUCAGUGGAGGCAUAAAAGCCUUGGGCUUUACCCAACACCGUUGAAGUAAUCUCAGGACCGGCCGUCAAUGGGUCAUCGAACAUCACAACCAGGCCGAAAUAUGUCAGCGAUGACGUGAAAGUUGUGUUGGCACUGGCCACCCUUACUGCCGUUGGGCUCUUGCCACCAACCGUGUCGUGGAAGUAAAAAUGAAGUUUUGUCACCUUCUCUUUUGCCCUGCCCAGCUUAUGGAACCACUCAUCAACUGAUUCUUCUGGGCCGCCUUGGGCAGUAGUGCCAUCAACCACGGCCACGGCUACGGCUAUUAUCAGGAUCAAGCAAAUGAGCAAGAAGGCUUGAAUUUGCUUCGCCAUUCUCAAUCGAUUCAAUCCCUUCUCUUUGUCCUAAUCUUCUCUACUUUUUGAUUGGGAUGAGUAAACUGGAGAGAAAAGGGUGCUAUAUAUAGUUGGUCUAAGUUACUACCCAGCUUGGAAAUUGACAAAACACAAAUUGGAGAAUACACAAUGCAUCCUGUCAUUUAGUACCCAAGUUUUAGGUGAAGAUUCCGUUCUUCUUCUUCUUCUUCUUUUACUUUUUUUUUUAAGGUGUACAGGCUAUAGUUUCUUUAGACGUUUGUGCCAGCAGUUCUGGCAAGCCCGUGAAUAUCAAUCAGUUUCACUUCAAGUUUAUUUCCAGCCGUCCUCCGCCAAGAAAUCCGUCAUCAACUAAUCACCCAAAGUUUUUGCUAUAUUGUUUUCCUCUACCUACUAUUGUUCUCCUCUACCUACCACUGCCCCUACUAUUACAAAGUUACCUACAACCAUGGCCAUCCAACAUAACUAGGUUAGGGCAAAAAACAUCAACGGUAACUGAAUUAUUGGUCGGAUCAAGUUUUAACCAUUAAAUAAUUUUUCAUCACAAAUUAACUACUAAACUAACUAAUUGAUACGCUCGUGAUCAUUGCGUUGAUUAAUUCUCUUAAUCUAUUAAAUAAGUAGAACACAUGGUAAAGUGCAGGGACAAUUUUGUCCACCACUUGCGUGAUUAAGAGCAAAACUAUGUCACGUGUUCUACUUAUUAUAUAGAUUAAGAGUAUUAAUUGAUGCAAUGAUUAUGGGUGUACUGGUUAGUUAAUUUAAUGGCCAACUUGUGACGAAAAUUUGUUUGAUAAUCAAAACUUGACCCAAUCAAUAGUUUAGUGGCCAUCGAGUUUCUUUUUUCCCCUAUGGUUACUAUGCAGGUUUUUCUUUUUUUCUUUUUUUUUAACCUUUGCUAAAUACUGCAUUGGGGAAUCAGGCGGCCAUUUCGUUUCAUAAUAUUCUGUGGAUAAGAGUCUUUUUUUGAACGGCAUACAAUUUUGCUAAUUUUUGUUUAAAAAGGUAUCCCAACACAGAGAUAGGAAAACAGAAUACGCAUCUAAUUAGAGAGGCUAACGCAUAAUGUUCCCCAAAAUGAAGAACACGUGGAGAAAGCAUCCUAGAUAAGAAUGUGAUUGUAAGGUCUGGUCAAAAGAAAAAAAAAGCCACAAAAGUAGUUUCUCCUGGCAAUUUUUCUCGUCAUGCAUGCGCUGCAUGCUUGCUUAGAAACUGCUCUUGCUCGGCCAUUGUUAUUAUUGAUGCAUGGACCAAAAAAGGCAAACCAACUAUUAGAUGCUCCAGAUAAGAAUGUAGAGUUCAUUAAAUUCAUAAGCUCUCCAAAUUAGAUUGUGGGAUCCUUAUUUGAUCAAUUGGCAAUAUCAAGUCAAAGACCAAUUGUUAUGUAAUGGCCCGACUUCCCGUUUGAAUUGCUAUUUUUAAAAGUUUUUGUAGAAAAAUGUACUGUAACGAUUUGAUAUAUGUGAGUUAAAAAGGUAAUUGAAAAAUAUGUUCAUGAAAAAUGUAAAAAAUUUUCUGCACAAAAUCAUAAUCCAAACAUGGCUGGACAAGAAAUGUUGACUUCUUGUGUCAUUAAUUUCUGUGGAACUAAGUGCAGUUUGCAACUUUGGUUAUGUAUUCAAUCAUUUCUAAUACACACCCAAUUAUAUGUGUCUGGAUGGGAGAUUAUUUAAAAUAUUAUUUGGAAUGAAAACUGUCACAAGAUGUAUUUGCAAUACACACCCAAUUAUAUGUAUUUGUAAUGUAGUGUAUAUGAAAUAAAAAGAUGAUUGAAAAAAUAAAAAACGUAUGCUGAAAAAUAUGUUUGUGAUGCAAGUAAAUUAUUUUUCGCCAAAUAAUUGCUACCCAAAUAUUGUUCUUUUUUAUGGACAAUUCGUAUGCUAAAGUUACCAAAUAUUGCUAUAUUGCACCUUAACUUUUUGAUAGAAAACAGCUUGGCUGGUAAAGAUACCAAUUUAUUUCGGAUCGUACACUGUAGCGCAACAUCAUUGAAAGUAUCGAAUAAUAUAUAUGUGCUUUUACUCAAAGGCGUUCUUAAUUCCUUCUCAAUAUUGGGAAUUGGUAUCAACAAUUUAAAAUGAUCAAGGACACAUAAUUUUGUUUGUUUGUCUGUUUUCAUUCACAAUAUGAGUGGUUAAUUGGUUGUGAUUUGAGAUAUUAUCAAAACUUUAGAGCACAAAAUGUUCCAAGCGAAAGUUAAUGGUGUAAAAUGUCACAAACGUGUAUCCCUAAACAAAUGUCAACAUUUACCCGACGAUUUACAAUUGUCCAUGGCUAUGUCAUAUGCAUAAGCUGAAGUGACAUUUUUCUUUAACAUCCUGCAGUUUUCUCCAGCACCAUGUUUCAUCCUCCAAUACAAGAAUUUUGUCAAUAAUGCUCAUGCAUCCAGGUUAAAUACAAUUUUUUUUAAAAAAAUAAUAAUCUUUACCACAUCCAAAGUUGAAAUUAGGAAAAAAAAAAAAAAAUUUCCUCGCAGCAACCGGGACAUAGAUAAAAAAAUUUUUUAUCCAAAACAUCGUGACACAUAAUUUAAAAAAAUAAAAAUAAUAUUUCAUGGUUGCCGCAUUUGACAUAUGUGACAACCCUAGGUGAGGAAGUGAUUCCCAUGAAACACCAAAAAAUGUGAUGUUUUUUGAAUUCGGCAUUAUCGAUAGAAAUUAGCCGAGUUUUCUUGGACCUUUCUGUACUUAACUAUCAUUUUUAAUCUAUGAAAUGCUUGAUUAUUUAAAGUCAUUUCGGGCAUAGCAUAUUGGUUGGUUCGUUUAUUUAUUCAGUAAAAGGUUUCAUCCUACAAGCUAGGCUACAGCCAAAGGGAUUGAUAUAUAAACUACUCGUUUCAGUUUCAAUUGUAGUUUACGUCUUUUGUUGUUAACUGCAUCAAUCUUGUUUUUAAUCAAUGGAAUCUUUAAUGAUUUCAAGAUUUGUGAGCCCUUUUGUAGCUAACUUUGUCUGUUCAGCAUGUGCUACUGAUUGUUAGCCUAUUUAAUUCAAUGAAACGAGUGAACAUUGAGUUUAUUUAGUGCAUGGUUGGCCUUUAAAUUAUGUGCAUAUCAGAGUUGGACUUUUAAUAUUUUAUUCUUUAAUGAUUCUUUAUUAUUUAUUCUAUUUACUGAUAGUAGUAUUUUUGUGAAAAUACAUACAUCCUAUCAUUGGGACAUGAAUUAGAAUCAUCGAUCAUCUUACGGCUAAGCUCAUGUUUUCAAUUGCACCUGCUGUAUUUCUACUGAUAUUAUUGUUUCUGUUCUAUUAACUCUUUUUAUCAUUUUAACUACUAUGGACUCUUUUCUUAUUAACUUCCAUUAUUAAGCAUUGUUGUUUAUUUGGCUGUUCAUUUGUUUAUUGGAAUAAUUGAAGAUUGAGUUUGUGCAGAUUUAAGUUCAACCGAUCGAGUUGAUCUCCGAAAUUAGUAAACUCAAAUAUCAGCUGCUCUUAGAUUAUGGUUUGAUAUAGAUUUUGGUAUAACUUAUCUAUUUUUUGUAUUUUCAUUUAUUUUACAACAUUGGUUGCUUCUGAUUGGAUACAGGUUCUGGUUUAACCUAUCUAUUUUUUGUUUCUUGUUUUAAUUUAGAAUGUUGUCCCCUUUUUCCUUGUGUGGUGCUGUGACACAAUCAGCUAGCCUAUGUAACAGUUUAAUAUAUCUCUGUAAAUAUAUGUAGCUUAUUAAUAUCCAGAUAUGACAGCUUUUACUAUUCAUUCAUCUUGUUAGCUGAAGAAAUUUCUAUAUAUACGUAUAUGCAGAUUACAGGUUUUGCUAUUCUUUUUUUUUUUUAGGUGGACACUUUCACCAUGCACUAAACCGACCACCCCAAAUUCUUCAAAAUGUAAUAGUUAGCCAUUGCUUCUAACUAGUAUUCCUUUUAUGGAUAGGAUUAUUUAUUCAACUUCUCUCUUGAAUUGUAUGGGCCCAAUCACCGACCAGCGUGUUGUAGCCUUGGCCGUGACCAACUGAGCUGCCCAUGAGAGGCUCCACAUUGCCGUACUUGGGCUUCACAAUUUAUUGGGUGACUAAUCAAUUCAACCCAAUUUUUACUUUGACUUCGACGUAUUGCAACUUUGUAUUUAGGGAUGUCAAUGGGUUGAGUUCGGGUCGAAAUUAAAAAUUCCAGACCUGAACCCAUUUUAUAUAAGAGAGUCAGACUCGACCCGUAUAUCGGAUGGGUCUUGAUCUUAGAAACCCGGAAUUGGGUCCGAUGGGUCUGGGUCGGAUCCGGAUCUACCUGGAAAGAAAAUGUCCAAACUUAAACAUUUUAAAAUUAAAUCCAAACCAACUACAAAUCCAAUCUCCAAAUUUAAACAAAUCAAAUUAUUUAACUAAAUCACAAAUAACUCGCAUUAGUCAAUCCAAAAUUAAUCACAAAUCAAUCUACAAAGUCAUUACUAAAUUAUUAAUUUAGUAUUGUAAAAGAAUAUAUUUAGAAAUAUUUAUAUUUUAUAAUUAUUAAUAUAUUGUUCAGGUCCGAGUCGGAUACGAGUCAAAAUCCUAUAUUCCGUAUCUAAUCCAUUUUUUGUUAGAAUAAAUGGGUCCGGGUCCGGAUCCGGGUAUCGAAAUUAUUUUUCAAUCCAAAUCCGUAAAAUUUUAUUGAAUUCGGGUCGGUUCCGGAUCCAAGCCCGACCUGUUGACACCCCUAUUUGUACCGUACCUUUCUUCUUGGAUGAUUACCGGAAAUCUGCAGUGGUCGGAGCAAUAGACAAAUAAAUUACAAUCAACAAUAUCACAAACUGACCCACAAUAUCACGAUGCUCCUUUCUUGGGCUUAAAAAUUCAGUGGCUACUUAAUUAACUUCAAAACUGAAUUCACUUUUCAUUUUGAAAUUAAGUGGUAGUUAUUUUAAGCAAAUACAUCUCUUUAUAUCAGAUUGUUAAAGUGCUUCUUCAAUUGUUAGGUGCCUUUUCAACCAUUACGUGCCUCCUACUUCUCUAUGAAUACAAAUCAUCUUCCGAAUAGUGAAUUUUAUUCAAUUGGAUUAUUCUUCGAACUUUGCUUUAGCCUGGAGGUAAUUUAGCAAAUUUUGUUGUUUAUUAAAGUGAAAACCCUCCAAAGUCUACACAAGUAGUUUAUUAUUUUAUAGCUUUUGUUAUCAAACAAAUAUUAGAUACACUCCCUCCUGUGGUUAAACACUUUUUAAGAUACCCCUUACAUUUGAAAAAUGUCCAUUUACAUCCCUUGUGCUUUGAAUUUUAGUGAGAAACAGAUGAUGAGUACAUACUCAAUUGGUGGAGAUUUCACUAUAUGCACUCUGAUAGUACGAUUAUUUAUUCAGUUUAGUGAUACGAGGACUUAAUAACAGUUUUCUUUCAAUAGUGCCCCUAAAUGAACAUUUGCAAUCUAUAAAAAUGUUUGCAAACGCUUCUCUAGUAACCUAUUUUGAGUCAUUUUCAUAGAUUGCAAACCUUCAUUUGGAGGCAUUUUUCAAAGAAAAACAUUACUAGGACCUCAUCAUAUCACCAGAAUCAAAUAAGAAUAAAUCUUAUAUACACUGAAGGAUUCAUGACAUGUGUGCAAAAGUUGAAUUUCAAAUUCAAAUUUUACAUAGUUGCCAUUCAUCUAACGCUGACAGUGUAUACAUUGUCAGUGUAGGAAAGAUUAAUCCAUCAAAUAACCAGUCACACCAUUGAAACUUGUACAAUAAAAUCUCAGUUAGUGAAGUGUGCUGCUGUCUAUUUUUCACUUAAAUACAAAGUACAAGAGGUCUAUGCAGACAUUUCAGAGUACAAGGAAGGUACCCUAAAAGGUGCUUAACCAAAAGGAUAUAUGAGAAAUUUGCCAUUAUCUUUAUCAACAUGAGACAAUCCUCGUUCAAACACUAAUCUAACUUGAAUUCUAGGUUAGAGGUCUCUGAUGUCUUUUGGUUAGUAGACGUUGCAUUAGGGUAGCACAUACUUUGCCCAUUAAGACUACGAUGAUUUCUAGUAAUGCGUAAUGGUGGAGUGAGGCAUCGGACGUUGUAUUGUCAUUACAAUAUGCAUCUAAUUAAUAAAUUGGAUUGAACUAUUAUGUACCUGCACCUCAGGAAACUCUUGUACAGUGCAGGGGAAAAAAUCAACAAAUUGUUGUGAUAAUAUUGUAUAAUGAUAUCUACAACUAGCCCCCAAGGGUCAGCUCGAAUGGUCCGCUCCUCCUCUUUAGGGUAUGGUGGACCUUCCUGGGCAACCAGAGUUCGAGCCCCCUUGUCACCGUGCUCGAGUGGAGUGGGGCCUCCUCUCCGGGCCGGAGUGGGAUUAGUCGGAGCCCCGUAAGGAUUGACCUGGAUACCCACUCCGUCAGAAAAAAAAAAAAAAAAAAAAAAAAAAAGAUAUCUACAACUGAUCUUUGUGCUCUUUGAUUCAUUCUCCUUUUUGAGUCACUUGAUUAAAUAAAUAAAACGAGGCCGCCUUCUUAAUGGGGGUUUCUAUUCUAUAUGGUAUGAAAACUAAUCAAUUUCCAGGCCAGACUCUGCACAUGCUCUCACAGAAAAGCCCAAGGGGCCUUUGGUGAUUAACAUGGACCGUUGUUCACUUUAACUUAAGAAGCCUGUCAUCUCGUUUGACUUUGAUCAAGAAUCAAGACAGGCUUUUCUUUUCUUUAGAUUCUCUUUUAUUCCAACGGGGGAGAAGGCCCAUAAUGAUUAAGGCCGAAAAAAACAUUUAUUAGUUCACAAUGGCGGAAAUUUGGGAAACCACAAAGAAUUCUUAACUUGCUAAAAAAUUAGAAUAAAUCUUAUAUACAUUAACAGUGUAGACACUUUUAACGUUGAAUCUAUGAUAUACGUGUAAAAGUUAAAUUUUAAAUUUAAAUUUUGUGUAAUUGUCAGUCAUCCAAAACAAGAUUGACAGAAUAUACACUGUCAGUAUAUAAAAGAUUAACUUUUCUUGAUAAUUUUUGUUAAAAGAGAUUUUCUUGUAAGGUUUAGGGUUCUAUUUGAACUGUCUAUGAGAAAUUUUAUUGUGAAUACCUUCUCAACUCUAGUGAUUAAAAUUGAUCACUUUACGGCACACAAAAUGCGUUCUUGUAUCAUUUUACCGCACGAGACGCAUACAAAAUGUAUUCUUGUAUCAUAUUAUGAUGAAGUACUAAAAGGAUCAAAGGAACGCCUAUAUUCCUAACUAUUCUUGAAAUGUGUAAUUAUCUUUAUAACAAAAUAAAAAAACACUCUUAGAAAUUUUUUAAAAAGAAAUUGAUCUUAUGAUACACACAGCACUGACAAUUCACCCAAACAACCACAUGUUGGGAUUUUUGUGAACAGUUGAUGGCCUCGUCGAGACUCUAGAAAGUAGAAACCAAGAACAGCUUGCUUUAGCCUGCAUAAUUCCGAGAAUGGUUCUAAUUAAGAACUGUAUAUGAUGGAAUGUCAAAUGGGCUUUGGCAAGAUAGAUUUAACUUGGAGUGUUUUUCUUCUUCUUUUUUUUUUUUUUGCUUUGAACUGAAAUAAAGGAGAAGGAUGGGGGGAAAAGGAAAAAGAAAAAGAGAGAAAAACAGUGAAUGGAAAAGAAACAGCAAUAGAUGGGGUGGUUGAGACACAUGGAAGAAUGAAAUUAUAGAGGAUAUCCUUCUAAUUGAACUGACAGGAAAUGGAUUAGAUGUUAAGUGUCUCUAAUAAUGUCCCUCGAACUCUCUCCUCCUCUAAUAAAAAAUUAUCAUCAUGACACACUGGCCCAAUGAGAACUUGACGAAUUUUAUAGCAUUGCACUGAUUGACAAGACUCAACUCGACUCAACAGUCGUCCCUCAUUAAGAAUCUCAAACAGUCAUUUUAGGGCAUAAGCACACCCCCCCAAAAAUUUGUAAAAGGGUUAUCAUUUAAAUGUAGAGAAGAAAGUUCUGCAUCAUUUGCCACUACAAAGCGAAAAAGCAAACUGUAAUUAUGCAAAGUUGGGAGACAAAGGUUGCAUUUCAACGACAUAACUUUUGGUAAUUGAUGUACUUAAGUUAAAGGCCUCCUAAGCUUUUGAUAGGAGAGUAGAUGAAAGUCGUCUUAACCAAGACCCUUAUUAUUAUAAUGCAUGUUUCCUUCUUCUUAAAGUCAAUCCCCAUCAUAUAUAUUCUGUUCUUACUAUUCCAAGUGAGGAUGUAACGGUAAGCCCACAAAAACAAUUAAGCAAUGAGAUGUGAUUAACAGCUAUAGAUUGCAGUGUUUUAACUGCUAAUGAUUGUUUCUAGAUUUUUUUUUAAAGUUUCUAUAUAUAGUAAGCAAGGUCAAGUGAAGCUAAUGUGUUUAUAUCGUCAUCACUCACAUUUGACAAGACAGAAGAUAAUUAAGUUUAGUUGUGGUAUAACCAACACUUACAUGAUAUCCAUGUGGUUAUGUUUCCUGCAAGUGUUAAUGGUCCAGAUUAAUAGAUGUAUUAAGGUCAUCUCAGAUGGACCCUGCCCUAAAGUCUUUCAAUUUCAAUGUUCCCCACGAGCAAUGUGGUGUGUUUCCACAAUUCUCCUCUUUUUAUUUUUGCAUGCUCUAUUUCUAGGUUAAUUAGACAUGCAGCAAGACAGGAGUUUUUCACCUUAAUCUUUUUCUUCUCUUAAAAAAAUUAUCACAAAGAAUAUACUAUUUCAACCAUGUAAGCUAAGUAAAAGGACUAAUUUAUCUUACCUUUGCAUUUGAUGUGUUUAUUUUCUUAAAGCUCUGUUUUACCUUUUAGGGGUGAUUAAUUGAAGGAGAUCGAGCAUCGUGGAUGGCCUAAAAUCCACUGCUUCAAUGUCAUUAUAAGAGCAAUUCAAGUAAAAAAGUACUCAAAAUCUUUUGCGAAGCAAUCAAGUAUGCUAAUAAAGACUAAGCAUAAAGUGUAAUCCCAUUGUUUGAGAUAUUGUUGCUCUUUCUUGUCAAUUGGUUGUCCUGUGCACUUAAAGAGUGUUGAGAUUAGAUGGGCAUUGAGAAUAACGAAAAGUGGCACUUCCACUUAUUCAAUGACACUUAGAUUAUGUUCCCUCCAUUUCAAAUCACUAAUCGAGUAUGAAAUUUUCAGUCUCUAUUUUUACCUUCUUGAUAUUCCAUGGAACCAACAAAAAUAUCACAUCAUCGUCUCUAUGUCUCUCUUUUGCUUUGUAAAUUUGUUUUACUUUUUUUUUUCCUACUUUUGUGAUCUCAUCAUCAUAGAACUUACUCAUUAAGUGUGUCAUAAAUGAUAUUGUGGCCUGUCCUAGAUAUUUAUUGUUGUCUAAUGGUCACCAUCUAGCUUUCAGUGUCUUAAGAUCAGUUGGGAAAUGCAAAAGAAUAAUCUAAGCAAAAAAAAAUUUUUUUUACACAAAACUAAUCUAAGCAAUUAAGGAUGGGUGUUUCUUGGUUACAAGGCGAUGGCUUAUUCAACCCUUUAUUCACAUAUUCAGUACCAUUUCGUCACAAGCAAAGGAGACGAGAGCAUUGCAACCACUUGAUUAUGGAAAUCUGUGUACUGCAUCAUCACAAAUUAGAUGAACGAUUAUAUCCUCCAGUUUCCAUCUCCUUGUAUAACUUGUAGAGAAAAAGGCAGUUUAAGCUUAUUUUAUUAGACAUAUUAAGAAUUACAAAAUCUUGAAAUUUAGACAAUAAAACUUAUGUUAAAAGUAAAAACUAGCAUAAAUCUUUAAUACAUAAUUGAGAUGGAUGGCUCGUGCCUGAAUUUUGCAAUACUUUCAGUGGUAUCUUACUUUGUGAUGAAAUGAAAUAACUAAUCCUAGAUUUUUUUUUUUUUUUGGAACUUCGAAAAGAGAGAAAGUGUUCAGAUGAGUGUACAUCAAAGUACAUCAUAUCAUAGAUCCUAGGAUAUACAAGGACUCCAAAGUUGACAUUUGUUUCCCUUUUCUCCCCGUUCAAAUUGAAAAGGAAAGUCGCAUGUUGAAUACAAAGUGAACACCAUAAAAACAGGCAGCAGCUACCCUUUUCGCCGUUUAUUAUUUUGUCUUUCUUUCCUUUUUUUUUUUUUAAUCGACAGGCAGGAUAUAGGUUAUUUUGUUGAAUAUUAGAUCUUAUUCUGCAUGCAGUUCACGUAGAACAAUAAUAGACCUGAAGAAAGGGUUUGGUUCUUGCAUUAUUUUGACAUAAACAUAUAAUGUACAGAACGGACGCCCCAAAGCUUUUUGUAUACAUAGUUUUUCUGGAAAAAUCAUAAUUCCCAGCACAGAAGUUUUGGUAAUAAAACCAGGAGUUUGCAUUUUAUAGGUCAUCAAGGUUAAAUAUCUUUAAACAAUACCCUUUAGACAAAGGAUAAUCAGCAAGGUUUGGUAGAAGGCAAAUACUAAGGAAGGUUGAUUAAAAUUUUUAUAUGUUGUAAAGGAAAAUUGUCACCAUAAGAUAUUUUUCUGCACUAACAACUGUUUGGAUGGCCUGUUGUUGGCCUAUUUUAGAAAAAAAAAAUUUGUUUAAAAACGUUAUUCGCAAUAACACUCUGAAACACCACAAGUUUUAAAAAAUAAAUAAAUAAAAGUACAUUAAAUCGGCCACCAAAGGUGGUGGAUGGCGGAGGUUGUUGAUGGUGGGUGACAAGGGAGGAUGAAGGUAAUUUUUUAGGCAAUAGAGGAUACUUUGAGUAUUUUGGACAAACAAAUUGUAUUUUGGAUGAGCACCAAUAUUUUUAUUAAAAAAAAAUAGUAAGUCACACUCUAUUUUUAGAUAAACACUAAAAAAAUACAACAUCCAAAUAAACUCUCACUAUGAAUCUUUAAUUCUAAAUCAUGACUGCUUUUACUAUCCUAGGUCAUAAACAAUUUAUGAAAGGAUUCGUCUAACGUGUGUUCAGUGAACACUCGUUAAGAUAGAAUUCAGAUGUUACUCUUUUGAAAAGUAAAGUUAAAUUGUAAUGGUAUAUAAUUAUACGAGAGGGUAAUAAUUUUUAUUAUGUCUAUUCACAAAGUACGUUAAGUUUAAUUUAGGUAUAUUAAGGAGCGUCACUACGUACUCACUAUAAUAAGGAGUGCCACUACGUACUCACUAUAAUAAUCCUUUACAAAAAUAUUGACUUAAUUUUACUAGGUUUGGCUAACAAGUGUUGGGUGAGCACUCCUUAAGAGAGGGCUCGCGUAUUAAUUUUUUUUUAAAAAGUAAAGUUAAUGUAGAAAAGCAUCUAAAUGUAGAAAUAUAAUAAAUAUGAAUGAAGUGCAUUCAAAUAAUAUAAGUGUAUUAUUAUUUGAAUAGGUGUCAUAAAAAAAGUUAUAUUAUUAUCAUCAACACAUUUUAUGACAGAAAUUCAUAAACUUCAGUAUACAUCAUGUUAAAUUAACAUACUAUAUUAAAUUUUAAACUCUGGUAGAGUCAUAGUACCUGUAUGAUAGAAAUUCAACAUUUUUAUGAAGGGUUGUGUAAAGAGUUGGAUUAAAGUUAUAUUUUACUAGAAUAUAAAGUUAAGGUACAUUGGGUAUCGAAUUUUUAGAAUUCUCAUACCAAACCCUAACGCAUUAACAAGCAAUCAUCUAAUCAAAUUAACCAUUGAGUCGAGUACCAACGGGUAUCGAGUUUUAUCCUAUCCGCUGUCAUCCCUAAAAUGAACAAAUUAAGAAUAUAUAUUCGCUUUUGGGUUGGUCUCGUAAAAAAUUUACGCUUAACAGUUUCAACUGUUUCCAAGGUUUAUUGGUGGAGAUAUGAUUAUACUCCUAAGCCAGCAAUCUGAAAAAGGUUUGUCUGAGAUUUUGCUAUGCAAAAAUAUAUAUUUAUUAGGGCGUGUACAAAUUCUUUGUUUCAAAUGUAUAACCAACUCCACCAGCACAAAAAUCAUCUGGCUCCAUUUGCUAGCUUCAUUUUUUCUGAAGACUUGAUACAUAUCUCUUUUGCUAGUGGGAAAAGCAAACCAACAAAAAUAAUGAAUUCGGCUUCUGAAUUCACAAUUAUGUGCCGAUUGUAUAUAACUUAUUUCUAAUUAAACAUUGUUUUAAGCAUUUCUUAGUAAAGCUAUUGUAAUGCCUGUGGAAAAGUUGGAUUGGAUGGUAAGAUAAGAGAGAUUAUAAGUACGAAAUCCUAAAUUCAAAACCUCUCACUUAUACCAAAAAAAAAAAAAAAAAAAAAAAAAAGGAGGCUAUCAUAAUGCUUUUAAGUUGUAGACUCUAUGGGAGAAGGGUAAAAAUAGUUAUUAGUACAAUCAUUCUUGAACAGUGCUGCUUUGGUUGAACACAACAUAAUGUUCACGACAAGCUGCUUAUAUAAUUCUGUAACGUAGGUGUUAUAUUGAGUUACUGCUUGUGUGAGCCUGUAUAUGUUAAUCUUGAGUUAUUGCUUAUGUGAGUUUGUGUAUGUCAAUCGCAUCUGAGUUACGUAACUUUCUCCAAUCAUUAUUAUAUUUAUAGCUUGUGUCUUCUUGACACAUUUUGGACCUUGAAUAAUUAGGGACGGUUGUACGUCCAUGCCCUUAAUCCAGACCUUAUAGGCCAAAACUGUCCAAAGCUUGCUAAUUGGGAAGAUACGAGAAUCAAGUUCGAGUACCACAUGAGAUGAACCGAAUCAAAGGUGGUACUGCAAUCCAGUUUUGUCCGUCUUCUCUUGCCUAAAAAUAAUGGCAUGAAUGAUCGACUAUAGACCUUGCAAUAUUGGCCACAUGAUUCAAAGUUUCAAUCUCGAGACGAGAGUUUAGAUGAGCCAAAACUGUUGCACUGAGGCCUCGUUUUGUGGAUAAGAAUGCAUCAUCGAUGGAACCGUUUCUAUUCUCGUACAUAGUACAGCUAUACUUCGGUCAUCGCAGAAAGAUUGACUUCUUGAUUGUGGGUUGCUUUUAUGGCCAGUUGGAAGUUCAUCAAUAAUUUUCGUGGCCACAACAUGAAAGGACAUGUUCGCUGGGUAUAAUGAUUAUUUCCUCAAAAUAAAGUUCCAAACCAAUCGCUAUAAACCCAUUGCUUUUAAGAUUUUUCUUCUGAGUAAAAGGGUACAAUGUUAGGCAAAAACAAGUCUUACGGAUUGAUUCUGUACAAUGUCUGACACCAUAUAUUCAAGAAGCUGUGUAAAAUCGCGAAAUUCAAGAGACAAAAGGAUUUUCUGAAUUGGGAUUUUUACCCUAGCUACAAAAGCUGCUGAUUGUAGUAUAUUCAAAGGUUCCUCUAUACAAAGAAGAAGCAUUUGUGUGGUUGAAAUUAAAUGUUAUGAAUGACAAGUCCCAAAAAAAAAUUGCUGCAAAUCUGAGCAAACAAUACUUAAUUUCAAGCUUCUCAAGAUGUAUAUAUGCUUGUAUUGAAGAUGGAAAAUACUUGUCCAAUUAUAGGUGCGAACCAUAUCUGAUACUAUCAGAAGUACCCCUUAGGAGACCAUAAACCUAAAAGAACAGGCAACCCCAUAUCUCUUCAGAAGUGGCUCUCUCCUUAAAUGGCUUCUUCUUGUUUCUAUCAUAAGUUAACUUAGAGAUGGCACCGACAUGAAGCAGUACCACAUGUUCUUGUACAAAGCCUCAGAAAGUCACACACCCUUUUCUCUUUCUUUCUUUCUUUUUUCUUUUUUUUUUUUUGUGGGUUUUCUAUGCAGUCUUCAUUAAUUGUGAGGAUAAAUUUGAGAUCCUGUUCUCUGGCUGCAGAUAAGCAUAGGGACCACAGGCCUAAUAGCAUUUAGUCUCCUGUGAUAACAUGCAUCCAACCCUAAAGAAAUCCCAGCUCAGCAACUUGCAUUAGAAAUAAUGCACACAUUAGCUAACAAUACAAAUUAGUUCUUGGAUUGGACCAUUCCCAGAAGCAUCCUGUUGCCACCAAUUAAUGUCUUUAAGACCUUCUGAUUAGUAGUAUAAUGUUGCCGGUGUUGAAAGCAACUGCACAGUGAUGAGCAAUUCUAAUCGUAAGCAAGCUUCUUUUGGAGCAUUCACACGCAGAUCAAAUUUGCUAAAGUUUGUUACUCAGUGCGCUUGUGAUCAUAUACAUAAAUUUACAGGUUUUAAUCAGGAGGGUUUAUCGGAUAUUCUAUUGGAUGGAGUUUGUGUAGAUGAGUCAAAAAUUAACAAAAAUCUUAACACCUAAACACAUUAUGCGACUUUGAAGUUUGAGAUGAGAACAAAUUAAGAGGUUUUCAAGAGUUGAGGUUAAUUAGGAUUGACAAACGUGGAUGGAUGAAUCAUUUUCUUGGACAUAAUUCAAUGUUACUUUGCCACUAAAACAAUAAAAAUGAAGGCAUGCCUUCCCCUCAAGAACGGAUUAGGAGGUCCCUUUCCUUCAAUUCCUUGUACUUGGGCAUGUGUCAGUAUCAAGAAUAUAUAUGGUGCAAUUCCUUUUAACAAAAGUUUUGAGUCAUAAUCAAGUUUAUUUCAAGUCUCGGACAGUAUGAUUGAAAAGCAGAAAGACAUUCACUGCCAGAAAUUCUGGCAUGACAGUAUCUUAACCAUACAAAAAUGUCUUCCUAAAUGUUGUUGCAAUUCAAUUAACUAUGUAUUGUAAGAAUCCUCCUUUGAUUGUUAACUUGGCUUCCAAUCAACAAAAACAUACUGGAAUGUUCUUCUAAUGAUAAAUGUCUGUACAAACACAUAUACUAUACGAUACAGAAACUGAGGUACAAUAUCACAGCAGAGCAAAUCAUGGCAGUAUUUUACCUUGUGGAAGUAAAUAAAAUAAAUAAAAAAAGAAUCAUAUAAAAUCAUGCAUGUAUUGGUAUCCAUAGUUGACUUGAAGAAACAGCUCAUACAUCUCCUAUGGAGAUAGACUCACGAGUUCAUGAUGAGGUGUGGAGAUUACAUGUAUCUCCUUAUGGGGUCACAGAAAUUAAUAUUCGUUUCUUUUUGAUGGGAUGUUCUAAUUAGGACAUGGCUAAGGUCAAGCCUCCAUGAACCUUCAUAAUUUUGUAGCAAGGAGACAAGCCUAGCCUAAACAGAAAGAUUCAAUAAACAAGGAAUCACUUAUGAUUAUUUAUUUGUAUUGAUUGGAACCAAGAAUAUCAACAAGGGCUGUAUUCAAACUUAAGAAUCAAGCUCCAUGUCUGACCAAAAGAAAACAAAUAAUUUAGAUCCUUGACAAUAGGAGCAAAAAAGAAAAAAGAAAUACUUACUAGAGAUUCUUUGAUAAACCCUUUAGAGACGUAACUUCCGCAUAGGCGACCGAGGAACAUAAACAAGAAAAAAGAAACAAUACAAAGUUUCCAUGAAUUGCUUGUAGCCUAUAAAAUGAAGGCAUACAAUCAAUAAAGAUUAAGCGUCAUUAAAAUUGGUAACGACAAAUCAAGAUCAAGAUGUAUCGACAAGUCUAACCAUUAGCUAGUAGCUAAGACUCACAACCCGAAAAUUAUUGUUGGUCAAUUUCAGCUGUUUGAUCGCCUGUUAGUGUCUGCCCUAGAGCCCACUUGAGUUUAUAUUCAAAAUUAGGGAAGUCAAUAAUUAUUUAAACCAGUAAUUAGCUGCUAAACAUCGAACAGGCCAGGUUCGAUAAGUUUUUGCCCAGAAGUUUUCUACUUCAUUUACACAUUUAAUAUGAUUUUUGCACUUUUAUUUUGUUUUAGUAAUUACGUAAAAUUUGGCUCUAAACCAAGUGGCUAAUAAAAGAUGGCCCGCCAGUGGGCAACAUGGCUGACUAUAACUUGAAACUCUUGCCUAAGGGAUUUGAUGCUAGCCUGGGCCAUGAAAAUCAAACUACAUUUUCGAGCAAGAUUUGCUACUAAGAUAGGCAGUAAGUCUAACACGUAGACCACAAAAAAGGUAAACUAAAAGAUUGGGAAAAAGGUAAAAGUAAAAAAAAUGAAAGGAGGUAAGGUAAGUUCUAAUUGAAAAACUAAUGAACAAAUUAAGCGAGAUUGUCAACUCAAGGAUGUAAAAGUAACUUUCGUUAGCCAAAAAUGGAUGGGGGCCAUACAUUGGAUUUGAUAAACAAUUAUAGUGAAACAUUAUGCAAAUUAAGAUACUAAAAACUAUGGACAAAGCUUUUCAAAAUGAGAAAGAUUUCUAGACACCGUCGAUGUACGAAUUUUUUUUUAUAUACUAAUAGAUUUAGAUCAUAGUACAUAACAUGAAUUUAAAUUUGAAAUUCAAAACAUACAUAUAUAUAUGCCAUACAUUCAUAAUUAUUAGUGUAAAAAAAUCAUUACAACAUUUGUAUAUAAAAAGUUAAUCCUUUCAAAAGAGGAAACCACCGACUGGUUCCUUAGUUUGUUUCUUUUUCUUUUGUCAAGUAACUGGCCCCGAAAUUUCACCGUGGCUUAUUCCAAAGACUAAUAAAACUAUAAAACUAGAAUGUUUUUGUGUCAAACAGUUUUAGCUUCUUUUUUUUUUGGGACCCUUAUGCUGCAUUUUUUUUAAUUGGUUAAUAAUUGAUAAAUUUGACUAGGACAAAAUUCCAAAGCCAAACUACAGAACAAUUGAGAAAGAGGCUGCCUUUUUCUACUAGUGCUGACCCCAAAUAUGAGAGAUGGUCCCAUAGUCGGCAGAGAUUAGAACCACUGUAUGCGUAUUCCUUCACAGUUCAGUUUACAAGCUACAUCUGAGGGAAAAUGAUACUUAUUACUGCCUAUAAAGGUAAUGAUAUUGGGGUCACCACAUGCAUACCUGCAUUUACAGCGUAUGAUUUGUAUACCUAUGCAACCCGAACUUCACAACAAGAAGAAUUUCCCAUUAAUAGUUACAAGAAAUUUGGUUUAUACAGAUGUACCAACAAUCUUUCACACUUGUAUCAAAACCAAUCUUUUAUGUACAAUUGAGACUAAAAUUUAGUAUCAUAUCUCUUUUGGAACAAGAAGAUUUUAAUUAGUGAACGAAUCAACUACUAUUAUUCAUGUUUUCCACCAAAGAUGAACUAAAUGUGCGAGACUUCUUUGUCUAUGUGCCCCUAAAGUUGCUAACCAAAUCUCUAGAGCAUUUGAAGAACUCGCAAAGACACAUAUCUUUCAAAAAUUUUAAAGAAGCCCACACAUGAAUUGAAGCUAAAAUCCGUAUUGAGAUUUGAGCUUUUUACCUAGUUUAGAUGCAAAUUAUUCAAUGCUUAUUCAGAAAUAUUCCGAUGAAACUAGAAAUGAUUUCCUGUAACAAUUAAAUAGCUCCCACGAUAAUUACUCAAUGAACCACAUUGCCUAGAAGAAGAAAGAUACUAGUCUAUCGAUUCAUUUUUCCACCAAAAUAAGAGAGGUAAGAGAGGGUGUAUCCAAUUUAUUUCUGCCCUUCUGAUUCAUAAUUUUCUGAGAAAACGCACUUUUGGAAUAUAACCCAAUUAUCCUCUCAAUUAAAGGGAGGUUUUUUAUUUUUUUGGGGGCGGGGGGGGGGGGUGUGGGCGCCGGUUCUUGAAAUAUAGUAUUAACUUUAUUUUGUCUGUAUUCUAAGGUUCGAGUAAUAUAUUCUCUCUACUCAAAAGAAGACAGAACUACAUUAUUGAGAUUGUCGGCUGUGCUUAUACGUGUAAAUUAAUUAGUCUACACAUGAUUAGUGACAGAGAAGAAAAUUUUCCUCAUUGCCAAAAAAAAUAAUCCUUCCCAAUUAAAAAAAUUCCAUAAUCAAUCAUGGAUUGCAGAGUUGUUUCUUAUUAAUCUAUAAUCCCUUUGAUUCUUUCUAAGCAGAUAAAAUGAUUUAGGGAGUUGGUAGACUUAAGAGCAUUUUUCAAGAACACAAGAUACCUUCUCCACCUCUAUAUUUAAGGGUAUAAACUAAGUAGUCGUUCUGGUUUCUUUUUUUAUUUUGAAACAAAAAAAUUACACUUUUCCGGCCGUUAUAGUCAUGGGAGACAUAUAGGGGCAGCGAAAGGCACUUGCUCUUCAAGAUUUUGAAACUUUUACAUCUUUGGUCAGAAAAAGAAGAUAUUCGCAUGCACUCCUAAGAAAAAUGUUGUGGUCAUCCUCUAAAAAGAUUUUCGAAAUGUAUUCCAAGCAUCUGUUUUUUUUCAUAUCCCAAUUCUUACUUCGCGAGGGCAAUAUUUGUGUUUCACUAAAAUUACUGACUCUAGAUAAUCAAGAGAAGGGAAAAUUGGUGUAAAUUUCAAAAGCCAACUGGCGUAGAAAUUGUUAAAGAAAAGGAAACAGAAGUAUCAAUUGUUUUUCUUUGUGGAUUGUCAAACAUGAAAGACAAGAGAAUAUCUUCUGUGGAAGGCAUUUGAGAUCAUUAACGUGUUGCAGAUUACCAUAAUAGAAAGCUUUAACUAAUCUUGGGGUUUUCUUAUCUCCAUGAACAUACAACCCUUUCAAUGCUUUGUGACUUCUUUUGUCAGUCAGAAUCUUGGCAAAAAUUUGGUUGAAAAGAGUGGUUACUUGAAAGAUGAAACAAACUCAAAAGGGUUCUCAUUGUAUACUAUAAAAAGUCAGAUGUGUCAAUAUGACAGCUUGUUUCAAAUAUGUGAACUUGUACCAUCAAAUACUUUUAAUUACUGAUUAGGCAUCUGUUUAGUCAAUUAAUUACACAAGUUUAUAUCAUGAAUUCAUUCUUUUCCACCCAAUAAAUAUCUGUCUAUACCCCACAAGUGCUGUCAAAGUCAUUAAUUUUGCAAACCAAAGUGAUGAGACAUAUGCAAGUCACAUAUAUUGGAGCUCCAUUUCACGUUUGUAGAAAAUUAAGCCAAAAUGAAUUUUUUAAAAUCAAUAUACUGUAAUCUUAAAAUUUGCUUCUGAAAGCCUGAAUGUGACCCCCUUUUUAAGGCUCCUCCCUUUCAAUUUGAUUCCCGACCAGGCUACCAUUUCGUUUUCUAGGCCUCUUUUUUUUUUUCAUCAUCCAAAACAAACAACUCCCUCCAACCCCUUCCCCCCUUCUCCCUCCAGCAAUAUUACUGCUAAAGUUACACUAAAUAUGGGAAGGCAUUCUUGUUGCUAUAAGCAGAAGCUAAGGAAAGGCCUGUGGUCUCCUGAAGAAGAUGAAAAACUCAUAAAACACAUAACCAAAUACGGCCAUGGCUGUUGGAGCUCAGUUCCUAAACUUGCAGGUAUGGGCGGUCGUCUCCCACCGGAUUUCAUUUGUACAAAUGCAAAAGAGAAAUGCACUGUUUGCUGAUUUUUUUUAAAAAAAUCUCUUUUUGGGGAUAACUUUGCAGGACUUCAAAGAUGUGGGAAGAGCUGCAGGUUAAGGUGGAUCAACUACUUGAGGCCUGAUUUGAAAAGAGGGACAUUUUCUUUAGAGGAGGAGAAUUUGAUAAUUGAAUUGCAUGCAGUUCUUGGCAACAGGUAAUUUUAUUUGUCUUCUGCAUUAUUACCAUGCAUUGGUCUGAGGACUAUAUUCCCACUUUAUUAUAUUCAAUGGCCUUUUUUGUGCUUUGUUCAGAUGGUCCCAGAUAGCGGCGAAGUUACCUGGAAGAACUGAUAAUGAAAUCAAGAAUCUUUGGAAUUCUUCAAUCAAGAAAAAGCUUAGGCAAAGAGGUAUUGACCCCAACACUCACCAGCCGAUCCCUGAGGCUGAAAAUGAAGAGAAAGGAUCAGCAACAAGCAAAAAUAAUGAGAAAACAUCCGAAGGAUCAAAUGAUCAACUGAAUUAUGGUGAAGCUGCUGCUGAGAGUUCUGAACAGAAAAUGGCCGUAGAAAAGCCAAAGCCAUCUUCAGCUGUGACUGUGGACCGCUAUCCGUUAAUAGAAAGCAACUGUAAUAAUAUGACAACAACACCCCCACCGACCCAUGAGUUCUUCUUGAAUAGGUUUCUUACAAGUCAUGAAAGCUCCAACUCCAGUUCCAAGCCUCCUGACUUGCAGGACUAUUUCUCUUUUCAACAGUUGAAUUACGGAUCAUCGACGAACAUUGGGCUUUCCAUGAAUCCAAAUGCUCCUUCCUUCUUCAAUUUAACAACCUCCAGGUCUGCUGAAAUGGUUUCUGAUCAGUUCAAUUCUGCCAUGUCAAAUUCGAUUAUGAGCGCGCCUUCGGCACGUAUGAAGCCAUCCAUUAGCCUUCCAUCAGAAAAUAAUUCACUGGGGAAUUUUAAUGUGAACAAAUUCCCGAGCUGGGAUGCUUGCGCAAUCAGUGCUAACAAUGGUAGCACCAGCAAUGCAAGCAGCAGUAGUAUUGAAUUGCAAAGCAACUGUUCAUUCUUCGACAACAAUGGCUUUUCCUGGGGAGCGGCUGAUUGUGGAAAAGCUGAGAAAGAUAUAGUCCAUAUCCACUCAUCGGUAGGCGACACGGAAGAUAUUAAGUGGACUGAAUAUCUUCAGGCCCCAUUUUUACUCAGUAAUAGUGCUGCUGCAACAAUUCAAAAUCAAACGGCGCAAGAUAUUUACAGUGCCGAGACAAAAUCAGGGAUAAGUUUUACAGCGCCCGAAGGAUCAGUGAGUACUACGACAAGUUGGCUUCAGAACCACCACCAUCAGCAGCAACCGACAAUUCAGGCUGUUGCUGAACUAUAUAAUAAGCAUUUCCAAAGACUUCCUGCUGCUUUUGGUCAAUUUUCUUAGCUUCCCAAUUCAAUUUUGGAGGAGCUACUAAUUAAAACAGGUGUGCGCUAUAGAGUCCAGUCCUCUCUAUUCUUAUUCUGUAAAUAGGUCUAUACAAUCAUAGGAAAAGCAAAUUUAUGCCUGUUCAUCUUCAUCUUCUGUGUUAUGAGUUCUUGAUUCUAGAACAAGUCUUCUUCUCUUUUUUUUUUUUUGUUAAUUAUUUUUAAUUACCCUCUUAUUCCGUGCUUUAUUAUUUUAAUUUGGAAUUACAGGUUGUAAUUUUGUCUGUCAAACAAUAAUUAUUCUGUCUGUUAAAACAACAAUCAAUGGCUUUCCUAUUUCUUUUCAGUUUUAACCGUUGUAACCACUUCUUGUUAAUUCUCCUAUUCGACCUUAAAAGAAAAAAAAAAAUUUAUUCUUUCCAAGAUAGUGACUAUCUCUGAUGACAUGCUUACCUAAAUCCUUUUGGGUUUUCUGAGAAGUUGUUCCUUCAUUGCUUUUUUGACAUUAGUAACUAGUACUAUUUAUCUAGUACGGCUACAUAUAUAGAUAGAUAUCUCUUUCAGUAUUGGCCCUUUAUGAUAAGGUACUAUGGCUGAAAGAAAGAAGGGGCAUAAAUGCUUUUCUCUAACGCAAGAUUCAAGGUACCCCUCAUUUUUUUCCAUUAAUUGGUUGUCUAUGAGGCUACGGUUGUCUCCUGCAGAUGGGGAUGGUUUCCACUUUUUUACAGUCUUUAAGUCACUUCUCCUCCCUAUGUGGGCUGGAUGGGUUGUUUUGAAGGCAAGAAAUUAUAUUGUCUGCCUCUGAUUUUCCAUCUAAAACAGCCUACUUGGAAGAAGAAAUGUGAAUUUGAUAGGUUGGGAUGCACGAAAAGAUGGCACUUUCCUAUAGAAAGCUGGAAAGAGAAACCCCACAGCGUAAAGAGCUGUCAAACUACUGUUAGUCAAUAUAUACAUAUAAAAGGAAAACGACUUUCAACCUUAUAAAAGCCAUAAGUUCCACGUCCAAUUAUACUUUUCAUAGGGUACUAAAUGUGACUCGAGAAUCGGUCAUCAGCUUUUCAAGAAUUUCCAAUUCAAUAUAUAUAUAUAUAUAUAUAUAUUUAUAUAUCCAAUCCAAUGCAAGGAGCUGACAAAUUCAUAUCGUAAAUUAUUUGCAAACCACAAUUUUGAAGAGGUGUGAACUGGACUCUGAUGAGGUACUUGUGGAAGUGUGGUGUGGGGAGACACUUCAAGUAUUCAAGGACUAUUUUAGAAGGUAAUGUAUUAUUGGUUGCGUAGGAGCUCAAAAGAGGCCAUAACCGGAAUGCAAUUCUAUUAAUACGGAUACUGAUUGACAUGUCCUAUAGGGGUCUAAACCUUUACUACUUCUGGGAGGUACACAUGAAGAGGGGACCCUUGAUGACACAACUUGAUGCUGAUAUUUCAGGAAGAUAAGGGAGUGGAAAGGAAAAAUUCCAUCUUUUCUUGGAAGCAAAGAACGUGACAGAAUCGAAAAAUGGGCAAAAGAGAAGGAGAGGGCGCUGCCAGCCUAACGAGGGUUACAUUUCUAUCAAGGAGAGAGUGCUCACAUUUCCUAGUUCUCAUUGAACAGAAGCUCCCAACUUUUGGCUAUUGUGGUUUAUUACCCUUUUCCCACUAAAGCUCAAGCGAUCUUAUCUCCCUCUCCCUCAUACUGGUUGGUUAGAAUUAUUGGUUUACACCGAGAUGUGUACAUAGUGUGGACUGUGGAGUCCAUCUUUCAUUUUCACCAUUCCUGAAAGCAAAUCAAUUCGAACUCCCGUUUUCUGAAGUGGACUGCAGCAUGCAUUGCAGGGGACCAUCCUACAUUCCCAUCCCAGGCCCCCUUUUCCUCUUUAGAAAGUUACAACUCCUGCUGUGCUACUCUUACUUGAGGAAAAGCACACGGAUAAGCCGCCUGAAUCCUCCCUCAAGAGGCGAGCACUCAAGCACGAGCACGGCCAUUAAUUUAGUCGAAAAUUUUUCUAUUCUAACUUUCAUGAGCACGGUGAUUAAUUAAAUUAGUCAAAGGUGACGGUGAAGUUUUUUAUUCUAACUUUUAAAACUUUCAAUAAUUUGUGACCAAGAUCAGCUACAUCAUAUCGUCUGAUAAAUUUUUCUCAACAAAUUUUAUUUUGAUGCUGCAUUUAUACACAUAACAGAACCCUGAUUGAAGCUUCGGCGUGGCGUCCACCCACACUUCAUCAAUGCAAUUAUUUCUAAUGAAUUGGAGGCCUGAAUCCAUAAGGCCCCUGAUCCAAAAGUACAUGACUAGCAGACAAUUUAAUCUUGGAACAUCUACCGGGGGAACUACCAAAUAAUUCAGAGAAAAUUUCAGCCAUGGAAGCCCAGGAUUUGAAGAAUCAGGAAAGCCCCAUCGAAAAUCAUGAAUGAAACCACACAUGAAACUAUGUAUGUAUGGUGGGGUAAUGAGCCACAGUCACCUUCGUGUGUGCCCACGUGCACACACAAAUAGGUAGCCCCCUCCUGUGUUAAUUCAAUAUAUAUGUCUCAUUGGCGGUAUCUUCUUCUUUCUUGCAACCAUACGGAGCUAUGUAAUUGUAUAUACUUGUUGCAGCUAUGAAUGCAUGUGAACCAAAUUAUUGAGCCCUUCUAUUUUGGACCCACAGUUCUUUUAAGACAGAAGGAAACAAAAAAAAUUUUAUAAAAUUGAAAUGGGAUUCUUGAAGAGGGAUCAUGAGAUGAGAUGGCAACAAAGUGAAUGCAAGUUCUGUUUUGAAAACUCAGGAUUGAACUUUUCAAAUGCAAUAUUUUUCUUCAGAUAAAGUUAAAUAAAACACAAAAGGAAUCAUAUGAUUGAUAAGCUGUGGAUGAGUAAAGAACGUAAGGCAUGAAGGGGAAAAAAAAUGAAAAUGAUAGUGACAAUAAUGGUGGAGACCGUCGCAAUGAUGAUGGAGGUGAUUAAAUUCUUGCAUAUUUUAUCAUUUUGAUAUUCCAUUCUGGAUGACAAACUAACUAACAUGCGAAGCAUAUACAGCCAGUCUGCUGAGGAGAAGAAUUCUUAAUUACAUAAAGAUGCAGCAAUUGCUAGCCAUUGAAGUCACCAAGAAAAAGAGGUGCUCAUUUUCACAAUGUAAAUUUUCUAGCCUCCUCAUAUUUCAUGGUACCCGGACCAACUUAUUUCAAAGAAUGAAUGUGUCAAAUUAGUGAUAAAUCAAUGAAAUGUCUGCUUAAGAUUUUUUCUUUUCUUUUUUUUUUUUUUUUUUUUGGUGAAGAAGUUGAUCGUUGUCUUGACAAUCAUGGACAACUGAAAUUAAAUUGCACGUUAUUUUGUAAAUGUCUCAUUUUGCAUUUGGCAAAGAAAAGACGUCUUGGGGAUAAGGGUAGGUCAUACAUAGAGAAAAGUCAUGUACGGACACUAGGCAUCAAAAUUGUGAACAGGAAUGUUGGAUGGAUCGACCUUAAAGGUUGACUCUGGUAAUAGUAAUUUGUUCUGUGCCACCUAAAAAAUUAAUUAUCUAUUACUAUUAGAAUUCUUCCAUUGUUGGGUUGAAGAUUCAAAUCCUGGUCUCGUAAUUGAGAACGAUCUCUGUACUACUCAAUCCAUUCUUAUUUGAUACAAGAUUAAUUAGUUGAGUUAUUUUUUGCAUAUAAUUGAGGAUGUACUAGUAUUUUAUGACUAGAGAGGGCUCUUAGAAUUCUCUCAAGAAUGUCAGAUUCAGGAUUCGAAUCUUGAUCCAACAGUUGUCGUGAAAAAGAUGUCAACAUGGUUGGAAGGUCAAAAAAAGAAGUACAAAAUUAAUUAGUCAAGUAAUCCGGGAUCUGAGGGAAACAGGAAUUAUAGCUCGCCCUACUCUAUCCUGUGCCAUCACGUCUUGAAUCUUUUUACUUUUCAUUCCACUUUUUUAACUCCAACUAUUCAAGAAACUGGAAGAAUUUAUAUGCAAUGACGUCUUGAUGUAAUUGACUAAAUGCGCCGAAUUUGAGGCUGCCGGCGUUAAUAUUUAGGCCCUGCACAAUAAUGCCUCGUUGGCGUACAUAUCUUAGUCCUAGAAACAUUUCGGUAAUGGGAAACUAUUGCAGUGAAAAGGUUUCUUUCUGUCCUAAGCUGUGGGACUUUCCUUAGUUUCUCCAAAUAAAAAGCCAUAAACUGGACCCCUGCAUGCUAUUUGCUCUAAUGGCUGCUACAACCCAAGAGGUUUAUUACAAAUUUUGCUGCCAAAAAAAAAAAAGGCUGUAAUUUGCGUAGGAACAAAAUCCUGUCUGAUUCCAUAUUGAUUUGCUCAUGUAAACCGAAGAUUGCGACAAUCUUCUCUUCCAUUUUUUCAACUACGUUUUUCCAGGGUUUACCUGCACAAGUUGUAAUAUGAAAUUAGACAUUAUACAGUAGCAAUGACAUUAAAAACUACAGAGUUGUACCAUUAUUAGCAAAAAAUAAUGGAGUGAAUGAAUACUUCAUCUCACAAUUUCUAAUCAGAAUCAAGAUAACAGACAUGACUUAGGAGACCCUACCUUUCUUGUGCAUUAUUCCUUGCAAUUAAUGAAUUUUAGAUGCCAAAAACCAUCAAUCAAACAUGGAAUCCCCCAAGGACAUGCUCUUCUGUAGUUUGCUUGUAUCUCCUUUCCUCCCAGUACUAAUUUCUUUUUUAAAAAAAUGCUUUUAGAAAAUUAAUUUAAUCAAUUCUGAUUUACGAAAGUCCAAAUGGCGCAGUCUUCUGCAACUACUCAACUUGGCUUGCUGGCUUUACUUAUCCUCCUCCGUCAGAUAAUACUACUAUUAAGUCAGGUCUUCUUCCUCCCAAUUCAUAAUAAACCACAUACAAGAUUGAAGCAGCAAGUUUCUUUUUAAAUAUAGAGAAGGGCAUUCUAGAAUGAGACCUAAAAAAAUGAGUACCCCACUGUCUGAGUUGCCUCGAAACCACAGUACGGCUACCAAUCUAAAAUAGUGUAUUAUCUUAUUUCUGCAAUUGUUUAAGUGUUGAUAAUGCAAGUGAGUCAGUGUAUGUAAAUAAGGUGCAAUCCAAACACACUAGGUGUUUUCAGGGUUAAAAAAAAAAAAAAAUGGUGUUUCCAAUACUGUAAAAUUGUAUUGAAAAGUUUUCAGUACUAAGAAAUACAAAAUCACUACUAUUCCUUAAAGGGUAAAAUUUAUAAUCCCUAAUGAUGAAUUGCUCUUGUGGAGUAUUCAUUGAUUCUUUUGGCGUUACUGCUAAUUGGGCAUUAGAGUAUUGAUUGUCUUGAGUAAUUUAAAAGAGUCAAAGGUAGAGAAUCAACUGAUAAAUAGUUCUAGAAACCUCCUUUUAAGAGCUUUAUUAACAAUUUAAGAGCUACUUUGGCCGAUGAUAUUAACAAUUUAAGAGCUUUAUUUCUGAAAUGCUCCUUUUGUUUAGAUAGGAGAUUAGACUCCAGAUGUGAACUGAUUAGUGGUUAUGCCUUAGGCAUAUUUCAGGAUGAGGAAUAGAUCAAUCCUCAGUGUGUCUAACACUUGUGUAUAGUUGUUUCUUGAGCCUUUGCUCAUAUAAGUGUGUAUCCUUUUGUCUAUCAAUACAAAAAUUACCGUUGCUGAAAAAACAAAAAAAAUAGUUCUAGAAACCUCAACGUUAAACUUGAGGCAGAACCUCUGCCAAACUGUCAUUUGCUAUUUGAUCAUGGGUGUCAGAUAUUAGUACAUAGUAUUUUUUAGGGACUUUUUCUGUCUCAAAAGGAUAAACUCGUUGACAAUUAGUAAUUCUAGAAAAAAAAAAUUGGAUUUGACAUCAUGUCAUGGCAUAUUAAGAUUUUAUCAAACAUAGAAUUUUGAUUGGAUUCCAGCUUCAAAACAUGCAUUUGUAAUCCCAAUUCAAAAUCGACAAGAGACUACAGUUCGUUGCAUCAAAACUGUCAGCAGGCACAGUUACUGCAUAAUGGUGAUGCCCUGUUGAAUCCCCCUCUUGUGUUCUUCAUUACCAUCCUAAAGUAAGCCUGUUUAAGCAAAAUAAGAGCUACUCACAGUAAACUGCUGAUUGAUAUGGAGAUUAAAGGAAGGAUGCCAGACCAAGAAAGUGGCGAAGCCGGAACCUAUUGGAUCCUCAUGAAAAGUGAAAAUCCAGGGAAAACUAAUGCAGAAAUGAACCCCCAAAUAUUACUUGCAUUUAGCCAAUUCAUGUGAAACAAGUAAAUCUUGUCUCUCAUUUCAUUUCCUGUGCGAGUAAGUGUGAAGUACAUCCACCCUUGUAACUUACUCACCUAUUGGUAUCUUUAUUGUCUACAUGGCGAUACACAAAUCUAAGGCUGUAACUAAUAAAUGGGAGGUGAAAUUUCUCACCAAGAUGAUUAUAUCAAUUGAACUAAUUUGAUAAUCUCAAUAAGCGAGCAUCUGGCCUAUUUGAAAACCAGGUUGUGACAUGUUUUAUCACAUGGAUAUGCACAGUCGAUAGCCUUGAUGCCUGUCCGAUCAAAAUACCAAUCUCCAACAGCAAGUGCAAUGCCCUGCAUGAUUUAGAGCAUCAGUUGAACAAGACCCUUUUAAAAUUUUUACUAAACAAGAACGGUAAUGCCCACAACAGAUCUCAGUCAGAGGAAAAGUGAAAAGGUAAAAGAUACUGCAGACGUACGUGGAUAUGAAAAUCAUGGAGCAUGUAAUGUAUGCAAAGUAAUUAGCUAAGCAAGACAGAGAAGUCUAUGAGCCCAAUCUCCUACUUCCCAUGAACCAGCAAUAAAAUCAUCAAUAUGACUCCUGAUUUAACCGAGGAAACUCGUCACCCCAUGUUCAUAGAUACUGUAGCGUAUUCAAAAUUGCUGCCCUAGUGUUACAUUUGGAUAAUAAGUUUCAUCUCAUGGUUCCUGAUUUUCAGAUUCAACUGUAAGUAUCACAAUCGGAUUAGAAUUAAUCUUCUGGAGAGUCAUCACUAUGAAAUUAAGCCAUUCUUGCAAAUAUUUUCAUUGGACUACACAAAUGUGAUUCAAUUUCACCAAGUUAUCAUUCGCAUGUUCAUCUUUUCUCUCUGCUAUACUUAACCUUAAAGUCGGUUAAUACAGACAUUGAGUAUGACACGUGCUAUUGUUAUCUUAUCCAAGUCAUUCCAAAAUGCGACUUCGGUCUAAUGCAAGCAUUUUCAUCGCAGCAAAUGAGUCAAAAAAGUGGAUGCCAUAAUGAGACCUAAAAAGUUAGUAGCCAAUAGCAUACCUUGUUGCUGAUAGCAGGAGAGUCAUCUGCAAACCAUGUAUCCUGCCUCUCUGAUUGGCAGUGAGCAAAGCAGGAAUUUAUGAACAACCCAUUUUGUCCGGACAUUGCAAAGCUUCUCACGGAAUUUAGCAUACGAAUCCUAAAAGCUGCUAACAAAGAACAUUGAAUUAGUAUUCAACCCUGCAUCUCCAAAGCAUCUAAAGCAGCUUCGGUAACUCAGUUGACAGAGGUUACCUUGCAGGAAUCGGAUCUGUGAAGCAGAACAUUUUGCAUGGUUCAGUUUACAGUCAUGCCAAGUUCCAUGAGGAUCAGCUGCAGGAGGAGCUAAGCUAGCCUGGACCUGAAUAAAAAAAAAAUGAGAAUGCCAAAUAAUUAAUUUCUCAUUCCCAUCAUUCAGAAAAAUCUGCACCUAGCACAAGAAAUACUCAUGACAGAGGUUACAUUACCUGCCAUGAAUCAUAGGCAGCAUUAAGAAUAAAAAGAGGAGUUUUUACGUUGUCAAUCAGGUUCUGAGGGAAGAAGCACUGAAAAAGAAAAUGAAAAUCAACUGUGAACUUGGAAACAUGAAAAUUCUCUAGUAUAACAGCAUUGCCACAAUUGUGGCAGUAAAGAUGAAAAAGACUUACUGAAGUUGGAUCCCGAUAUGUAGUACACGUACUUGGCAGGUUCUUGGCAACACCCUGGCAAUAAACGGAAGACCAUUAGCUGAGUCAGUUUAACAAUGAAACCAAGAACAUAACUUCAGUGUGUGAUCUAAACAGGACUUGUUCCUGAUGUUUUAUGUUUGUUGGAGUUAUUUUCACAGAAACUUGCCACAAAGAUGCAGAGUCUGAAAAGUCGACAGCCUUCUUUUUUUGAUCACUCAACUUAUGCAUGCAAAAUUUUUUGACUCAGCUUAAUGUGUUUUACAACCAAUUUGAAUUUAACUUUUGACUUGUGCAAAAUAAGAUACAUAUAAGUCCCUCCAAACAAACAGUAAUGUUCCACGUUUCUACCAACCAUCCUCUUCGAAAGCUUUAACCAAAAUUAUCUCCUCAAGGAUGGUAGAAACAGAUAUGUAGCCCUAACAACUUCUAUUAAACAUUACAACAGGUAUUGCAAACAAGAAACUGUGAAAAUGUUCAAUAUUCUACCAGAAGCAUAAGAAGAAUGAAACUUUCUUAAGAUGCUAGUCUUAAAGGAAAUGAUCAAGAAAUGUUUCAUUUCAAAAAUACCUGCAAGUUAACCACGCCAGCAAAGAAGUUCCUCAUGCUGUGCCCACCAGAUACAUCAAUCCUACAAAAACACAAUAUCCAAUAAAGAAUUUAAGAAAACCUAAUAGCUGCAGAGAUGAGAAAAUGGAACUUCGACACAAGAAAAGAGUGAAUCAAGAAAUUUGACAUUACGAAUCCAUAAACAAUCCAGCAUCGCUCAGGCACUUCACUUUAGUACUUGAUGGAAACAACUCACGGAAUUCAUCACAGUGCAAUAUAGAAGCUAGACCACCAGCAGAGCAUCCUGAAAGAAGGGCCUGAAACAUAACUAAGAAUUAGAAAAUAUAGAAGACCAUAGGAUAUCAGAAAGGAAUGUGCAAUAAGAUAACAUUCCAAACCAAUACCCUGUCAGCAGAGUGCAUUCCCUUUGACAUCAAAUCUUCCAUUGCAGCAUGCCAAAUUCGUUGCCCUCUAAACUGCAGCUGUGCAACCUGAAUGAAGAUAAGAUUGUUACUUGUAUAAAUUACGAACUUCCACCCACUUGUCACAAAAACUGAAGAAUGAUUACACGAUUCCUGUCACAAGAAGAAUGUUUAAACCAUGUAGCAUGAAAAGCCCCAAAAGGGGUGUAAACUUCAUUUGGCUUAAAAUCAACUAUGCAAGCAAUUCUCCAAGUCAAACACACAAGGUGCCUUCAAUAGCAGUGGUUAACGAACUCCUCCCUCUGGUUAGUCAGCAAGCUCAUAGUAAUGAAAUACAGGGUGAACAUUGCUUGUAAAGGAAGUCCAAGGCAAACAUUUUAGGUACUUUAGGCAUUAGAAAAUGAUUAGCAGAAAGCAAGUCUUAGUGGGAAUACCAAGUACGUCUGUGCAAUUUCAAAACUUAGUUUUUUGUUCUAGUUCAUUGGUUUACUUGAGUAGUCCGCACAUGUAGCAAUAUCGAAGAAAAAAAAAUUGAAGACAAACAUGCGAUCACCCACCUUAUCUUCACCUUCCCCUGCGAAAGAAGCUCCAUCGCAAUAACGAACCUUUAUUCUGUUCCAAUUAAAAAAGUCUGCAAAUGAACCAAUUAGUAAGAACCAAGCAACAACAUUUAAUCCAUGGAAUGUAAAGCAAGGGCAAAGAAACAUAGUAGAGAAUACAAAGCAGUAAGUAUAUCUCGUGCAAAAUUUUGGAUGAAAACCUGGAUUUUCUUCUGGUUUAUUGCUGAGUAUUCCUGUAAAAGGUAUCUGCUUUUCCAUAUGUGUUGAAGAUCCACGUCUUGUUGUUUUCCUGUAAACACAUGAUCUAAUGGAGUUGCACCAUCCUCCACCCUGCCACAAAAUCUUGAAAAUUCAGAAUGUGGUCUAACAACAGUGUCAACAUGCCGGGAGUAUUGCAGCAUACAAGCAACUAAGCAUCCAAGAUCCCAGAUAACAUCUAAAGAAUAAUAACAAAGAAUUUGCUCCUCUUGUAUUUUUGAGUGAAAGAAGAGUGUACAUUUAUACACCCCUAGCUUGCUGCAGAACACUAAAUAAUUGUAACUGAAAAUGGGUAUCACAAUAUUUUGGAUAAUUCCUGUAACUGGGAAGAAGAUGGAGAGAGUAAAACAGUUGGAAAAAACACAAUUGAAGCAUUAGUCUAGUUUAGAAAACAGAAGAUGCCGCACAACCUGAUGGAGUCUAUUUUAGGCUGAUAAUUAUUUGUCAUUGAGACAAACAAAAUCAACAGAAAUAAACAUUUAUAGACCUGAAAUUUUAACAUUUUUAGGAAUCCAUUACUGUAUCUAAAUAAUAAGAUGUCUGACGAACCUCCAAUUGAAUAAGCCAACUGUUUGCCCCUGAUCCAAAUCCGCGAUGAAUGUGAUAACCGGGUAGCGUUCCAUCCAAGCACACUGCAAGAGUGAAAUACAAGAAAAUUCUUCCCAGUCACAUCGCUACUGCUACAAAUUACCUCUUCUCAAGAAGUGCCUCAACACAUUCUCCAAAACUGAACCUCAGUUUCAGUAAUAAAUUUACAAUAUAUUUCCAAUGGUAAAGAGUUUUAAUCUUCAAAUUUGUGUUUGGAUUGCUGAAUCAUCAUGAAUAAUAUUUCGUUUGUAUCAUAAACACAUUUUUUAAUCCACCUUGUUAUAUUCUCAAUUACUUUUUUAUCUCACAUAUAUCACAUCACAAAAAGUACUACAGUAAUUAUUUCAAAUAAUAUUCUGGCCAAACACACAUAAUCGCCCACUGUUUAUGAAAACAGCCCAAAAUCAAAUUUCAAGAAAUUACGAAACGUGUUCAAAAUGAAUACGUAUAGUCCAACAACAGAAAAAUUGAUGUGAAUAAUGACAUCUAUCUGCUCACCAGUCACCAGCCACCAGUCACCAUCAUCUCAUCUACUACCGAGACUCAUAUCUUGAAAUGCGUCAUGGUAAUAGUAAUAAAUAAACAAGAAGACAAAAACCUCUUCAUCAUGUCACUUUACUAACUUUCGAGCCAAAACAAGUGGAAAAUCAUAUCAACAAAGGAAAAACAGAUUUUGAGACCAAUAAUAACAAAAAUAACAAAUGAAAACAGAUUUUGAGACCAAUAAUCUGGAAAGAAAGAAUCACAUUACAAUAACCUGACUUAAGAUGGAUAAUCUAGCAGAUAAUAGCAAAGUCGGAGAUCUAGAAAACAUAUCUACUUACCCAAAAAGAAAAAUCCUAACUGGGAAAAGAAUAAUAAGAAUGCAUUAUUGCAUUAAUCAAUUUCAGCUUAUAGCAUAUAUGCUUGAGGAAAAAAACCAACAAUCAAUCCGUCACAAAUAUGAAUAAGGACAUAUUUAAAUGUAAAAACAGUAAAGUUUCGUGCUUUAUACUCAAUUAAGACUUCCAAACCAGAGAAGCAAGGAUAAAAACAUAAUCUAAGAAAGAAAAAAAAAACCAUAACAAGGAAACUUGUACCAGCCCCUUGAGCAGCAGCUCCUCGAAUAAGGGUAAGGCCAACCAUGAGAGGCUUAGGAGCAGCAUAACCAUGUCCAGACUCCAGGAAUGAUGAUAAAUUCUCAGUUCUGUUGUAAAACAGCUCAUCAAAUUCAAAACUUUCUACACCCCACCCGCUAAAACCAAGCCCAACAACAAAUAUCACCACACCCCACAAUCCCAUGAGCUGCUGAUUCCCCAUGGCUCUAACUCUCAAGCUCUAAAACUCUUUCUUUUUUCGUUUUCUGCACUACCCAAAUCUUGUAAAAUAAAUAAAUUUAAAGAAAUGGUUUUAGCAAACUUGUGUGCUUUUUUUUUUGCUACUUUGCUUUACAAUUUGGAGCUCUAAAUGUCGAAAUUUAUGUACCAAUCACAAUGACAAAUGUGUCAUGUAAUGGGAAAAGAUUUUGACAAUCUUUUUACAAGGAAAGAAUAAGAAGAUAAUUUAUAGUAAAAUUUUCCACCUUCCAGGACAGGGGAGGUGGGGACAAGGGACGGGAGGACAGAGAUUUGGUAUGUGCUAUGGGGGCUUUUUGGGUGUGGGGGGGAGUGUGUAUGCCUGUCACGGAUCUAAGGAAGAAUGACUAUGUAUAGGGGAGUGAGCAGUGGAGAUAUGUUUUGUGGGGCUAGAAAAAAAAUUUUAACUAUUUGUGCAUGAGAAUAAUUUUUUGAUGUUCUAAGAGUGUAAGGUGAAGACAAGAAUAUUUAGGGAAGGUUUUUUAAUUUCGUCUUUGCCCAUUUGAGUUCUUCCUAUAAAUUUAGUUUGUUAUUAUUAUUAAAUGUCUAUUGGAGAAAUAUGACUUUAUGGAAUUUCCUUAUUUGAAGUGAAAAGGAAUACCUGUACGUUAUUUUAUUACCACAACGUUUAGUAAGAAUGUCACAUGCAAUGGAAAAAGUGCUAAAUAUGCCAAUUUAAGUCCGUCUUUAAAUUCCGAAAUUUCAACCUUAACUAUUAAACCAAAAUUUUCUCGACUAAAUUAAAGAAUUUUUAUAUAUAACAGUCCCAAUGAACUAUAAUGAAACCUUUGAAGAACUCUAUUAUUUCCUUACUUUGGUUCUUUUUUUUUUGUUGCUAAAUUUAUACUCACGACUUUGACGUGAGGAAUAGGAAAGUUUAUUACUACAUAAUCUCUUUGGGUUGGGAGAAAAAUGUAGGACUUCUUAUUGUCGUUUGAUGGGGCGAAAGAGGCGGUGUAACAUACUAAUUUUGUUCUUCGACACUCCGCCGACGAGAAUUGAACCACCAUCGGACCAGACGAGUGCACUACACACCCGUCUAGAUUUAAAAAGCCACACUUGUAGUAAUUAGUGUGAGACAAGUUUUGAACCUUUAACUCCCAUCCCACCGAGCCUUAAAGGCUUGAUGGUGGCAUACUAAUUAAAUAGAGGAGUUGUGUAACAUGCUAAUUACUUGCCAAAAUAUUAAAGAAGUCAUGGGGCGUCAUUUUGUUUCACAUUCCGUGGCCAAUUAGUGCGUCUUUGAAUUGAAAAUUUAAGUUAAUUUAACCGUUAAAGAAUCUAUUUCACUUGAUACAUUUGUUAUUCUUAUUAUACCUAUCUAUCACUUUAAACUUUUUGUCCCGAAAUUAUCAUUUGUCCCAUCUAUCCCGCGCAUUGAUAUAUUGAUAACUCAAGUAGAUUCGCUUGAGUUAUAAAUGCAUUAUUACAUAUGACAGCUGUAUAAAUACGAAACAAAAGGACAUUUUAUGUUAAUUUUGGAAAAUUAUAGUGAGGUUUGUAAGGAGAUAUGACCCAUAUACAUGCCUCGUUUGUAAUGGAAAGUUCUUAAUUUCAUUUUUCCUCAUCAACAGUAUUAGGUCAUGACCUUAGGAUGUAGAAAUCUUGGAUUCAAAUCCUUGUAUAGAUCUUAGAUUCAAAUUCAUCUUCUCUUUUCUAGCUUCUUAAAUUUCAUUGAUCUUUUAUUAGAAAAAGAUUAGCUCAUGGCUCUUUCCAAAAAUGAGAAGCAUUUCAAAAGGAAUUAGGACCAAAUUGCAAAAUUUUGAAUAUAUAUUGAGGAGCAAAAUGCAUCAAUUUAUACUCGAGGAACAAUUCGUGCAACUUUUCUAUCUAAAAAGAUGCAACCAAAGGAUUAUUUUAAACUUCUAUAUCACAAAAUUACACUAGUGAACCCACUUAAAAAGACAAGUCCUUAGUCAUCCGUAUAUUGCUCAAAUACAUCAAAAGGUGCUGGAGAAGGAUUGGUUAAGUCGAAAGGUAAGAGAUUCUGCAUUAAAACCCUCUCGCCUAUCAUAUAAAAAUAUUAUUGGCUUUCAAUUUCGAUAGAUAAUUAGAUGCUACAUGGAAAAACAUUUCCAAAAAAUUUUUAAAUAUACUUUUCAACCAUCAUUUUAGUUUUUAGUAAUUAUUUUAUCUCACAAAUAUCAUAUACAUCAUAUAAAAAAGUGAUACAAUAAAUUAAAAAAAGUUAUCGAAAAUUAUUUUCAAUCUUAACGCACUCGUCAUUCUAGUGGAGAAUAUGAAGCAUGGAUGACAUCAUCGUCUUUCUUUUGCAAGAACCAGAAAAAUCAAUAUAAAAAAGGCAGAAAUUGAGCGGUGGAAGUGUAAGUGGGAUAAAGGGGAACGAAAUGCCGCUAGCUAGCUGUCCGAUCUGGAAAGGACCUCAUGAUUAUUAUCACCACAAAUUGCCGUCACACCACCAUUUUGAUUUUGAUAUUCACGUUAUCAUGAAUUUUUGUGAUUGAUAUGCUACUAGUACAUGUUAAGAGUUGGGGGGUCUAAGGGGUAUUUCGAAAUUAUCCACACUAAACCAUCCAGUGGGGCAGAGUUUCGUCCCAAAGAUACCCAACAAUAGUAAUACGUGAGGAUCGAAUUUGGGAUCUUACUGUAACUAUAGACGAUCAGUCCCAGCGGACCUACUCAUGGGGGCCUUCUAUUUAUAAUCCACUUGAUAAUUUAUUUUGGCUCAUUUGAUAGUAAUUUAUGGACAUCUUACGUACAAGAAAUUUAGUAGAUUUAAGUUUGAAUAAAUAUUAUAUACAUUGAGUGUAUGCAUUUUUACGAUUAAAUGCAUGAAACAUAUAUAAAAUUUUAUUAUCAAUAGUUAGAUAAGCGAUUUAUUUGGAAGGAAGGAAGAAAUUGGAUAAUUUGGAAGGUCGGAGUAUAAACGGAGAUCUCAAAUUUGAGCGUGUUACGAACUUCCGAUUCUUCAAAGUACAUUAGUACAUAAUCAAACAUGAUAUAUCCCCACUUUUUGGCUGGAUAACCUUUUAAUUCCCGCGACCAUAAAAUGUGAUGCGGUGUUGGUUUACAUUUUCCACAAAUCUUAAAGCCUGUCUGGACUGUUGUUUUUAGAAAUUUUUAUAGAAAAUGUACUGUAACAAUUGGAUAUAUGUAAGAUAAGAAAGUAAUACAAAAAUAUGUUCAUAAAAAUCGUAAUUUUUUUUUUCAGAAAAUGACGAUCGAAAAAUAUUAAAAAGCUGAAACAGCAGAAGCAUGUGUCGUGUUUUUGUGUUUCCCCGUGACUUGCGGUUUCGGUUGUAGUCAUUGUUGUCACAUGAAUUUUUCUUCGUCCUUUAAUUGCAAAGCAAACCAAACUUACGGGUGGCUUUAAGACUAGGAAUCCGUUUGGAUUGUUUACUUUUUUGAAAUUUUUAAAAAAAUAAUAAUAAUUGAAAUAAUUUGAUGUAUAUGAGAUAAAAAAAUAUUAAAAAAUAUAUUUACAAAAAAUAUAAAAAAUUUUUAAUAAAAAAUUUAAUGAGUUACGUGAAACUUAGUUCAACUUAUGAACAAAUGAGUUUUGCUUUUAACCAAAAAUAAGUAAAUAAAAACUUACAACCAGAUAAUUAACGCUCUUUUUCCUUUUAAGUUCUAUGAAAUAUUUGAUAGAUAUUUAUGAAAAAUUCUAGAAUAAUUAUAAGAGUCGAGUUGAAAUGAGGUGGGUAUUGGAUGAAUUGCAACAAAAUGUUCAAUUUUCGUCUAUUACGGUUGCAAAUCACGAUCAAAUUAGGAUGGAAAUUUGGAAUGAAUGUUUUCAUAUUGACGAUUAUCUGUAACAAAUUUAUUUUUCAUCCAUUUUUCAAUCUCAUAUAUAUAUUAUUAUAAAAAGUGCUACAAUAUUUAUUUCUAAAAAAUCCUCUAUGACAUAUUUAGUUGACAUUUAUAUUAAAGUGAGACGCAUGGGAGAUGAGUCGAUUUCGACGAAUUGUGGCCAAUUGAAUUGAGAUUUUUGAGAGUUGCGACAAGCUUUCCAAAAUACUAACCGUCGUGAAGUGUAUGGUUCCAAUGUUUUUGAAUCAAAAUUAUUGUUUCUUCUCCAAGAAAUACAUAUUAUGGGGGAAGGAGUGAGCAACAUAAAGUAUUCAGUAGACAAUUUUGUAUGGAUAAAGUAUUAUUCCAAAUAAUUAUUUGGAAUAAUUAGUAUAACACUUUUUAUGAUAUGAUGUAUGUGAGAUAAAAAGGUGUAUUAGAAAAUGUGUUUAUGAUGCAAGCGAAAUUUUUUUUUGGAAAAAUUGGCAAUCCAUACAAAAGAAAAUAAAAAAAAGAGCACAAAGAUCCCAUAAUUAUUGAAGUAAUAGAAACAAACUACAAUUGAACAAUAGUAUAAGCUAUUUCACAAAUUGCCUACAAUUCAAAUCAUGGAGUAAAUACUAACAUAAAGUUAAAAAAAAAAGUUGCAAAUAUAUCGAGACUUGAACUAAACCUCUCGAAUUUUGCAAAGUUUUUUUUUUUCCCCUUCUAAGGCCUUGUUUGGAUUGCGGUUUUCCGUCGGAAAAUUACGUCGUUUUCCGUGAUCACAUUUCCCUAUUACCUUUUUUCCUCACAUAUAUCAAAUCGCUACAGUAAUUUUUUCAUGAAAAAUCAUGGAAAAUGCAAUUCAAACACGACCUAAGUAUUGGAAUAAUAAAAUGACUCAAUUGGUCCAAUUGAUUGAUAACCUGGUCAACUCGAGAAUCUUCUAGCCUCGGGGAUUUAAUCAUUAGAUUUGAAGGAGAAAAUUGAAAAGCAACUUAGUUCAAUCCUCAUGUUUUCUUUCGUCAGCUGUGAUGAGCAUUGCCCUUGAAAAGUAAUUAAUUAAUGAACUUUGGGGAGGGGGCAACAUUUAUUAGAUACAGAGUGAAAUGAUUCGCAGUUUGUCCUCAGAUUUGGCCAACAUGACCUGAAUUAUUGUUAUUGCUGCUGCCCCCACACCUAUACGUUAAACGACUUAUCUGAUGACAGAUAAUUCAACUAGGUAAAUCAGACUUUUUCAUUUGCUUUUUUUUUUUAAUAAAAAAAAGAUAAUUUUAUUCCAGUAUCUACACUAAUGACAGCAAGUAGAUCAAAUAUGAUGCAGAUCCAUAUAUAUAUAUAUAUAUAUCAAAAUCAAAUUAUACAAAAUUUAGAUUUAACUUCCUGAUUUUAUUUUUGAGAUCUUCCAAAUCUUUAAUUUCAUCAAUUGAAAAAAGACGAAUAACCAAAAAAAAAAAAACUCUCACAAGAAUAUUCUAGGACAAAAUUAAACUCUAAGAAGAAUGUUUCAGUAGAAAAUCCUAAGAGAGAAUAAUCUCUCGUUAGAAAAUCUUAAAAGAGAAUUUACUUAAAGAAGGAAAUAAAACUAGGAAAAGAGCCUCCUCCUACAAGGCAAGAUCAAAUUGUCUAGUCUCUCUCCCAUGUAGAGUCAAGUGAGAUAUUAGCUGGAAGAGUAUUAAAAAGAAGAAGAAAGGUUGAGUUCUAGAGAGAAGGAAGAAAAUUUCCCACUUACUUUUUUAAAAGAGCUAAUUUCUCCCAUUUACUUUCAAUUGACUAUCAUAUUCCAAAAAUUUCUUUAGCUUAGACUUCUUAGCAUGCUUUGAUUUCUUACGUUUACUAUCAAUUGACCGUCAUAUUCCAAAAAUUUCUUUAACUAGACUUCUUGGUAUACUUUGAUUUCUUCCCUUUACUAUCAAUUGACGAUCAUAUUCCAAAAAUUUCUUUAACUACCACUUUUGGGUAAUAGACUCCGUCAUCACUUUUGCAUAUAUAUAAAUGGCAUAAUUUUUUUUAAGGUUUAAUUUUUCCUACACUGACAGUGUAUACACUAUCAGCGUUGAAUGAUUGAUAACUAUAUAAAAUUUGAAUUUAAAAUUCAACUUUUACACACAUGUUAUGAAUCCAAUGAUAAUAGUGUAUACACCGUCAGUGUAGAAAAGAUUUACUUUUUUUUAAAUCUCUCAAAUUAAAAUUUCCACCUGUACAUGAUAUGAAUCGAUGCUGGAUUUUCUGUGUAAUCUCAAAAUCAGUCUUGUACGUCUCAUAUUUUGUAAUGUGCACGCAUUUGCACAAAUAUCUUCAAUAUCUUCGCCCGCCCCUUGCGGAGAAAAGGGCAGGGCACUAUUCAUGACAAGCACAAAAGCAGGGCACCAUUGCAUUCAGGGACGUGCUUGGUCUAUCUAAAACAGUAGAUGUUACCCUUGAACUUUCUAGGACUCGGGGCAGGGACGGUUGCAGGUGCAACCGUCACUGCCAAUUUUAGCUCAUUUCAACUGCGCGUAACAUUGGUUCAACUGCGCGUAACUUUUUUUUCACAGGAUGUAUUUUCACAACAGAUAGUGGUGGGCCCCACACUUGGCGCGAAUUUCGAGUUACAUGGUGUUAUUUCAGCCGCACAAAAUUUUGAGGGCCAAUUUUCAGCCGCACAAAUUUUUAACCGUGCAGGGACGGUCAUGAUGACCGUCCCUGCCCCAAAUCCAACUUUCUAAGCCCUAUUUAAUUUGCCCCGUCUGAUUCUUGGUCUUUUCCCACAAACAAAAGAUGAAAUCCUUUGGUAAACUCGUCAAUCCUAAAGUAAAUUUCGGUUUUAUAGAAUAAAAUGGGAAUCAAUGGCCCCUUAGCCUGUUGGCCACUUAAAUGUCUUGGUGGGGCUAGAGGUCAAGUCAAGCAUUCCAUCAUUGCUUCCCAUGGCUUGCCAUUGAUAGGUGAUCUCUCCAAAUUCAAAUUAAACGGAUGUGUGAUACAGUCAUCUGAUUUAAUAGUAGUUCAGUUCUCGUCAAUUUUUUUUUUAGUCCAGUUGAAUCAUUCGUUAAAUAGAUUAGUGUAGAAAUAGAACAUAUAGUAAUAUAAAAAUUAUUGAUUAACAGAAAAAAAAAAGAAUAAAGUGGGUACAAGAUAACCCUCUUUUUCCUUUCCUUCCGAAGAGUGCAAGGACAAAGGAAAAGAGAAAGGACCAGGAAUGAUAGCUAGACAAAAAUUUUUUGAUAGUGUAAGUGGCAACCCAUCCUUUUUUUUUUUUUUUUGUUUUGUCAAUACAGGAAAUAUCCAACUUUACUGGACUAAUCUUCUUGUGCUUGUGCAUCCCGCCUUCCAAAAAUACACAAUAUGAUAUGAGAGGUAACUCGAACACUCUACCUCAAGACCUAAAGAGAUUAUCCCGAGACCAUCCGAGCCAAUUCCAAGGUACGGCAGCUUAUCCUCUCGCUUAGACAAAUUUAUGCCUUGGUAGAAAAGAAAAAGAGCCGAACCAAUUGGAAGGAGUAUUAAAUAGUAAUAAUAUAACAGAACUGAAAAUGUAUUUUUACCAAAUAUCUUUCUGCUCUUGAUAUGCUUAGUUUUAUCCUGCCGACAAACACAAUAGCUAGGCCAAUGCCACAUGAUUUAAGCAUCCAGAAACCUGUGGCAUGAGCUCAUUCUCGAGUUUAAAACUAUCAUGACUUCCAUAAAGAAGCUGGACCGAUCGAAAUAAACAAAAAGCACUUUCCUUUUCAUGGAUGUUUACUCUUUAAGGCUUUUGAGCUGUACCACUUUGUUCUUGUUUCCAUGGAGAGGCCCCCUCGAUAGCUACCGUAGUCCCAUUAGUCAAUAGCAAAAUGGAUUGCAUGAGAUAUUCGAAUACAUAAAAUUGGAUAGUGAAAUUAUUCCACGCUUGCAUCAUAAAUAUUUUUUCCAAUCCAACUUUUUAUAUUUCCAAUCACCUUUUUAUCUCACAUACAUCACAUCACAAGAAGUGCUAUAGUACUUAUUCUAAAUAAUAUUUCAAAUAAUAGUCUAUCCAAACAAAUUGUUUGAAUUGCUAUUUUUAAAAGUUUUUUUUUUCAAUUGUUCACUUAUUAACGGUACAGAAAAUUUAGAUGUUCUCAUAUUACCAACAAAGGAAAUUUUAAGUAAUCCCUUUGUUGGAAAGAAAUUUUUUUUUUUACAUUGUAAAUUCAUUUUCAAUUUUUUUUACCACCUUCAUAUCACAAGUAGUGCUCUAGUAUUAUUCUACAAAAAAAAGUUCUAAAUAAUCUUCUAUACAAACGCACUAUUCAUUAUUCAUAUUAUUUGCAAGAACAAAAUUAGAUAUUUAAGCAGAGUUUUGCGAAAUUAACUACACAUUUUUCUAAGUUUAUAGCAAAUAAUAUCAAACACCGUGACAAAUUAUAAUACUAUAUUCAUCCCGAAACUGAUAAAACCUAAUACAGUGUACCCAUAUUAUUUCGUUAGGUUUUGUUUUGCGUCAAACAAGUUGUUGGUGUUGGUAAUGAAGUGACACAAUUCAUGUCGUCAAAAUCACGAAAAGCAACCACUAAUGCACUACUGCCUAGUCAAAAUGUGAAAUUAUACUUGCACCCCCUUUUUUAUCUAAUAUCAAAGGGAAAUAAAGGUUAUCUUAGUUGCAUUUACAAAUAAUUGCCUAAAAAAGGAUAGGUUUAUGCUUCUAGCCAUCCUUUUUUUUUUUUAAUGAAAAAAGAAGAAAGAGAGCACAACACAAAAUAUAGAAUAUACUAAUAAAACGCCCUACACAUGUUGGUUCAGUUGGUAAAAAUAUGUCAGUUCCUCAUAAAAGAUCGUAUAUUCAAAUUUUGUUGCUGAUGUGAGAAUUGUAAUAUUGAUAAGUAAUCUAUAAGUAUUUUUAUAAGUGACUUAUAGUUUCAAGAAAUAUAAUCUAAGGGUAUGUUCUACUGUGGUGGUGGUGGUUGGAGUUCAAACCAUCUAAAUUUUCAAUUAAAACAAGUAGAAUAUACUAGUCUUAUAAAAGUAGAACUGUUAAAUAAACUAGCAACUUGUGAGCUCAGCUCGACUCGAAUUGUAUGAGUUUGAGUUUGGCUCGUUGGUUUAAUUAAACAAGCUGAGGUCAAACAUCAAAUUAGGCUGAUUUUCUAAACGAGUCAAGCUUGGUUCGACUCGCAAAUAGUUCAUUUAAGUUCGUCUAGACUCGUUUAUACAUUUAUUCAAGGUAGUAUUACUAAUUUUCUUAAUAAUUAUGUAGAUUUAUCUUGUCUUGAUUGUUUAGGAUUUUGUUUUGUUUAAAUAUUGGGAAUCUACUUAUAUUUGGUGAAAAUUUUCUCAUUCAAUAUGCAAACUAAAUUGAUUAUAUUUUUUGAAUUCCAAAGUUAUAUAAGAUAUUUCAACACAUUUAAGUUUUUUUUUUUGAGUUCAAGCCCGUUUGAGCUUGGCUCAUUUGUGUCAUAUAAGUUGAGCUCGGGAUAAUUAUAAUGAACUAUUCGAACACAAUUUUUGACUCGUUACACAAAUGAGCUGAUCUUGAAUGCCAAAAGUUCGCCUCAACUCGACUUGUCAACAGCUCUACUUAGAUCGGCUCUACGUGAAAGUGACUCAGAAAAUGAGUGUUGUGACUUGUGAAAAUAAAAGGAAAAAAAAGGAGAAGAGUGCUGUGAGUUGUGAGGAAUGAAUCGCUUGAGGACCCGGCCGAAGGAAUUCGUGGUCCCAUAGUCACAUGCAUUUUGAUUACUUUUUUUUUUGGGCGUCAUAUUAUGUGGGUCUGUCUCAGUCAUCGCAGUGGUUUACACUUCGGACUGUUGUCGUCCACCCGUCCUUAUUAAUUUUUUAAUGGGCCAGUCGUCUCCACUGUUUUAUUAAUCUGAAUGAAAGAAAUUAGUCAGCAUAAGACAUCGACGUCAUACGUAAAAUGGGAUCCAAUAAUGAGAUUCUGGAUCGUGUGAUUUUGUCAACGUCGGUGAAGUUAUUCUUUGACCAAUUAAAAAUUACAACAAAAUUAUUAAGGAUUAAUCAUCUAUCUAUUGUACACUGACAAUAUAUAUACUUUCACUAUUGAAUAUAUAACAAAUAAUUUAAAUUUAAAUUUAAAAUCUAAAUUUUGCAUAUGGAUCGUACAUUUAAAUUUAAAAUCAAUCAUUAAAAUUUAUUCAAUUAUUAAUUGGCCUUAUUUGAAUUAUAGCUUUUCUCCAAAAAAAUUUUGAUUUUUUAUUAAUUAUCUUUUUACCUCACAUAUAUCAGAUCGGUAUAAUAUAUUUUUUCUACACAAAAGGAAAAUAAAACUCAGUGAAUCAGCACAGCUUUUAACCAUUUUGCACUACAACAUUUGUUUUCCAACUCGCGGCCUCUAUAACCGGCAAAAUAUUAAUAUGUUCGGAAUGAGUUACCUUUUAAAAAAAAAAAAAUGAUGAAUUUAAAAAUUUAUCCCCUGCCAAGAAAGGCGUCACUUCUAGUUUCAUGCUAACAAGAAGGAUUAUCCGUGAAGAAACACCUAUACCAGUUCGUAUAGCCGAAAAAGGAUUUGCAAUUUUGAAGCGGAGGUCUCAAAAAGUAGGAGGCUGGAACCUAAAAAUAACAAGAUGAUGGUUCUGAGAAAACAUUCCUAAUUUUUGUUUUGUCAACCGAAACUAGUCUAUCUUAUGCUUACUCCUACUCUAGCCUAUAUCAAGGGGGAGGGAUUAACCGGACAAUGAGAAAAUCGACAGGGACUAAAUCACUAUUAGAUCAGACAGGUAUACUACACACCCGUAUGAAUUUAAACCAUUUAGAGUGGCAGUCACGUGUAAUGGCAAGCGGUGGGAGGCUAUGGUGAUGGCCAAUAAUUGAUUACAAAAAAGUUACAUCAAAGAGUACAGAUGAUGAUCAUUGGAGGAACUUAGUCACAUGGUAUAUGUAAUGUUACACUGCCUUUGCUACGUAAAAAUGAAUCAAAUAAAAGGCAAGAUAAUGAUAGGAAAUUAUUUUUAUUACAUCAUAAAUACGUCUUCAAUCAUAUUAUGUCACGUACAUUAUAUUAAUAAAAAUCGAAACGCUAUUGUUUUAAAGAAAAUUUGCUAAUAAUCUUAUAUCCAAACACUUGAGAGCAUAACAAUCUAAAAUCAGAUGAACAUGCAUGUUGCUUGAUACCCCAUAUGGAUAAGAAAUUCACCAAGAAAUAAUUAAAGGUCUCCCAACUCUCAUGUUAGAUUCCAAAAGGAAACCAAAAAAAAAAAAAUAUGAAUAAAUUAAUAUUAAAGCGAGCAAUACAUGUAUAAAGACUUGCCACAUUAAGGUCGAAUAGAACUGGCAUAGGGCAACGUAUUCAAUUUUGAGCUUCUUGUUUUCAAAUUUUUUUUUUGGUCAAUUGUCAUUUGUAUUCAUGAAUAUUUGAAAUCUUACGUCAGUAAGUACAUUAAUGGCAAUGGCCGAGCAAAGACCCUAAGGUAAUAUAUAGGAUGCAGUAAUAGUGAAUUAAAUUAAAUGAAAGUCUAUGUAAAACAUACAUUUCUUUACUAUAUAAAAUAUGUUUUUAAGUCUAGUUAUGCCUGGUGGAUGUGAUUAUAAUAGUAAUUAGUGGAUGAAAGCCCAACAGGUAUCAUAUCAUAGAGUUAGAUAUGAACAUAAUUCAAUCCAUUGACGCUUAGAUUUGGACGCCUGAGACUUUUGACAGAGACAAGAAAUUAAUAUGGGAGGGAUCAACUGUACGAGCUCAGACAGACAAAAUCAAGAAGCAUGCUUGGAUUAAGUAUUACUCCUCUGAAAUUUAUUAACAGCAAUGUUCCAUUAAUUCUCGGGUACUUGUCAGGUCCAUCUCCGUGGCUAAUUUAUGGCUUUUCUGUCGGUGGAAUCCGAAUGUCUCGCGUGAUUUACCCUUCACAGGAAUCACAACAGUGAACAAUUGUUUUUUUUUUUUUUAGUGUAAGCAAGAGGACUCGAACCCGAGGCCUCACGCUUACACUUCCUACUCCUCCCGUACCACCCAAUCCAUCCCUCCCCUCACAGCGAACAAUUGCUUGUUUGUUGCUGAUCAGGAAACUUAGACUUUAUUUGUUAAAGGGUUUAAAUUUUAACAUGUUCAUGGAAACUUAGACUUGUUUGAUAAUUUAACUUAGCACUUAAAUUUAAUGGAUUCAGAUUUUAACAUGUUCAGAUGAACAUGUGUUCAGAUACGUUUGAUAACAAAAUUAGAAUAUAUGAAUUUAUGAAGUGACACUGAAUUUUCUAAACAAAUUUAUUCCAAAAGAUAAGCGCUAAGCUAUUAUUCACUUAUUACUUAACGUGAUAUAUAUACUCAAAUGUAUCAUAUUUAAUACUCACCAAUUUAGUAAUAAAUUAAUGAAUUCAGAGUUCAUAUUUCAAUCUCAGUUUUAUCAAAUACACCCUUUAGUAUAUUACAUUGAGUGGCUUUGUUCUUCUGACGCAUUGCUAUGCACUUGCAUUUAUAGCAAAAGUUCAUGAAGCCCAUUGAUUAGUUGUUAAACAUAUGCACCUUUAAGUAUUGGGUCAAGCACCCAAGCACUUUGGAGCAAAUGAAUUUGGGUAUACCACCGAAUAUGGGACAAGGUUUGUUUCCAAUCAGCCCUUACUACUUCUCGUUGGGCCAACACAUAUAAAAAGAGAGUUUGCAGCUUUUCAAUCAUCACAGUUCAGGCUUCCAAAUCCUACAAGUCCGUGCUAAUUGAGCCACUCCUGAAUCUCAACUCUUUUUGGGUUUUAAUAUCCAAAUUCCAGACAAUGAAAUUGAGCCAUUGAGUUACAAAGUAUUUUCAAUUUUCCUUGAAGUUCAAAAUGAACGGCAAAGUUUUUCUUUUUUUUUUUUUCCCACUCUCAAUAAGAAACCAAUUCAAGGAUCAAGAACACUGGAACAAAAUUUGAUGUUUUAGAGGCCAAAAAUGUAAAAACUUGCAAGUGAUCAAACAAGAAUAAAACUUGCGGGAAAACCGCACAACUUUGCAAUUUGUAUGAUUUGCUCUUAAGUAGUACAAAGUUCCAUUAAUUAAAUUAAAUGGGAUAUCCUGGUCAAAUCCUCAAACAACCACUUUUCCAAAAAUCUAAUUAUGGCCCUAAAUAUAUGUCAACAAGCAUACAAUCAAAACAUACCCCAGAAAAGAAAAACCCAAAAAAAAAAGAAGAAAAAGAGAAAAAAAAAAUUUCAACAUCUUUAGACCUCCUUCAAAUUUUUAAGCAACUAUAUGUACUACGGCAUCUUCUGCCAUUGUCCCGUGCCACAUUUCACCAAAUUAUUUAGCUCUUGCCGUUGGCCUCUUCAGUACUUUUUUCAUCAUUGCCAACGAUUCCAUUUCCAUUUGUUGCUGUUGUUCUUGUCUUCUUGGCUUCAUUCUGAUCAGCCUGAUCAUCAGGUUCCUUGAACAAUGGCACACCGCUUGCAGACAAAGAUUGGGGCGCACACAUAGCGUUAGUGCUCCAGCAGAUACCAUCUGCACUGCUGGAGACAUUUUCCUGUUUGUACUUGUACCAUGAAGCCCAGUACAGAUAAUUGAAGAAAUUGAGGAGGCUCAGAAUGGCCAAGAACCAAAAGAAAUAAUCCAAAUGGUUCUCGUCCAAAAGUUUCCCAUCUAACCAUCCACGUUUGCUAUGUGUUGUCCUCCUCGUAACAGAGUUGAUGAUAUCCACGAAAAUACUGCUCAAGAAAUACCCGAAGGACUGUGUUAGCCAUGUAAAUGAUGUGGACAGCGAUCUCAUCCCCACUGGCGCCUCUUUGUAGAAAAAUUCCAGCAAUCCCACGAGAGUAAACAUGUCUGCAAUGCCGAAAAUCCCAUAUUGAAAUGACAGCCAAACCACAUGUACGGGCUUCCCGUAUGUCAGGUCGUGGUUUUUCCUCUUUACUUCAACAAAUCCAGCUACGGUCAUUGAGACUACUGAGAGAACUAGCCCGACCCCGACACGCUGAAGCUGCGUGACCCCGGAUGGAUGGUUGGUGAUCUUUCGGGCGAAUGGGACGAAGAAGAAUUCGUAGAUGGGGAUCAGGAUGCUUAUGAAAACCAGGGGAAUCACGGGAACUGAUGGUGCGGGUACUUCAAAGGAGCCGAGCAAACGGUUCAUGUAAUAGCCUUGUGUGACUGAGAAGGUUUGGAGUUGCGCCAUACAUGUGUUCAAGAUGAUUGUGCUGGCUAUGAUUGGCAACAUUCUUGUCAGAACCUUAACCUCUUCGACUUGGGUAACUGUGCAAACUGUCCAGGGCGCUGGCUUGGUAUUGCUGUCACGAAGUAUUGCCGCCUUGUCCAGACACCUGAUUCGAUCAAUAAAAUCAAGAAACCAUCAUAUGUUUAGAUAAACCUUAGAGGGAAUACAUACAUAUAUAUACCAGGCUUGCUAGAUUUAUCAUCAGGCAUUAAUCUGACCUGAAUUGUUCAGUGUGCUGAAUCUUUUGAUCUGUUGAAAUUGAUGAUUCUUUGUCCUCUGGCUCGUAAAGUUCUUCGGGGCUACUUGGAUGUUGCAAGCUUCGGUUUUUAAUUGCCACAACUAUAACCUGUAACGCCAAGAGAAGUCAAUUUUUCCAUUAAACAUGACAUAGCCCAGAAACCAAUUAAUUCCCUUUUGCGCUUCAAAUUGUGGCAUUUCUUUAAAAAUUAAAAUUUUAUCUUUUUCCGAUUUUCUUCAAGUGAAUGAAUGAGGAAUAACUUUUGAAAAGAAAAUUGUGGUCCUCAAUGAAAAGUGUAUCUUAAAAGGGCAAAGAAGAAAACAAUCAUUACGGUCAAGUAGCACGUAUAACAUUAAUAGUCAUACAUACCCAAUUGUGGAUUUUCAGUCAUGCUUGGCUAAUCUUAGAAAGAAAUAUGCGAAUUGGCUAUAGCAACUCCUCACUUUAAUUAGCUGUUAAUGCAAAAUAGCAGUAUAUUUUAGCCUUUAGGAAUAAGAUAUCCAUGUCUUCACAGUACCAUCCUUUAGAAUUUAGAAAUACUAGCAUUUUACAAAUACGUCAAUGCGAAUUACUAGCAUAUUUUAUCCUUUAGAAAUCCAUGUCAUGCACAGCUCAAAAGCUCAAAUGAUGAACAAAAUUUUAACAUUCAAUUACUAAUUGGUGCAAACAUGAAACAGACUGAAAAUUCAAGGAUUGCAUAUGCAAUUAAAGGUCAGACUGGAAACUGUAAUCAAGAAGUUAGACCCUUUUUUUUUUUUUUUUUCAUUCAAAAUGUGGGGCCGAAUUCAAGAAAUAGUACGAUCAGACUUGAAAAAUAUCUACUAUGAACUGAUUGAUUGCAUAGAAUUGUCUUGAUUCAAAGGACAAAGAAGGACCUGUAUAACUCUUAGGAGGGGGCUAUCUCCUGGAAGUUGAAGGCGGUAGAAAGGCUUGCCCAACACAAGAAAAAUAAAACCAACAAGGGUUGCAAGGAGGGAUAUCAGAAAUCCAGGCCACCAAUGCCUGUUAGUAGCCACCCAAACAAUGAUUGUGACUCCAAUUGUUGCUCCCAAGGUAGAGCUGAGUAAUAGAAAGUUGAAAUAAGUGGCAAGAGCUUUGGAUUCCUUUGGAUCUUUCUGAUUAAACUGGUCCGCACCUAGGGCAGGAAGAGCGCCCCUUACCCCACCUGUGCCCAUUGCUACCAAAGAAAGUGAUGCAUAGAACAUCACUGCUAUUCUACCUGCUAAACAACUUGACUUCCCACAAGGGCUUGGCUGCAAAUCCUUGUAACGAGCUUGAACCGUCAUCAGCAAUAAAGCCUGCAGAUAUUAGAAACGUAGAAGUUCAAGUACAUUGGACUUAACUGUCUCUUAAAUUCUUAAUUUUAAGGAAUCAUAAUUAGUCUCUGAGAGGAAUUUAGAGUUGAAUGGUUAUUGCUGAUCAUGUCAAUUAUCAAUAUGAAGCAAUCAAUGUCUUAUGAAGAGGUAUUAGAAUGGUAGAAACAUACCGCUAAUUCAAAUACUCCAAAAAUCAAACAAGUUUUGAAUCGGUUUAUGUACGUGUCCGAGAUAAAGCCACCAAAAAUGGAAAGCAAGUAAGUUGAACCCAUGAGGUUGGUGACAGUGUUGGCUGCUGCAGACACCUUGAAAUACAUUUGGAGUUGGAAGUACAAGACGAAGCUCACCAUGUUCGCAACAAAACCCAUGUUCUCCAAUGACACCAAGGCUACAUUAUUGUUAAAACGACGCUUAAAAAAUUAGUAAAAAAACAUAGGUCGAUCGAUAACACAAACUAAUUAAGGUUGUCCUAGCUGUAAUUGAUCGCCAUCCCAACUCCCAUGCGUACCAUAAACAAACGAGGCAGCUCUAAAUCCCCCUUUCCCUUUCCCUUUCAUGUUCGAUGAAUCUUGAUCAGACUUCAUAGCAUCCUCCUGUACAGAUCACAUGACACAACACAGAGAAAACUAUGCGAUUAAGAUGAUUAAUAUCCGAUCAUUUAACGAUGGCAUUCGUGUCCCUCAUUAGAGAUUGGAAGGAGAAGAAGACUCACCAUGGCUGCUAGGACUUGGUUGAGUUUUUUCACUUAGCAGUUAGAGAGAGACCAACUGCUGGUGGGAUUUGUGGUGAUGGUGUUGGCAGGAGGGAAAUGCAUGUGUUUUUGAACGUAUGCUAACUUAUAAUAAGGCUAAAGGGAGCUUUGUAUAUAACGUUCGAGUUGGACGUGCAUCAAAGUGAUUGCUAGCUAGCUCUUCCUUGUUUUCACAUUCUCUCCAGUCUUUUCUUUCUUUUUCUUUCUUUUUUAUUUCUCUCUCUCCAUGUUCACGAUUCUUUGUUCAUGAUUAAGAUAUGGCUGGCAGCUGAGCUAAGUCCGUUGGUUCACUUUCACAAGAGGCCUCAGUGGAAAAGGGAGAUAGAUAUGUGGGAUGUGGGCACUAGCCACCAAUUACAGUUGUUUGUUUGAUACCCCAUAUCAGGUAUCUUUUUUUUUUUUUAAAUGCUUUCAUUCAAAUAAAGGGAUUUCUUUUAAUUUAUUUUUCUCUGAAACAUUCUCUAUUUGGUCAAAUUUAGGUCCAUCUUCGUCUAAAUCAAUAGUAGCAUUCAACUGAACAGUGAAUAAAUCUAACAGUCUUCGAUUUGUUCAAGUUUUUUUUUUCUCAUUUUGCACUUGUCAAAUUAAUAUUGUCACCUCCAAAUUCAUAAAUGGUGAACAAUCUUAUGUAUAGUCAUAAUUGUAAGAAUGUCCUGAUAAAGAUCGCAAAAUUGUAUGGUCGGAUGAUCUCUCCAAGAUCUCUCAGUACAUAAACUGGAUCUGAUUUCGAUGAAGAAUUGAUGGCCUAACAUGAAGGAACCAAUCCCUUUCCAUACUCAUGUUUGUUCAGCAAUCCCUUUCUCUCCAUUUCUGCUUGGUUUGAUAUUUUGAAGUCAAAAGAUCUUGUCUUCGAUCACAAGAAAAUGACUUGUUUAAAUUUUGUGUAUAAACCGUAACAACUUCUCCCCGAAGUGUAAAAGUAUUUUACACAAGUUCUUUUUACGUUUCUUGCACUAAUUUCAAAAUUUAAGAAAAUCUCUUUGGAUUGGCCUAUUUUUCACAAACUAGAUUUUCAAAUAUAAUGUUACAGUAAUACAUAAACAAAACAAUUCUAAAAGUAUCUAAUCCAUACAAUAUAUUAAAAACAAUUCACAACUAUAUAUAAAAAAAAAAAAUUCUAUCACCCUUUUCUUCUUCCACCUAUCACCACCACCACUUGCCGCCACCGUCACUACCACCUCGUCCCUUCUCUUCUCUUCUCUCCUUCCCCUUCCCCUUCCUUUUCCUCCCCCUCCUCCUUCCCGCCCCUCCUUUCCUCACCUCACCUCAAUCUGGCUGCGAUCUAGUCAUGACUAGAUGCAGAUCUGGUUGGUUGGGACAAGAUUUGCAUCUAGUCACUACUAGAUAAGAUCAGAAUGAGGGAAGAGGAAGGAAGAGAGGUGGGAUUUGCGGGGAAGAGGAAGGGGGGAGGGAGAGAGAAGAGAGAGGAGAAGGGGUUAGUAGCUGUGAUAGGAGGUGGUGAUAUUAUUUUUUAUUUUUAAAAAAUACUCCAAAAGAAAUAUAAAUUCUAAAAGUACCCCAAAAUACAUCUCCACAACACCUCUAAAAACACUUUAAUAACAUACAAUAAAAGUUUUUCACAUGUAUUGUUACAGUAAAAUUUUUUAAAAAUGUUCUAAAAAACAACUAAUCCAUGCAUCCAUACGGGGCCUAUACAUAACAAAAAAAAAAAACACACACACACAAUUUCAUGCGCACAUAUAUACUUAUUUGCACAUAUGCACAGAUGAAACAAAAUGUAUACAUAUUUGCCCUUCAAUGACUUGUGUAGAAUCACAAUAAUAUUAACAUUUUCAGGUCCCUAUUGACUUCCACUCAUAGUCUCAUUCCUCUCCUGUGCAUGUUUGGAUUACAGUUUUCUAGAGAAAAUUUUUUACGUUUUUUGUAAAUAUAUUUUUCAAUCACAUUUUACCUCACAUUUCCCGAUCAAAUAAUUGUUACAAUAUAUGUUUCUAUAAAAACUCGUAAAAAUUUUUCCUUUUUCUUUCAAUGCUAUAGUACUAGGACUAGACAGAAAGAUUUUUGGCCUAGUGGAGUGAGAUGCGUGCACAUAAUUUAAAUCUCUAUUUAUGUAGGAACCAUACCUGUGUGCCAAAACGACACCUAUGUGCGGACAAGGUUAGGGAUGGAUGAAACAUGAGACCCGUUACUGUCAAUAAUUACUCAAACAUUUGAAUGAAGGUAAAGUGAGUAUGAUAUAUGACCAACAACUAUUGGGUGUUCUAGACCAUCCCAAAACCAUCUUUCAUUAUUUGAUAUUGGGACCUUUGAAAGAUCAACAAAACAAACAAGAAAAAAAAUAAGAAAAUUAAAAUAACAAAUCUUGUUUUGUUCUUCAUCCGCGUGAUCCCACCAAAGGAUAUAAGAUUACAUCCUUUUUCUUCGUAUAUUAAUCUAAACUAAUCCUAAAUGCUUGCAAGUGAGUGUUACAUCUUUGCCAUUGCAACAAAUUAAGCUAAUAUAUAAUCUCUAAAUUUUCUCAAGGUUUGAACAUUAGGCGACACAUGACUUGUAUCUCAAUAUUUUCAAUCCAUUGUGCUUUGAAUUUGAAAAGAGUAUUUUGAUCUCUAACACUCAAUUAUUAGAGAAUUUAGUCAGUUGAUCAUGAGAUAAAAUAAUUGAGGCCUAAUUAAAAAAAAAAAAAAUCUUGCACUCCUUGUAAAAUGAACAUUUUAUCUUCUACUACUAAACUUUGUUGGCCUUUUGCGGGAGUUUCUGGCUAUUACUGCAAAGCUACUUGGCAAACUUUGAUUGCUUCCGGGAUACCAUCAACUUUUGCAGCAGGUUGAAUCUUGAAUUUAUAUGCUCAACAUUACUUUUCUUCUUAGAUUUGAAUACCAAGUAUUAAUCAUAGGAUGGUGAUUAUGACAUUUUGUGGGUUUAGUGGGAAGGUUGAUGCCUAAUUUUGUAUGGUGGCUUUGUGAUCAACAAGCUAUCUUUUUGGUAACCAGAAUAAUUUUAAUAUCAGGACCCCCCUACUAAAGAUAUGUCCAAAAAAGACUUGGAAAGGUUUCUAAUUGAAGUCAAAAGGAGAACAAUAGCUGGACAUCGACCAAAUAAUUGAAGAACUAGACCCGCGAUGCAAGAUGCACACAUGCAAUUCAUUUAACCCGGUAAAACGACAUCUUGUAUACCUACGCACGGGUUCUCAACCUGUUGGGAUCCAAACGCGGAAUAUACGACUAGCAAAUUUCCUAACACAACUCUAUUAAUCCGUCAGUCUACGUUCGGCCUCUUGAAAAUUUUCUCCUGUUUCAUGCCAUGUAAGUAGCAAGUCUUGAAAUUCUUCAUCAGAUAUAGUAUUCCGGUCUUUGUGGCUUGCCCCAGUAGCCAAGUUAAACUUGAAUUGAUUGCCUUAUCCAGAUUGUGGAGGAAGGGAUCGUUGUAGUAGGGACAUUUAAGUGCAAUGGAUUUAGCACCUUUAGCGCCCACCUCUACAUGGGAUGUCUAUUGUCACAAAAGCUAUUCCCUAAAGAAGUUGUUUGGGGCCAAAACAUGAGCACAUACAGGAAAAAGCUAAUGAAAUGAAAGGAUGGAGAACUAAAGUUGCUCUUCUUCUCUCAUCACUCUGGACCACCUUCAACCUAAAAUGGAUGUGGUCUUAACCUUUCCUGUAUUAACAAAUCAAAUUAUUAUCCAUUCGUGCAACUAUGCAAGUUGAGCAGUCUCUUUCUUGGGCAAACAGGAAAAAAAGGGCUCUCCUGUAAUCACAGGUAUACAUGCACCUCCUUUUUGUUAGGAUGAUGCUGAUCGAUGUUCAUCUUCUUCUUAAACUAAUAAAUGCAGUAAUCCACAAAUCCCAUUCAAUGGAUCUUUGUGAUUUCGAAUCUAAGGAAGUUGAGAUAUUGAGGUCAAUAGCUAUUUGGUGCUUCAAUAAUUCAAACUCAUAUAUAUUUCUAGAACUUAAAUUACGACACAUUGCACACGUUGUAGUUUUUUAACCCUUCAUUAUGACAGUGUAAAACAAGAUUAUAAGGACGAAAUCAAUUAUAAGAUAAUAGCUAUGUGAGAUAAAAAGGUAAUUGGGAAUGCGUUAAUGGAAAACGCAAAAAUUUUCUAGGGAAAAAUGGCUUUCCAAACAAAGCUAAGUCGUGUCAAAACAUGCAUGAGUGAAAACUAUGUUGUAUACAAUUGAAAGCAAUGACAACAUAUAAAUGAGCAGAUGCAGCCAUAGCAUUGUGAGUUCCAUAUAUGCCAGAAUGAUGGAAUCUGCCUCUUGUGACUCAGUUAAGGACAAUCUCACUCUCAGCCCUUAUUGAUAUCGUCAUCACAUAGGUGCUGGAGUUCUUGGUCAUGCUCUAAUCUGCUUGAUUUUCACAUAGAAAAGCAUAUUUCAUAGGUUUAUUUACUUCAGUUAUAUCAUCAGACAUUUGGGGUGGAUGACCUGUCUUUUGUGCAAAUGGUCAGAUGGAACAAUGUACAUUCAGGCAGCUACUGCAAUUCUUGCAGGUACUAAGGUAGUUGGAUGUAGCUUUAGUGAUAAAUGUGCAAAACAAAAACGGUCUGCUAUAACAGAUAAUCCAACUCACUGACAUGUACACCUGCAAUUAUAUAUGAUAAAAAAGUUUUAGGCAUUUAUUUGCUUUGACAUCUGUACCUGGAUCUUGAAACUGCAAUUCUAUAUAAAAAGUGCUGUCAAAACAGAAUCAGAUGCCUCUUUUAUCGAGCAGCUUUUACACAUUGAAGUAAAGAAGAUCUUUAAAAUCAUCAUUGCCAAUUCAUGAUCUGGUGCAAUGACUAACAUGUUAUUUGUCUAUUCAACAUUGUACAUUUCUAAUUGGAUUGGCAUAUAAUUCGACAAAAUCUUACAGAUCAAAAUCUUUGUUAAUUUUUAGUGAAAAAUCAAGUUGUGCAGAAAUGUAAGACUUGAAUAUUCUGGUCAUCAACAAUGGUAGACUAUUAAAACGGAAAAGAUAAUUAAACUGUUGAUCCAGGAUUCCACCUUAAGAAAGAAAACCUGGAUAUCAUUAGGAUCUAGUACCUGAUGAACCUUUUCAUGCCUUUUACUUUUCAGAAAGCAAUCCACAACCAGCUUGCUCUUUGCUUCUUUUUCAAUUCUCUGAGUCAUUCUUUUUUUUAUUCCCCUCUUCGGAGUUCUGUCGGUUGGAGGAAGUUGGAUUAUCUAUUUCUCUGCAAACUUGUGCAUCUCAAAAAGAAAAAACCAAAAUGGGGAAAUAUGGUUCUGAUCAAGGAACUUUUACUGCGCCGGAAAGAAGUAUUUUGUGUCAGACCUUAAAAACCAAUUGUGACAAUCAAAGAGACAAAACUGAGCUACCCAGAAUCAACCUCAGACUUGAGCAAAUGUAAAAUGAGACAGUCUAUCUGCAGAAGGCACUUUCAAGUCAGAUUUGUUCUCUCUCACUGCCAUUCUAAACUAUGAACCUGGAAAAAGUACACACACAGACACAUAUAUUCCUGAAUUUGUUUUUAUGAAGAAUGCUGUCAACAAAACCGAGUACAAGAUAUAUAAAAAUCCAAGCAAAUUAAAACUUAGUUUUUAAGCCAUGCAGAAAAUCGAAAAAGAAAGAAAUGAAAAACCAAUGGAUAUGAGGUUGCAGAAUAAUGGUUGAUUACAGUUUUUAACAAUGAGGAGCACAUCAGGGGAUGGAAUAAGGAUUAGCUGCACCAUGGUAAAGAAAAAAGGAAUUUCGCUCGUUAGUUUUUUCCAUGGCAAAUCCUCUCAAGAAGUUGGACCCAUCAAUCUAGUGCAUAAACAUCUAGCACAACAAUGAUCUUAAUCCGGUAAAGAAUUCCAUAUCCUAUCAUGUGGUCCAACAAUAGUAGUUGUUUUUUUUAAGUAGAAGUACUUCUUCUUCACCCCACUAACAUGCGCAGGCAUCCCCACUCUAGUGAUGCAUCUUAUUAUAGCUUAGCACGUUUUAACUUUCUUUCUGUGUUUCCUCAUCCAGAAUCCACCAUGAUUUUAAGAGAUUGAAGGCCACAAGAUUUCGAAAUUUCAUUGCCCUCACUUUCCACUAACUUUAUCUUUAUCAACACAAUUGAUCAAAUAAUGGGCUUUCCUCCUGUAGCUGCACAAACUUUUGAAAUUAAUAUUGCUCCUUGCGGUAAUAAGAUUUCCUAGUGACAUGCAUAUAAUUGGUUCCUAAUCAUGAAUAAUUUCCAUAUAAACUUUUGCUUCUGUUCUUUUGCUCACUAACAAAUCUUGACAGGUGGGACGAGGACACUUGCAUCAAUAAUGGUCAUUGUUACAGUGAUCAAUUCUGAAUAGACAGUAAGAAAAUGCCAAGAAAAUUAGGCAACAUAUCACUGUAUUUAAGAACAUCAGGGUAGUCAGAUUCUCAAUAAUAGAAGGUCACAUGAAUGCAUUAAAAACAACAAGAUCAAUUUGGCAAUUAGCUAUGAAACUAAUAUCAGUCGACUAUGACUUGAUACAAUACAUUGACAGACCUAAUAAAACAGGUGCGGGAAGUGUGUGAAGAAAUUAAGGAUCAGGGCUCAGCACAGCACAUUUAAUUUUUUUUCCUCCCAAAUCAUAAAUGAACUCUGUAGCUCCAAGUAAUGGCAUACUUGUUGGAUUAAUCCCAUAUCGUUUCGACUUAGUUAUACGUGUGACCUCACCCUUGAGUUAGCGUUUGAGUUGGAAAGGCCCAAUAACACCUAAUACUCCUAUCAGAGUUCAAUUACAACAACUUCUUCUCCCGAUAAAGAGCCCAAUAAGUCCUUCCAAUUAAGAUCCAAGUGUAAAUAAUCCACAAUUCACAAAGGAAAAAUGUGCAAAAAUGAAGAAUGUAUAGAGAGGUAUAUGUUUUCAUACACAUACAAUUUAAUGACGACACUCAUAACGUUCGAUGCUGAUAGCCGAUAGGUGACAUGAAUUUCUACAAGAUGGCAUACUUUGGCAAAAUGAAAUAGACAUGACAAGAGGAGUCUCUGGCACUCCUAAGACCGAAAAGGAAGAAAAGAUUGGAAUAAAGGUGAUCAGAGAGCACAUGGAGAUUCCAAGCAUAUGAAAGCUGGUUCAUAUUUUGGGAGAAGAAAAAAGAACUAAUUCAAUUACAUGCGAGAGGAAAUGAGCACAGUUUAUAAAAGCUGAUUCAUCUCUUGCCCAUCCUUGUAAAGCAUUCUCUCUUUUAAGUACUGAUUCAGAACAUAUAGCUGAUGUAACCUUGUACUCGACCCAGUUCAGAAAAGUGCAACAAAGCCAUCAGAUAAACACAUGAAUUUCUUUUAUUCUUCAGAAAGAUGGGGCUACUGCCCUCACUGCUGUCAUUUUGCUUCUCACUCCUGUGAUUUUGCUUCUUACAUAUUUUGCCUUUUUCAGCUUUUGAUCACCUCUACUAUGUAUUAAUCUGUGUUGCCAAAGAGAACCGGAAUAAAGAAUCUCUCCCCUCCCAGUGCUUUACCAUGCUCUGAUAACAUUUGUUAGUAAAUUAGUUGAACGAACUUUCUGUCCCUUUCUCUUCGAACAUAUGUAUAGCAAUUGGAGUAGAUCUUAAUUUCAGUAUGAAAAAUGCCUUAACAGGUUCUCUUAUUUAGACCUAGGGGAGGUGAAAGAAGAGGGUGUUUUCUGUGGACUUGGAGGCCUCUUUGACCUUGAGUUCCAAGGGUAAAAUUAUCUGUCCCUCGACUAAAGAUUGGUUCUUUCGAACAUCAAUCAUCUAUAUGAACCUUCGACGAUUCUCAAAAAUCAAAGUAGAAGAAGAAGAAGAAAUUCGCACCUAUAAGUUAGCAGCUACCCGAGUAGAAUUUUUUUCUUUUCACCGCAGAUACAUAAAAUCCUAUUGGAUCAUUCCUGAUUAACUAAGUUUUCUUCAGUUGCUGAGUGGAGCUAAUCCUAUGGACAUCUUGGUCACUUGAUCAACAUAACUUCAAGUUUAUUUAGCAAAUCAACCAUGUUAGAAAUUGGGAAAAUUUGACCAGGCAACUGGAGGAGCUCACAAUUAUUUGAAACUUUCCAUUUGGCUACAAUAGAUCCUGUAAACUUGUAGUCAAUGUAGAAUGGCAUGAAUCGUCCCCAUUUAGGACAGGAAUAUGAAUUUUUUUGGAGUAUAUCCCAUUCGCAAACCACAGUAGCUUUCUGAACCUGUUCCCUUUAACUUGUUUUCAAAGAAUUGUUUGCAGCCUUAUUGUACCAGUGCUUUGAGAUCAGACUGAUUGCUGUACUGUGUAUUUACCAUGUCUAAGGAAUCUCUCUCAACUCAUGAUGCUCUUGGUAGGUUUAUAUGCUGUACAUAGUCUCGCCGAAAGAAAGUUAAAACCCCAGUAAAAGGUGCCUUCUCCUAUUGAAUCAUUUUUUUUCUUAAUAUUUUUUAUCCAUCGUUUUCGCCUGUCAGUUGCUAUGGUUUAAAAAAGGCCCAAGAGCCGAGCUGCAAGUCCAUGCAAAGACACUGAUCUACCAAGUCACGCAGCACAGCCAAACACAUUUGAUUUGCCUGCUAAUGUAUAUGUUGUCAUCCAAAAGAUUAACAUGGGAUGGGAGAUUAAAGACCCUCUUGAAUGUAUCCACAUUGUAUUCUACCAUAAGAACUGGAGACAUAAGCAGGGUUUAUUUUCUUCUCCUCCUCCUCCUCAAUUUUAUGAGUAUGCAAGUCUAGACCUCCAGGACAGUUGAGAAUAACAACCUAAAACUACUCCCUACUGCAGCUCUCUAUUGCAUAUCAAUAAUACCAUGCAAAACUAUGCAUUCUAUUGCAUUCUAAUGCUCAUUAAAUUAGAAAAACUUUGGAAUAGAUUGCCAACUGAACUCAACUCAAAGCAUUUUUUUCCAAGAAUCAGACCUAGACAAAAAUUUUUGCUAACAAAUGGUAUCAAGGUAAAAAGCAGAUAAAUUUCAAAGCCAAGACUUCUAGAGAAAUUCUCUUUUAACCUAUACCUAUUCCUUUUAAGGUAAGGUAAAGGGUUGAGUUAGACAGUAAUGUGGGGCAAAUUCCCACUUUUAUAAAAAAAGGGAGAAUUAUGAGAUUUAAGGGGCGAAGAAGGAGAAGGAGAUUAGAAUUUAGAAUCUUUAAAUCUUAAAAUUUUAAUCUUAAUCACUAGAUCAAAAUCUUGCUUCUUAAAACAAAUGUUGAUUAUUCAAACAAAACACGUAUGUGACAUGAAAACUGUCAUGAUACCGCUUGCCUGCAGAAUUGGGCUUGUUAUCCUUAGUUCGGCCUAUUAUUACCACUUAGAGUUCUCAUUCAGCCAAGAGACCAGACGCUACCAUACACUAAAAACAGGCCUCUGUCAGAUAUGGACCGGCCUAAUGGAAUAGAGUAUCACGAAAAAGGACAAACAGCCGAGUUAACGCUGCAUAUGAAUGAAUUAGGUAUUUUUGAAAAAUUUAAUUAUAGUGAUAGAUAUAAUUAACCUUUAUUGUAGAUAAUUAAGUGUUCUUAAGAUGUUUUGAGGGUGUUUUCAAUGAUUUAUUUUGGGAUUUUUUUUUUCAAAAACAACCAAAGGAAGUUUGUUUGUUGAUCAUCUUCCACAUUGCAUGAAUAAAAUUUCAUACUAUUUUACUUGACCGCCUGCUCAUGUGAAAUAUAAUUCAUCUUGAAAAAAAAAAAUCAAACUCUUAAUAAAAUAUUUUUCUACAUUUAAGACUUGGCCCCUACCUAGGCCUGUCAACGGUCCGGGUCUAGAUCCGGAUCCGGCCCGGAUUCGUGAAAUUAUUGCGGGUAUGAGUAGGGAUUUAAUUCUGUUACCCGGACCCGGAUUCGGAUCCGUUUUGUCAAACAAAAAAUGGGUCGGAUAUGGGAUAUAGUAUUCCGACCCGUAUUAGACCCGGAUUCGGAUAUAAAUUGAUUAAUAAUUUAAAAAAUAUAUAUUUAUCAAUAUAAUUUGAUUAGGGUGGUGUAUUUGAGUAAAGUCAAUUUGAUUUAUUUUCUUAUUUGAUUUUUUUUUGUAUUAGUUAGAAAUUAGUGUAUAAAUAUAUUUUUUUCUCAUUUUUAUUAGAAAUUAGAAAUUUUCAUAAUUUUUUCGAGUAGACCCGGACCCGGAUCCGAGACCCGUCGGAUCCGGAUCCGGAACAUAGAGUAGAAGAUCCGUCGGAUAAACGGGUCGAAUCCGGAUCCGAUUUGAUAUGCCGAAUCCGGGUCCGGAAUAAUGAAUUCCGACCCGGACCCGGCCCGUUGACAGGCCUACUCCUACCCAAGAAUCCGGACUCCAGCAUUGGUACUGCUUAUCCGGGGCUAUGUUUGGUUUUCUACAUUUUGCGCUCAUGUGAAAUCUUAAGAGCUCUCCUUUCCUUGUUUCCAAGAUGACACUACUAUUAUUCUCUUUGUCCAAAAUAAGGAUGGACACACAUAAAAUUUAGAGAUAAGGAGAUGUAAUAAUGAUAGAUCAUAAGCGGAUUAGUAGUACUUAAUUAAUAUCUUUUGAGUUUUUCUAACCUGUGUCCUACAAGCACCCGUUAAUACACAUAAUAUUCACCUAAGUUACCAUAUAUAUACACACAUACUAAUCAUUAUUAUCCUUUCUUAUAUUUAUAUAUAUUUUUUAUUUAAUUUUACCUACCAUUUCUUGUAUUUAUUUACUUCCCUUAAUUAAUAUUAUAUUUUCAAAUAUAUAAUACCUAAAAUAUAUUUUAACGGACACUCAAUAGAUAGACCGAUAUUUUUUGACUUUCAAACUCAUAUUUUCUAACUUUCCUAUUUUCCUAAACCUAAUACUAUCGAGUAAAUGUCUUAGGUAAGUUUAGUAAAUGCAUGUUUCUAGUACUCCAAUAAAUCACUUAAAAUGCUUCAAUAAAAAAAUAAUCACUUAAAAAAAAGUUAGAAAGGAGAAGUGGAACCCGGAGUACUAAUUACUAAUUAGAGACCAAUAAGUCAAGAUUAAUCAGAGCCGGUCAAUGACAGGUCGGGGAAAGAAUUCAAGUCGGUCAAAUUCAACUGACCCGUUGGCCACGUAUAAAAGGCUAAAGAGGCGGGAAGAGUUUCCUUAAAAACCCUACCUUUCAGGAGUCGCUCAACAGAGGAUUUCUCUCAAUUUUCAUCCCAAUUUCUUGCAAACAUGGGCAUAAAGGUUGGAUGUCGAUCUAAUUUCUGUCAACUUAUUCUGCGAAUUGAUUUCUUAAUUUUGCUUCAUAACUUUCUGUUUCCUAAUUUUUCCUUUGAAUUGUUUGCUUAGGGUUUAACGAAGCUUUUAGCGGAUAAUGCUCCGAAGGCGAUGAAAGAACAUAAAUUCGAAAGCUUCUUCGGCCGCAAAAUCGCCAUUGACGCCAGCAUGAGCAUUUAUCAGUUCCUUGUUUGUACACUAGCUACCCCCAUUUUUGUUGUUUCUUGGUCUGGAUAUAAAUGCAUUUGGCUAAGCUUAAAGCCUUAAACUUGCCUUGUAAUUAAUGAAACUGUAGAUUGUCGUUGGGCGAAGCGGCACUGAAAUGCUUACUAAUGAAGCUGGAGAAGUUACUAGGUAACUCACAUUUUACAUUUUUUUGGGACAAUAAUGUGCCGAAAACAGAAAAUUAGCAAAUUAGUGAAAUAUGCAGAGAGAGGUCUUUGGAAAUUUUUUUUGUCUGUCGUUCAUGCUAAAUAUUUGUUGAAUUUUACUCUUAAACAAAAGUUUACCAGUCUUUGGUAGUUAUAACUGUUUAUUGAUGUGGUUUUGCGUUCUGUGUUUUAAGUCAUUUGGUAGGAAUGUUCACGCGGACAAUUAGGCUUUUGGAAGCUGGAAUUAAGCCAGUGUAAUUUGUUAAUCUUCUCCUUACUGAUUUUUGUGUUUCUUUUGUUUUAUUUGGUCAGAAGUUUAUUACAUAUGCUAAAACUUGUUAUUGCCUUCAAAUUUUAGCUAUGUGUUCGAUGGUAAGCCACCAGAUUUGAAGAAACAAGAGCUUGCUAAACGGUAUUUUGUAUUAUACUGUUAUUCAUGUUGCUUGUGAAGUUUUUUUUUUGAAUGAAUGCUCCCUCCCGGAAAUCAAAAUUUGUGACUCUGAUAUGGAUAUGCAGUUUUUCUAAGAGGGCAGAUGCAACGGAGGAUCUAGAUGAGGCUGUGGAGGUUAACAUAACAGAACUAUAAUUUUGCCUCCAAUCACCCUGCCAAAGAAAAAAGAAAAAAAAUUCUUGACUUUUAUACUUUGCCCUUUUCAUAGCAUCAUUCUAGUAUCUUGUCGUUUUAAGAGCUGAAUUCUCCCCCACAAUUUCUUCUUGCAGACUGGCAACAAGGAAGACAUUGAGAAAUUCAGUAAGAGGACAGUAAAGGUGGGCUAUUAACAUUUUAUGGUUGUUAUAUGGUGUAGAACGGUGUUGUCAAUCUGUACUUAUUUGGUCUUUGAUCAUUCUGCUGUUUAUGAAAGUUUCCAACCCUUUUCUCUGGCAGCCUAUAGCAGAGAUAGUAAUAAACAAAAGAAAAAAAGGAAGAUUAAAUACAGAAAUCAUUCUUGAGUUUCACAAUUCAAUGCAUUUGUUAGAAAAUGCCAAGCUUUAGAUGAGGUUGUAGUCACUGUUGAAUCCAGGGAAUGAAAUACUGAUUUAUUGGGUUCAAUAGCCGAAGUUCAAUUUGCAUAGAUUAAUUGUUUUUGAAAAUCCCAAUGAGUAAUAAAUGCAUAAAGCCCUUCCACCAUACUGUUCACUGAUGAGAUUAGACAGGUUGUCACAGAGGAAAGUGUAUACACUUCUGAUAAUAUAAAUUGCGAGUGUACAACAGUAUUGUGUACCUACAGCAACUAUUGAAGUUAGAAGCUCCUGUACACAAUUCUCAGAGUUAAAUCGAUAUUCAGUAUCAAUAAGAGCUAACCAAUUCUUCAAUUAGGUGCUUAUGCAUCUAUUUUUAGGGUUAACAGAUGAUAUUUGUAAUUGCUGAUAUUCUUGUCCUUUCUUUUAAAACAAGAAGAUCUAAACUCCUUGAAGUAUAUAGUUAAGCAUGUUAUCAGUUUCAUGUUGAUUUUGGUUGUGUAGGUUACAAAACAACAUAAUGAGGACUGCAGGAAACUCCUUAGACUUAUGGGAGUACCUGUGAUUGAGGUGAGCCAGUGAAACAAAAUAUUUCUUCUCUAAAUUGAUGCCUGCCAGUUGCAUAUAUGUGCUGACUUUUCUCCUAAGAGCACGACAAGUUAUAUCUUUGACUAUAGUGCCUUCCACUCUGUUGUUAUGUCAGGCCACUUCAGAAGCAGAGGCACAAUGUGCUGCACUUUGCAAAUCAGGAAAGGCAAGUAUCUUGGUCUUAAUGGUGGUCUCACAGCUUGCACCAACAUAACAUCUUUGGGAGUUAGUUUUCUUUGAUUGUGUCCUUCCAAUAUAUCCAUUUGUAUAUUGCUUCCUUCCAAUAUAUCCAUGUGAACACCUUACAUGGAAAUGAUUAGAAGGAACAGGAAUUAAUGCUCUCUUUGUUAUGAGAUUGGAAAGAUCAUACAUCUGUGAAUGUCAGGUUUAUGCUGUGGCCUCUGAAGACAUGGAUUCCUUAACUUUUGGAGCUCCAAAGUUUCUUCGACAUCUAAUGGACCCUAGCUCCAAAAAAAUCCCUGUGAUGGAAUUUGAAAUUUCCAAGGUAUCAGAAUCCCGCUUUACAAAUUUUCAACAUUGAGACAUCAACUGAUGUACUUCUCUACAGGUUUUGGAGGAGUUGAACUUUACCAUGGAUCAAUUUAUAGACUUGUGCAUUCUUUGUGGAUGUGAUUAUUGUGACAGUAUUAGAGGUAAUGCACAUUUCACUGAUACCAUCAUUGUCAGGCUUCACACAUCUCAUUGAUACCAUCAUUGUCAAGCUUCUUAGAAUUUUUAAAUUAAAAUCUGGGUUUCUUCUGUUUGUUUUGAAAAACAUAUCAGAAAGGAAAGCUUAACAUACUUCAGACAAAGAAUUUUUGCUGGAAACAUGAAUUCAUGAAUGUGACUGGGAGGUUUUGACCUAAUGAAUGUUUUGACUUCACAACUUGCACCUCUAAUUCAUGUAUCUUGACAUGAAUGUGACUGGGAAGUUUUUGCUGGAAACAUAUGCAUGUAGGAAGAUGGAUAUUUUCUGGUUUGCGCACUCUAAUCUUUCUCUUGCUGUAGUAACAUCACUUUUAAAAUGCUUUUGUUGUUGCCAAACUAUGGAAAAUCCAUACUGUGGGAAAUGGGCAUAUCUUUCCUAGAAUUUGUCUUAGUUUAAAGGGAAAUGUGCACAAGAAUUCAACUGAGAAGUUUGUAGAUUUUUGUUUAGCUUUCUUUUUCUUCAUCUUCCUUUUCAAUAAUUUCACAUGGAUAUCUAAUAUAUGAGCAUGUUGUGUGCAUCCCUGGGCUAUCUAGGAACAAAAUUGCAUACUUAUAUUGGGCUGAUUUUCAAUGCAUCAGGUAUUGGUGGCCAGACAGCCUUAAAGCUCAUUCGCCAACAUGGCUCAAUAGAGAGCGUAAUCGAGAACAUAAACAGAGAAAGGUACAUAUUUAUAUUGUCACUUGAAACUUGUCAAAUUGUGGUUUCAGGAAAAACGGAAAGCCAGGAGAAUAUGUUAUCUAGAUUUUGGAUCUUAAGAUAUAGUUCUCAUUUCCUAGAUCUCAAAGUUUGAUGUUCUUCAUUUGCAUCAUGUUCCUUAGUUGACUGCCUUUCACUUCUUCCUGCAUUCACUUUACAAGCGGUUGCAUUUGACUUUGCAUAUGCAAUUGAAGUUCAAUUUCACCUGUUAUGUUUCAGAUACCAAAUCCCAGAUGAUUGGCCAUAUCAAGAAGCUAGGAAGCUCUUCAAAGAACCAGAAGUUGUCACAGAUGAAAACCAACUUGAUUUCAAGUGGAAUGCUCCAGAUGAAGAAGUGAGUUACUUCAAUUAACAAUUAUAGAUUGGUCAUUAUUGUCGUAUAUAUCUAUUUAUUGAUCAGCUUAGGGAUUAUCUUUGGUUUCAGGGACUUAUAAACUUUUUGGUAAAAGAAAAUGGGUUCAGCAUCGACAGAGUUACAAAGGUAUGCUUAUGAUGAGAAUUUGGUUGCUUAUGUUUGAAUUCAGUCUUCAGAAUUUGUGUACAUUACAAACUCAAAUGUUGAUUUAUUCAGUCAAUAGAAAAGAUCAAGGCAGCAAAGAACAAGUCUUCGCAGGGGAGGUAUGGAACUGACUGACUGAUUGGUAAUAUUGUUGCUUUAGUGAAAUCAUGACUUAUUAGUGUCUUUCUUGAGCAGAUUAGAAUCAUUCUUCAAACCAGUUGCUAACACAUCAGCGCCUCUUAAAAGAAAGGUAUUAUUCGGCAUUGAGACCAUUUGUCUGUUGCUUGUUGUCCAUGUAAGACCUUCAUUUGGCAGUCCCACAAUAUUUUUCGAUAAAGAAAAUCAUGCGCUGGCAAACUCAAUGUGAUGUUGUUCUUGUUUUGUCCUUUAUUCUUCUGCUCCUCGUGUGGCUGUAUGAGCAUGUUUAACUUUGGUCUCCUAAUACUUUUGCUUAAGAUACUUGGUAUUGAUGCUCGACAUCAGAGUGCUGCACUUACUGGAAUUAAUUUGGAGUAACAGUAAACAAAAUACCUCAAAACAGUUGUUAGGGAUCAUAAUUAAUAUACUAAUUGUACGUUUUAUAUCUUUUAUAUGUAUUACCUCAAGUUGGUCUGAUAUAACAUACCUAGAAACUAAAAGCCCAAGAAUUCAGUACUUUAUUCUGCAGACCACCUUUUGAGAUCAUAGUGAAUCAUUCUUUGAUUAUACUUGCCUCUCUUCAUUGCUUCUUCAAAAAAGCUGAAAAUUAGAUAUUUUGUUUGAGAGUUUUUCUUCGGAUUGUAAUGUCAUGAGUUUACUGUUGGUUACAGUAAUCUCUUAUGUACUGGUUCACAGGAAACCAAGUGCAUCCUUGGAUCUCCUAAGUCUCAAGUCAAUCUUAAGAUGAUUUUUGGGAAAGCAACUCUGAAAUACAGGCCCAGGGUCAUUGGCCGCUUUGGCCUGCCAACUCCGAAUAUUGGCUCAAAGCAGUCAUUGCUUUUAGCAGGAGUUGGCUUCUUCGGCACGUGAACCUGAAAAACCUUGGUGAACUUAGCUCUUGACUAUUCUCUAUCUUUAUUCUUAAUCUAUAAAUAAUUUCUGAAAUUAUGUUCAAGUAAAUCAUAUUUGUGGUCAAUAUACUAGUACUGAUUGCUAUAGAACAUAAUGAGUUAUAACUUGCAUAAUAGAUGAUCUGCUUGUUAGAUUUAAGAAUUUUAUGAGGAGAGAACUUAGAGUUGUAAGUUUGAGGCCAAGGUGGGCCAGAAUAGUGGGCAGUUGUAUUAUUCAGGAGCUGACAUUUAGGAAACAAAAAGGGAAUGAAUCAUCAAAAGAGAAAACUAUACAGGUACAAGACUCACAUUUUCUAGUUGAAAUUUGUGGUUGAGUAGAGGCUUGCGCUCAUUGGCCAGCUCUCUGCAUCACUUGUGGAGUUAAGGACAUAAAAGACAAACUAGCAAUUUGCAAUCUCAACUUUCUCUUGAAAGGCUAAAUGUCAACCUGGUAAUAGCCUUUAGUUCAUCUGCAAAUCAAAUUUCUUUUGCAGUUUCAGUUGGGAGAAGCCAGACACUUUAUGCUGGAUACCAGUCUCUUUUGUUGCCAAUUUUCCACUCUCAUUGACUGAUUGAUCCUCGUUCUUGAUAUUCUUGAAAUAAAACAAUCGCAGGCGGUAAAAUGACUUGAAGGAAGCCCAUUGUAGUGCACAGAUAGAUUUGAACAACUAUGGUUGCAAAUUCUUGAGCAUUUUAAUCAGGAUUUUGAUUCUGACAUUUGAGAGAGUUGUUGCUAGGCGGUACCUACCCAUCAAAUAGUAUUCCAUCCUUUAUUUAGUGCGGCCAAUUCUGGCCUUAUGGUUUUUGGAAACAGUGGCUCUGUCUUUGGAAUUUCUAUCAAGUGUUCUUGUAAGUUGUGGGACAUGUAUUUUUUGUAGCCAUGAAAUUGACAUAUGGGAAUCUGAAUGCUGAAAAUUUCUUUUCCUAUCCCUUCAGUUUGAUAAUUUCUGUGUUGACUUUACCAAAACAUACAUAAUACCGUCCUCAGUACGAAAUGAUCGCAAAUUUGUUUCACCUUAUGAAAAAUUUUCCUGUUUAUCUUUUCAAGACUAUUCAUUUGCUUUCAUUUCCCAACUUGAUCACAGGAAGCAGCGGAGAAAAUUGAAAAGGAGAAUACAAAUAAGAAGUCGAAGUCUGGUGGUGGAAAGAAGAAGAAAUAAGUCAUUUUUUUCCUUUGAAGUGCCAAAUUGGUUUGUGGAGCCAGUUCUAUGCUGGCAAGGUAAACUUGUUUACAACAAUGAACAUUAGUAAUUAUUUCUUUUUUGUUGCUUCUUAAAUUUGUCACAUCUUUGCAAUGAGCAACCUCUUGGUAGAAAUGUGAGUGUGCUACUGUAGAAACAUCUUAAAUCUAUUGUUUAACUAGAAUACGUAUACAUAUCUUUGCACGAUUUAUUCAGAAAAGUAAUUAGUAUACUUAAUAGCUUUAACUGGAGAGUUCAAAUUGUGGGUCUAUGGAAAUUGGAAUGUGUGUGAUUUCUUUUAAGAUGCUGUUUAAGUGACAAUAAACUUAACUGGAUAGAGUUUAGACAUGAUGACCGUGAAAAAUUAGGAUCUAAAUGGAUCCUGGUAUACAUUUCUUGGAUAGCUGGUGAAAUAGAAAUGAAAGAUCAACUAUCAAGUCCAAAAAUUCGUGUAAUGUCAUGCUUCUUGAUGAAGCUUUUUGCGUCAUGCCUUCUUGUCUGCACUUAAUUAUCAUAUCUGCUGUUGUGCUUUCCACUUACCAUGUGAAUUACACCAAUCUCUUCUUUCCUUCCAUGUACUCGAAAAUAAUAUCCUCUCCUGUUAAUUCCUCUCUGUGCAAAGCAUGCUUGGUUCAGAGCAUUCUUCAUCAUUGGCCGAUACUUGCAGUAGUCUUUGUGUUAUUGCAAUUUGUAGUUCAAGAUAUUCCAUUUUAGGCUCUCAUUUCUAUAGGAUUGGACUGAAAACUUAUUAUCAUGAUUUGGCCCACAAUUUUUCCUCUUUUUUUUUUUGUGUUUGUGUUUGUGCGUGUGUGUGUGUGUGUGUGGGGGGGGGGGGUUGUUUGGGUGGUGUUGGAAUUUUCCAUUUUACUGUGAUUUGGUUUCUGCAGGUGAGGAAUUUCCAGAUGCCGCAACAAACUUGGGAUUUCCAGAUGGUGUGACAAACUUGUGUUUCUUGUUGUGCUGAAAAUGUCCGUCAAUGAGAUGUGUAAUAUGACUGCAGGAUGAUGUGUCUCUGGAUUGGUAGACCAUUUUGUCAUCUUGGCUUUACUUCUAGUGUACAGUUGUUCACAAUGUCAGAGAAUUUCGUCCUCUAACUGCUAGUCCUUUUGAAUAUCUAUCGAGAAUUGAGUCUAAAAAUUUUCAUACCAGGAAGGCAGUUGCUGUAGCCAUGUUAAAGACAAAAUGAUUUCCUCGCCAAAAUAUGCAAGUCCUAAGUUACGAAUGGAGAAAUGGCAUGGUCCUUGCACGUGGCUUCUUCGCAAGGUCAAUACGCACAAGUCCAGGAGUCUUCCAAAUUUUUGUUAAUCAGUAAUCUAAUAACACUAAGAAUUUAAUGCAAGUCAGGCAUCGAUUUGUCUGCAAAAGAUUCUCUUCACUCGUACCAGGGGCGUACGUACUUUAGCUCCGUCUGUUGUUAUGCACACGGGCUCGAAGGGUUAAAAGUGGCUAAGGUGGAUAACAUAAGGAGAGCAUCGCCAUGGAUUAGGAGAGUUAGCAAUAAAUUCCAGGUACUUGCUUUUAAUUUCCUUGGAUUACGAUCACUUGAUAAUUGUCAUGAUGUGCGGCUCUAUCACACGGAAGACAAUCUGAAAGCAGUCACUCCUUGAGGUACAAAACCUUAUGAGCUCCUUCAACUCAAUUGUCAAUCGAACCACCAUGGGUACUUUGGUGGGGGGAAGUUUUAGAUGAAGUUGGUAAUUAGCGUACUCAACCUGGGGAAGGAGGUGAGAUGAUUGGUGUUCAUAUGUCGGGUUACACUUCAGCAUUUCAUGAGAAUGAUACGUACGUACUUGCGGUAAUUCUCUCUCUGGAUACAUAUUGGCUUCUGAUGCUGCUGCCAUUGAACACUGAUGUCUUAGGUCUAGAGUGUAGAUAAGCCAGCACUUCUUUGUUCUGAUCUAUUGCUAUCUGAUACUAUUUGAUAAAGAGGGUGCAAUUAUCGGCUUUUGCCCAUUAAAUAGAAUGAAAAUAUGAGUGCAGCAUCUUCUGUUCAUCUCCUAAAGUCCUAACCGCAAAACGAUCUUCUCAUGUUUUCCAAUAGCAGCUGCAGCCAGUUUGAGAAAGAUACUGAACAGGAGAAAAUAUCCAUGCCAAGGACCCAAUAUCCUUCCUGGUGGAUAUUCUAAGCGGACUCCCUACUAGACGUGUCCCCUGUGUCAAAGGGUCUGCCAAAGAUGGAAGGCCUUAACAGUUAACAUCACAUUUUCUUGAGUUGCAUAUGAAACACACUCUUCCAUCCAUCAUUACCCAGAACAGGUGAAGGGACGUAUGCUUGGUUAACAAAUGGCCGUGAGGAGUAACAAAAAAAUAACCCCAAAAUCCCCAUAUGUACACCCACUCUAUUUAUCAUCCGAUAUUGCACCCACUAUCUACCUUCAGCACCGUAGAUGCAUGGAUCUCCGAACACAAAAACAUUUCAUGAUACUCAAUCCUACCACCGAGGAAAUAGUUGAGAUACACACCCCACUUCGAACUCGAAUUUAUGCAGUCUUUUCCCACCCAUUCCUAUAUCAACCCUUUGUGCCAUAUGUGGUAAUAUUCAAGAAGAAGCCGUGCAAUUCAAAUUUCUCAAUCUGGGAUUAGAUUCUUGCUGAAGAAAGCUUCGAUCAACUCGUGUAAUUUCACACCAACCCCGGCUUAAAACUAUGCUGUGAGGUGAGUCCAACUCUAAUCUUCUUCUAUUUAAUCUCUUGGUCAAUGACUGCUGAGUUGAGGCACGCCACAUGUUUAGAUCCUAAUAUUACAAUUUACUAGUUGAUGUGCGCCUCGCGCUUCGCGCGAGGUUGCCCAGACAUUGUUUGUGGAAUAGAGUUAGUUUGUUAGCUUUGCUUGAACUCAUGAAUGAAGUGUAUUUAGACUGCGGAAGAUGCUUCAUUGAUAAAAGUAGUAUUUACAUGCCUAGCCUUGACAAAAGUGUUAUGUAUAUGGCUAGGAUAGUGUUGGCAAAAGAUUCUAUGUACAUUCUGGUUAUACAUAUAUAUAUAACCAUUACUUGGACAAAAGAUUCUAUGUACAUUGUGGUAAGACUUAAUCUUCCACAUUUACUUAGUUUUUGCUUGUUUUGUGGAGGUGUUGUUGGUUCGUGAUGUCUUUCGCUUUGGGCUUUGAUUCAUUGGCUGUGCUGUUUCUGCGGUCGGCUGGCUUGGCUCAUAUGAACUAAAGGGAGAAAAAGUUGUUGCACCAGAUGUGUCUCCAGAUUGAACCGGAUUUUUACAUGCUGAAGAGGCUGGUUUGUCUUCAAAUUGUGGAAGUUCUUCGUAUUCCAUAGUUGAUGCUUUAGAUGAUGAUCCUUCUUCUUCAGUCGGUGGAAGCAGGAUUGAUGUUUCGGUGGUAUCUGAGAAGCAAGCAAUUAUAGUAUAUUUUGCAACUAUGGUGUUUCCCAGUGCAUGAGUGAAUUUUCUCACUUGAAGACAAAAAAUGUGAUUUGCUAGUCUUCUGUUGAUGCUUGGAAUAUCUGGCUUUUCAUUCUGCUAUAAUAUAUCUUUGUAUUAGUAAGUGUUAUUUAUUUUAUUAGUGAAACAACUAUAGAUAUUGUUGUAUGUAAGUAAAGUCUUGCCUUUUGCUCCAUUGCAUGUCUUCUGGAUUGAUUUGUAAAAUAUGUUGAGCAGUCUGGUCUUCAAUUAUUGCAGUGAAUAUGCCAGAUACAUCAGACACCUGAAUCAGGAAUCUUAACCUGCAUUGUUAAUAGCACAGAAUUUGGUUAUAUAUUUGUAUUAGACAUUUGAUAUUAUAAUCAUUAGAUGAUCGGUUGUUACCUGGGUUGUGGCCUUGGAAAUGUUACAUUGCAGUGGCGACAGGUGAACUGGAAGUUUGCAAGCGCACCAGUUAAUUUUCUGCAAUUUUGUGCUGGGAAAGUGAGACUGUAUAGGCGUCGCUGUGGAUAUAUUAUUUUCAGAGUUGCUCGGAUCCAUACAGGCUUUGGCUGUUAAUUGAAUGGUAGUUGUGUAAUUUUUUUGUGAUCAGAAUUAUUUGUCAAUAUAAAGUUGAUAAUAGAAUAUAUAUAUAUAUGGAACUUUUUGUGUACCAGAUAUGGUGUGUUGAGGAUCUCAUUGACUUGUCGAAUCUUUUCUUCUGGAGGAGGCUUGAUUGUUUGGUGAAAUUCGUCAUAGAGAGUUCCAGGCAUUACUCCUUGAAUAUAUGUCAUAUUUGCAUAUAUCCUGUAAUAUAGAAAAUAAAAAAUGUAAUUAUACAAUUGCGAAAUAAAUAAAAAUUGCAUUGUUUAUAGAAUAAGUUAAAGGGAAAGAGAAAAUAUGAUGUACCAAUCUUUCAACAGCAAUGCUUGUGGAAUUUUUGGAUCAAAGAUAAUAGAAGUUUUUGACAAAAUUUGAGUAAAUUGACUGGAAUCGGGUCCGGUUCCUCUUCCUGGUCCUUUCUAUUAAAUAAGAAUUCCUGUACAAUCUAUUUUUGGUAAACCCCUAUAUAUACUUGAUUGAUUGACCUAAUAUACAGCUAUGGUAACUGAUUUUCUAUUCUAGGUAAGAAAUAUAUACAGAUUUUAGCCAUAAUGUCUGUCAUAAUCUGCCAUAAUCUUUCCCAUAACCUCUGCCAUAUAAUCUGCCAUAAUCUUUCCCAUAACCUCUGCCAUUGAUACCAUUGAUAUCCCCUCUCAAAUUGAUGCUGGCUGAUCAACAAGCAUCAAUUUGUCAACAAGAAAGUGAUGACGAUUUUUGGAGAGAGCUUUAGUAAACACAUUCGCAAUCUGGAGAUCAGUGGGGAUAUGCGGAAGAGAGAUGACCUGAGCAUCAUAUGAUUCACGAAUAGAGUGACAAUCCACUUCAAUGUGUUUGGUACGCUCGUGAAAUACUGGAUUAGCCGCAAUUUGAAUUGCACUAGUGUUGUCGGCAUGAAGCGGUGUAGACCCUUUUUGAGGAAACCCGAGCUCACCUAACAAUCCACGGAGCCAAACAAUUUCAGAGCAUGCAGAAGACAUAGCACGAUACUCAGACUCCGUAGAAGACUUAGACACCCUGUCUUGCUUCUUGCUUUUCCAGGAAACGAGAGAAGUACCAAGGAACAUGCACCAACCAGUAACUGAACGUCUAGUAUCAGAACAACCAGCCCAAUCAGCAUCACUAUAUGCAAUCAGGCGAAUAGGAGAGUUUGCUGGAAAGAAAAGACCACGAGAAGAAGUGCCUUUCAAAUAGCGAACAAUGUGGCGAACAGCUGCCAAAUGAAGGUGCCGAGGUGCUUGCAUAAACUGACUAACUUGUUGAACAGCAAAAGAGAUAUCAGGGCGAGUAAUAGUCAGGUAGUUUAGACUACCCACCAACUGUCGAUAUAAAGACGGAUCAGAGAUAAGAUCACCUUCAUCAUGACGAUACUUAACAUUCACUUCCAAAGGGGUAUCAAUGGAUCGACCAUCUUGAAGACCAGCCAAAGCAAUUAACUCCCGAAUGUAUUUGUGCUGGGUUAAGAAAAUACCGGUGGAACUAGAAUAUACCUCAAGACCUAAAAAAUACUGUAAAGAACCCAGGUCCUUCAUAUGGAAACAACGUUGAAGUUGGUCUUGAAGUUGAGAAAUCAAUGCAUAAUCAGUCCCGGUAAUAACAAUAUCAUCAACAUAUACAAGAAGUAUGACAAUGCCUUUAGAUGUCUUGCAAAGAAACAAAGAGGAAUCAUACUGGCUUUGGACAAAGGAGAAACCAAGAAGUGUGGAACGAAAUUUAUCAAACCAAGCACGUGGAGCUUGUUUCAAACCAUAGAGUGAUCGUUUCAACUUACAAACAUCACCUGAAGGUGUGGAGAAUAACCCUGGUGGUGGAGUCAUAUAAAUGUCUUCUUUCAGAUCUCCAUGUAAAAAGGCAUUCUUAACGUCCAUCUGUCGCAGUGACCAUCCCUUAGAAGCAGCAAUGGCAAGAACAAGUCGUACCGUAGUCAUCUUUGCUACAGGAGCAAAUGUCUCCUCAUAAUUGAUUCCAUAUUCCUGUCGAUUACCAAGGGCCACCAAUCUCGCUUUAUGUCUAUCAAGCGUUCCAUCGGACCGUAGUUUAAUGGAAUAGACCCAUUUACAGCCAAUGGGUUUUACACCAGUAGGACAAGGUACGAUGUCCCAAGUAUGAUUCUCCAAAAGAGCUUGAAGUUCUUCGUCCAUAGCUUUUACCCAACAUGCAUGUUUAGUUGCUUGAGAAUAAGAGGAAGGUACUGCAGUGUCAACUAAAGCGGCAGAGAAACCAUACCUAUCAGGAGGUUUGCUGAUACGGGAAGAUCGUCGCAGAGUCACAGAAUCAUCAGAAGUGGUAGGCAGUGGAGCAGGAUCGGGAAGGAUUUCUACUGAUGGAGGUCGUCGACGUUGAUAGACAAUGCCAGGUCUAAAUCGUUGAAUUGGUGGAGAGAUAUCAUCAAAGCUAGGAAGAACAACAUUGUUGGAAGGAAAAGUGUGCUGCGGAAAAUAGUACUCAUGCUCAAAGAAAAUGACAUGUCGAGAGACACGCAAACGAUUAGCAACAGCAUCAUAACAUAAGAAUCCUUUUUGAGUGGUGCUAUAUCCCAUAAAGGCACACCGAACUGACUGAGCUGCAAGCUUGUGGCGCUCAUGAGGUGGUAGGUGAACAAAACAAACACAACCAAAUGUGUGUAGCAUGUGAUAAUUAGGAUGUACACCAAAAAGACGAUAAUAAGGAGAAUCAAAACCCAAUUGUUGAGAAGGCAAUCGAUUAAUCAAAUACACAGCAGUUGACAAAGCUUCAACCCAAAAUCUAGGGGGUACAGAAGAUUGCAAGAGUAAUGUUCGAACCAUAUCCAACAAAUGGCGGUUUUUGCGUUCAGCCACCCCAUUUUGUUGAGGGGUAUAAGGACAUGAUCUCUGAGAUACAAUCCCUUUGCGUUGCAAGUAGGCUUGGAAGUCAUGUGACACAUAUUCCCCACCAUUAUCAGACUGUAAGAUCUUAAUACAAGUGAAAAACUAUGUCUCAAUGUAAGCCACAAAGGUUUGAAAAACAGUAAACACCUCAGCUUUAGUGCGCAGGAAAUAUAUCCAUGUGAACUGACUAUAGUCAUCAAUGAAUGUCACAAAGUAUUUAUACUGCGCAUGUGAAAUGACAGGAGUAAUACCCCAAACAUCACUAUGUAUUAUCUCAAAGCAUGCACUAGCACAACCAACAGAAGUAGGAAAAGGUAACAUCUUACUCUUCCCCAAUUUACACACAGAACAACCAAGAGAUGAUGCAUGAGCAAAACCUUGAUCUUUAGCACCAAGAAAACCACGCUUUAUUAAAUCAGAUAAAAUGACAUUAUUUGGAUGACCCAAUCGUCUAUGCCAAAUUUCAGCCUUAUUGUCAACAAUCAUAGAGGCUAAAGAUAAAGUUCUAGGAACAAUAAAUUGCAAUGGAAAUAAUCUUCCCACUCUAGACCCCUUCGCGAUUACCUUCCCCGACAUCUGGUCCUGCACAAGACAACCACCACGAGAGAAAUGUACAUCACAAUGAUUCUCCACUAGCUGUCCAACAGAGAUUAAAUUAGUAGACAACUUAGGAGCAACAAAUACAUGGCGAAAAGAAUGUCCAAUAUCACCAAUAGCUGUAAUUGGAAGAUUACUACCAUUAGCAAUCUGAAUAUUUUGGCAACCAGUAUAUGGCCGCAAAUUUUGUAAAAAAUCAGAUGAACCAGUCAUAUGAUUGGUCGCUCCUGAGUCGAUAAGCCAAGUAGAUGAAGCUGGCUUACCUUGACCUUGAAGUCCAAGGGCAGAAAAUGCAGUAAGAAUCAUCUGCUGGACCAUUUCUGGGGUCAGAACAGUCUGGCUGGUGGUAGAUGUAUGACCAAUAACAGGAGCAUCUGGAACAGUAGCUUGAAAAGCUUGGGCUCGCCUGUUUUCCGGACGUGUAGGACAUUCCUUGAGAAUAUGUCCACUUUGCUUACAGUAACUGCAGAAUUUCUUACCACAAUUGCGAGCAAUAUGGCCAAACUCCUUGCAGCUGUAGCACUGCAUUUGUCCCUUUCCUCUAUUCCUUCCUUGUGCAGCAUAAGCAACAUUGACAACCUCUGAUGUCCCACCAGCUGCACUUAGAAUUGACUGUGUAGCCAAUCUUUGUUCUUCUCGUAACAAUUCACCAACACACACAUCCAAAGAAGGAACUGGAUUUCGAUUCAGCAAUCCACCCCGAGCAGUCUCAAAUUCUGGCCUCAGUUUCAUCAAAAACUGAUCACGCAUGCUAACUUGAUGAACUUUUUGAAAGCUUGCUAAGGCCUCCUUAGGUAUCUCAAAGUAGAUGAUAUCAGAAUAUUCACCCCACAGAUUUAGAAAUGCAGAAUAAUAUUGCUCAAUAGAGAGAUUACCUUGACUGAACUUACUGAUAUCAAGUUCAAGCUGAAAUCGUCUUGCAGUGUUGUGUUGAUGAUAUAUGCGUUUCAGAAAAUUCCAUAUCUCCUUUGCAGUAUUAAAUGAACGUAAGCUGUUCACCAUAUGAGGUUCAAUGGAUGCUAAAAUCCAUGAAAUAAUUCGUGAAUCAUUUGAUUCCCAUUGACUUAUUUCUUUCUCAGUUCCAGAAGCAGUAGAAGACCCAUCAAUGUGACCCCAAAGCUCCUUCCCUUUCAGAAACAUUCUGAACUGAAAUUCCCAUGUUGCAUAAUUCUUCCCUGUAAGUCUGAUACCCAAAAUCUCUGCAGAUUGUCUUCCAAAAGAAUUCUCAGCAGCCAUUCUUAACAAAACUCAAAUGCAAAUCCGAAAUCACAGAUUGAUAAACUAAGAAAUAUCAAAACCAGAAUGUUGAUUAGAAAUCAACCCAAAAAGCUAUAGAAAAAAAAAAUACUCAAAAUAUCUUAUAGAUUCAAAAGGUAGGCUCUGAUACCAUGACAAAAUUUGAGUAAAUUGACUGGAAUCGGGUCCAGUUCCUCUUCCUGGUCCUUUCUAUUAAAUAAGAAUUCCGGUACAAUCUAUUUUUGGUAAACCCCUAUAUAUACUUGAUUGAUUGACCUAAUAUACAGCUAUGGUAACUGAUUUUCUAUUCUAGGUAAGAAAUAUAUACAGAUUUUAGCCAUAAUGUCUGUCAUAAUCUGCCAUAAUCUUUCCCAUAACCUCUGCCAUAUAAUCUGUCAUAAUCUUUCCCAUAACCUCUGCCACAAUCUCUACCAUUGAUACCAUUGAUAGUUUUUGCUUGUGUCUCCAAGGACAUGACUGUAAAAGGAGAAAUUUGCAAACUAAGUCUUUAAUUUUGUUCAAAGUAAAAGUAGGUCUGUAAUUGCUAAUAUGUGGUAGUUACCACGAUAUGAGCUAGUUUUGCCUCUAAGAAUGAUGAGGAUUGGAUUGCUGUUCAAAAUGCUUAGAAGAUAUGGAGCUUCUACGUCUAGAAAUUCUUGCCACAUGGUGAAGAUCAUUGGUUUUUGCCUGCGUAAGACAUGCAAGACAUAGCUAUGUGAUUAUAAGUUAGUGUAAUAGGUUCGUUGGUGUUGCCUAAGUUGGAUACUUACUCUUGAUUUAAGACAACAAAUUCUUGAAUUGCUGUAUUUCCUGUUCGUCGUGAUAUAAUUCGACGAGGGAGAGCCCCAACUGCUGCACAUAGUAUAGCUGUGAAAGUUGGAGUCAGUGUUAGCAAAUAAGAAGGUAUUAAUAAUGGAUUAUACUUGAUAGUGAAGAAUGGAAAGUACUUAUUGGAUCUCUUUCAUUGUCAAUAUGCAGAUGAAAAUCCGCAAAUGGAGUAAAAGAUUAGCACUCAUCAACUGCAUAUUGAUCUUGCUUGUCAACAGGCUGGAUAAAAGUGUUUCUGCUGAGAGUUAAUUGGUACUUUGAUGCAGCAACUCUGAAGUUAUCAUUUGUUAUUUCUUCGACCUUUGCAUUUGCUAUAUAGUAUGUAUUAUAAAGAUGCAAGAUUUCAUUGACUGCUUCUAUUUCUUUUGCGUAAGCAAUUGCUUGAAUUGUGUUUUUCUGCAAUAUUGGAAAAAGUUUUCUGUUAGUACAGAUAAAUUAAAUUAUAUGGGAUUGAUGAAUAAAUUUAUUAUAGUACUAUAAUUACCUCACUAUCCAUGAAGCCAUAUCGUUGGAAUGUUGUGUAGCCAUCUUUGCUCCUUCGAAUUGGUGUUUUUUCUAUUAAUAGCAGCUUUGUCACCCAAUCUGUUGAUGCGGAGGUUAUUUGACUGAUAGGGAUGCAAAGGCUUUCAAUUUCACUGCAAUGGGAAAAAAGGAAGUUGUAAAGUACAUGUAACUAUUUAUUAGGGUAAAUACUAAAGCUGAACAUGUAGCUUGCAAAAGUAUGGAAGCAAAUAAUAUAGUAUUACUAAUGCUUGUGUAUGUCAAAACAGGUAGAAAGUUAAUGUCAGGGAAGUGCUAUUGAUGAAAGUAUUUCUUCAUAAACAAUAUUUCUAGUAAUAUUUGUACUUGUUAGUGGCAAGUUCGGUGGGCUAAUGAGAAUCUUAAUAUUAUUAGCUGUUGUUGCUCUUGAUAAAGCAACAUAUAACUGGCCAUGAGAGAAGACUGGUUCUUUUAAAUAUAACCCAACAUAGUCAAGUGUCUGUCCUUGAGCUUUGUUGAUUGUGAUGGCGAAGCAUAAUCGGAGUGGAAACUGAGUUCUUUUAAAUGGGACAGAAGCAAACUGAUCAUCUGAGGCCUAUAGAGGAAUUCUGGGAAUGAAAACUGUUUUGCCUGCAAAAGAACCAAAUGUUAUUUCUGCUUGAAUUACAUUAUUGGUGAACUCUUUACAAAUCAAACGUGUUCCAUUAGAUAAGCCUUCAGUGGGAUUAAUAUUUCGCAAGAGCAUGACUGGAGCAUUUUUCUUCAGUAUGAGUUCAUGCAAGGGCAGCCCAUUUGGUUUAGCGAGUCCAACAAAUCUUGAUCCUGGAAAUCAGUUGAAGAUUCUAAGACUUCAUCAUAGCUAAAAUAAACUCUCUCAGUUCCAGGAAACUUUUGAAUCAUUUGGUGAUUGAUUUCAUGAACGAAAUCAUUUCUAGUCAGCAGAAUAGCUCUAUUUAGUAUCACAGAAGGAUCUGUAGCAGCAUGAUCAAUCUGCGGAAAGACAAAGCUUACUAAUGUGUUGAUUGAAGUAUCAUCAUUGACAAAUGGAAUGUUUAUUGAAUUUGAUAUUUGAAUUUUAUCUGCAUCAACUGUUUCUUCAAUUCCAUUGCCAACUCUGAGCAAGAAUUUGGAAAAAUCCGGAUCAUGUUUUGCUCUCAUAUUUUGCUGCAGAUGUAUCUUCUCAAAUCAUUCCAUAAUGGUGACAUUACAAGAGAUGCUUUAAUAAUUUCAUCUCUUGUACCAUGUGUAAUAACUGGUAGUGUCUGGCGAAAAUUACCACAAAAAACGACAACCUUUCCACCAAAUGGAGCAGGAUUAGUCAUGAUAUCUUGCAACAUUCUGCUAAACACUUCAAUUGAUUUUCUUUUCGCCAUUGUUGCUUCAUCCCAUAUAAUGAGUUUUGCAUCUCUAAUCAAUUGAGCAAGUGUACUUUGUUUACUAAUGUUGCAAACUAUGUUUUCAUCAUCUUGAAGAGGAAUUUUGAACCUUGAAUGAGCUGUACGGCCGCCUGGCAAAAUAGAUGCUGCUACACCUGAUGUAGCAGUAGCUAAAGCUAUCUGUUGCUGAGACCGAAUUGUUGCCAGAAGAGCUUUAUAUAAAAAGAUUUUUCCGGUACCACCAAGUCCAUCAAUGAAGAAACACUUUGACUGAUUAUUAUUAAUGCAAGAGAGGAUUCGAUGAUAGGCUGCCCGCUGUUCAACAUUUAGUGCUGAUAUUGAUGACAAAUCUUCUUCAGAGAUGAUUAUAUUUUUCUCUGCCUCAGCUUCUCUCAUUUCUUUAUCAUUCGUGCUGUUUUUUUGAUAAACUGAUGCUAAUCCAACUGUGCUAAUAGUUUUUCCUAUUGAUUGUAAAUGGCUUUCAAUUAGCUGGAGAGCUCUAUUGUCUACCAUUUGUUGAGACAAACUGUUAUCGAGUCGAAUGUCUUCUGAGAGAAAAUGCUUGAAUUUUUGCCAUAAUUCUGUUGGUUCUUUGGGAGCACAGAAUACCAGAAUUGUUGCAAAUAAUUGUCGAAGUGCUGAUGGCAUCUGGUAUACAAUUGCUUCAGACAUACAUUCUUCUGCAAUAUUGUCUCCAUGCGUUAAACCCUAUAGUUGUGCAGCUUGUCUAUAGGAGUUAGCAUGUUGGCCGUUGACUAUUUUCAAAUCUUCAAAAGAAGUGGGCAUUUUCUGGUGCUUUAAUAGAAGUCUUAGGUAGUACCGUUCACCUUCUGAUGGGUGGACACCAGCAAGUCUUCCAACAACAUUUCUUUUUUUUCUUAAAGACCAGAAUUUUGCCUGGCUAUACCAAACAAAAUAUUGUGGAAACUCAGUAUAUACACACUUUAAUGCCUGUGCAUCGGAAUUGUACCUGUUCAUAUAAAAAAAUUCUGUUAGCAUUGUUCUUUUGAUAAUAGGAUUAUUUGCUAUAUUCUUAACUGAUUGACUGUCCGAAAAAGUUAGUGGCUGUUGAUCUUUUAGAUGAACUGGAAGUGUUAUGACCGAAGGAUACAUCUCAUUCAAAUCGAAGCCAUAAAUCCUCCACAUUGCUUCAGGAGGUGAAAUCCAUCUUGCUGACUGAAAUGACCGAAUUUCGUCCAUCAUCUGUUCCUCUGCUAUAGGGCCAAGUUGGUACAAGAUUCUGUCGUGGCCCUUAUAUAUAUUUAACUGCAUGAAUAGUUGAGCAAAUUUCAACAUUCAUGUGACAGUUAAAUCUUGAUAAUAGAUAUGAAUUGUAAGGGACGAUCCAGCGAUUGUCGAGCAAGAAUCUGCGAAUCUUGACAGUCUUUUUAUCAUCUCGCCGCCGAUAAAUUGGAUAUGAAUUUUGGCCAUGCUUGGUUGAUUCUAUGAAUUCUUUUGGGUAGCCAUGCUUACAACCAGUUCCUUUUUGCAUACAUGGACUAUUUGGAUUCAUUUCUCCACAAGGUCCAUGUAUCAUGUGUUGUGCCACUAGGAAAUGCAAGUGUUGUUGAGUUCGUGGAUUUGGUAGCUCUGCACUGACAAUUCUAUCAUAUGCAUCAGGAUUAUAUAGCUUCGAACAUUGCUUCAAAAUAAUCAAAAAGUGUGCAUGUGGAAGGCCACGCUUUUGGAACUCUAUGACAUAUGUGUAUGCUGCAACCUUGCCAAAAAUCUCCUUUUUGGAUAAUUCAUCUUUUAGCAUCUGCAACUUAGCUCGAAAAACUCGUGAAGUUAAAUCUGACAUGUUUUCUACUUUUUCAGAAGGAAGCAAUUCAUUCUUUAUUUCUGCCCAAUUCUUGUUGCAGGUGAUUGUCAAGAAUAAAUCCGGCUUUCCAUAGCGCUCGCUGAACCAAAGUCAUUGCAUCUAAGAUUCGGCGUCGCAUGUCUCUUGGCCCACCAAUGAAACUACGGGGCAAAAUUAUUCGCUUGCCUAUAUUUGAGGUUGAAGCUUCUCCUCGUGACAAGCUAUCCAAUAGUCCUUGAUAGAUUUCAGUUCGAAGCCGAUUUUGAUUCUCAUCAUUUCGGAAGAAAUCUAAUCUAGAUGUUUCGAUUUUGAUAUACAUGUCGACUACAAACUGCUGAAGCAAUCUGCCAAUAUGUAGUAGCAUUGAUUUGUCCUCUGGCCUCAUCCGUAAUUUGUAACAAUAAUAUUCGCGGCAAGAGACAUUCUUCCUCUUCUUUUUGUUCUGGCUAGCUACUGUUUAAAGGAAUCAAGUUUGACAAAAAGUUAAAAGGAAUUAUAAAUAUGUCUUAUUUCGUAAACAGAUACUCUAGAAGAAAUGGAAAUUAAAUAAAUGGAUAGCAGGAUACCUGCAUUUUCUGCUUCAAUUACCGCUUCUGCAGUCAUAAACAUGUGAGCAGAUGUAAUUAUUUCUCCAUGGCAAGUUUGGCCGGCUGAACUUGAAAAAUAUGAUCGUUCUAAUUUUUCGAUACCAGGGUGCCAUCCUGGCUCACCAUUUGGAAAUAUUAAUGGAUAUUGCAUGGGAUCAUAACAUCCAUAAUAAUGCUUCACAACCUGAGAUGCUCCAUUAAUUGAGUACACCUGAAUAUGCCUUGAGGUAGUCUCUUGAGGUCCUGUCGAUUCAGUCCAAAUGCCGCCCACUUGUGAUAUAGUAGGCUUAUUAUAAAGUUUUUUAUCAACAGCAGGAUUUGACUCAAGGAAGAUGUUAUAUUCAUCCAGAUUAGGGAUGUCUUGCAAGCCACGGAAAAAGGAAGAAUAUGGAUUAAUUCUCAACAUGUCAGAUAGUUUUGAGAUCAAAGUUUCUCGAAAUUUACCUGAUAUAGAAAGACGAUUCUCAAUCUCAUGUUCCGUAUCAUAAAAAUAUAGUUGGACAUUUGUUGGCUUUUAUCCUUCUGGUGGAGUCAGAGGAUUAAUGAAGUGAUACAUUUGACCUUGCACUCUGAAAGUAUAUAUGCCAUUAUAGUUCUUGUUCUAACUGCUUAUCAGUAUGCAUUCCAAUUGAUGUGAAGGCAAACAUGUUAUUGUAACUGCGGACACAAUUUUUGAAUUCAAUAGCUUAUUCUGAAUCAUCAAGAUAUAAAAGCAUCAAUUCUCGCGGCAUUUCAGUCUCUAGAAGCCGUAUUUGACCUGAUGCGCAACAGAAAUUAGGAGGUUCUUGGUGAAACCUUUUUGCUCCACACUAGGUAUAGGGAGGUGCUGCUGGCAAUACUACUGGCUCUUUAGCAAUAUCUUGCAGUACAUCAGGCACAAUUUUUCUUCGCAAUACCUGGGAACUACUUCUUAUCCGAGAUGUACCAACAACGGAAACAUCAGUAUUGGUUGUUGAAUAUGACAACCAUAAACAUUCUCAUGAGCUGGGGUUGUAUUCUGCAAAGAAGUAGUACAACUUGUACACUGUAGUGGGAUAGCAGAAGAAGUGGAAGAUUCAACCAUACUUCCAAUUUGAGCGUUAUGAAUGCCAAUAGAGACAUUAUCAGCUGAAUAUGGUGCUUGAAUAUUACCAUCAGAAACAUUAAUCUGUUCUUCAGAUUGAAUGAUAUUAGAUGAUAAAAUAGUAUUUUUCGAUUCAUCACAACUUAAAUCAGUAGUUGAUGUUGUACUCUGAUGCUCCAGUGGUACACUUUCAUAUGUCGAUUCUGCAACUUCAGGUGGGAUUUGAAUUGCAUUAACUGCAAUAGUGCAUAGGCCACUACUGGAAUUACCAAGCUGCUUAGCUUUAGCAGCAGUAUAGCUUUGACGCCGCCGUCUAUUUCUUUCACGAUAUCGUUCUCCUAAGGUAUUAUACUUUUUUCUUGGUGGCAUUAUUAAUAAGUUACUCAAUUAUUAUAAUAGCAUAUAUCAUUACUAUAUAAAAAGUAUGAAUCUUGGUAGGCCUGUCAAUCGGGUCUAAUGAGCCGGGCUUUGAUGAGUUCAAGCUCAACUCAUUUAAUUUGAAUCAUUUUCGGGUUUCGGGCUAUGAGUUUCGGGUUCGUAAAUGUGAAGCUCAUACUCAACUCACAUAAUAUUCAGGUUGUGAGCCUUAAUCGGGUUUAGCCCAAACUCACUUAUUACUCCUUAAUUUUCUUAAUAUAAUUACUAUAACUAUUAAGUUGUAAAACUAAUUUAACAUUUACAAGACUAUAAUAUUAAAACUAAAUAUGAACAAAUAAUAGUUCUUAAAACGUAUAUAAACAAAAAAAAUUUCAACAAUAUUUAUAUUUAAUCCAUUCAAAAUGCAUGAAAAAUAGUAAUAAAACAUGCGAUCAUAAGCCAAUACAUCUUUAAAAGUUGAAACUUUUUUUAUAAUCUUGUGAUUUAAAUCCAAAUAUGCUUGAUGAUUUUUGUGUUUGUAGACCAAAAAAAAAUCAACCAAUAUUAUGCCAAUACAAAAAUUUACUCAACCAAUAAGAAAAAUUAGAGAUUUAGUUAUGCAUUACCAAUAUUGGCUCUCAAGAAAGCUCAUGAAAGAGUUUUUAGAUGUAUAUUUGUGUUUUGUAAUUUAUGUAUAUAUUUAGUAUUUAGUAAUAAUAUAUUUGGAUAUAUAAUUAUACAUAAUAUCAAAAUAUAAAUAUUAUAUAUAUAGGUAAUUAAAGGGUCGGGCUUAUAUCGAGUUUGAGCCUAAUAAGGCCCAAACUCGGCUCACAUUUAAUUUGGGCCUAAUUUUUAGGCUCAGACUCAGACCGGCUCACUAAAUGAUCGGGCUUUUUGUCGAGCCGAGCGAGCCGAGCUCGGGCUGGCCCAGUCCCAUUGACAGUCCUAAAUCUUGGUAUGAGGGAGUGUAAGUGUAAGCACUUUUUUAUCUUAGUUUUUGUUAUCCCUAAAUUACCCUCACGUCUUUUAAUUAGAAUUAUUUCAUUUUAAUGUAGCACUAAUUAAAAGAAAUAAAACACUCCAAUUGAUUACAUCUUAAUAGUAUUGGUAAUUAUAAUUAAAACUAUUUACCUACCCUUAGACUCUAUCUCCAAUUAUUAUACGCAUCAAAAUUUCUUAAUUGAAUUAUGAAAAAUUUCUCAUUAGUCAUUAGUUGAGAUUGUAAAAGAAAAAUCAAUGUCAAAAAAUAGACAUUCUCUAGAAAAUGGAGAAACAUAUAAGGAGGAGAAUCCUUAUCCAUCUGUACAUCUUUAUACAAACAUCACGAGCAAAUUUUACAAUUAUGCACUUUUUACCAAGAUUCAUUUUCUAUAGUAAUGAUGAAGAAUUUUUCAUCUUGCACCAAAAAAUGAUGACACCUUUAUAACUGAAAUAGUAGUAUUAAACUAGAAAAAAGAAAUAUAACAUAGCACCAUACAAACCACUAUUAUCAUUAAUAGCAACUGAUCAAAACAAGAAGAACUGAAAAAAAAUUGAAAACUAUUAAUAAAAUGACAUAAAGUAAAUAGCAAAUGAAUUAAAAAGCUAGAAUACAAUUCAAAUAAUACCAAAGAUAACAUCCAAAUCGUUGAUAUCCAAGGAAAGACAAACAUUGUUAUUGACAAUAAUAUAGUAAUACUUCAUUUGUAUUGGUUUGAGCAAACCAAGUCCAUCCAUCAAGUCAAAAGCCAUCUCUAAUGAUAAAAUAAGAAUUAUAAUAAGAGUAAACUUAAAAUGAGCAAUGAUAAAAUGGAAAUGAUAUCCAAAUUGUUAUUGGUUAUGCUCAAAAUACCCUUUUUUUUCUAAUGAUUACAUGUAUUUAUUGCAUUGCAAUAUUAGUGAAUAACGGAAGAGGUUAUGAAAUGCAAAACUUUAAAAUUAAGUAAAUUUCAUUUAUGGUGACAAUUGUAAUUAGAUAGAUUUAGUGCAUUCCAAUAAUUUAUAAUAAUGAUAGCGGUUAUGGAUUAAAAGUUGGCAAUUAAAAAAUAAAACAUUGCAAUAUACAAAAAUUAAUAUUGAAAUUGUUAAUUAGCCAUAAUUCUCAUUCCAAUUGCAUGAUUAUCAAAAAAACGAUUACUAAACCAAAAAUACUGUACUCAUAUGAAAAAAGUAGACUUGUUGCUUUUGCUCCGCAUUGGAUUGUGCUAAAAAUAUGCAUAAAAUAAAAGGAAAAUAGACAAACUCCAACUAUCUCUAUCUAUAAAAUUUUAAUUGUCAGAAUGUAUAAGCCAAAAAAACUUUACGUGGUGGAUCAUUUAUACUUCAUUAUUGAUAAAAAUAGAAUUAACAUAAUACAAAGAAUUCAAAUCACAUGUAUGUUUAUUUUUCUUACUUAAUUAUAUUCUUCAUUUAUAAAAAAUUGUAAUGAUUGUGGUUUAUGUGCAAUCAAAUCAUGAAUAUACAAUAAUUUUGGUAAAAUAUGAUAUUAUCAAUAUUUGAUAUGUUAGAGUUCAAACUAUAAAUCAAAAAGUGUUUGGUUCAUAAUUCCAAAUUCAAUCCUAAGGGAGUCAACUACAUUGGAAUGCUUUUUGUCUCUUUUCAUUUAAUAAAGUUUUUAAAAGUAACUAGCUUAAAAAAAUAAAUAACAUAAAAAUGCUAUAUUACGAUGUUGAUUAUCAAAAUUUUCAUAAAAAAAUUUAGUAUAAAAAAAUAAUAUAUUUUAAAACAUUACAAUCACGUGCAAAGUACGUGAACUAUUACUAGUAUAAAUAUAUAUGAGGACGCUAAGAACACAGAUGAUGAUAUGCACUAUGAACAUCAGACGAUGAUAAUCAAGAGAAGAAAUUAAGAACACAAAUUAGCAGUGCAGUUAAGUAAAUUAAACUAACCUUUGAACGACUGCCAUUUCUGAAUAGCUGUAGCCAUAGAACUGUUACAAUGACAGUAAAUACUGAUUAUAUUAACACAAUGCUGAAUACUUGAAAUAUCAGAAACGUUGACGAUAUAUUACAUACACAUUUAAAUAUGACAAAAGUUGCAGUGUAAAAAAUAAGGAAGCUAAACAUAAACAAAACCAUUAAAAAGAUCCAAAGUAAGAAAGAAGACAACACUUUCAUCAGUAAAAGAACAAAACAAGACAGAGUAAUUUGUCAACCAAAAUCAGAAGUUCGAAUACUAACCAAAAACAGACCAGCUUUUGUCACAAAGCAGAGGUGAAUGCAGUUUCAAUCACUGAAAGCACAGCAACAACAGUAAAGCUAAGCAACAAAUGUCCAACACCGAUCUAUUUUAUACCAGCAUUAUCAGUCCCACCCUUCUGACAACAUAGCACCACCGCUUGGUGCAAAGUGCAAUGCAAGAACCCAGCCUAAGAUUAGAAAGACAGAAUUGGUCUUAUAACAGAGCACCACCGCACCGCAUCAUUAAUAUAUGCAUACUUUUGAAUAAUCUUGUCCUGGACCAGCCUAGAAUGACUAAAUGAUUCUAUGCAAUUCCACAGAUGGCCAUACACGGAAGCUGCCAAUUGUCCAAAUAUAAUGAUCAUUUAGCAAAACUUAUCUAUAUGGAAAAGAUUCAGAUAUCUUGGAAGUUGGAAGUAGCAAUUGUGCAGAAAUAAUAUAUCCAUUGUAGUAGGAACACCGCACCGCACCGUACAACCCAUUAGCAUAAGGUUCACAUGAAAUGACCAAACAAUCCACACACUAAUGGGGUUGAUAGGGGACGAAAGUCACUGUUCAUCUCCUCAUUCGUCCCUUUAUACUAUUAGGAUAGGAUUAGGAUAGGAUGUGCACCAUGUUUUAUACAUUAAAAAUAAUUAAUUCGUUAAAAAACUGAGGGAAUAUCAAUACUGAUACAGUUGUACAACUGCUACUUGUAUUAUAUAGCAGACCAAUAGCGGCAAGGAUCAUAGGCUUGCGAUUGUUGAAGCAAGGGAAAGAACCUUCAUGGAUUCAACUGCUAAUUCCUUCAUAUUCCUUCCUCUUUUCCUUCUACCGCCUCUCUUCUGGCUCAUCCUAAAUUACAUCAAAAGUAGAAACCAAUCUCUUCCUCCCGGCCCAAAGCCAUGGCCGAUUGUUGGAAAUCUCCCACAAAUAGGAAGCAAGCCUCACGUUGCAUUAGCCCAACUAGCCCAAGAUUACGGCCCAUUGAUCUCCCUCCGGCUAGGGAGUCAACUUGUGGUUGUUGGGUCAACCCCGGCAGCGGCCACCGAAAUCCUCAAGACCCAUGAUCGGAUACUCUCCGGCCGGCACGUCCCACAUGUUUCAUACGCCAAGAGUCCCCUUAUGAACUAUGUUUCAGUCGGCUGGACUUAUGAGUGCACAGACCAAUGGAGGUUUUUACGUACACUUUGUAAAAGUGAAAUUCUGGGUGCAAAAGUGAUCGAAAACCAGUCCCAUUUGAGAGAGCAAAAGGCGAAUGAGUUGGUCCAGUUUUUGGUUUCGAAGGAAGGCCAGAGGAUCAAGAUUGCAGAAGUUGUAUUUGUUUCUGUAUUCAAUUUCUUGGGACAAAUUUUUUUCUCCAAGGACUUCAUAAGUUAUGAUGAGGUAGAAAAUGGUGGUGGAAUGAGCGAGCUUAUAAGGGAAGUCAUGGAGCUGUGGACAGCCCCAAAUAUAUCAGAUCUGUAUCCAGUUUUAGGUGGACUGGACCUCCAGAGAUUAAGCAAGAAGGCUAGUGUAUGUCACAACAAAAUCUGCAGUGCAUGGCAAGAGAUCAUUAGAGAGAGAAGAGGGAAGAAAUACCAAGAUUCAACGAGGCAGAAAGAUUUCUUGGAUGUGUUGCUUCAGAAUGAUUUCUCAGACGAUCAGAUUAAUUACUUGCACCUGGUAAGAACUCUCUUUCCUUCCUCUCUUUCUCUUUAUCUGGUCAACAACCUUAAAAAAUAGGGAUAAUUUCACAAACUUCCCCUGAGGUUUAUAAUAAUUGCAGUCACCUCCCCUUAAUUUUUAAAAAUUACAUCUACCUCCCCUACUUUAACUAUUUAGGUAACUUAUAUAGACCCAAUAUACUACAUUUCUCUUCAAAAAUCCUAAUAUACCCUUAUUGACAUAACAACAAAGAGAAAAGGUUAGUUUAAUCAUGUACAAUUUCUUUUUCUAAAACCACCGCAAAUUUGCCACCAUACCAAGCCAAUCGAGCAAACUAUUAUUUAUAACUCAGUCUUCAUUUCAAGUGAUUUUAACAACUCAGUCUUCAUUUCAAGUGAUUUUAACAAUAUUUGCAGCCUUAGAAUCAUUUUGCAUCCCAAAGGCUUUCACUAAAAACUACGAGAUCAAAUAUAACCCCACUUAAAAAAAUCUAAAAGCUUGCUUAUAACUUUUUCAACCUCCUAGCAAUAGCUAAUCUAGCCCAUCACCACCUAUAUGUAGGCCUGUCAACGGGUCGGGUCUAGACCCGGAUCCGGACCGGAUCCGUAAAAUUAUUGCGGGUAUGGGUAGGGAUUUAAUUUCGUUUUUCGGAUCCGGAUCCGGAUCCGUUUUGUCAAACAAAAAACGGGUCGGAUACGGAAUAUAGUAUUGCGGCCCGUAUCAGACCCGAUCCGGAUAUAAAUGAAUUAAUAAUUUAAAAAAUAUAUAUUUAUCAAUAUAAUUUGAUUAGGGUGAUGUAUUUGAAUAAAGUCAAUUUGAUUUCUUUUCUUAUUUGGUUUUUUCUUUGCAUUAGUUAGAAAUUAGUUUACAAAUAUAUAUUUUUUUCAUUUUUAUUAGAAAUUAUAAAUUUUGCUAAAUUUGUUUGGGUAGACCCGACCUGGAUCCGAAUCCGAAUCCGGAACAUAGAAUAAAAGACCCGUCGGGUAAACGGAUCGGAUCCGGGUCCGGAUCCGGAAUAAUGAAUUCCGACCUAGACCCAGCCCUACCUAUAUGGAUACUAGAAGCAAUCCCACCGUGACCCAAAGAGUAACCCAUUAUUACUCCAUAAUCUCCAUUAGAGACUAAUCCUAUUUCCAUUAAAAAAAAAAAACCAUUGUUCAUGGUAGCAAAUCAAAAACAAAAAGAUGAAUUUUUCAUUUUUGUUUUUCAGUUUUUCGGCAACAAUUGCAGUUAUGGAUAUCUAUUAAAUUUUUUUUAUGGAUAUCUAAUAAAUUUUUUUGAAUAAAUAGACACAACAAUAUACCAAUCAUCAAUCAUCCGAUCCCUCUUACUUUCAUCAAUUGGUUUCAAAUUUAUUCUUUAGAUUAUACGACAAAUGGGAAUGUUUUGCUGGUUGUAGUGGUAUGGUAUCUUUCUUUAUGAAUCAACUAAUUAAGUGAAAGACAUUCUAGUAAUUUUGUUGCACCAAGAGAGGUCAAUGUAAUUAUGUAAACCUAAGGAGAGCUGAGUGAAAUUGUCAAAAAUCUCAAGGGAGGUUUCUGAAAUUAUCCCUAAAAAAUAAGGUUCUAUGUUUCAUUUUCUUAUGUGUCAUUUUACAUAAAAUACUUGCACCUAAUCUGAGCACUUGUUAGUUUAAUUCCCACAUGGAUAUUUAUUUAUUUGCAAGUCAAUGCCGUCCUCUUUAACUUUUGCAAUUGUCUAACCGAGAUUGGAAUGUGUCUUAUGCAACGUGGAUGUCAAUAACAGUUGAAUACAGGAAAUUUGCACAUGCUACGUAUAUCUAGAUGCACUAGCGUAUAUAUUGCAAAUAUAUCAAAGAUUAAUUCAUCUUGUAGAUCAAGACAUCAAUCCAAACUCAAUUUGCACGGAUAUGUGUAAUGAAAUGCAGUUUCCUAUUGCUGGCCCACCCCAAACAAGCACGAAAAAAAAAAAGGAACCCUAUUACAACUCGUCAAGUUUAAUUUUUCGCUCAUGCCAUUCUAUUCAAAGUUCAGUGGAUAGUUAUUACUCCAACAUAAUUGAUUGUCUUAUAAGAUGGAUGGAAAAGAAAUUAUUUGAUUUUUUUCUUUUUAAGUCAUGACAUGCAUUAUUGAGAGAAACGAAUAAUAAUAUGUCAAUAAGAAUGGCAUAUGAAUGGGACAGAAGACUACUGCUUAUUAAAUCAGCCUUGGAGGAUUUAAUUUUAUAUCUGGUGGGACAGGAACUAUUUGCUGCAGGGUCAGAUACUAGCACCUCCACGGUUGAAUGGGCGAUGGCCGAAUUAUUAAGGAAUCCCAAAUUCUUAGACAUGAUUCGGCAAGAACUUGAUCAGAUAGAAUUCUCAGGGGAAAAUGUGAUAAAGGAAUCAGACUUAACCAGGCUUCCUUACCUACAAGCAUGCGUUAAAGAAAUCUUGAGAUUACACCCUCCCGCCCCAUUGCUUCUCCCCCGUCGUGCCACGGAAACAUGUCAAGUUAUGAACUACACUAUCCCAAUGGGGACUCAAGUUUUGGUGAACGUAUGGGCCAUUGGAAGAGAUCCCAACAUCUGGGAAGAUCCAUCAAGCUUCAAUCCAGAGAGGUUUCUCAGUUGUAACUUGGAUUUCAAAGGGAAUGACUUUGAAUUCUUGCCUUUUGGUGCUGGAAGGAGGAUGUGUCCUGGGUUGCCUAUGGCAGCUAGGCAAGUAUGCUUGACCUUGGCUUCUUUGAUUUACCAUUUUGAGUGGUCUCUCCCAGACAACAUGCUACCUCAACACAUGGACAUGAGUGAAAAAUUUGGAAUAACACUGCAAAAGGAGCAGCCUUUGGUCAUUAUGCUGAGCCGCAGAAAAUGAAAAUCCGUGAACAGAAUAAUUUACAGUAGCAUUCUCAUCAUUAUUUGCAAGAAAAUGGACUGUAAUUUGUGAACACAGUUUUGAGUUUGUCGAGUUUCAGUAAGUUCACUGUCCAUUGCAGAAUUACCAUCUCUAUGAUGUAAAAUUAAGUGUCACGUUAUUGCUGUGCCAGCCAGGAACAACAAUUUUAUGCGCCAAAGUAACAAGAAGAAUAACAACAAAGAAAAUUCACUGAUUCAGAAAUUUCUUCACAAAACGAAUACUAUCAUUAAGCACUGAGUGAAAUAUAUAUAUAUAUAUAUAUGGGCACGUAGAUGAGCAGAGAUGGGAAAAGAACCAUCAAGAACAACGUGGCUUCGUAAUUGCCAUCAUUCAAUGCACAUGACACACCAUUGUCAUCUAACUGCAUCAUUCUCAAUCCCAUAACCCGUGAAAAGAUUUGGUAUUCAACCUUUUUUUAUAUGCAAGCAGGUAUUAAGAACGCAAGAGUAAUUCUAACAUUUGAAUCAACCACGUUUGUAAUUCUAUUUUUUUUCAUUUUGACAUUCGCCUGAGCUCCUAGAAUUUAGAUUUCUCCCAAUCAAAAAAGUCAUGGCUUGGAUCAUCUAUCUAUUAGUCUCCGUAGGGUCCAAAUUCUGAAUUUUAAAGCACAAGGCAUGUAUCAACACCCACUGGCAACAUUUGUAUCUUUUUGAGACAUUUGAAUGAACAGAAUUGUUUUCAUCAUCCAAGCCAAGCAUAUACAGAAAAUUUCACAAAAUUUUAUUAAUGAUAAAACCCAAAAAAAACCUGGACAAAUUAGUGUAAAUGUGAACCGACCCCAAUAAAAUACUGUAGGAUGCAAAGAUUCACGUUUCUAUCCAAGUACAAGCAGAAUGGAACUGGUCAAUAUAAUAUCUACCGGACAACAUCAAGAAGGCAGGCAAACAGCAUUGUCUAAUCAGCUUCAGACACCAAAAAGCCUCAACUGUAAAGACAUCUCGUACAAGGUAGUUAUCAUCUGCUAUAACACUAGGUAGAGUUUGUUCGCCUUCAUGAUGAAUAGACCAGGGAAUGUUCUUUCACAGUGCUAGGUUACUGACUUCUCACAAUGAUGGCCCGACAACCCUUCCCAGCUUCUCUCUACCUAAAACUCCCCUUCCCAGAGAAACCAAACUUUGAUACCAACAUUUGGCAGUAGAACAUCAGAAAUUUUAUCAUGGGCAAGAAUUUAACCUUUACAUUGUCGACUUUUUAAGCCGCUUUUGCUGAGAAUCAGAGAUGUGGAACAUAAGCUGCAAUUACCAGUUGAUAGGUUAGUUAUACUCUUUGUAUGAAGCAUUUAAGUCAAGCUUAAUAACCAAAUAUUCAUAAGUUUCUUUACCUUGGUCCCAAUAUAGAAGCUAAUAAGCAUGCCACCAACUGUAGGUAAUCCUGCAUUAUCAGAACAUACAAAUUAAAGUUGGCAGUGUGAUGUCUCAAACAAGAUUAGACAGAAAAGCAUUAACCUUCUUUACGGAGAAACCCAGAUAUCAACCAAUUAAUGCCUGAUGGCCCAAUGACAAAUCCAACAAGAUUCGCCACCUGCAGAACACAAUUUAAAACUUCUGUUGCAGGCUUUUCACGUAGCAAAAGCUUAAAAUUCCGAAGGCAAAAUAUUAGAAGACAAUAGUACACAGCUAGGAGAGUAAAUCAAAGUCAUUUGACAUAAGGUGCUGGAUGAACCAAUCAUACAACAGUCUAACAGUAUUCAUCGUAACUCUCAUGAUGAAUAUUCAUUGGGAUUAGUCACAGAAGACUUGUUAUAAUCAGACCGGUAACUUGUAUUACAAACCUAAUGAAAGUCAAAUGUCUUAAUAUUUGGAAGUGAAGCAAGUAGUUUAGCAUGUGUUACAAAUCUAUUGUUGAGACAAAUGAGGUAAAAGUCAUACAUAAAUUACCAAGAAAAAAGAAAGAAGCCCAAAAGAGAUGGAAACUAUGCACAGGAGCAGAGGUUAGAGUAAGCAAUUGUACCAUUUCAGAGAUUUUGAGGGAAAAAUACUGCCCUACAAUAACAGUGUAAGAUAGUUUCAUCUACCAUCCUUCUCUCUCUUCUCACAGUAAUCCAAGUUUGAUAGCUAAAUAAUCAACAAUUUCAACACAAUUCACAUAAUGUAAAGCACCAUCAGCAUAAAUUUUGUUUAAUAACAUACUACUUUAGCUCAAGCACGAACGAGGAGAAAACAGACCAUGAGACAAGUGAUGGUAACAGCACCAGCAACUGCAUUAAGUUCGCGUAACAAGAAUUCCCCAAAAACACUCUGCACCUGGUGACAGAGAAUAUGAAACUUGAGACGACAAAUCACGAAAAAAAGUUGCUUCCUAAUUCCAUCACAGUCCUUUUUCUUAGUCUCAUAAUGCUUCCAGAAUGGAAAAGUAAAUGUGAUCUGACAUGAUAUCAUUUCUUGUGAAUGAGAUAAAGUAUUUAAUUACUCUAGAGGCUACUUUUUAGUUUGUUUAAUAUAACAUCUCCCUUUGCUGAAUAGUAUGUCUUACGGCAAUUAUGCUGAUACUUUCAAAUACUCUUGAUUUGCAAGGCUGGAAGCUAGUCCAGUCUUAUGUCACAAAGAUAAUAAGGAAGUUUAGAAUCAAAGACGGUAAUACUGUUCUCCUCAAUUCAAAUGGUUAUUGCACAAUUGAGUUUUGCAGAAAAUUCUCACACCUUAAAAGUGUUAGCUGCUGACUUAACAAGAAUCUCUGGUAUGAAGAAUAGACAAGUCAACCAUGCCCAGGAAAGAAGUUUCCUGGAUCCAAAGAUGAUUAUCAGUCACAGGGGAAAGGUCAAAAGACAAAUGAUAACUUGCAAAACAUUAAAGAAGUAAUACCACUCUAAAUCAUGCCAUAUGGCUACAAACGUGAAGACAACCCAAACAUUUAGCAGCUUUCUUUGAGCACCUCCAAGGGGAAUAUACAUAUACCUUUAAGCAUAAGCCAAGGACUAUAUCAGCCCAGAGAGACAGAGAGAGAGAGAGAGAGAGUACAAUAAAAAAAUAAACAGCAAAGCCAUCUACCUCACAAGCCAUUUGUUGUAGGAAGCAUGCCAAUUUUUCCAAAAAGUCUCAAGAUUGUAACAAUUAUUUAAGCACCUUGGCAUAUUCUCAGGGGCCUCAAUGCCACUGAUCUACAUGGAUAUCAUAGCAAAGUAGAAAACCAUGAGGCCAAGAAUAUAUCAUAAUUGAAAAUGCUAAAAGGUCUAGAUCUAUGUUCUUUAAAUAUCCCCAUACAAGAACAACAUGAGGCAUCAGCUAUGAAGAAACAUAUAUGCAGGCAUAUACGUAUUAGCUUCACAAACCUACCAGUGACCAGAAUCGAAAAUAUCGCCACAGGAGAAAGAAUUUCAGCCACAUGAAGUUAAGGACCUGCUAGUAGAAGUGCAGAUUGUCAGACAUGUUGCAGUUAGAAGAUAAAAGAUCUAAGCUUCUGAAAUAUCACUCAGCAGGAGGAUUAGACAAAUUUUGCAAAGAGGAAAUAUGAAAAACUUUCAGGAAGCAGCACUCUGUUUGGCUUCAAAGUAACAAAUCAAAGACUAAAGCACGCUCUAUAAGUCAUCCAUCAAUGUUAUAAUGGCUAUGCUAACCGUUGACUCUGAUUAGUUUCAGCAUUGUCACAUUGUAACCUAGAAAUCAAAAUCAUAUUGAGGCUUCCACCACUAGGUGAGUAAAGCAACCCACCGAGGGAAUAAUUAAAAAGUACAUAAACCGGACCAUGGAUUCAUUUCCUUCACCAUAUUAUAUAAAUUUAGCUAUCACAAAGAGCAACCAGAAACUACAUAAUCACUGAACCUUCUUUUAUCUCUUGCAUAACACAAUUACAGGAUGACUUAUUUGCCACAUUGCUAUUCCAGCUAGGGAGUAACAUUUGCGAUUCUUGCGCUACUUAAAGAACCUUGGCCCUUUGAAGGAUGACGCCAUAUCUGAGCUGGGCAUGUUAUGGAAAUUGGUAAUUGAAAUGACUGAAAUGUUGAACAAUAAUGCUCUGAUAUUACAAUAGCUCUUAAAGUAUCACCAAUUGUGAUCUUUUAAAACUUGCAUCCACUUAUUGAUGUAAUGGACAAUAUCCUGAUAUGUCAAACAUGUGGUUGAUAAACUUUGAAGAUAAGUUUGAUGUAUGUUUUUUAGGAGUUUACAGUAUAUUUGGAAGCAAAAGUACAAGUUGAUAAUACAAAUUGAUAUUGGUCUUUAUAGACCUUGCUUGGAAAUGAAUAAUAUAAUUAGGUCUGGUUCAAAUCCAAAAAAGCAUAAAAUCAUUCAUCACAGUUACCAUUUAAACAUUUGAAAACUUUGUUACUGAUUUCUUGUUGGCAUCCUUAGCAUUUCAUGUCCAUAGUUUCAAAAACCCCUUAAGCUUGUAUAUGAUUUCCAAUUUAUAUCCAGCAUGCACCCAAAAUACCCAUCAAACUUACUAACCUUUUGUCUUACAAUGAGGUCACUGUUUCUAGGAAAAGAAGUCCACAUAUUCUUUUGUAGUAUGAUAAUAGAACAACAUGGUAUCAGAUAACAAGUAGACAAUUCAUUAAUUCUCACAUCAUCAGAGCCAUAAUUACAAUAGAUAUCAGCACUUACCCCGUAACCAAUGAUAAAGUUGUCCAUAGGAGUUAACUGUUUCCACACACCACUAAGAAGCGAAAUCAAAAAAUUCAAUCAGACAUAUACCAUUGAAUAAAAUUGAAUAACAGAAGUAUCGCCAUCCUUAAUCGUGCAAACCACUAACCUGAUGGCAAAAGCAUUGUAGUAAAAGAAAUGUGUCAUUAGUUCCAUCAGGAAAAGGCUUAGAAUCCACCGGAAUCCAUACCAUACCACUUGUUUAGAUGAGUAAUUCUUUUGAGGAGUAUCCAACUGAAAUAACAAUAUAUCAUGUUAGGAUCCUGCAAAUCAUAAACUUCAUGUUGAUUUAUGAAUCCUCCAAAAGACAUAUUUCAUAUGAUUCGCAAGUUGAGGUACAUUCCAAUUACAAGUAGGGAAUUCCAAUAAAAAUCUGUGAAUGUCAGAUAAGAGUUAAAAAUGGAAUGUGGGCUUUUUUUACUUUCAAAUUAAUUUCUAGGAGUCUAGCCAUUACAGACUACUCAUUUCACAAUCUGCACUUGAAUGAUAUAUUGCCAUGACAGCAAAAGACAAUAACUAAUUAAGUUAGAAUGAGAUAAUGCAAUAUAUAGCAUGUUAAGGAGGAAUAGUAAUUAUAAUCCACCAAAAAUAAAUGCUUGCAACAAGCUAAGAGAAAUAGAAAAUUUAAAUGAAAACCACAUUAAAAUCACCAACCUGUGAAGCAAAUGCAUUAAAGCUAAUAAUUGGUCCAGCAAUAUAAAGAGGUGCAUACACCAGAUAACACAAGUACACAGCAAAAGAGAAUUUGUCAUUCUGUACACUUCUCUCCUGACAAAGAUGGAAAGAAAUUCAAAACAAUAUUCAUUUUUUAAAAAAUUUUGACCACAGCUGUAUCACAGAUGAGUGUAUAACAACUCAAGCAAAACAGUAGAAGACCUGUAAUGACAUAUAGCAUAUCUUUCCGGAUAUACAAGUACUGCAACGUUGGAUGUGCUUCUGUCAUGACCAGCAAAUCAAAAAUUAAAAAGGAACUCUUUUGAACCUUGACAACAGAUCUAACUAAAUGAGAACCUAAUACAAGAGGCAUUAUCACUUCAAUAUAGGUGAAAGACUUGACAAACUUUACUCGACUUUAGAUGUAAAGUUACAUAAAUGUUACCCCCACCCACUGCAUUGGAGAGGCGCCUGGGUAGUGGGCCUCCUAAAAACUACAAAAUGCCAAUCGCUACAUAGACAAUCUAGGCAAUGAAAUAGAGAAACAUCAUAUAUCCGUAACUCCAAAACAUGCACCUCUUGAUCAAAUCGAUUAUUUUGGUCCAUCCAGUGGUAGUCAUAACCAUAGCUUAUCAUGCGCAAUACAACUGGCAAGAGAAUGAACAAAGAAAUGUUAAAAAUUAAACUAAAGAAAGGAAUCAAUUUUCCAUUUACAAAUUUGUGGAAGCCAUAACUUGAAAGAAUUAAAAAUGUACAAUUUACAGCAAUCAUGAAAUAAACAUUUUCCUCUCUAGAAUCUAUCUCAAACUAAAAACUCUAUCAUUGAAAAAAAAAAAAAAAAACUCUUAGGCCCUUCAAAAUUUCAGAUAGCAGCUUGAAUAAAAGAAUGUAUUUGCAUGCAGACCCCCUCCCUGAAAAAAUCACUCUUCAGUCUUCAUAAAACACAUAAUUAGUUGUGUGCUUCUAUGAGAUUAAUGGUAGAAAAAUGCAUCACCAAGAAGACAGUGCUUAAACUGUGAUAGCAUUCUUAUCUUUACUAAAUGUUAUAAUAAGGACAAGAAGAUAAUCGAGUAGUCAAUAGAGCAGCCAAAAAACUAGAGUAUGGCUAUUUACGAAUUCAAUUGCUCAAUCUGUUGUCUACCUUUGAGGUUCAAUUUCAAAAUUAUUGACCUUAAAGAAGCAUCACAAACCUACUUUUUGAAGCUAAGAUAAUUGAGUUCUUCCUCCAAUGAUAGGUCAGUAAAACAUGUCAAAAGAGUGUGCCCAAAUUGAGCAUUGAUACCAACCAAUCCAGUCUGGUUUCAAUACAUUAAACUGAUAUAUGCAGGAUCAUGUUUCCUUGACACAUUAAUCAUUACUUGAUUUUGCUAACAAGGUAGAAAAAAAUAAGAAGAAAAUACUAGUAAUUGGUUUCCAGUUUCAAAUAGAAAAGGGAAAGCACAUACCAAAGUUAAAGCAGAUAUGCCAUCUAAAGGUACCACGAAAGUUGUCCAGGAAAGCCCAAUGUUGCCUAUUCAUGAGAACCACCGCCGUAAGACAGUUCAGUAGCUAAAUAUACCUUCACUGGAUUAAAAUGACUAUUUUAAAUCCUAUGGAACUUGAAAGUGAACAAUGCUACUCACCCAAAACUGGAGAAUUGAUAUCCUCCAUAUACACGAUUACAGACCAGAAAUGAUAAAUUGAAAGUCCAAAGCAAGUACGAGAAAUAUUUUGUCCUGCCAAAUAUCUGCAAAAGUGAAUAUCUGGUAAACAAGAACUGUAUCAGAAGACUCAUGUUAAGCUCAAUGCCUUUUUGAAGAGUGCACCAUCAAAGCAUGAAUACCAAUUAUGAAAAACUCUGUAUGUUAUAUCAUAAUAUGAAUAGUAAACAACAUCAACUAAAAUGAAAAUACUCUUUCAAAAGAAAGUAAGACAUUUUCGUGUGUUCCUUCAUAAAAGAAUUAUUGACAUAGAGAGCUAAAGUGAAGAAGUAAACAUCAUUUAUGCAAAAGUGACUUCCUACGUUCCUAAGAAAGAGAAUUAAAAGUGCAAACAUUUGAGUUACUUUAACUAGCAGAAAAUUCAAAAUUUCUACAGAAAAUAAAAUCCAUAAUGCAAUGUUUUAAAUCCCAGCAAAAUAAAGCACUGGUUCAAAAAUAAAUAUUUGAAAUGGCAUAGCUCCAGCAAUACAUAAUUAUCAUUAAAACUAAAAAUUAUGAGGAUGCACUAUCUUGGGAACUGUAAUUGCUGAAUAACGGAAACACAAAAACUGUAUACACCUUCAUAUGAAGAAGUUCAAUGGAAUACAACAUUUGACGACAUACCUUGACAAGCAAAAAAUUGGCUGAAGCAAUGGUGAGAAUAAAUAUGAUGCUACAUGGCAAAAGAAAUUCAAAAUGUCAGAAAGGAGAACCAAUAUUUCCACAGCAUGUAGCAUAGGUAUCAAUAUUGCCAUAAAUAAGGAACAUACCAAGCUCCGUGUAGAUAUGACAAGUAUGCCAAAGAAAUUAGGAGCCAAACAUAUGCCAUGCCUUUCGCCCUUAAACAACAGUAGGUUCUCAAUACAUUAGCUACAAGUGUAAAAAUUCCAAAAACUACAGUAAGAAUUUGUAGAUUCCCUCGAAAGUUCCUCCACUGGGCAUCAGAGGCAUCCUGAAGAGGAAAAAGAGCAAAGGUGAAGCCUACACCAGGCAAAGAAACUUUUAAUUUAACUGUUGAAGUGUAUUAACAGGGAGGCAAUGGAAUAAGCACAGAAAUAAAACAUAUGAAAUAGAUUUCUAGAAAAUUUUCCUACCUGCAGAAGAAUAAUGAUUUACUGACAACAACUUCAAAAGUCAAAUUAUGAUAACUUGAACUCUACAUUGCAACCUUACAACUCCUCAUUCACCAAACUUGAAUCAUCUAGGUCAUCAUCCAAGUCCAUUUCACUUUCAAGCUCUAAUUUAAGCUCAACAGGGGAAAAAAAGUGAGAUUGAUAUUUUGUCACAACUCAACACCAAAACCUCAGGACUCGAGCAUGACUUAGAUAAUUUAAAUAUAAGUCCUUGAGAACAACAUUUGUUUACACAAUUAAUUCAAUUACUCAACGCUCAAUACUAAAAUUUGAGUUCAAGCUUUGCUUAGGGCCCCAACAAAACAUUCAAAGAGAUCGUUUUCAUGCUGCAGCACAAACAAACGCAUAUAAUAAUCAGCCAGAGCUAGAAACCAUGCUUAAUGAGAUCAAAAUAGUCAAGAUAAGCUUAAUGCUUGGAUCAGCUCAGUACUAAGCGAACAACACAGACAUAUUUAAACAAAAAGAAACAAAAAAGGAAAACCUAGCUGAUCAUAGUUCAUGCAAAAUGCUUUUGAAUGCCACCACAGAAAACUCAAAAAGCACAAAAAUAGUAAGCUGUUGCGCUACAAAAGGUUUACUCCAACCCACAAAAAUCAAAAACUAAAAAUUGCAUACAUUUAGGCGAUUAGCGAUCCAGCCAGGACGUAAACCAUAAAGCUUGGUAUAGUAAUCUGCAAUUACAAAUCAACCAUAUCAGUAAAAGAAAAAUGUGUAAAUAGCGCAGGCGAUGAAUUAAUGUAAUUUUGCAAAUAAGCUCGACAUAAAUAGAGAAAUGGGGGAGGGCGGAGAGUACAGCACCAUGGGAGAGUUGGAGAGAGCGACGGAUGACAAAAGCGUAGAAGGCAACGGCAUAAACAAUCAGAAAUGCAAGCUCUCUUCGCCGCCAAUUGCUCUCCGUCAUCGUAUUUUUAUUGGAUCGGAAUUAAUUCCAGCGCCGGAAAAAUUCUAAGAUCCCCUCGGAAGAAUCUCAAACGCCGGAGAUUGUUUUUUGUUCAAGCUGUUUUCAAACGUCAAAACUCUGCAAAUUGCUGCAACGACGACGUUCUUAGUUCUUUACAAUGUUCAAAGUUCAGGUGUUGGAAUAAGUGUGGGAUAAUUUCAUAAACCUCCCUUGAGGUUUAGCAUAAUAUAACUCGUCUCCUUUGAGGUUUUCAAAAUCUCAUUUACCUCCCUUAAGUUAACAUAUCUUAUAACAUUUUAGUAACUUAUUUGGAGGAAAUGCAAGAAAGAUAAAACUUUUAUAUUAUCCAUGUAUUUUGUUGUCUCACCAUAAUCUCGACAUCGGAAAAUAUGGAUCAUUAUUAGAUAUUAAUUUAUUUUUUUAAUCUACAUAUUUUAGUUUCAAUUUUUAUUUUAUUUUAUCUUUUUGGUUAAAUAGUUAUUGACAGCAAGGGUAAUGUUAUUAAUUUGUUAUAUUUGAUAGGAAUAUUUAGUCUUGUCAAGUUGAUAAGAAUAAUAAGUAAAAUUUUAAAAAUUUUAGAAAUGCUGAAUGAUAUAUUGUAGAAAUCAAAGGGAAGGUUUCUGAAAUUAUCCUAAGGGCAGCUCCAAUGGGGGUGUAAUGGCACCCCUCCAUGACACGGCUCCAAUGGGGAGCCGUGUCAUGGAUAUUACACGCAUCACACAGGUGAUGCGUGUAAUCCAUUGAAUUUUCUUCCAAUGGCAACGGUAAAAUUUCAGCGAGGAUUUCCAACGGCAACAUUAUUUCCUAUGGCAACGGUAACAUUUCCAACGGCACUAUUUUUUUAGAAUUCUAUAUAAACACACAACACUUUUUACUAAAAUAUAUCCCAAUAUUCUACUCUAUUAUUUCUUUUAUUCUCUCACACACUUCUACUCUCUCACUCAUUUAAUUCAUUUUUUGUGAUUAUGGAUGAAAAUUGGAGUAGUUUUACAAAUAUGUUAAAUGCUCCAAAUAUAGAAAAUUCAUCAUUCUCACAAAAUCAAAACCCCCAAAAUUUUCCAAAUUACCCAUUUUCUGGUAUUCCUACAAAUGUGCAAAAUUAUGCAUUUCCCCCAAAUUUAUCCACUUCCAAUCAUCCAUCAAAUUUUCAAAAUCUGCCAAAUUUUUCAAUAUUACCUUCAAAGGAAUGCGGAAUUACGUGAUCGAGAAGUACAUCAUCAACUUCGAUCAGACUUGGUCGAGCAUAUUUGGGAACGAUUCGAAGGCAAUGACAAUGAAAACUAGUAUUCAUUUUGUUAUUAUUUGUAUUUUAUUUGAUUUAACUUAUGUAAUAUUAUGUUAUGGAGUUCAACUAAUUACAUUCCGAAUUAUUAAUUAAGUAUGGAUUAUUAUGAUAUCUUCGCAUUUGAAGUAUCAAAUAUUUGUUUAAUUUCCUACAUAAUUAUUUUUAAAAAAAUAACAAUAUAUUAUUUUUGAAACAUAGAAAAAGAUAUAUUAUUCAAACUUAAAAAUUAAUAAUAUCAUUUUUAGAAAAUAAAAAAAUUCAAAAUGUACAAAAUUUAACGAAAGUUAGUACUUUAUUUUUUAAAAAUAACAAAAUUAGUUUUAAAAAUUACUUUAUUUAUUUAUGGGAUAUGAGUUAUGCAUUAUUAAAAUAAAUAUUUGAUUAAUUGUGGACCCAUGCUAUUACACCUUGUGGAGUGUAAUCCAUUGUGAGUGAAAGUGUAAUAAAAGAGGAGAAAGUGGAAUGCUGACGUGGCAUGUGGAUUACACUCCACAAAGAGUUUGUUUGGAUAGAGAGAAUUUGGAUGAUUUAUUUGAGAUAUUUACUGUAGCACUUUUUGUGAUGUGAUGUGUGUGAGAUAAAAAGGUGGUUGGGAAGAUAAAAAGGUGAUUGGGAUUUGUGAGACAAAUUUUUUUUUUCCAAAUUCUCUCUAUCCAAACAAACUCAAAGUGUAAUAGCAUUGUGGAUGCUCUAAUAAGUACUUAUUUAAGUCCAAAUAUAUACGAUGUCGUUUUCUCCUUUAAAUAUUAAAUUAAUAUUUAAUAACGAAUUAGGAGAUUUGGCGCGUAGAAGUUGGCUUUCAAAGUAAGCUACCGGGUAGCGUUGUCCAAACCGCUUAGCCUGAAUUUAAAGCUAACCUAUACUGCAGAACUCUUCACCAUCUAUAUAUAGGGAAGAGAAGAAGAAUCCGGUGGAAGGGACCCAUUUCAUCACCAGAUUCUUGUCAACGUCUCUACCCUUUUUCCUACAACACAAAAGAAGAAAUGAAUAUCCCACCAGUUUCUUGAAUCCCUCAAGUAUCUCUCUCUCUCUCUUUUUUAUCACGUUGUUUGAUCAACUUUCUUGUCAAGAGCCUUUUCAUACGAGAAUCAAACAAGAUGUUCAAUUCUUCUCCAACAACAUAUUGUAAGUUCUCUCUCCCUCUUUUUAAAUUCUUGUUGUGUUUCUGUUCUUCUAUCGUGUAAUUGUAAGUUAAAAAGGGAUGUAUAAAUUUUUUUGUACUUUCUUGCAUUCGGCGUUGUUUACCCAAGAAUCUGCCAAGUAUCUUCUUCUUUUUUUACUUGUUCUGAUUCCGUCUUCGUUGUUCUUCAAUGCCUUUACAACAAAGACUAAUUACUUGGUGGUUUUUCGUUUCCUUUUCUUUUCUUUUUUUUUUCUCUUGAAUGAAUUCCGGAGGAUUGAAAAAUCCCUGCUUUACUUACUUCACUCCUAUCUUGACUAAUUACUUGGUUUGUUUUUCUCUAAUCAACAGCAUUCGGAUUCGGCCAAUCGGCAAGUGCUGCCAGCCCUUUUGGGUGUCAAUCAGGUUUUGGGGCAAACACGGACUUAAGCAAUUCGAACCCUUUUGCGCCAAGUGGUGCAACUCCUUUCGCUGCAUCAACAGGGGCAACCAUGUUUGCUGGAAAUUCGACGACAGGGGCAGGUGCAUUCAGCCAGCCUGCUAUUAGCAGCACCCCAUUUGGGUCUGCUUCAGUAUUUGGGCAAACCACAGGAUCAUAUGCUACUGCAACUGCUUGUGUUAGCGCAUCAACAGGGCUAGCUACGCCGUCCGCAAAUUCAGCAGGUAUUUUUAGUUUUAAUUGCAGCAGGAAAGAAAAGAAAAUAAAAAUCUGCUUUGUUUUUACAUCUUAUUAUUCUUGCUAAUGCGAUUUCUGUUCCUUUAGUUUAUCGCUUAAAGAAAGAUUAAUUAUUUGUUUUGUGUGUUUCUGUUCCUCUGAAGAACAGGAUUCGGCCAGUGGACCAACAGCAGCACUUAUGGGUCUCAAUCAGUAUUUAGGCAGGGUAGCAACUCAAGCAACAAUAACUUUUUUGGCACUGCUGCAACCCCUUUUGCUACAUCAACAGGGGGAAGCAUGUUUUCUGGGAAUUCAACCGGUGCAUUUGGAGCAUCAUCCUUUGCUUUUGGAAGUUCAGCAUCAUCCACAACUGCUCCUUUCUCAACCACCUUUGAAACUUCAGCCUUGCCUUCUACAGGUCAGUAUUUUUGUAAGAAUACAUGUUCUAUUACUGAAUUUUCAUUGUUAAUUGAAUAUGAACUAGUGGACUGUUUUAUGUUUGAAUGGUCACUGUUAAUUAUACUACGGACUUACAUGCUCUGGCAAAUAAUCCUUCAAUUCAUAUGCUAUUUUGGUUGAUGGAUUUAGUCUUCCAAUCAUUCCCCCCUUAAAUAUCAAAAUUGCCUCAGCUGUACAAAAAAUUUGCACUUGGAAUUUGUAUUGUUGUAUGCUUUCUUUUCUGUUUUUCAUUGUCUUAAAAAAGUAACUACCCGUUCUUCUAGCUUAAUGCUGCUGAUUAUGACUUUUGCUUUGCAUGUUUACUUAUUCAAUGAAAAAUGAAGUAAAAAUAUCUCUAAUUGGAUUUUGCUAAUGACAGUUUUUAGCCAGGCGCCUAGCAGUGCACCUGUAGUAUCUCAAUCAGCAUUUGGGGAAGUCAACAAGUUUGACGUUAACAAUUCUUUUUCCUCCAAACCAGUCACAGCAACUCCUUUUGGUAGCAUCAGUGGAGGAGCAAUAUUUGGUGGAAAUUCAACAUCCAAAUCACCAUUUGGAGUAACUUCAUCGCCUUCAACAUCCAAAUCACCAUUUGGUGAACCAUUACCAUUUUCUUUUGGAAUCUUGUCAACUACAACACGUACCGUUCCAUCUGAGGCUCUGGAAUAUCUUCCCAGCAUUUGAAAUAUUUUUGUGUUUAUAUCCAAAAAUGAACAUGAAUUCAAAGUUCUGUCAGCCCACAUUGAUUUCUGGUUCAGAGGGUCAUACCUUCUAGAUAGAGUUACAUGAUGUAUUUCAUCCACACUCCAGAGUUAAUAUAAUGUAUUUUAAGAAUUUGUUGAUAGGUCCAGCAAAUGGCAAGAGUCCCUGAACUUUUCAAAAUUCGGUUUUUCACUCUUUAGGUAUUUUGAAACUUUAACUAGAAAAGUUACAAAAGCAAAACUAUUUUAUGAUAUUGUAAGGCACAAGGAUCUCAAUUUGUCAUAUUGAAACUUCAAAACUGUUUUAUUUCUCUCAUCCAUUUUAACUCGAGUGAACUGUUCUCAGGCAGCUGGGAGAGAAAACAAACUACAAUCGACAAAAGAGAGUUACUUUUUUUUUUUGGUCAGCAACGAUACAUUUGUAUAAUCUACUCUAUCCUAAUCUAGGGGGGAGGGGGAACCUAAGGAGGCUGUUGUAGGGGCUAGUGGAUAUACAGAUCCAACUAGACCAAGGGAGUGCUAUGGCACAACCCUUAGAUUUUUUUUGCUGCAGGUGAGAUUCGAACCCUCACCUACAGCCCAAGGAGGGACCAGUGGUACGACAAAAGAAAGUUACUUCCCUAGCAUAAAGCCAAAAGGUAGAAGAAGAACUUUGUCCUGCCAUAGAAAACAAGAUCCACUUGGCAAAAGAAUGUUUCUUCCAUCACGUAAAGCCAAAGAGUGGAAUAAGUGUUCCAAUAUAUACAUUUGUUUGCUGCCAAUUGGCCCAGAUAGCUUUUAAAAUUUCGUUUCGACUCACACAGUUUUCAAAUGAAAUGAUUUUUCCAUGGGGGAAAGUUAGGUUUCUUAUUCAGCUGACCUUGGCAUAAAUGAUGCAAAACUUUAGCUUCAUGUUUAGGAUUAUUUGAUUCUUGUCUUUUUGUUUUUUUAAUUGGAGCUUCUAGCUUAAUGUACUUAAAAUGAAAGUAUGUGUCACACUAAUCAUCAAACUCGUUCUCUUUUCAUUGUUUGUUAACUAUUUGUUGAUUGCUUGCCAUUUUCAGGAGCACCUAUCUUCAACAACACUGGAAGUUUGAUUCAACCUUCUCAAUCUAAAUCAACUAACCAUGCCUUUUAUUCAUCAAGUCAAUCUGUUUUUGGGAGCAGCGGUGUGCUGGCAUCUGGCACAAGUACUUCGGUUUAUUCUGGCUUUCAACAUGGUGGCUCUUGCUCAAGGCCACCAUUUAGCUCUACUGGCCUUGCUUUUAGUUCAAAUGGUGCACCUAACAACUUUAACUCUGUAUCUCGGGGCGCAAUUGGAUCUUCCACCACUCCCAUAACUGGAGCCCCUAGCAACUUUAACACUGUAGCUUCAAACAACCCUGAACUGCAGAAUUCAAGGUUCACAUUUUGCCAGCCAAAUUCGCAAUUUAGUGAGCCAAAUUUACAAUUUGGUAGUAACAAUGGACCUACUGCUUGGGAAACAAAAAAGUUCUAUUCAGGUUAGUUCUAUUUCUGUUUUUCCUAUUAGUUAAAAAUUAAAACAUAAAAUAACAACUUUCAGUAAGAUAUAGCACAGAUACUUCAACACAUUGGAUAUGAUCCAUUCUAGAAUAAAUAAUAAGUUUCAGCUUUAACUUUUUCUACCAUGCAGCAUAUCAACCGGCAAGUACAAGCAUGAAAUCUGGACAAUCAGUUAUGGAUUGCCAACGUUAUGGUAGUAAAAUAGCAUCUUCUGUUGCAACUAAGGAAGUGGAUAUAGGUAGUACUGAACCUGCUGGAAAAUUGUUCUCCAUCUCUGCCAUGCCCUUUUACAAAGACAAGAGCCAUGAAGAGCUGAGGUUCGAGGACUCUAAUCAAUUGUUAAGGAGUAAAGGUAAGUAUAAGGUUAUAUAGUUGUUUUUGUCUGAUGAUCUCUACUUUUGUUCCCGAUAAAGACUUUAUGAACAUUCCUGCAGCUGCAUUUGUUCCACAACAUCUAUUACAACAUGUUUAGCAUCAGCUUUGCCUGCCUCUAAUUCUGUUACAUCUUCAGAUGCAGCUUCUGGAUUCAUCUUUCAGUCUAAUCAACCCUCAGCUGGCAAGACAAACGCUUUUUUAGGGCCUACUGCUGUCACUCCGCAUAGUCAACUAAAAACAUCAAGUGCAAUAUCAAUUGGAUCAGGACCUUGGACAGGCAAUUCAACUGGUUUUUCUUAUAUUGGUGACCAAUGUCGUGGAAGUAAAAUAGCAUCUUAUGUUGCAACUAGGGAAGUGGAUAUAGAUAGUAAAGAACCUCCUGGAAAAUUGUUUUCCAUCUCUGCCAUGCCCAUUUACAAAGUCAAGAGCCAUGAAGAGCUGAGGUUCAAGGACUCUCAUCAAUUCAUAGGGAGUAAAGGUAAGUAUAAGUUCGUACAGUUGUUGCAUUGGUCUGAUGAUCUCUACUUUUGUUCCCAAUAAAGACAUUAUCAUCUGUCCUACAGAUGGACUGCUUUCUCAGCAUCUAUUACAACAUCUUUAGCAUCAGCUUUGCCUGCCGCUAAUUUUUUUUACAUCUUCAGAUGCAGCUUCUGGAUUCAUCUUUCAGUCUAAUCAACCCUCAGCUGGCAAGACAAAUGCUUUUUCUGGACCUACUGUUGUCAGUCUCGAUAGUCAACCAGAAUCAUUAAGUGCAAUAUCAACUGGGACAGGACUUUUGACGAGCAAUUCAAGUGAUUUCAUUUGGCCAAAUGUAAAUUACUAUCAACUGGCUUGAAAAUAUCCCAUGUGUUCCUAUUUUCAUUUUAUUUUCCCAAAAAUCGUACCCAUAGUUUUCUCUUUGUUUAUGGUUGGUGAUUUUGUUCUACUGCUACUCUGUGAGUGGUUAGCACAAGUCUGACUUGAGUUGGUUCUGCUCUUAGGAGUUCAAGAGAUGCCUUGCCCUGAUAUGGAUUUAGAGGUCCAAGAUUUGUCUCAUUUGUCCUUAUUGGAAUAUCUGGAAAGAAAGAAAAGUAAUAGUUUGUUAAGAUGUUGAAUUUUGAGUGAUUAAGUUCAAGAGCUUCGGAUAAGUUACAAAAUGUGAAUAAGAAAAAAUUAACUCGUUUACUUGGUCUUUGGAUACCCAUCAAUUUAUCUUUGUUGCUGUUGCUUUAUAUGUCACUAAAGUUUAGUUUGAAAUGCUAAUUAAGCCUCUUUUUCAUAAUGAUAUACUGAAAGUGGAAAAGAGAUACAAGGGAGAACAGACGUAAACUAUGUAUUUUUCAUCAAGUUUGUGCUCCUAACUAUGUGCUAUGUUUGCAGCAUGAACCAAUUACAACUCCACAGAUAACUCAAAUUGUUGUAGCAACAGAUGGCGCUUCCACUAGCAUCUCACAACAGUCAAUUUCCAGUAAGAGCAAUGUUACAUCUAAAAUAAAUUGUUCUCUGUCAUCAGAGACAAAUUUUCCUUUGUUCCAUGUGACUGAUAAUUACUCUUUUCUGUGCUACUCAAUAAGCUAUGGAUGCAGGAACUUGUCGUCAGAGUGGUGGCAUGCAGCAGUACGUAUUACUGAACUAUUUUCAUGCUUCUAUUAGAUCGUUUUCCACAAUAGUCUGCUAAAACUCCAGCAAGUUCAGUAAGUUGAUCACUUAUUACUUUGCUUGUGAUUUUUCUCGUCAAAACAAGAAAACAGAGAACCAUUUCUUUUGUUCACCAAAGCAUUUUAUGUUAAGAUAAUCAUCACAGGAACCAUUCUGGUUUAAUUUGUUCUAUGUUUUCUUUCAACUGGCACACUGGACUUAAUAAACUGAUAAGCACACUUUGGAGAGCAAUAAAGUAUUUAAUCUCAGUUAGACUUAAUUAUGAACUAAUAAAUUUUUUUUAAAGUCACUUGCAGCCAUUCUUUUAUCCAUUGAUUUCCUAUCCUUUAACUUGUUCUUAGAAAUAGUGAAUGCUGAUAUUAUACUUCCACUCACGUGCAUUAAAUAUUGAUUUUCCACUGUAUAAAUCGGCUGACGUAUACGGUAUGAUUUCAGGUCUGAGUCUCAGAGCACCAUCGCUCUAGACCCAUCUGUUGUUGCAAGUCCUUUUGGAAUGGAGUCUAGAAUACAGAUGUCAAUGGGUGGUAGAGCAGCUACCACAACUGUUCAAUAUGGAAUUUCUUGCAUACCGGUUAGUCUUAUUUCUGACACCAGUAUGUGUACCUAACAGGGAAAAUUAAUCUUCAAAACUGCCCAUGAAUCUAAUUAUUUCACAUAUUUCUUCUCCUACAAGCUUAUAGAAAUAUGAUAAAAAAGAAGUCAAUCUGGAAGGACGUUUAUUUUGCUUCAUGUAACUUCUUUUUCUUUGUGCAAUACAGGUAUCUGACAAACCUGCUCCAGUGAAAAGAAAUUCAUUGUUGACCACUAGAUGUUUGUCUCUAAGCCAAAACUGGCCAUCAGUUGAGAAGUACCGGCCUAAAAAUGACAGCCAGAAGGUGAGAUUCAUGAUACUGGACGAGCGUGUACAAAUCAAUAUGGGCAAGCUAGACAAUUACAUGGUAAAGAUUAGAAUACAUAUUAGAGCUCUUUAAAUUCUAAAUUUUGCUCUAUGCAUCACAGGUUCCAUUUUAUGAAGAAAAAGUACCUGGGAUAUACAAAGUUGGCGCUUCCUUUAUUCCAAGGGAAAAUGCAAGAUCUUGGGUUCUAAACUCCAUGGUGGAGCGGCCUCUAAAAACAAAUUCACGGAAUUCCUCUUUACUGGAGGAGUCCGUAUCUGCAUCUGAGAGUGGUAUGCAUAAAAUUUUCAUUUUGUUCAUUUGAAAUGUGGUACAUCAUACUAAUUUGCAUAUCUGGGCUGGAAAAGAAGCUGUUAAAUUAUGGCCAUCAUGUUUGAUUAAUUAAAAAUUAGUAACUAGUGAUUUCUUCCCUUUGUUCUUUGGUUAGAGGAGAACCGUAUGCCUCUCUUGUUGUUUGGGAAGGAUGAAUAUACCGGUCCUGCAUGCAUCUACUUAGGUUUGAUGUAUAUUCCACUUCUUAACUUCCUACUUUUUGAUUAUGUAGGAAAUUUUGAGGCUGAUGUUGAAGCAAUACUGCCAAAACUCCAAUGCCCAGAUUAUUAUAUAAAGCCUCCGGUCGAGGAGCUAGCUGCAAAAGAAAGGGCUGAACCAGGAUUCUGUCGCCGCGUGAAGGAAUUUGUGGUUGGAAGAGAGGGUUAUGGAAGCAUCAGGUUUUUAGGGGAAACAGAUGUGAGAAAUCUUGACGUUGAAUCUGUUAUCCAGCUUAACCAUCGAGAGGUGAUUGUAUACAGGGACACGACCAAGAAACCUCAAGUUGGACAAGGCCUCAACAAGCCUGCAGAGGUAUCUCUUCUCAAUGUCAAAUGCAUCAACAAACGUACUGGGAAGCAAUACGUGGAAGGAACAAGGGUUGAUAAGUGGACAGAUAUGCUGAAAACGAAGGCAGAAGAGCAAGGUGCUGAGUUUCUAUCUUAUAAUCCAGUAACUGGUGAGUGGAAAUUCAGGGUCCAACACUUCUAAGGUCAAAAGAUGGUGACCAGCAGCUGAUCACAAAACGGGGAGUCAGAGACGAGUCAGAGACGUUUGAGCCCAUAGUAUAGGACGUAAUGCCUUGAAUAGCUUGGCAUUUACCAUUUUCUGUAAAUCCUUUUCUGUUUUUCCCAUCUUUGGUAACAUGAUAUCUGCUGAUAUAUUAUUGCUGGUCUUCAAUUCGUUAUAACUUGACUGAUGAGUUUGUUCUUCGUCGAAGCUUAGCACCAGACUGGUUUGUAGUUUUUAUGGGCUGCGGAUAUUGUAAAAAACAGUUGGGUGCCAAUCAAAAUUUCACUUACAAUUUGUAUAACACCUCAUGAAUGGAGAAGAAAAUAAAUAUCUAAAUGCUCAUUUUAAUCACCUGAUCCCAACAUCUGCUGACUCAUUUAAUCUCACAACUUAAAAUGGGCUAGGAGAUUCUUCUUCCUGAAAAUAUGAAUGUUUUUAUCUUUGAGAGAACACAUUCGUACCUUGCUUUUGAAUAGAGACCAUGUAUUGGGUAGGAAGUCCUAAUUAAGUCGUGGCUUUUUGCAAUCAAUGUACCAUUUGGUUUGCAGCCAAUGAUUCGUUUGCAGUCAAUAAAACGCAUAUAUAAAACUAUACGAAUAUUCUUAUAAUAUAUAAGAUUGAGUUUUGGUCAAAGAGUAGGUUGGAUUUCAACCGCAUAGGUAGGGGCUUUCUGAAAAUGUAAAAUAUUGUGUAUUAGUUUAAAAACUUUAGGUACAAGUUAAGAAAGCAUGUAUUUGGGUAUGUUUACUGAAAUGACCCAAUUUUAAUACAUUUAAAGUUGUCAUUGAUGAGUCAUCUGGGUAUUGAUGGAAUGUGUAAUUAGUGUGCAACCGUUUUUGCAUUAUGUACAACCCAUAUAUGCUUGUGUGUUGGUGUAAUUACCGGAAUAUUCCUUAACUACCAAUAAUUCCGCUUUUCAACCGCAAAUAACCAUUUGAGAUGUUGCUUUGUCUAAAACAUUUGAAUGGCAAUCGGAUUUAGGAAAUGAACCAAUGAUUUCUCUAUCAAUGGCAAAAACUCAUUUCUCUAUCAUUUAUAAUCUGCAUUUAUGAGUCACAAACGUUGGUCAUUUUAUCCCCUUUCAGUUUCAAGAGUUAAGUUUUUCCUUUUUGCCUUUGUCUACAACGAUUUGCCUCAUCGUUUUCUCUUCCAUCCAAGCUCAACUCUGAAAUUACCUAUUAUUUCGUCAUUAAUUACAUCCAAUUCAAUUGCCGAACCGUUGGUAUCUUAAUGUCUAAACGGUUGAUUAUCAGUUUCUCCCUGUUCGCAUUUUAGGAUUGAGAUAAUUCUAUCUGGCUUCAUACUAAUCAGCUCAUAAUGCUCUUCAGUCCCAACUACUCUUGGUGGUUCAACGUGAGGUUAGAUUUCACCGCCCCCAAUUUUUCAGUUUCUCCCUUAAUUUUAUCGGUGUGUUUUUAGUACCUACAAUUAGCGACUCUUAUCGCGUUGCCUAACCGCAAGAUAGCAUUUUUCGCGUAAUCUAACCCCAAUUGGUUUGGGUUGGUUAUAAUCUUAUAGGUUUGGAGCAACAACAAGAAAGAGUUCUCGGUGGGGAUUCUGGAAUAAGGUUAGCUUUCUGUGUUAUCAACGACCUUCAAUUUGACACAGUUUUAUUGUAAUGCUGUGUGAAUUGAUUGAUUAUAUCGUUUAUCUUUUCAUAUUCAGUUUUAUUUAUUCUCACAAUGUACUAUCAUUUGUUCAACAAAAAAACCUCCUUCCCCACAGGUACCAAACACCCGCGCGAUGCCCGGGCACUCCUCCCUCGUAUAUAUAUAUAUAUAUAAAAAAUUACAUCUAUUCUACUUCUAGAUUAUAAUCUAUAAACGUAGUCCAUUUGAACUAUGUAAAAGGUCUGAAUAUUAGACCUUCCAAGCCAAAUAAGCGCAUUAUUGGAUCCGUGAUCUUUUUUUUUUCAGAGAAGCCAAGCAUUUAAUUGCUCGUCUAGUAUUUAUAUAAAACUGACUCGUUUGAAGCUUAAAGGAUGGUGUAUAUUAUUUCUUGUGAAUGUGUGUGUGGCGCGUUGUAGCUGGUUAGGUAGGUACUUUUUCUUCUCAUCGUCAAAGAAUAAUGCUUAAUGAAGUCGGGAUGAUAAUAUGAUGGGGAUGAAGCACGACUUCCAAGGAUUGUAAAAGAGCACUAAGCAGCGCAUGGCACGCGUCAGAAUCAUACCAUCAUGUAUAAUUAUAGACGGCAAACCGUCAAGACAAGUGGGAUUAAGAGAAAUUCGCCUCACAUUGGUCACUCACAUAUUUUUUUUUCAAUUCAAUAUUGUUGUUCUGUUUCUUGUGAAUGUUGAACGUUAGCCCAUCAGCCCGUGGUAUAUUAUUACGGAGUAUUUGCCUAACACAGUAACACCCAUCAGGUAGCAUCUUCGUAGUUGCCUAACCAUUUUCUGUAAAUCCUGUUCUAUUUUUGUAACAUAAAUGGCAUGAUAUCUGCUUAUAUAUUGUUGGUCUUCAAUUCGUUAUAACUUGAUUGAUGAGUUUGUUCUUCGUCGAAGCUAAAGCACCAGACUGGUUUGUAGUUUUCAUGGGUUGCGGACAUUGUAAAAACAGUUGGUUGCCAAUCAAAAUUUCACUUACAAUUUGUAUAACACCUAAUGAAUGGAGAAGAAAAUAAAUAUCUAAAUGCUCAUUUUGAUUUUGAAAGAUUAACUGGCAAGCAAUACUGGGAUUCGAGUAAAAUGGUUCAACAAUUAAAAGAAGUAAUAACUAAGGAAUUCAAGUUGCUAAUUUUUUUGGGUAGGGUUCAGUUGAGUUGGGUGGUAAGGUUUAAAAGUAAAACUCUUGAGUUAAGUCCUUCUCACUUACCAUAUAUAUGUAUAUCUUACAUAUAUAAAGCGAGAAUCCGCUUGUGAACAGUGAAAAAUGGGCCGGUUAUGCCGUUAUUUGUGUGAGCUUGAGGGGCGUUUUGGUCUUUUGCUGAUGGGUGGCAGUGGCUCUGCUGGUAUUUUGCUUUUGUCCGCUGGCUCUCUUGCAUUGUAACCUUGCUCUGUCCGCGUGGCUCUUCAUUUUGGUAGUCAGCAAUGCUCUGUCCGCGUGGCUCUUCAUUUUGGUAGUCAGCAAUUACUAUUAAGUUAGUGGGCGGUUGGGCGGCAAAAGCUUUCUAGAGUCUUCAUUCUUUGCUUUAUGUAUAUUUCACCUCACACGCAUGUUUGGUUUCCUAAGCUCUUGUGUAAUUGCAGUUGCUUUGCCUCCGAUGGUGAGUAGGCAGUGGACGGUGUCUCCAGUGAUCUCUGGUUUUGCAAAGUUUUCUAGAGUCUUCACUCGUUGCUUUAUGUAUAUUUCGCCUCACACGUAUGUUUGGUUUCCUAAUCUCUUGUGUAAUUGCAGUUGCUUUGCCUCCACUGGUGAGUAGGCAGUGGACGGUGUCCCCAGUGAUCUUUGGUUUUGCAAGGUGAAAUCUUCAUUGUCUCACUUAGCUGAUUUUCUGAGCAAGCUGAUCUUCUAAAGUCUCCACUCUUUGCUUUAUUUGCGCCUUUUGAUGGUUUGCUGUAGAUUAAUGUUUUGACAAUGGGUCGGAAUAGAGUCUUGAGUGGUGUUUUGGUCGUCUGGCAUUGGAUGGUUGUGGUUUUGGUGGAAAUUCACUGCUGUCCGCAUGCUAUUAUUGGAUAGGAGCAAUUUUGGCGGGUGGGCAAUUUCGGCUUUGUUUCCUCUCUUCUUUUCUUGGCUUUCUUUACCAGGUGUCCAAGCAAUUUUGGCUUUCUUCAACAUUCCCCACGUGCUGUUCUCGGACGGCAACAAGUUUAGCAGUGAUUUGAGGUACAAUGGAACCACCACCGCUUGAAAGCUCUGCAAUCUCCAUUGCCCUUUCUCGUUCUUCUCUUGGCCUUCUCUGCCAGUUUUUUUCACUCAUCAUCUUCCUAUUUAAUUUUUCCCUACACCACGUCUUUCUCCAUGAUCUUAUCUAGAAAUCUACAGUAGAUUCCCUCUCAAUUUUUCCUACACGCACAACAAAAAUGUAAUCACCUUUUCCAAUUAAUCCCAUCUCCGUAAUUCCAUUUUUGAAUUGUUUUGCCUCUCUUUCUUCUUAUUUUUUUACUUUUAAGUGUUCUAGGUUUUAUCAUUGCAUGGGAUUUCAAUUUUCAUGUGAAUGGUUGGAUUUUUUCUUGAGUUGGGGUUGACUAAAUAUGUCAUUACAGGAAGUGGAGAAGUGGGCGACGAAGGAGGAGAGCUCCUUCCAUUGGCAUUAGAGGGAGAUUUAUAGUUGCAUAGGACAUUGGAAACCACAAGGCUCCGAUUGGAGUUCAAAGAUAAAUAGGCAUAUUGAGCCAGUCCCAAAAAUCAGAGGGUAAAAGAUAAAAAUAAACUUCUCUACUCUAAUUCUCACUUUUUUUAAUGCAUUUUGCAGAGUUCCCACGAAUCUUCCGUAACUUUCAAAUUUAAUUUUCCUAACCCAGAAAAACUACUCGGGAUGUAAUUUGAGAACUAAUCUUUCUGAAGUGGCGUUGGACGCUGAAGAGUGCUGCUGGAGGGGAAUAAACAACAUGGUCGAGAUUCGAAAGAACCGUAAAGAAGAAAGCUUGCGGAAGAAGCUCCGCGAAGGCCUGCAUAAUGCAUUUGCUGUUCAAUCGGAUACCUCUUCUGUCGACAAAAAUGUCUAAAUAAAUUAGAAUUUAUAUUUUGUUCCUUUGAAGUUGUUGCUGCAGAUGGCUUUAAGUAGGGUUGUGAUCAAAUUUAAAUUUGCGAUUGUGUUGUUUUUGGGCAGGAUUUUCACAAUUUUUUUUUACAGUUUCCUUGUGUUUGAAUAGAGCUAGGGCUUGCACUUCAGCGCUUUUCUUGAAGUAUGUCAAAAAAAAAAAAAACACACAUACACACACAAAAGUAAUAAAAAAUAUACCACAGCAGAAAAAAAAAAAAAAAAAAACAGUCCAGGCUAUCUGACGCAUAGCGUCAGGGCAGAAAAAACUAGUAUAUAUAAAGGAGUUCAAGUUGCUUAAACAGGAUAAUAUAAAGGAUAUGUUUCCAACUAUUACUGGAUAUCACAUUUUUUUCCACCCUUCUAAUGUUGCAAUUGCAUUAUGAACUCCUUGCGUGAUUUGUCUUUCUUCUUCAUCUUUUUUUCUAGCAGGAAAAUGGUGGAAUUUAGGAAGCGAAGAAGUGACGAGGGGAAUUUAAACUCAAGAGACUUUUAAAUUUUAGAGGCUUAAUAUUAACUAUUAGACUAAAACUUCCUUGACUACACAAUUCGUCUUCCAACUGUUUUGAAUUUUCAAUAUACUUAGAGAUAAUGGCAUUUUAAGAUAAAAGAAGCAAUGGCAUUUUAAGCAUGAUGCAGAGAUGGACAGUUAACAAAAGCAUAAAUAAUAAUUGACCUAAUCCUCCUGUGCCAUUACUCGCAGUCUGAAUUCCAUGGCCAUUCUAACAAUUGUGUAAGAAUAUAACUUUAGAUUUGUGAGUUUUCUUUUGUCAAAUUAAAGUUGUUAAAUGUAACACCAGUUGCUUAUAUCCGUCCAUUCUAACUAUACUGUGUAAUUGUGUAAACCAGUGCAUUGCCUUUGUUCCACUGUAUUGAUGGCCUGAUUUCUAAAACCUUAGUGUUUCUUUCUUUUUUUUUUCUAGCAGGGAAAUGAUGAAAUUUAAGAAGCGAAGAAGGACGAGAGGAAUUUGAAUUCAAGAGACUUUUGAGAUUUAAUAUUAACUAUUAAAAUAAAACUUCCUUGACUAUACCAUUCGUCUUCCAACUGUUUUGAAUUUUCAAUAUACUUAGAGCACCUAGCUGUCCAUUUAGAGAUAAAAAAAGCAAUGGCAUUGUAAGCAUGAUGCAGAGAUGGACAAUUAACAAAAACAUAAAUAAUAAUUGACCUAAUCCAGUGCCACGUUUGAGGAAAUUGCAGAGAAUUGAAAGUUAGAUGGGGUGCAGUGAUCAAAUCGAAACCUAUGGGGGGGGCAAAGCAAUAUUAGUGAGUGCACAGUUCAUAGAGAAAUUUCUCUAUUUUACAAGUAUAUUUUAAACUCAAGCGCAUGGUUUUCUAUUUUUCAAGUGAGUGCACAGUUGAUAGAGAGAUUUCUCUAUUUAAACUCCUCCGUAUCAAUCUAUUGUGUUUGGUUUUGGAGAAGGAUCACCAAUCAAUGUACCAUUGUAACCCUUUAUCUAUAUUUAUCACGUUACACAUUUGGUUUUGGAUCAUUGAAUUCAUGUGAAGUAUAAGAUCAGUACAUUUGGUUUGGGAAAUAAAAGAUUUCUUUCUUUUACAUUAUUGUUAUAUAUUGUUGGUUCUAGACCAAAUUAAUCAUAUAAGUAAUAGUAAUUUCUCUGGUAAAAUUUAACAAAGAAAUUAACAAAAUCUCAUACCUCAAUAUUGCAUUAAUAAAUGCAAAUAAUUUGUACCAUCAAAAGUUAUUUUGGCAUGGGUUGAUGCGCGGACUAGAUCUUAAAAUUAUUGGAUGAACAGCUUCUGAUCUUCAAUUCGACUACCUUGAAUUGAUAGUUACUAAAAAGUUCGAUAAGGCUGAAGCGCGCCCCUACGGUAUUUUUUAAUCCGACGCAGAAGGUCUAACGCGCCGUCUCCAGGAUACAACAGCCCAACUCUAUAGUUGUUGCUUCCCUUUGAUCUGCACAACCAAGAGAAGCAGAAGCUUCCCAAUAUCUUACUUUGCCCAAAGAAAAUAGAAUGAGCGAGAAUGAACUGAGUGUGAGGAAAAUAGUAUUUAGAAUGAUCUUUUGUUGAGAGAAGUGUGUAUCAAAUUCUCCAAAGAAUUUCACUAUUUAUAGGUUACAAAAACCUUUAGAAAAAGGAUUGAAAAUCCAAUGUAUAACGGUUUUUUUCAUAUUAAAUUAUACUCCCUCCGUCCCAUUGAUAGUGUCAUACUUUCCUUUUUGGGCUGUCCCAAAAUAUUUGUCAUGUUUGGCAUUUCAAACUAUUUUAAGCUAUGAAUUUCCAUUUCUGCCCUCCAUUAAUGGUGUGAUAAUACAUGUGCUAGUUGGCCCACAAAUUGAUGUGUGGUCCCAAAGGACAUCCAAAUAUUCCAACUUGUACCAUAUUUGACUUUCGGCUCCAGCAACAAAGUUCCGACUCCAGCCAAAUUCAUCAUGAAGAAUGUGCACAUGGCUCUUUUAAACUUCAAUUGAAAAUUGGUUUUGUUAUCAAGAGGAUCAUUUCGAUUUUUUGCAGGAAAUAGAAUAUCGAGAUGAUUUAAUUAGUGAUUUUCUUUUGAAAGCUUUCAAUUUUUAAAUUAUUUUCAUACGCACUAAUUUGUUAAGAAUGAUCAACUUUCACAAAAUAAAUUCAUAUUGAAAGCAAGAAAAAAGUGUAAAAAAUAGGUGAAUAAUUUUAGAUUGAUCCAAAAACUAAAUGAGCAAAAUAAUAAGGCAUGUUACUCUACUUGGAGAAAAAAAACUACACUUACUACCAAAUUUAAUUUAAACGUAGUCUAUAGAAGUGUCAGUUUCUCUCUUUUUUUUUAAUGUUUCAAAACUCAAAAAUGCAAAAACAGAUAUUCUACCACCAAAUAGCAAAAGAAUGCAAACCAAUAUGCACUAUUUUCACUUUAUAGAAUAAUGCUAUUGACAGUUUCAAAAACUCCAACAAAAGUAGUGUUUCAAUGUUUAUACAUGUACAUAGCUUCACUCAGCAUUGCACAUUUUCCCUUUUGUACAAAAAUCAGCACUACUACUACUAACGUCAAGCUAACUUUACUGAGCUAUUCUAAAAUCUUGUAAAGUGAAAUAAAAGCAGUCAAUGAAAAACCACUAGUACAUAAAAGUGCUUCUAUAUUCUUUGUCCAAUCAAAAGCUUGCACCACAAAAUCAAAAGGGUUGGAUUGCUUGACUUCAACCAUCUGGCAAAAGAUGAGAUAGGACACAAUUUAGUGAUAAACAACAAAUAAAGAUGCUCCAGAGCAAAGUGAACAAGAAUAGCUAGACAAAUGAACAUUGAGUACAUGUACAUUUUGCACAUUAGAACACCCAUACCAUUUUGUUCAAAACACAUGAUUAGUAAAGUUUAAGUACCUACAAAUAUGAAAAUAAGGAACACUAGUUAGUUUAAACAACCAUACACACAAGAAAUUAGAGAUAAAAAAUCUUAAAAAACAAAAAAGCUUUAUAAAAUCUUACCUGUCCAAUGAAGAUAAUCACGCUUGCAUAUGACUUAGAACUUGAUUCACAAGUUCUUUUUCACAUUCUAUUUGCAGUGGAAGACAAUUUUCUUUCAUUAAAUGGUGCUUCCCAAUGUGUGGCACUUUAUAGUUAUUUCCCCCAAGAUUUUUCAUCACCUCUACCAUACAUGAUUGCAAUGUUAAGAAAACAUUGUUUAGACUUUCACUUAAUAAUUGAUCAAAUGACUUUUCCACAGCAAGAAUUAGCUCAUCAAUUGACAAGGGUGCUUCUUGAUGUUGCAAGGAUUGUAUAGCUCUAAAAUAUCCCAAGUCAAGAACAUUCAUGUCCGGACUGUUAGGAGGCUGAAAUGAUAAGUGAAUAUCAAAUCCAUCUCUAGAAGCAGCUUCAAUAAAUACAGGAUCAGUGGGAUUAAUAUGUGGUUUUGCAUUAUCCUGUUGGAUCAAAAUUUCAGUAACACUACCACCAUCCCGUGGCCAUUUAGCAUGUAUUGCAGGCAAAACCUGUUCAAUUAAACAUCUCCUAUAUACUUCCUUGGUCACUGACAAUAUUGGCUUAGUUUCUAAUGUACCUGCCAUACGAUUUUUACUACUCCUCUUUGCUGGUUCUUUGAAUACAAAAGGAAAAAUCCCAAUUUUUCCAUCAAAUGUUGGGUUACCAGAGCAGUCAAAACGUGGUCGAGCAACAGCAGCUAGGAACAUAACUUUCACAAUGAACUUUUUGCUCUUACAUGUCCUAAGAUGUUCUUCUUCUUGAGGAUGAAGAUAAUAUUUUUCACAUUCUUUAGUCAUGUAAAACCACUUUUCAUCAAUAUGCACAACAUUGAACAUACUCAUAAAUGUUGGAUUGCUGUUGAGAUUUUCUGGUUCAAGCAUUGACAAGCAAAAGUUAAGCCUUACUUGCUUAUUCUGAUCUGUCAAUUGUGGUUUGAGUGCAUUUGAGUGUGGCCUUAUAGCACCUUCUUUAAUUCGUCGGUGAAGGGUUGAUUUGGACACUUUCAUUUCACUGGAAAGUGACCUGAUAUUUGUCCGGCGUCGGAGAGGAAUUGCCAUGAUCAAAGUAAAAUCAAUAUCCACUCGUUUUCUUCCGCAUCUUUUAGGAAACCUGUGUGAUACAUCAACUCUUCCAUCUGUAGAAGUAAUUGCUGCUAGCUUCCAAAUUCUCUGAACUGUCCUAACACUUGUUUUAAAUAGGCUUGCAAUGUUCCUGAUGGUUCCCCUUUUCAAUUUACCGCCAUUACUUUCCUGUAAUAAAGCUUCAAAAAUCAUUUGCCUUUCUUGAUUAGUUAAUCUCUUCGUAGAAUUAUUAGUUUCAACAUCAUUAAAAGUAUCCAUAUUUCUUUUAAGAGUCACCUUUGAAACAUGGUGUAAAAAAAAAACAAGAAACAGAGUGUUAAAACAAAACAAACGGACUGCAUAUAUAGAGGUACAAGUCAGUGUACAAUUCCAUUAAAUAUUUUAAAAUAGGCAUUUCAAGACUUAUUUUUGGAGUAAUCCGCCAAAAUCUAAAUUUUCAGUAAAUAAUUUGGCGGCAAAUCUUUAAGAAAUUAUAGACAAAAUAAUCAAUAAAUAAACAUUACAAAAGUUUAAAAGAUCCAGCCUUUCUUACAUGAGAAAAGAGAAAAAAACCAUUAAAAAGAAAGAAUAAAAGACAGUUAACUAACCUUUUAAUCUCAUUUGUUAUCAACUAUGGAUUAGCAAUCAACUUCAUAUCCUUCCAAUGCUUCUCUCUUGAACUGGAGCACCAAUAUUGUAAUCAAAGGUGAAAACUUUCAAGUGAAUAUGGAGUAUGAGAAGAGGGAAUUUGUAGUUAGUCCAGAGAAAUUAUCGUAGCUUAAAUUUGCAGCAAUUGAAGAAUGGCUAACGAUGGAGAAUCAGAGAAGAUUUUAGUAGUAGGCGGUGAUGAAUGUCUGCUAGAAGAAGGAAACAGUUUCUGUGGCAACAAUUGAUAAGGAAACGGUUUUUGUGGCUGAAACAAAGGAUUGUUUUUUGGUGGGUCCCAUUUUGACCCAUUUGCUUUGGAUGAAGAAGAUUUUGAUAAGGAAAUGAGUUUUUGUUUUUGGUAGCCGAAACAAUGGAAUGCUUUUGAUGGGUCCCUCUUUGACCCAUUUAUUUCUUGAGUCUGUCGGUGAAUGUGAAGGGCAAAUUUGGAACCCAUGAGUUUACAAACAAGUGGAUUUUACUGUGAAUAAAAAACGCUGCUUCCCAAGCGCGACAGAGUUUAUGGGACGGAGGGAGUAGUUAAUUGGUAGAAUUUGUAACCUAAAAAUUAAUUCACAUUUGAAUGGCUUAUAAUGACUCAAUAAUUUCUCAUUUGAACAAAUAAUUGAUUUGUAACUCUAAUUCAAAUAAUUCUAUAAUAACUCCAUUCAAAAUGCAUUGUAACUCCCACAAUUAUAAUUCUCAUAACUCCCAAAUAAAUUAUUAUAACUCCUUGUAAAGAUUUGGUCAAGGAAAAAACAUUAAGAUUUUAUUAAAAUACACCAAUAUUCCCCCACUUAUUUUAAUAAAAUUUGAGAAGAAUAAAGAUUUGGACAAAGUGAGAACAUCAUGCAUAAUGAAAGUGGCAUUGCCUUGAAACCUUCAUUUAGUGUUUCCAUAAUCCCCAUCUUAGAGUCAAAGUGGACUAUAGCCUUGAAACUAAAACUACUUUAAGAUAUGUAAGAUUAUGUCACACACAUGAUAUUCAAGAUAUUAAUUAACAGGCUUCUUAAGCCAGCACAUUACGGCUUUGUGCUUUAUCCCAGAUUCAUGAGUGCUUUAGAGAAUUAGCUAAAUUCUCAUAGGAAGCGACCUUUACUUCCACACUCAUAUAGGUGAGUCUAUCAAGAAUACCCCUAUGACUAAGGCAUUCCACCCAUAAAGGGCUAUAGAAUUCAUUAAAAGAUUUAUAUCAAAUCUUAACCUUUCCUUCGUCAUAGAAUCACGAGCAUGCUCUACACCAUAGGAAGGGAUUUAACAAUUUUAUAAUAUAUGAAUGCUUUUCACCCAAACUAUUCUAUGAUUCGUUUGUCUCUGACCUAGUUCUUGGGAUCUCCAGUCCCUAGGUAGUUGUAUCCUCAUAGAUGGUUCCAACUUAAAAUUUUAGCCUCAAGUCCUAUUCCUCUUGAUGUGUAUCAUACCUUUAACUCAAACUUGAGAUUUUACAUAAUAAAAUAGCACAGAUAUGAUGUCCCCGAAUUUAUUUUAAAAUAAUCUCUCUUAGUGGUUCAAAUACAUUGAACCAAUCUUUGGUGAGAAAAUUUCUCAUCCAUUUAUAUUUGCCAAAUAAUAUAGGCAUAUAUUUGCUCAUAUUCAAUUUUUCACACUCAAAUCAUUGUACAAGAGCACACAAAUAGAUAUUGCAUAUGUAUCAUUGUUGACAACUACAUGUAAUUCUCAUACUUCCGCACUCAAAUCAACAACAACGGAGAAGUCAACGCCGGCCAAAAGAUUAAACAAAAGCUGGAAAGGGGAGGGCAUAGUUUUCUUUUAUAUGUGGAAUGACCGCAAAUUUCCUUCGUUGACUCACUCUGCUUAGAAGUCUUUUCCUAGUAGGAAUCUUAGCCAUAGUUUUCUUUUAUAUGUGUAUGUAUGCAUCUUAUACUUAGAUGCAGCUACCAGAAUUCCACGUUCUUUCAUCCGCCAUGAAGCAAGAAAGCUCUCAAAAUAUCUCGCUCUAUAAUAAAUCUUUCUUGAGAUUUAUUAUCUUAUAAUAUCUAGAUUUAAUCAACAAUUAAAAGUGAUAUUAUGAGAGAGAAAAUAAUAUGACUCUACUAUUGCCCCUCAUCUACUAAAUUGUUUAAUUAAUCUAAUACCUGCCCAAAAUAUUAACGAAAAUACUAAAAUGUGCUAUUUAUCACCAGAGAUUAAAUCACAUAUAGCAUCAAAAAUAGUAUUUCAUUCUAUAUAUUUAAUGUAAGAUUUAAAUUGCUCUUUUUAGCUACAAACUCAUUGUCAAAUAUGAUCAACAACAAAUAAUCAAAAAAUCUAUGACCAAAAUAUUACAAAGAGUAAACUUUAAUAUCAUAAAAAUCUCAACAAAUACCCGUAAUAUGUUGACAAAAAAUAUUUAUGAUGUUAAAAUUUGUUCUUUGUAAUAUUUUGGCUGUAAUUUUUUUUGAUUAUUUGUUAUUGAUCAUGUUUGACAAUGGAUAUAUAAUUGAAAAGAGUAAUUUGAAUUUUGUAUUAAGUGAAAAAUAUAAAAUGAUAUAAUAUUUUUUGAUACUAUAUGUGAUUUCAUCCCUAAUAAUAAACAGGAAAUUUUAGUAGUUUUAUUUAAUAUGUGGAUUGGCAUUAAAUUAAUUAAAUAAAUAAAGUAGUAGAUGAGGGACAAUGAUGAAAUCAUAUUAUCUUCUCUCUUCCAAUAUUACAUUUUAAUUAUCGAUUGGAUCUAAAUAUUUCAAGAUAAUUAACUUUAGGAGAGGUUAGUAUAAUUUUUGAAACCUAGAGGGAGGUCAGUAAAAUAGUUAAAAACCUCAGAGGAGGUUUCGGAAAUUAUCCCUAACAAUAAAUCAAGCUAUUGCCGCCCGCUCAGGCUAUGAGUAAAACUAAAACUAAAACUAAAAACCGCAACCGCUUCAAUUUCAAGGUAUUGCCAUUGCCACCCGGCCUUCGUAUUCUUAGACCCCAUUUUGCAGAACCCCACAACUUUCAACACCCAUUCUCAAGUUUUAACCCCUUAAUCCCUUCAGACAGUGAUCGACGUGAAGCUUGUGGGUUUUGCAUUCGCAUUUGCAUUUGCAUGCCACUCUUGUUUUGUGCCAGUUUGAUCAAAUCUUCCAAAAAUAGCUGUAAGUUCUUCCUUUAGUAUUAAUAAAUAUCUACAAACAAAACGCAAAAUAAAAGAAUGCUAAACCCACAAAUCAACAACAACGGAGAAGUCAACGCCGGCCAAAAGAUUAAACAAAAGCUGGAAAGGGGAGGGCAUAGUUUUCUUUUAUAUGUGGAAUGACGGCAAAUUUCCUUCGUUCACUCACUCUGCUUAGAAAGCGAUAUUUGUAGUAUGAAUUGAAUGGCUAAAUAAAUGAUGGGAAAAGAUGCAAAACUUUGCUUUUUUUUAUCGAACUUCUCUUCUGCAUAUUUUUAUAUAAUAUUCUAUGCGUUUUAGCCCCUACAAAUGCUUGAUAAGAGGCAGAAAUAGGCCAAAUUAUGAGAGGCUCCUGGUUCCCCUCGUCAGCAAGCAACUUGCCUUCGUGACUUUCUGCAAGUGCCAGCCAGUCCUGUUUCCAUCCCGGUCCCGGUGCCACGUUUGAGUAAACUGCGGAGAAUUGAAUGCCAUAUUAGGGAGUGCACACACAGCUUAAAGGAUGGUAUAUUAUUUCUUGUGAAUGUGUGGCGCGUUGUAGGUGGUUAAUUAGGUACUCUUCCUUCUCAAAGAAUUAGGUACUUUAUGCUUUAUGAAACAAUUAUCAUUUCUUCUCAAAGAAUUUAUGAAACAAUUAUCAUCCCCAAGGAUUCUAAAACGAGGCUAAAGCAAUAUUAUUUGCCUAACACAGUAACACCCAUCAAGUACCUAAUAAUAUGAUAAUUUACAACUUUAAAAAAAAAAAAAAAAAAGUGGACUGUUACGGAAAGAGCUUACACAGUAACACCCAACGUGCUGCUUUUUUUUUUUUUCCCCAAAUAAAGGGUGCUAUAUUUUCAUGUUCUUGCCUACAAUAUGAUGGUGAUUUCAAACCUUGGGAAACGUAUAGAAUUAAUGAUUAAAAAUAUUUUUCUUUCAUUUGCUGAAACACAUGACUUGGAUUAGGGUACGAUUGAUUUCAGGAAUCAUAAGUUGUUUAUAUAAAUUUCUACAGAUCAUUUAUCAUUACAUCAGCAACUAUAUUUAAACACACAAUCUUUGUUUUACAAAGAAAUAGCUGAUCAUCCUUGCACGAGCCAACUUGUGUUGAUAGGUCGCGCGUUUUCAAAGUGCUGAAAGAUUGAUCCUCAACUAUUACUAUUAGAACACUACUUUUCCCCUUUCUCCUUGAUUUCAAACUUUUGGGCUACAGAGCGAAAGGGCCAGCGUCACACAAAUCACCAGAUCUCAAGUGCACUUAGAGGUGUCAAAAUGGGUGGGGUAAAAUGGGUAAUGGGUAUAAGUGAGUCAAUUUAUUUAUACCCAUUUAAUUAGAUGGGUAUAAAUCGGUAAGUCAAAAAAUGAAUUGGGUAACCCAAUUACCCAUUUAUAACCCAUUUAUUUUAACUUUUUGUAAACUCAUUUAAAUUCAUUUUUGCAAACUAAGUUAUCAAUUUAUAUCACUCUUUGUACCCAUCAUUAGUUUUAAAUAUUUAUUUAUAAUGUUCAAUAAACUUAAUUACCAAUUUUUUUUCAUUUAUACUCUAUGUCACAAAAUUACCUAUUAUUUAAUAAUUGAAUAAUAAGAAUAUAAAAAUUAAUAUAAAAACUUAAUCCAAAAAUUUUGAACCCCUAACAUUUUUUUUAUAUAUAAAUUUAAAAUUUCAUUUUAGAAAGAUAAGAAAAUAGGCUAAAAUUUAUCAUAAAUUAGUAAUGCUAAAAAAUGAGCAAGUUAACAAACUAAGAGAAAAUAAAAUAAUAAAAUAAAACCAACAAAUAAUAAUAAUAAUAAUAAUAAUAAUAAUAAUAAUGAAACAAAAGUAGUUACCAUCAUGACAAAAUGAAAAAUUUGAAAAAAAAAAAUGGGUGGGGGAAAAGAAGAGACUUGGGGGGAAGAGAAUUCUAAAUGGGUUAAUUGGGUUUGAUGGGUUACCCAAUAAUACCCAUUUAUUGGGUAUUAUUGGGUAAUCCAUUUAUACCCAUAUACAAAAAUUUAAGAUACCCAUAAAUGGGUAUUAUUGGGUAAUCCAUUUAUACCCAUAUACAAAAAUUUAAGAUACCCAUACCCAUCUAUUCAUGGACGGGUAUGGAUAAAUUUAAUUAAGUGGGUUGAUUUGCCACCUCUAAGUGCAGUGUAAGCGGAGUGGCAUCUUUCUUAAUUCUUAUUGUGAUACUAUGUGAGAUCGCAUCCGGGGUGGCAUCUUUCUUAAUUCAUUCUUAUCACAAUUCUUAUUGUGAUACUAUGGGUCACAUCAUGUAUCUCACUGUUCCCUUUCCUUCUUGCUUUAGUCAAAUUUCAAACGAGCGGUGCCACACUCCACAAUGCAAAUUUCCUUUAACAGGACAAAUUUCAUUUCAUAAUUUCCAUCCAUGAGGACUGUCAGUCAGAUCAACGGCUUGACUCAUUCCACAUUACCUCACGAGCGCAGUAUAAAUACAUCCAUGCCUGGCUAUUGGAAAAACCAAGGCAUCCCAAAUCAAGAUACAAGCUUGAUUUCUAAAACCCCAAUCCUCCAAAACCACAAGAAACUUCCUAAGCAGCCAUGGGAGGCAGCAAGUAAAAGAAGUCUUCUGGUUCCUCUUCUUCCUUUUCCUUUUUCAGCAUGUCCAAAACCAAGUCUAGGAGGGCAGAUGACAUGAAGGAUGACUACGUGAAGGCUUAUAAAGUGCGGCCUAGUGAUGAAGAUAGAGGUGGAUGGGCAGCUGAUCCUGGAAUUGAUUGGAAAGCAGGAAGAGAAAGGUGGAAAAGCCCCGAGGUUGCCAACUAACCAAAGUUCAAACGCUUUGAUGAUCAGCUGUACUUGACUACAUGCGUUAUGAGUUCCAUAAGACCCCAUCAUGCAUGUUGCUUUAUUUAAUAUUUUUGUUUGUAGGUUUUAGUUUUGUUCUCUAGCUUGUGAUCAACCUGCAAAUUACUUAACUAAUAAUGUGAAAAUCCAUUUGUUUGUAUUCAAGCUUUGAUCUCUUCUCUUUAUUAACUUCAGAUUGGCAAUAAUUAUUCUUUGUUGGACAUGAAGGAUGACGACGUGAAGGCUUAUAAAGCGCGGCCUGGUGAUGAAGAGGGAGGUGGAUGGGAAGCUGAUCAUGGAAUUGAUGGGAAAGCAGAAGCUUUCAUUGCUUCAAGAAGAGAAAGGUGGAAAAGCCCCGAGGUUGCCAACUAACCAAAGCUCAAAUGCUUUGACUAAAUGCGUUAUGAGUUCCAUAAGAUCCCAUCAUGUUGCUUUAUUUAAUAUUUUUGUUUGUAGGUUUUAGUUUUGUUCUCUAGCUUGUGAUCAACCUGCAAAUUAUUUAACGAAUAAUGUGAAAAUCCAUUUGCUUGUAUUCAAGCUUUGAUCUCUUCUCUUUAUCAACUUCAGAUUGGCAAUAAUUAUCCUUUGUUGGGCAUUUGAAGCUUAAUUUUAUCUAUCAAGUGUACUGGCAAAAUGCUUAACAAUGGCUGUUUCCCCAUAUAUCAUUCCAUCAACUUCAAGCGCAACGACCAUAUAAUCUUCUCUUCCGGCUAAGCCCAUAUUACUGCUGUUCUAUUUGAUUUGUCAAGUUAAUGUGUGGCGCGUUGUAGCUGGUUAAUUAGGUACCAACCAGGCUUCAAAGAAUGAGAUUGUAGUUUUAUGCUUUAGAAAUCGGAUGAUAAUGUUGGUGAUGAUUUGGAGAUAAUAGAACAAGAUGCUUUUUUUUCUUGCUUUUUUACUUUUAUCGUUCAGUAGUUUUAUAUUUCCCAAAUUAAUGAAAGAAUGUAGUUUUAUUUUUCUUACUUGUAAAAUGUCUCUUGUGUAUUUUGCUGUGUGCGAUGAGAUUGUGACGAACUUGUGAAAGUUUAACAUUUAAAAAAAAAAAAAAAAAAGAACAAUAAUGCAUGUAGCAGAAGAAAAAAAAUUACGUACGUGAACCUCAUUUUAGUUUCUCCUACCAGCUAACUGCGCUUAAUACGUAAUUAUAUCGUUUACAAAGUAAUGGGAAUAUUCUAAUGAACUUGUGCUUGAUUGAAAUCUUCCACGACUCCCUCUCUUUUUUUUUUUUUGUGGUUGAUUGAAAUACCACUACAAAGUGAUGUUCUUCUUGUGUUUCGUUUUCCCGUGGUGGAACUUAGCUAGGUUUAGUUGACUGGGAAUAAAAAAAAAUAUCGUAGAAGACGGGUGGAACUUUACUUUUCAUCCCCUAAUCCAAAUGCUCAGACGAUCUAUUGAUGGUUUGAUACCGUAGAAGACUACCACGCACUAAUAAAUGCUAUCCAUGACAACUAGGGAUAAAUUCAAAAACCUCUCCUGAGGUUUUUGGCUAUUUCACUCACCUCAUUACAAGUUUUAUAAAUUAUAUUAAUCUUCCUUGAGAUUUAUUAUCUUAUAACAUCUAGAUUUAAUCAAUAACUAAAAGUGAUAUUAUGAGAGAGAAAAUAAUAUGAUUCUACUAUUGCCCCUCGUCUACUAAAUUGUUUAAUUAAUCUAAUACCUGCCCAAAAUAUUAAAGAAAAUACUUAAAUUUGCUAUUUAUCGCCAGAGAUUAGAUCACAUAUAGCAUCAAAAAUAGUAUUUCAUUCUAUAUAUUUAAUGUAAGAUUUAAAUUGCUCUUUUUAGCUACAAACUCAUUGUCAAAUAUGAUCAACAACAAAUAAUCAAAAAAAUCUAUGACCAAACUAUUACAAAGAGUAAACUUUAAUAUCAUAAAAAUCUCAACAAAUACCCUUAAUAUGUUGACAAAAAAUAUUUAUGAUGUUAAAAUUUGUUCUUUGUAAUAUUUUGGUUGUAAUUUUUUUUGAUUAUUUGUUAUUGAUCAUGUUUGACAAUGAAUAUAUAAUUGAAAAGAGUAAUUUGAAUUUUGUAUUAAGUGAAAAAUAUAAAAUGAUAUAAUAGUUUUUGAUACUAUGUGAUUUCAUCCCUAAUAAUAAACAGGAAAUUUUAGUAGCUUUAUUUUAGAUGCGGAUUGGCAUUAAAUUAAUUAAAUAAAGUAGUGAAUUGGCAUGCCCAUGCAAAAUCGGAUGGAAAAGGUCUUAAUAACUCAAAAAAAGGAGGAAGACAAGAAGAAGAAGAAGAAGAAUAAGAAGAAGAAGAAUAAUAAGAAAAAGAAGAAUAAGAAGAAGAAGAAUAACAAUAAUGGGGAGGGAGCUGAGAGACAGGUAAUAGGAAUACGAGUUAGGUGCUCGUAGGCUGUCUUCGAUGAUAAAAAAGAGAGAAAAUGGACGGAGGGAACUUAAGGGGUGAGAAAGAAAAAAAGAAGAUAGGAUAAGGGUUUUAGGUUGAGGUUCUCGUGGAUUGUAAGAAAUCCUGACCUCUCAUUCUUGCUUGCUUGACAUGCUACAGAUUACAAAUUACAGACACGCAGUCACACACACCACAACACUGAUGGCUGCUGACCCAGUGACCACCACAACGGCCUUGAUUCAUUCUACAUUACCUCACGAGCCCAGAUGAAUACAACAUCCAACAUCCAUGCAUGGCUAUUGGAGGCAUCCCAAAUCAAGAUACAAGCUUGAUCAAAAUAUCAAUUCCCUCUAAAACCCCAAUCUUCCAAAACCACAAGAAACUUGUAUUGUUUGUUGGGCAUUUGAAGCUUAAUUUUAUCUAUCAAGUGUACUGGCAAAAUGCUUAGCAAUGGCUGUUUCCCUAUAUAUCAUUCCAUCAACUUCAAGCGCAACGACCAGUUCAUAGUUGGCUGAUAUUGAUCUUUACCAAUCCUUGGAAAUUUCGACUGAAGUAUGCAAAAAAUACUUGGAAGUUACCGCGUUUAUAUGCAUAAUUUUGAAACAACCGUGACCUUGAAUCUCUUAUUCACUUUAACUAUAAGGAGGUGAUUGUGUACAAGGAUGACAGCAAGAAACCACCAAUCGGUCAAGGGCUUAAUAAGCCAGCUGAGAUGACUCUUCUUAUUAGACAAAUAAUGAUAAACUAGGCCUAGUGCCCCGCGAGUUUCGCGGGUGUCCAUUGUUGAUUGUUUAAUGAUAAUGUAGGUUAUAAUUUUAGAGAAAAGUUUUUUUUUUAAUUUUGGUUUUUGGUUGUAUAUUUUUGAAUUUUUUAGUUUUUGAAAUAUUAUUGAAGUAAUAUUUUUGGAAUAUAGUUAAUGGAAGGUAAUGGAAAGUGGUAUAAUUAAUUUGUAUUUAUUAAAUAGCUAUGGAUUUUUUGUUGAUAAGUGUUUUAUGGUAGUUGCAUUUGUGUUAUGUUAUUUAAUUUAAAAAUGGAAGAACUUUAAGUUAAUAAUUCAGUUAUUAAUGAAUAUUAUUUAAGGAGUAUUUUUGAAAUAGAGAGAAAUUAUGUUAUAUUGUGAAAAAUAAUUGGUUGGAGUAAAAUAUAUUUUGAAAAAAGUGGAGAUAUAUAAAAUGGGUAAUAAAUAGGAUAUAAAAAUAUAUUUAUAUGUUUUUGUAGCGAAAAUAAGUCUGUGUUUGUAUUAUAGAAUUAAAGUUGUUUUUUUAGAGAAUAAAUAUUUUUGUUAAUAUAUAUAUUGUGGAAGAUAAAUUAUAUAUAAAGGGUAUAGAAUUAAUUAUAACUUUUUUUUAAUAUAAAGAAAUUAUUGGAUAUUUUUAGAAAAUGGUUGGUGAAAUGAAUCGAAGUUAAAGAUAGAUUGGUAUAGUUGAUUUAUAGUUAUUGGAUGUGUGUGAAGUUUUUGUUGAUAUAUAUAUUUUUGAGAAAAUGAAUUUUUUUUUAUAUAUAUAUUUUGGGUGAGAAAAUGUAUGUUAUGAUUGUUUGAUGUUGUUUAUAUUAUCUGUUUUUUUUUUGUUUAUAUAUGUGUGGUUAUUAUUGUAAAUAUUUAGAGUGGGCGGUAAUGGUAAAAUUUUGUGAAGUUGUGUAAUGAGAGGAAUUUCAUAGUUGGUGGUAAAUUUUUUAUUUCAUUACAUAAAUGAUGGAUAAUUUAGGGGAAUAUAACUGUUAUGUCUCAUAAGCUGUAAUGAACAUUUGUUGAUCAGUAUUGCUGGAUGAAGUCUCUGUCAAAGAGGUUGAUAGAAUAAUUGUUGUCGUUGAGCAGGGUAAACAAUAGUUAUUAAACCCGGCCCGGAGAGGAACCUGGUGAAAGAGGUGGGUCAACGGAUUACUGGUUCAACCAGUGGGUGAGUGGUUCAACCGAUGGGUCACUACAUAUAUUUAAAUAUUAUGUUUUAUAAUUUUUGAUAUGGUUAAAACUAAAAUAAACUAUGUUAUAGUAAAUACUCAGUUAGUGCAAUUUAUUAUAUAAUCAUUAAUUCUUAUAAGAAUUAACAAAACCUAAAUUUAAUUAGUAAUCCAUCAAACUUCAAGUAUAAAAUUUUAUCUAAGUGUAAUUAUCUAGUUUAUUUUUGAAUUUUAAGCACAAAAGGUUAUUAAGAAUAAUAUUUGUUUUUAAAAUGAAUUGUGUAAUAUGUUAUUUUUUAAAUCCAUUUCAUAAUUUAUAGAAUUUAGAGAAUAAUAAAAUUUUAUUAAAAGAUUCCAAACAAAUAUUGUUUUGAAGAAAUAAAAUAAGAAUAAAAAUCUAAUAUAUAAUAUAGAAUGAGUGAAUAAGCACCAAGUGAGCUGCUAGGCUAGUGGUGAGUGUGCGUAGCUUUUAUGCUCAAUGAUUAUCCCAAAACUGGGUUCUUUACAAACUGUCCGGUUUCGGUUGAACCGUCGGUCCGUUGAAAAGUCAACGGAUUUGGUGCACAAACGAUCCAAUUACAAACCAGCCCGGUUUCAUGGCCGGUUCAUCGGGUUGACCGGUUGAAUCAUCGGGCCGGGCCGGGUUUAAUCAACAUUGGAGCAUUUUCUAAUCAUUUUUAUCCCAAAACUGGGUUCUUUACAAACUGUCUGGUUCAACCCGGUUGAACCGCCGGUCCGUUGAAAAGUCAACGGAUUUGGUGCACAAACGAUCCAAUUACAAACCAGCUCGGUUUCAUGGCCAGUUCACCGGGUUGACCGGUUGAACCACUGGGCCGGGCCGGGUUUAAUAACUAUGGGGUAAACAACACGACAUUUCCUUCAUGCAAGAAAUAUUUAUGUGCAAAUGUCGGCCAACAUUCUGUUAUCUGCAUUCCUUGUAGCGAACACAAUUUUAAAGAGUCUAUUAGCUCAUUGCUAUGAAAAAUUAAUCAUGGUUGUUAGCUCAUUAAUAUUUAUGUAAUCAUGAAGUCAUUUAUUUAUUGAUUAAUGAAUAUGUUACUCAAAAUCAACAAAUAGUACAUGGGCUUCUGUGUUCUGGAGAAAAAACACAAUUUUAAAGAGUCUAUUAGAUCAUUGAUGUCAAAAAUUACUAACGCUUGUUAGCUCAUUAUAUUUAUCUAAUCAUGAAGUAAUUUAUUUAUUGAUUAAUGAAUAUCUUAUUCAAAGUCAACGAAUAGUACAUGAGCUUAUGUGUUACAGAAAUUUAAAUUACAAUAAGGUGACUCGAGGCAUUUUUUUUACAAAAUCAAUAUGUUUGUUAAUAUAUAUAUUUUGAGUAAUUAAUUUAUUGAUUAAUGAAUAUCAUAAUAAAUAUAAAAGAGAAGAGAGAAUUAUAGUUUAAAGAAAGAAAAUGGAGGAGAAAGAAAAGGACGAAAUUGGGGAGAAAAGCUAACAUUUGUGAGUAAAGUCAGGAAACAGCGGAAGAUCCAGGAGAAACAAAAGGACAAAAUUGGGGACAAAAUUACAGGCGAACCAAGGGAAAGGGCAGAAUGGGAACAAAGCAACAAAAAAAGCAACGAGGACAAGCGGAAGCAGAAGCAAGGGCGCUACAUGAAGCCCGCGAAAAGACUAAAAAGGACAAAAUGAGCUGCAAAACCACAGCGAAACCGGCACAAUCAACUGUUCAUCAGGCUUCGCGGCUUUAAGUAAUUUAGAUGAUAACUAGGCAUUGUGCCCCGCGAGUUUCGCGGGGUGCCCAUUAUUGAUUGUUUAAGGGUAAUGUAAGAUUUAUUUAAUAAUUAAUGUUUAGAGUGUUUUAUAUGAUAGUAGGGUUGGAAUAAUAAAUAGAGGAACAAUAUAUUGGAUUAAUAUAUUUAUAAAUAGAUAUAGUAAUAUUGUUGUGAUUUGUAUUUAAUUUUUUAAGAGUAACAGGAUGUAAAUAUUAUUUAAAUUAAUGGAAUGUAAAUCAUUUUUUAAGAGUUGAGAUAAAUUAAUAAUUCGAAAUAAUUUCAAUAUGUUUAUUUUUAUAUUGUUAAAUAUAAGUGGAAGUAGAAUAAAGAAAAUUUAGGGAACAUAUAAUUGUUAUGUGCAAGAAGCUGUAGUGGUCAUGUUUAAUUAUGAUUGUUGGAUAAAGUCUCUGCUAAAGAGCUGCAGAUGAUAAUUGUUUUCAUUGAGUAGGGUGAACAGGAUGACACUUCCUUCAUGUAAGAAGUGUUUUUGUGCGAAUAUUGGCCAACCUUCUGUUAUUUCUAUUCCUUCUAGCUGAAAGAUCCAUCGAGUUUUAGCAUGAUAACAAUUGAUGACUCCUAUGUUGUCUGUUUGUAUAUGCGAUGGUAUAUCACCAAUGAGUACCUGAGAUAGAAAAUAGGGAAAAAACGUAGUUGUAUUAUGAAAUGAGAGUAGCAAUGUAGUGCAUGAAUUAUAUUGAUUGGAAUGUAAUUUGUAUGAAAUUCAUCAAAGAUUCAAGAUCGUGUGUUAAAUAGUGGAAGAGUUUAGUAUUGAAAAACUAAAAGAAAAGAAAUAUAGUGAAGAAUACAAAUUCAUAAAUAUAAUGUAUACAAAUUAAUGAUUUUUAAAAAUUUGAAAUUAUAAAUUUAGAAUCAUAUAUUUGUAUUUAUUGAUCGAAUAAUUGUUUUUUGAAUCAAUAAAUAUUGGAUUGAUUUAAUUUUAAGUUUAUAUAUAUUAGAUACAUGUCAAGUACAUAUGAUUUUCAUUCAUUUGUAUUAAUACGAAAUAGCAUAAUCAAUUUAUAUAUAUUGACUGGAUACACAUAGAAUUUGUAUUCAUUUGUAUAUAUUAGGUGCACAUAGGAUUUUUAGCGAUUUGCAUAUUUUUUUCAUAUUUAAUAUUUUUGCUAAUAUAUACAUUUUGGAGAAAAUUAAUUAAAUUUAUAUAUAUUAGAUACAUGUUAAGUACGUACAUAUGAUUUUCAUUGAUUUGUAUUAAUACGAAAUAGUAUAAUUGAUUUAUAUAUACUGAUUGGAUACACAUAGAAUUUUUAUUCAUCUACAUAUAUUAGAUGUACGUAGGAUUUUUAGGAAUUUGCAUAUUUUUUCAUAUUUAAUAUUUUUUCUAAUAUAUAUAUUUUGGAGAAAAUUAAUAAAUAAGCGAAUAAAUAUAAAAAGAAGGCUAUUUUAUGUAUUAGAUGUGCAUAGCAUUUUUAGUGAUUUGCAUAAUUUUUUAACUGUUAAUAUUUUUGUCAAUAUACACACUUUCGACAAAAUUAAUAAAUAAGCGUGUUAAUAAAUAAGCGGAUAAAUAUAAAGAAGGAGGGAAAAUUAUAAAUAUAGAAAUAGUCUCGAAAUUAUAAUUAUUUGAUAUAAAUAACACUUAUUAUAUGUUAAUACAAGGUAGUAUUAUUAAUUUAUAUAUAUUAGAUAUAUGUUAAACACAUAUAAUUUUCAUUGAUCUGCAUUAAUAUAAAACAGCAUAAUCGAUUUAUAUCUAUUGAUUAGAUACAUAUAGAAUUUUUAUUCGUUAGUAUGUAUUAGAUAUAUAUAGGAUUUUUAGUGACCUGCAUAAUUUUUUGAUAGUUAAUAUUUUUUUCAAUACACACACUUUUGACAAAGUUAAUAAAUAAGUGAGUUAAUAAAUAAGCGGAUAAAUAUAAAGAAUGAUGGAAAAUUAUAAACAUAGAAAUAGUGUCGAAAUUAUAAUUAUUUCACAUAAAUAACACUUAUUAUAUGUUAAUACAAAGUAGUAUUAUUAAUUUAUAUAUAUUAGAUGCAUGCUAAACAUAUAUGAUUUUCAUUGAUAUGCAUUAAUACAAAACACCAUAAUCGAUUUAUAUAUAUUGAUUAAUAUGUUUGUGUAUAUAGCAACCUGCAUGUUUUUUUGAUAUUUAAUAUGUUUGUUAAUAUACACAUUUUAGAGAUGCACGUAGGAUUUUUAGCGAUUUGCAUAUUUUUUUCAUAUUUAAUAUUUUUGCUAAUAUAUACAUUUUGGAGAAAAUUAAUUAAAUUUAUAUACAUUAGAUACAUAUUAAGUACAUACGAUUUUCAUUGAUUUGUAUUAAUACGAAACAGUAUAAUUGAUUUAUAUAUACUGAUUGGAUACACAUAGAAUUUUUAUUCAUUUGUAUAUAUUAGAUGUACGUAGGAUUUUUAGGAAUUUGCAUUUUUUUCACAUUUAAUAUUUUUGCUAAUGUAUAUAUUUUGGAGAAAAUUAAUAAAUAAGCGAAUAAACAUAAAAAGAAGGCUAUUUUAUGUAUUAGAUGUGCAUAGCAUUUUUAGUGAUUUGCGUAUUUUUUUAAUAGUUAAUAUUUUUGUCAAUAUACACACUUUCGACAAAAUUAAUAAAUAAGCGAGUUAAUAAAUAAGCGGAUAAAUAUAAAGAAGGAGAGAAAAUUAUAAAUAUAGAAAUAGUCUCGAAAUUAUAAUUAUUUGAUAUAAAUAACACUUAUUAUAUGUUAAUACAAGGCAGUAUUAUUAAUUUAUAUAUAUUAUAUAUAGGUUAAACACAUAUAAUUUUCAUUGAUCUGCAUUAAUACAAAAUAACAUAAUCGAUUUUUAUAUAUUGAUUAGAUACAUAUAGAAUUUUUAUUCGUUAGUAUGUAUUAGAUAUACAUAGGAUUUUCAAUCAGAACGACUUUAAUUAUCCACUCACUUGAUUUAUUUGUCAAACUAUUCACAGGAGUGCAUUUGUCAUCCAUGCCUGCAAUAUAGAACAUCAAAAGUAUAUUAAUAUGGAUGGAAUGAUGCAAAUAUAUAAGAUGCUGAAUAUAAGCACUUUUAAUUGAAAACUUUUAAGUUCAGUACUUAAUCUUCAGCUGCAGCUGCUAAAAUUUCUUGAUACACUACAUUUCGAGUACAAUUACUGGACAAAGAAUCAGAAGCAAUGCGUAUGAGUAAAAUUUUAACAUCAUUAGCAAUUCUGGCCCUUGAUAAUGCAACAUAUAAUUGGCCAUGUGAAAAUACUGGUUCUUUCAAAUAUAAUCCUACAAAAUCAAGUGUUUGUCCUUGUGAUUUAUUAAUUGUCAUGGCAAAACAUAAUGAAAUUGGGAACUGAGUACGCUUGAAAGGUAUUGGAUAUGACUCAUUAUUAGAACUGUGCAAUGGAAUGCGAGGAAUGAAAACCUGUUUACCAGAAUGAAUUCCAACCGAAAUUUGUGCAUGUAUGAUGUUUUUGUUAAAAUUUAAGCAUAUCAUGGGGGUUCCAUUGCAUAGUCCUUGUGCUGGAUUCAGAUUUCUUAGGAGAAUAACUGGGCAAUUUGGUUUCAAAAUCAACAAAUGUGGAGGUAAUCCUGGGGGUGGAUAGUAUUUAAGAAGUCACCGUGAUCAGCUUGUUUUGUUGGAUCUAUUGUCUCAUCGAAGCUGAUAUAUUUGAUUUCUUCUCCAGGGAGCUUCUGAAUCAAAAUUUGAUUGAUUUCGUGCACAAUAUCAUUUGUUGUACUGAGAAUGGCUCUGUUAAUGAGAGUUGAAUUCUGAGGGCAAAAGCUAGAUAGAGAUGGAUAAACAGUGUCUAUCAGAGUGUGCAAGGAUUGCUGAUCAUCAUUAAUGAAAGAGACAAUCAUAGAAGAAGGCAAUUGUAUCUUGUCAUCUGCAAUGGUUGCUUGUGUGCCAUUUCCAAUAUUGAGCAGAAAAUCUGAGAAUGAUGGAUCGAGAAAUGCUCUCAUAUUUUCAGUCAAUCGAAUCUUUUGGAGGUGUGGCCAAAUAUAUGAGUUGAUGAGAGACGCAGAAAUGUAAUCUUCUCUUUGACCUUUGUGGACAAUUGGUAAAGUCUGUCAAAAAUUUCCACCGAAAACAAUGAGUUUUCCACCAAAUAUUUGAUCAGAAUUCAGCAAAUCUCUAAGUACUCUGUCAAAGGAUUCAAUUGCAUAUUUUUUUGCCAUUGUUGCUUUAUCCCAUAUUAUUAAUGAUAAUGUAGGUUAUAAUUUUAGAGAAAAGUUUUUUUUUUUUUAAUUUUGGUUUUUAGUUGUAUAUUUUUGAAUUUUUUAGUUUUUGAAAUAUUAUUGAAGUAAUAUUUUUGGAAUAGAGUAAAUGGAAGGUAAUGGAAAGUGGUACAAUUAAUUUGUAUUUAUUAGAUAGUUAUGAAUUUUUUGUUGAUAAGUAUUUUAUGGCGGUUGUAUUUGUGUUAUGCUAUUUAAUUUAAAAAUGGAAGAAGUUUAAGUUGAUAAUUGGGUUAUUAACGAAUAUUAUUGAAGGAAUAUUUUUGAAAUAGAGAGGAAUUAUGUUAUAUUUGAAAAAUAAUUGGUUGCAGUAAAAUAUAUUUUGGAAAAAGUGGAGAUAUGUAAAAUGGGUGAUAAAUAGGAUAUAAAAAUAUAUUUAUAUGUUUUUGUAGUCAAAAUAAUUUUGUGUUUGUAUUAUAGAAUUAAAGUUGUGUUUCUAGAGAAUAAAUAUUUUUGUUAAUAUAUAUAUUGUGGAAGAUAAAUCGUAUAUAAAGGGUAUAGAAUUAAUUAUAACUUUUUUUUGAAUGUAUGUGUAUUGUGUUAUUCAAUUUUGAAGUGGAAAAGAUUUAAGUUAAUUGUUUAGUAGUUAAUAUAUAUUAUAGAAAUAAGAUUUUUGGAAUAGAAAGAAGCUAUUGGAUAUUUUUAGAAAAUGGUUAGUCGAAUGAAUGGAAGUUAAAGAUAGAUUUGAAUAAUUGAUUUAUAUUUAUUGGAUGUGUAUGAAGUUUUUGUUGAUAUAUAUAUUUUGGAGAAAAUUAAUUUUUUUAUAUAUAUUUUUUUGGGUGAAAAAAUAUACUUUAUGAUUGUUUAAUGCUGUGUAUAUUAUAUAUAUUUUUGUUUAUAUAUGCGAAGGAUUUUUUUUACAAAAUCAAUAUGUUUGUUAAUAUAUAUAUUUUGAGUAAUUAAUUUAUUGAUUAAUGAAUAUAAUAAUAAAUAUAAAAGAGAAGAGAGAAUUAUAGUUUGAAGAAAGAAAUGCUAAUACAAAGUUAAGAUUGAAGGAAGUUAUAUGUGAAAUAAAGUUAAUAAAUAAAAACGAUAAGCUAACAUUUUCGUGAAUAAAGCUAGCGAUAACAAUUACAUACAGCAACGGAAAAUGAAGGAGAAAGAAAAGGACAAAGUUGGGGACAAAAGCUAACAUUUGUGAAUAAAGUCAGGCAUAACAACUGCAGCAGCGGAAGAUGGAGGAGAAACAAAAGGACAAAAUUGGGGACAAAAUUACAAACGAACCAAGGGAAGGGCAGAAUGGGAACAAAGCAACAAAAAAAGCAAUGAGGACAAGCGGAAGAAGAAGCAAGGGCGCUGCAUGAAGCCCACGAAAAGACCAAAAAGGACGAAAUUGGCUGCAAAAUCACAGUGAAACCGGCACAAUCAACUAUUCAUCAGGCUUCGCGGCUUUAAGUAGUUUAGAUGUAUAAAAAGCUAGGCAAAUUCUGCUAUUAAAGCAAGGAGUUAGCUACGUGAAAUGGUUCCUUUUGGUUGCUAAUGACUACGGGAGAGUAGCAGACAAAUACUGAAAUGAAAGGUACAAAACCAUUUAAUAAUUCAUACCAGCUUCACCAAUCUAAUUCUGGUACUGAGAAAAUUCGUAAAAGGGAAAUAAAUUGGUGAUUAGGUUUUAUUGUACUCUUGAAUCCCAACUAAUCUUGAUUCAUUCUUCACUCUUUCAAUUAUAACCAUUAAUUUGAGGGGAUCAUUAGCUUAAUUUCCAGUACAACUCUCUGCUUUGUCAAUUCGGAGAAUUUUAUUUGGUUUAGUGGUUAACUUGAUACUUGUCCAGUCACUCUCAUCUGCAAUCAAGAAAACUAGUUCAAAGAUUGUACUGACAAUUAUAACAUACUAGCUCAAAUGUGAAAAACGACUUGUAUAAUAUAACGUGCUUGACACUUUUUUUUUACCAUGCUAGUGGUCGCGUUCAAUUGUCCAUUAAAAUGUAAAAUAAUCCUAAAGAAAAAGAAUGAAUGGCCGAAAUGGUCACUUAACUAUAUAAAAUGACACCCUUUGAUCAUCAAACAUUUCUUAUGGCAAAAAAGGUCACUAAACUCGCAUAAGCGCACCAGCAGACUCAUUUUACCGAUUUUUACCAGCGAAUCAUCCGGUUACAAGGCUACGUAGAGUGGAGGAAUAUUUGUGAAAGGGUAAAAAUAUCCCAAAAAAAUAUGGUAAACCUGUUUCUUCCUUCCUCGCAAGUUGUACCAAAAAAAAUUUGCUAGAGUGAUGAUUCAGACGAGGUCCAUGAUGAAAGAGAAUAUGAAGAUGAAAGACAAUCCCAAAGCCAUUGGAGUGAUGAUUCAGACGAGGUCCAUGAUGAAAGAGAAUAUGAAGAUGAAAGACAAUCCCAAAGCCAUCAGCAUGGCAAGAGAAGUCGUCAAUAUGAGAGGGAAUUCAAUAGAGCUUGAUUUGAUGGAGAAAAAAAAUACACAACUAUCACUUAAGAAAAUGUUCAAGUAUGAGAGGGAAUACUGAUAGGUACUAUCACAGCACAAGAAACACAAGAAACUAUCACUUAAGAAUAUAUUCAAGUAACUUAUUGAAGAUGGAUUUUUUAUUUAUUUAGUUUUUGUUUGGGGAAGAUAGAGAUGGAUAUUUAAUCCAUGGAUUUUCCUCAUCAAGUUUCAAAGCCAAAGGGCACUAAUUUAGUCACAAAUUCCUGAAUAAAUGCACAGGGACUUGUAUUGCUCUUCAAACACUUGCUGAUCUAAUCAAUACCCAUUAGAACUUAUCUGACAGACAGUAACAUAAUUUGAUUUGGGGAUACAUGAACUAGGCCUUGUUUGGAUUGCAAUUUUUCUUCAAAAAACUUUUAUGUUUUUGCAAAUACAUUUCUUAGUAACCUCUUAUAUCUCAUAUAUAUUAAAUUAUUAUAAUACAUUUUUCUAUAAAAACUCUAGAAAAUAGCAAUCCGAACAAGGUGGAACUUCACUUUUCAUCCCCUAAUCCAAAUGCUCAGAGAAUGUAUUGAUGGUUUGAUACCGUAGAAGACUACUACGCACUAAUAAACGCUAUCCAUAACAACUAGGGAUAAAUUCAAAAACCUCUCCUGAGGUUUUUGGCUAUUUCACUCACCUCAUUACAAGUUUUAAAAAUUAUAUUAAUUUUCCUUGAGAUUUAUUAUCUUAUAACAUCUAGAUUUAAUCAACAAUUAAAAGUGAUAUUAUGAGAGAGAAAAUAAUAUGAUUCUACUAUUGUCCCUCAUCUACUAAAUUGUUUAAUUAAUCUAAUACCUGCCCAAAAUAUUAACGAAAAUACUAAAAUUUGCUAUUUAUCACCAGAGAUUAAAUCACAUAUAGCAUCAAAAAUAGUAUUUCAUUCUAUAUAUUUAAUGUAAGAUUUAAAUUGCUCUUUUUAGCUACAAACUCAUUGUCAAAUAUGAUCAACAACAAAUAAUCAAAAAAUCUAUGACCAAAAUAUUACAAAGAGUAAACUUUAAUAUCAUAAAAAUCUCAACAAAUACCCUUAAUAUGUUGAUAAAAAUAUUUAUGAUGUUAAAAUUUGUUCUUUGUAAUAUUUUGGCUGUAAUUUUUAUUAUUAUUAUUUGUUAUUGAUCAUGUUUGCUAAUGGAUAUAUAAUUGAAAAGAGUAAUUUGAAUAUUGUAUUAAGUGAAAAAUAUAAAAUGAUAUAAUAUUUUUUGAUACUAUAUGUGAUUUCAUCCCUAAUAAUAAACAGGAAAUUUUAGUAGCUUUAUUUUAUAUGCGGAUUGGCAUUAAAUUAAUUAAAUAAAGUAGUAGACGAGGGAUAAUGAUGGAAUCAUAUUAUCUUCUCUCUUUCAAUAUUACUUUUUAAUUAUCGAUUGGAUCUAAAUAUUACAAGAUAAUUAACUUUAGGAGAGGUUAGUAUAAUUUUUGAAACCUAGAGGGAGGUCAGUAAAAUAGUUAGAAACCUCAGAGGAGGUUUCUGAAAUUAUUCCUAACAAUAAAUCAAGCUAUUGCCGCCCACUCAGGCUCUGAGUAAAACUAAAACUCAAAAUAAAAACCGCAACCGCUUCAAUUUCAGGCUAUUGCCAUUGCCACCCGGCCUUCAGUUUUUCAGUCUUUCCUCUUUCUCAAAACUCUGCAGACGGCCUUCGUAUUCUUAGACCCCAUUUUGCAGAACCCCACAACUUUCAACGCCCAUUCUCAAGUUUUAACCCCUUAAUCCCUUCAGACAGUGAUCGACGUGAAGCUUGUGGGUUUUGCAUUCGCAUUUGCAUUUGCAUUUGCAUGCCACUCUUGUUUUGUGCCAGUUUGAUCAAAUCUUCAAAGAUGGUCAAAUCUUCGAAAAAUAGCCGUAAGUUCUUCCUUUUCCGAAGCCCAUUUUGUAUGUUUGUGUAAAUUCGCUUUUACUGAAUGCAGGGGUGCAUCCAUGGUGAGGUUUCUUGUAAAUAUUUGUACUUUCUCAUGUUUCUUGAUGUUUAUCGAUUAGUGGGCCUCAUGAUCACAGCCUAUUCUUUUUUUCUUGGUAAUACUAUAAACAUCAAGAUCUCCUGGAAUGAACAUUACCGCCAACUGAUAGUCUCCUCUGAACAGUAUUUGGUCAGUCAGGCAGCAGCAGCAGCAGCCCUUCAGGUUCAGGGUCUUCAUCGGUCCAUGGGCAAAUGAACUGCCCUUCGUCUUCAGGGUCUUCGUUGGUUUAUGGCCAAAUUAACAACUCAAGCAGUAGUACAUCUUCCCUCAAUAGCCCAGGAGGUUAUAAAAAUCCCUUUGCUUCAUAUGAUGUUUUAUAUAUUUGGACAGGCAUUGUGAUUGCAGAUUGUUGUUUUUUGAUGUUGGAUAUUCAUUGUCUUUCCUUUCCUAUUAUUUCUUAUUCUAAACUUAGAAGUCGUUACAAUGAUGCAACCUGUGACCAAGGAUGUGAUAUGUAGUUCUACCUAGUUGAAUUUGUAGAGUACGGCAUCUGCGCUGCUUUAUUUAGAAUUUCAGUUGGUUUCUUUUUCUAUCUUCUUGUAGGAUAUUUUGCCUCUAAUCAGAACCCUCAGCAACCAUGUCAACAGACGCAAGUUGGUCCCCUUCAUGUCACUUUUAGCUCGUCAGAUCAACCUGCUUUUGGGUUUUGGUUUGGUACUCGUGGCAGCUCCUGUGAAUCAGUAUCCAUUGGCUCUUCUGCGAGUGUGUCUAGUAGAUCACCUUUUGGCUCUCGGAAUGAAAAGUCUAUUCUCGGGAACUCAGGCUCUCAAUUUGGAGUAUUAGGCACUAUUAGCUUUGGUUUGUCAAACAGCACUACCUCUGGCUUUGGCCAGAUAUCAUCAUUUGGUUCUGUGCAUGUGAAUCCUGCUUCAAGCAACAGAGGACAUGGAUAUUCAAGUGCUCCUGCAUUUGGAGCAUCAGGCACCAGAAACGUUGGUCCAUCAAACACCAGAUCCUGUGGCCCUAGCCAGAAACCGUCAUUUGGCCAGUCAGUGUCAAGCUUUGGUGGGAGCAACUUGCCUGGGAAGACUCCAUUUGGUACUCAGAAUUCACAUUCUGGUAAGUAUAACCUAUGCUUCGCAUUAGUAGCAGUUGAAUCGUAAAAUGACUCUUUCAAGCUUAGCAUCAAAAGAGAAGAGAUGCAGAGGUUCUUGCCUUUUACUUUUGUACAAAUUUGUUAGUUGCUUCUGUAUCUUCAUUUAACUAACAUUGACUUCUCUGCUCUUCCAAAGGAACAAAUGACUCUAGACUGGCAACCCAAGCAGGUGGUCAGGUUAUCAAUGAGCUACAGUAUGUGCAUCCUAAAAACUCUCACUAUAACUGACCAUCUUUCUUUUGUUUUCUUUUAUCCAUUUUAUGUGAAAAUUUUCCAUAUGAGCAGACCUUCCCUGUAGUAAUUCAACUUUUUGAUAAACUGUUUAUGUGAAAGAUUUUGGCUACAUAAGUGCAGGUGAUUUUUUUUUUUUUUGGCAGAAUGUUUUCUCAAACCUUGAUAGAUAACUUUCCAUCAUAACGCCUAUGAUCAACUCAUUGAGAUGCAUGGACUGAAAAUUUUUUUGAAAAUUCUGGAUGAGUCCUUUUCAAUUUUACAUUGGCAAGAAGUUUCACCAUCCCUCUCUCUCUCUCUCCCUCUCGCCCUCCCUCCCUCACUCCCUCUCCCUCUCUUUGUCAUACAUGUACACAGGUGUAAGAAUAUGUUUUGUUUUAUUGUAUUCCCUUGUUUUGUGCUUUGUUCAGGAAGCUGUCUGAGCUUUUACUCUUUGGAAUGCUCUCCUAUGUGUUAGCUUGUUUUGUAUUGAUGGGUUUAAUUGCUAAUACUGUUUCUUCAGGACAGCCUCUCUCGCUGCUGAAGUCGUUCAGUCCACUGGCUCAAACUCUUUUAGGUCACAGCACGAACUGCAGAUUUUAGUUGAUGACCCUGGCUGUACACUAUCAGUCCAACUUGGGAAUCCUGGCAUACAUGUAAGUCUCAAAAUCUGAUAGCAAAUCUAGGGAGCAUGAUAGCAAAUCUAGGAAUCCUAUAUAACAAUUACACUUAUGACUGCAAACGAAUCGAAACUAUUGAAGAAGAGGGAAAUGGGGCAGGGACGGUUGCACCUGCAACCGUCCCUGAGCGGUUAAUGGCCAUGAUUUGGCCUCAAAAAUUUGUGCGGCUGAGAUUACAAGUUGUAACUCAAUUUCCACGCCAUGUGUGGGUCUCACAAAAAUUUACUCUAAAGUUACGCGAUGUGCAAAAAAAGUUACACGAUGUACAAAGAAAGUUACGCGCAGUUGAUAAUGACCAAAACCGCCUGGGACGGUUGCAGGUAACCGUCCGUGCCCCGAGUCCGUGUGAGGGAAUCUACAGUCGAAGAGGGGAAACAAACUAUUGAUGAUUGACAUAAAGGUGAAACAGUUAAAGAAUUUGAUAUAAGUAAUUGAUUACCACAGCAUCCGCUUCUGGUUGUGCCAAAAAAUGGCUAGUCGAGGUACGAAGAAGUAUGCUGAUUCCGAGACUCCUGUGAGACCUAUCACUCAAAGAAGGAGGCUGUUCAGCUGCACUGGUGGCCUUGUGAGUCGAUCUCGAGUUGGUCGAGUCGAACUCGAGUUUAAAAUAUUAAGCUCGUCGGCUCGCGAGCUCGAAUAUAUAUAUAUAUUUUAAUAGUAAAAUUACAUGUAUAUCCUUAAUAAUUUAUUAUUUAUUAAGAAAAAAAUAUUUUUUAUUUAUUUUUUUAAAAAUAAAAUAACUAUUUUUAUUUUUUUGAGCUCAAGUUCUAGCUCGAACUUCAAAAUUGUCAACUCAUCGAGAGAGCUGCAAACGAGCCGAGUCGAGUCGAGUUUUGGUCUAAUCGAGCCGAAUCUUAACUUAGUUUUAUCGAAAUCGAACUCAAGAUUGUCAACUCAUCGAAAGGGCUGCAAACGAGUCGAGUCGAGUCGAGUUUUGGCCAAAUCGAGCCGAAUCUUAACUUAGUUUUAUCAAAAUCGAACUCGAGACUUAGUUUUAUCGAAAUCGAACUCGAGCUCGAGUUCGAGUUCGAUAAAAUAAAACUAAGGCAAGAUUCGGUUUGAUUAGGUUAAAACUCGACUCAAUUCGACUCGUUUGUAACCCUAAUUACACUGCAAUGUUUGCAACAAAAAUAUGCAGAAUACGAUUAUUAAAGGAUAAGAAAAAUCCUUGAAACGCGAUCCUUCUCCAUUCGUCAGUAAAAUUAUCCGUUCUUCUUUCAACUUGUUGUAGAUGAAACUGUCUACUAUGGAACUGGAUUGUAAAAAGUGACAUGGAGUUUGAGUUCCUCAAACCUAUGACUACUAUUCAAGGAUGUUGUUGGUACACACUACCAAUUAGUCUGUCAUUUUCGCUAAAAAAAUGCAGCCUGCUGUGAAAUGAUAAUAAAUUUGUGAUUAGGCAGGAUGGAUUACUAUUUUGUAUCCGUUUGGAUUACUAUUUUUAGAAAUUUUUUGUAGAAAGAUGUACCGUAGUAACUUGACAUUUUCAAUAAGCUCUAAUUCUCUCGCAUGUAUAGGAUUAAUUGUUCCAAAGCAUUCUAGUGUAAAGAAUUCUUUAUAGCAUGAAUCAAUUGCAAACUUGAAUCGUAUUUUAUUUCUUUUCCUUUUCCUAAAAAAAACAUUUAUUUUCUUCUACAUGUGGGUGAUCAACCAGCAAUAAAAAUUUUGGAUUCAAUUUUCCCUUGUCAUUUCCAUUCCAAUUGCUUAAAUCUCAUUCUUCUUAAAAAAAAAAGGACAAUCGACCAAAAGGCCUAUGGAAAAAAGCUUUAGUUUUGGGCCAAUAUUGUAUUCCAUCUACUCUUCGUGAUGGCCAUAGUGCUUGACUCAUCAGGCAUUGCUUUUGAUUUCAAAACAGCCCAAGUUCAAACUAAGUCGGUCACAUUGGGCUUAGUGCCACACCCCUUUGAAAACUUAUUAACAUGGUUUCAACACUCGCAUUUUUUUUUUUCGAAAUGUUAUUUACACUCCCAUUUUUGUUAUUCACACUCCCUCGAUCAUUUUAAUGAUAUAGUUUUCAUUCAUUAUACUAUAUGAUAAAACAAAUGGUGGAAGUACAAAUAAUAAAAAAUAGUAUAUUGGGAUAUUUCCCUUUUGGAUAUUUGGAUAUUUCCCUUUUAUUUUUUAGAAAAAAUAUGGUUUCAACACAUUAAUAACGGAUGAAUGGAUGUAUGUCGCUUCUCUUGGGGGUUUCUAAUUUUUCAAGGGAUGAAUACAAAAAUUUAUUUAUUUUCACUUAAAAUCGAGUUUUGUAAUUUAUUUGUAGAUUCGAAGUAUUAGACUACUAAUAAACUUUGUAUCAUAUAAAUCUGUUGAAUUACGGCUUAAAAAAAGUAGUUUAUAGACUUAUUCUUUCGUUAUUCCCCCCCCCCCCUCCUCUCUUAAAGAUCCAUGAACUAUGCUGUAUAUGAAGCCACAUUUUAGCAGAUUCGUAAUGAAAUAAUAAUGAGUGUACAUUUGAACUUUUUUUCCCUUUUAGUUCCUAUUAAAAUUGUCAAUGCCAAAUAACAAAAUAUAUAAAACUGAAUAAUGAUGUCAUUUGGAUCCCAUUAUUAUUCUUGACAAACAAAUCUUCUUGUCAAUCCAAUCUUCUUGACAAACACAUCUUUUCAAAUCAAAUUCAUGUCAAUUCAAACACAUCUGAUGUUGAAAAUUCAUGAUAUUCCUAAUUUCAAGGUAUUUGUCUGUUUUCAUUAGAGAAGCCUGCAAUUAAUUUUUCCACAUCCUUGUGACAAUUCAACUGUCUCAUGAUUAGGCUUCAGACCUUACUCAUAGUGAAAGGCUACCUAUCUUUGCUAAAGGGACCUAAGUGAGCAAACAAAUCCUUCAAACUUUGCUAAAGAAUCAUCCUCACAUCUCUCCUCUCUCUUUUUUUUUUUUUUUGCCAAAUAGAGCAAUUGGGGUCUAUUCUUUGAUCAUAAUUCUUUGCUUUUCAUAUCCAUAAAAAAUUAUUUAAAUCUGCCAACAUUUCUUUUUAAAAAAAAAAAAAAUUACUUACAACUAUGACAUAAAUUGAUGUAAUACUUGUCACAGAUUUCAAUUUUCUUAGAAAAAGAAAAAGAAAAUCAUUUGUAAUCUUUCCACCACUUUCCCUUGGAGAGACAUAACUACAACCACCAACCCUCAACCCAAAAAAAAAACAAAACAAAACAAAAGAAGGGUUCUUUAAUACUAUUCUGAUUUCUGAUCUAUUGAAGUACAAUUUGUUACACAAGGCUGCUUGUCCAUAUACAAGCAGUGGAAAUGUGGAAAUUAAUGAAGUAACUUUUUCAAGCUUACGCAUAAAAUCUGUCUUCCCUUUAGGCCACUUUCUGGUCCCUCUGUGCUCUUGGUUGAUGGAACAAUUAAACAACUGCUGUGGACAAAGGGCUUAAACCUCCUAAUCUCAUUAUGUACCAAAGACUAAUCAUCAUUAUAUAAUGAAUCAAUGAUAAUGAUUUGUACCGAGGAAGUAGAUCAACACUUAAACAGGACUCAAUAAAAAAAUCAAUCUGAAAGCGGCCUUAAAGGUUAUACAUAUAUAAUUUCUUCCUCUUUUUCUUUUUCUUUUUUCUUUUCAAAACAGAUGCAAUGAUUUAUUGCCAAUAUAAAUUUGGUCACAAGUUAUCCAGCAUGAAGCAAGUAUAGUAAUUAAUUUGCCCAUUUCCACAAUGUAAAUUAGACAGUAUAGUCCCGAGAUUUAGUACAGAAAAUUUGAACAAGGAAGACAAAUUUUCGUUAACCUUCAAAAGGUAACUUAAUUGGAUUGCAAGAAUUACUGAUAUAUACGUGCUUAAUCUAGAAAUACUUGUACACCAGAUGGAAAUUAAGUUUAUUUAGUGCACAAAAUUAUAGUGCUAAUUAUAAGUUCAUACAUCACACUGGCUUCUUUAGUUACACUAAUCGUAAUUUGUGCUUGGUGCCAAAUUUUUCAUGCGAAGUAAUCAUGGCUUGAAUGCUAGCAGACUUGAUGAUAGAUAGAUAGAUAAGCCGUCAACGUAGGGUUGUUGCAUGUUUAUAUACUCUACGUACAAUGCAAGAAGUUCCAUUUCUUGAAGAAAUAUUGGAAUGUCCCUUUUGCAUAUAAUUAUGCAUGUCUUCCUCUUCCUUCCUUGGCAGAUUUUGGAAAUGCUUUGCUGGCCCCAACACACCAAACAAUGACCUAUCCGUUCCAUGCAAGGCACUUUGACUUGGCCAACGCGUUAGAGAUUAUUACUAUUUUCUUCACCUACAAAAAUCUUUAACUGCAUGCUUCUUGCCUUUGCUUUGCUUUGUUUUUUGAGUAGAGAAUGAUAAAUAAUAAUCAUAUUUUUGUGUGCAAAAAGACGGUUGGAUUUAUGGAGAAUGCGAUUUGUCUUUGCAGAGUUGUUCAGCCAUUUAGCUUGAUUAAUUCUUUAUAUGAUUCGACUAUAUAACCAGCUACUCAGUUACCUUGCAACUAGUAAUGGUGAUUCUGAGUUCAGUAAUGACAUUGAUUCAACUUUUUAUAUCCAAAACUGAUCGAACAUAAUAAGAUAGUACGUGCAACUGAAAUAUUUCCUUUUUUAAUCCUUUUAAUGUCUGGAUAAUGUUACCUCGGUGUGGGAGCCUUAUUUAGAGACCUCAUAUUUAGGUACAGAUCAUAGAUAUUUUGGACUUAAAAGAGUAGUAUAGUACUACAGAUGGGAGCCUCAUAUUUAGGUACAGAUCAUAGAUAUUUUGGACUUAAAGAGUAGUAUAGUACUGCAGAGAGAGUGAAUACCCCUUAAGAUUUUAGGGAUAGUUUCACAAACAUCCCUCGAGGUAUGUCUUAAUAUCACUUAAUAUUCUCGUGGUUUCAAAAAUGUCUUUUACCUCCCCUUGAUUAACAUGAUUCGCAACAUAAUUUGUCACUACUGCUCAUGCAUUAAAAAAUUCAUAGAUAAUGAGAGAUAAUAAUUUACUUCCAUUUGGACCCUCUUGUUAUCCUUUAUAUAAAUAUUAGAGGAGCAAUUAAGACUAAAACAAACCUAAUAAGCAAAAGACAAAUUGGUAGAGAUGUAAGUGCAAUAAAGAGAAGUCGCAAUUAUAAAUGGUACUUUUGCUAAUUGUCGUCUUCAAUUUUUGUACAUUUCAAAUUCUUUUUUUUUUUUUGUGCAAACUUUAGUUAAUCAAUUAAAGAUUUCUAGAAGGAUAAUAUCAUCAAUUUACUACCUAUGAUAGAGAAAUCUUGUCUUGUCAAUCUGACAAGGGAAGCAAGAGAGAUUUUUGAAACUAUAAGAAUACUAAUUGAUAUUAAGAUAAACCUCAGGUGAGAUUUGUGAAUUAUCCCAAGAUUUUAUUGAGGACCAUUGGAGGGCGUCUUCCAAUCCAAGGGUGGUCAAGAGAGAAAAUGGCCAAGCAGGGCAAUAACCACCAUCAAAAUUUUGUAAUUUCUUAUGCUAUAGAAAAUCAAUACUUCAAGAGGCGAAAUGAAAGGUGGGAUUAUAUAAUCUUGAACUUCUCUUUCAAAAUGAAAGUUUUCAUUUGGCUUUUUAGAACUUUUUAUGUCAGGGAAGUAGGCUCCUUUUACAAAUCUCUGCUACUCCAAUUCCCAAAGUGCUUUCACUGAGGUAUCAUCUUUGAAUUUUCUCUUUCCAUCAAUUUUUUUGGGGGGCCUCUUAGCAGUAUAAAGGAAGUUUCUUGUCCAUUAGUCCAAUAUUUUCAGCUAAUUGAGCCCCACCUCUUGGUCUAAUCCUUUCAUUUUUUUUUAUAUAUUUGUUUCUGAGGUCAUACUGCAAUUCUUAAAACCAAACUUGGACAAGUGUUAGAUAUUCGUUUCAAUCAUUGCAACCCUGUCUCAAAAUCAAAUAAUCAUCAACUUUGGCCUGUUCUUCCUCGUAAAUAAAAUAGAAGUAUUUUCCAUUUGGUAUAAUUAAGAACUGCACCAGUCCCAUUUUCGUUAAUGCCAUUCUUGGCCGGCCUUGAAUUCUUUAGGUGUAAUUUUCAAAAUUACACUGGGGAGGUGCUUGAUUAGUGGCUUUCACGAUAAGUUAACUUAUGAGUUUUAAUUUCAAUCAUACCCACAUAGUAUAAUAUUUGUUUUAAGGUCAAUUGGAACCAGUUAAUGAAUUUCAUAGAUUCCUUCUCGGGGGUUUCAUGAUUAACUAUUAAAAAGUAGAGUUUCACUUAUCUAUUAUUAGUUUUUUUUUAGAUUAAUCUUGAAUACAUUAAAAGUGUAUAUACUAAUACCCUUUGAUUGAUAAUAAUGCCACAUCUGCAAAAAACGAAGUUUAAAUUCAAACAAAAAAAAAAUUAAGCGACUUGCAUCUGAGGGUGCUAGUGCAUACAUUUUCAUUAUAUAAAAGAUUAAUCUUUAUUUUCUUUUGAUUGCUAAAAUCUAUUGCUGUAAAGUUAUCAAAUACUCAGUGGUGUUCUUAUCAAACCUGUUGUUAUUCCCCAAUUUACCAUUGUAACCGUACCUAAAGUAUAGUCAUAGUGAUUGUGGAAGUCGAACCAAAUAUUACUAUUGAAACUAAAUCCCAUUUCUUGUCUCAAAACCCAUCUACCAAACGCACCCUAAGUGCUACAGCUAAAUUUACUACUAUCAACGAAGAAAUCAGAAUUAAAUUACUAACCCUGAAUUCCAAGUAAAUCUCAAAAGCCGGCAACUAUUGAGACCAUCGAGGGAACUAAUAAUCUAACCCUCAACCCCCCUUGAUCGAUGUGGGAUUCUUGUGGUAAGGCCUGCUACUAAAUGUGUACUAACCCCCAAGGCACUCUGCUACAGCUAAAUUUACUACUGGAAGCUAAGUUUUAUGACAGAUCAUAAUAAGCAGUUGUAUCAUACCAGUUGAUCUCUCUCUAUCUCUCCCCUUUAUUUUUUUGGGGGUCAAAUGUAGAUAAUAGAUUAUCCUAAUGUUAACCUACUAGGCACUAGCUUUAGAUUAUGUACUUCUAGAACAGAUCGGAGAUGUAUUAGACUUUUCCAGCUGUGUUCUACCCCCAAAAAAGGGGGGAAUUUACAGCUCUGAACUCUGACAAUGUCGGUCAAAGAAGCUCAAAAUUUUAGCAAGAAUUGUCUGCAUAUGCAGGGACCCCAUCAAAUAAUAUCCCCAUCAAUGGCCCUAAUCUUCAUCCCUUAACUUUGGGUUGAAGGAGGCAAGUUUCGUGCUUUAACAUUCAUUCACACUUGACAAUUCACGUUAAAGAUUCCUCCAUAGUUUACUUUAGUCCCCUUCCAGUUCCCCUCAGUUACCUCUUCCCCCCAUCUUCUCAGUCUUCAACUUCAAGGCUUCGACUUCUUUACUUAUAAAUAAACUCCCACUUUUGUCUUUCCAUUUGUCCCAGUGUCCCCAACCCCAACUAACUUCUCACAUCUGUCUCUCUUUCUUUCUGUGCUUCACCUUUUUCCAGCUUUGAUUACUCCCUUUUGGUCUUUUCCAAUUAAUACACACACACAGAUACAUAAACCAUAAACAACUUUUGUUUCUGCACCAAUAUCAGCAUGGCUCCUAAGUUGGUAUUCUUGAUGCUUAUGGUCUUCUUGACUAUAAGCUUCAAUCAGGUGUUAGCUUCAGAUCCAGACAUGCUUCAAGAUGUUUGUGUUGCUGAUCUCACAGGUACCCCAAGCUGACUUCCUCUAUCUUCUUUUAGAUUAUGGACUGUAACAUUAAUAACGUUCAUUGCUUAGUUUUUCAAGUUCCUUUAACCUUAGUUGGUAAUUGGCUUCAAUUCUUGAUCCAAUACAAGCAUUUAGGUGUGUUGGUAGUUGUUAGUUCCUUGUCCUUUUCUUGCACAUUUUGACAUUGACUGCUCUUUACUUUUCUCUCUGUGUUGGUGCUGAUCACUCUGUUGGAAAUCAACACACCAACUAGGAAGAUAUUUAUCAGACAUGUACUGUGUAUAUGCAUUUUAGCUGCUGCCUUGUGCCAACUACUUUCGCAGCUAGUCAACUACUCUGUUUGGGGUCGGAUUUAAUGUCUGUCAGACUCAUACCUAAAAUUUUGGUCCAUGAGAAUUUAAAGUAGUGAUGAUUCAAUAUUGUUCAGUCUCAAACUGUACAUGAUAGGACCAAAGAUACAUUUAUGAUAAUUAAUGUUAUGCAGUUAUCUAUCUUGUAAAAGAGAAUUAAUCUCUGAAGCAUGAUAGCUGUAUUCUAGUAGUAAUUAUUAGACUGCGUGUGGAGGAAAAAGAAGAAAAACGCUCGCCUGCUCAAAUCUUGUUUGCUUGCCGUUGACAUGAAGAUCUACCCCUUGAACAAAUGCAGGGAGAUAGCAUCUUUGAUUAGGAUUUUUCUGAGCAGGGUUCAAUCUUACGUUUGUUUUACUACGUGCUAAUACAUUGCUCGAAAUUGUGACUAAGAUUUUACUCCUCCUGUUCUUGUUAUUCAUCAAAAACAGGUAAACCGAAGGUGAACGGAUUCAUUUGCAAGGAAAAUAUAACGGCUAAUGACUUCUUCACCACCAUCCUUGGCACCCCAGGAGCCACCAACAAUACCUUCGGGUCAGUGGUCACGGGAGCCAAUGUUGAGAAGGUCCCUGGUCUCAACACCCUAGGUGUGUCCCUGUCCAGGAUCGACUACGCCCCUGGUGGCCUGAAUCCACCCCACACCCACCCCCGUGCCACAGAAAUGGUGUUUGUAUUGGAAGGUGAACUAGAUGUUGGGUUCAUAACCACUGCCAAUGUCCUCGUUUCCAAGUCCAUCAAGAAAGGUGAAGUAUUCGUCUUCCCCAGAGGCCUAGUCCACUUCCAGAAGAAUAAUGGGAACGUGGCAGCAGCCGUUAUCUCGGCCUUCAACAGCCAAUUGCCUGGAACUCAAGGCAUUUCAGUAACAUUAUUUGCAUCUAAUCCACCAGUUCCGGAUAAUGUGUUGACCAUGGCAUUCCAAAUUGGUACCAAAGAAGUUGAGAAAAUCAAAUCAAGGCUCGCCCCCAAGAAGUAGAUGAUACACUGAUUUAAAAGCAAGACGUCGUAUUCAUGUUGUUCUUCAAAAUAAAAAAUAAAAUAAAAAAAAAAGAAGCGGAUUCGAAGUUAGUUUGUCAUUUCAUGUCAUUUCAAAUUUAGUUUGUCAAAGUUAAUGUUGUAAGUAAAAUGCAUGUGAAUUUUGUCUUUGCUUGACAACACAAUAAAAUGUGAUUGUUCCAUCCAAGUAAGGUUCUUGAUGGGGAGAUUGCCUUGCUGCCAUGUCCAUUUGAUAUUCAACUUUUAGUUGAUUGCCUACAUUUGUGCAUGUCCAACUAUAUAUGUAUUUACAGAGGUAAAGUCCUUGUUUUUUCGUUCAUACACGAAGAAGCCAAUUUACUUGAGAAACGCUAGAAGAGAAAAAUCUUCUUCUUACCUGCUGGUGAAGUGACUAUGUUCGACAAUUAUGGCUAUCCAACUCAAUUUCUCGAAUUAAAAUUAACAACAGUCCUGCAAUAUAAUGACAUACUUGUAAGAAUAACAAGGCCGCAAAGACAUACUUGUAACUUUUGCCCAGAAACAUGUUUUCCAGUUUUAUUAAACAAAGAUCAAAAUUGCUCCCAAGAUGGUUAGUUAGCAGCUUUGGAGCCACUCCUCUUUCCUUCAUAAAACCAGAUCAACCGAAUGACUUAGCUACCAAAUAUAGUAGCUAAUGAUAACUAGAGUUGAUUAUGCUUGAUGCAUUCAAUGUAAGUUAAGUGAUUGGAGUUGAUGCAUUCAUGAACUGCAAAGUAAGUAAGUGAAUGAUAGAUAUAAGGCUGCUACCAAGUAAAUGAUUGGAGGGUAGGUGAAUCUUAAAGGUCUGGGCUACCUAACAGUUUAAAAGUUGAGCUCAAGUUUGCGGUCCUCUCUCACUAGGGUAGAGUGGGAAACAAUUCUUGAUUUUGCUUAAUUAGUACACAAAAGUGAUACUAAUACCACUAAUAGCCACAUUAUGGCACAAUCUAUCUUCUGGCUUAGAUGUGGACACCAAUCCCCAGUUCCCCACACCCUCAUCUGCUGCAUUCAUGGGAGGAGCAAGUGAACCACUUGAUACUAUUUUUCCUGGCUUGUUUGGUGGGGGUCUUUGAAGAGCUAAAUUUUGAUUGCGAUGCACUUUAAAGGAGCUAGUUACUAAGGUUGAAAUUCUAAAAAUUACAAAUUCUAUAUUCAAAUUCCAGUUUCCUCCUCUCCACUGUUUAAAUCUUACUAUUCCUUUGCUCUAGAGUAAAAAAAGGGGAAAAAAUAGAGGAGGUGCUAAUGAACCACUGAUUAAUCAGUAAGCCUUAUCAGUUGGAUCAUUAUUUGCUUGUUAACAACUCUAGUAAAUCCAUACACUGAUUUAUUAGCAACAAUCCUAAUCAUCUGCUCGAACGUGUCAAUACAAUAAGCAAACCUGCAAUAAUUUUGCCCAUCUCUAUCAUCAAGCAGACAUUGAGGUCCCCGGGAUUAGUUUGCUCCACUUAGUUUAAUGGGUAAUAUUAGUUGUCAUCUAAGUGAUUGCAUUUCUCAAUCUCCUCCUAAAAAUAGCAAUCCCAACGAAUAGGAAUGAAACAUGGCGCCACUAAUUUUUUAAGCAGUCCAAACGGGUAAAAGCAUGGCACUACAAAUUUUUUAAGCAAAGCUGUCAUUGCCAUGAUUUUCUAUUCUGUAUCUUUUUACAGUCUACAUAAAAAAUACUUGCAAGGGCAGAACAAGCCAAAAAAUAACAUAGUGCCAAUUCCUAGUUCUAAGUUCCCAGCUCAGAUCCGUAUUCAACUAAUUCUACGCCUUCUAAAACAUCCGGCCACGUUAAUUAUUGGCUCGUUCACUUGUCAUAUGAAUGGCACUGCUCUGCUCUGACCAAGACCAGUUCAACGGCUAUAUCUCGCCCAGCAAAAUAGAAUAACGAAAGCUUGUACUAGUCUGGGAGACAUGGAAAAUAAGAGUGAGGAGAAGAGAGCAAAAGAAUAUGAGGAAGACUAAGGGAAGUUAAAAGUCGUCAAAAACGUUCAUAUGAUUCAAGUGAUCCUGAGCGCGUUGCAUGACACUACAAAAAUGAUAAUACAAGCAUCUUUAAGAAUGCAACAUACAACAAAUAGAAAGAAAAAAGAAAAAAGAAAAAUGACUAGUAACUCUUGUGUAGUUUCACAGUGACAAAUUGGCUUACAACCAACAAUCCCACUAGUGGGCAGAAUAGAUAGCAUUCCCAAAGUUAAUGCAGAAUGACCUGUCUUAAGUUCUGAACUUCAUCACUGUGGUUUGCUUGCCAUCUGGGAUGGCAAACAGUACUAGGGGCUUUGAAGGUCUUAUGAAGGGAACAUCGCAUCUGAAGUACCCUUUUCUCUCCAGCUGUAUUAUGUCACCACGCUUCAAGUUCCUCAUGUUGGGAUCACCAAGAGCAGCAGUCUCCAUCUUGGUACAUGGAUUAACAACAUCCACGAAAUUUUCAUCCUCCUCGAGCUGCAAUUGAAACAUAUGCAAACUUCAAUCAGCCCCAAUUAGGACAGAUACAUUUAAAUGACAAUUGAUUCAACCAGUAACAAAGGAUUACCUUCUUUUUAGUGAUCAAAUAAUCAAAAUCCACCAAAGAGAGUGUAACAAGCUCGUUAGUAUCAGGCAACCACGUGAGCUUCAACUUUGUUGUUUUGACAGAUCCUUCAAGAUGCAAAACACCAGUUAAUUGUGUUACAUUGCCCUCUUGGUCCUUCUCGAUUUCCUUUACUAUAGCAUUGCCCCAAUCCAUUAAAGUCACUUCCUCAUUAGCUGCGAUUGAUCGGGCAUCAUCCUGGUCUAUCCAUAUUCUCUUGGUGUACGUAGUUGCUUUCUCCCCAGCACCUUCAUACUUUUUAUGCUUAGGUAUGAUUCGCACAAAUGGAUCCUCAGGGCCAUCAGUUAGAGUCAACAAGACCCGUCGUUGGUCUAUAACAGCUGUAUGUCUGGGACAGACUGGAUCAAUAAUUUUCUUAUUAAUGGCCCAAAGCUUGUCCCAUUCCAUGAGAUUGAGAUUCUUGGAUGCCCCCUAAGAUGAUUACACCAAAAACAAGUUACAAGUCUAUUAGAUCAAGGAACUAACUAUUCUCUCCCCUGAUAUACCCUCUACCAUUCUGUUUUUGAAGCACAAAAAGAGUAGUAGAAAUGAAAAACUGAAGCAAGCAAGAUGGAAACUAAAGAAUGCACAACACCCCAAAAAAACGAAUUUCAAAGAGCAACUAAUAGGAGGAAAUAUUAGAAAUGCAUUGCAUUGCCAGCCUCAUUCCAUCAAGUUGGAUGUUGAACGAAACAGACAUACUUGGAUUGUGGUCUUGAAAAAAUAUCUUACCUGUUCCAGCAUGAACUGUAUCAGUGCCUCAAUCUUCAGCCCCCUGCGUACUAUUCCCUGUACAGUAGGAAAACGAGGAUCAUCCCAGCCAUCAACCUUUCCAUUUUGAACAAACCAUAGCAGUUUACGCUUGCUAAGAAGUGUAUAGACCAGAUUCACCCUGCUAAAUUCAUAUAUAUGAACUUUUUGAAAACCCAUAUCCGUCUGGAUCCAGUAGUAUUGAUCAUUACGGUCAUGAUACUCACUAGAUCGAAGUGCAUGGGUAAUACCUUCCACGGCAUCAACAAACGGACAUGCAAAAUCAUAAGUAGGAUAGAUUUUAUAUUUAGCACCAAUCUUGUGGUGAGGAGUCAAAUUGCAACGGUAGUAUACUGGGUCACAAAGGGACUUGUUUGGAUCCUGCAUAUUCAGCUUGCCUCUGAGGCAACACAUCAAACCCCUUUCUGAUCCAGCAACCAUUUCCUUCCAUAAGCUCAGAUUCUCCUCCACGCUAUUGCUUCUACACUUGGAUUCUAUCCCAUCCAUCCGUUCUUGCUGCAUUUUUUCCCGAGUUGUGUCAUCAACAUAGGCUUUACCCUCAUGAAUCAAUUUCUCGGCCAUUUCUAUCAUGUUGGGAAAGUAGUCUGAUGUGUAGGUUACAGCCUCAUAGGUAAUCCCCAAAGUUUCAAUAUCUUUGAGAAGAUUAUCUACGAAUUCACUGCUCUCCUUAUCAGGGUUCGUAUCAUCAAAGCGCACAAUCAGCUUACCGUCAUAUUUCUCAGCAAAAUACUUGUUUAACAGUGCUGCUUUAGAAUGACCAAUAUGUAGAUAACCACUAGGUUCUGGAGCAAAUCUCACCCGUACUUUUCCAACCUGUGCAUCUGGAAGAUGCACCUCAAAUACAGGUCGGUUCCCUCCCACACCCUUCUCACUUACAGUGCCAUUCACACUAUUGGAAGACGAAGUAGAAACCUGUUGAUCUCGGACUUUAGAAACUGCUUGAGUCCCUAAACCUUUUUUUCCAAUAUACAUUGCAGUCACUUCAUUCAGAGCUGCAUCAAAUUCGUCAUGUAUAGAGUUGAACCACCGUACUAGAUUUUGAUAUUUCUUGGAAUUGCGUAGACUUUGCCAUCUCUGCCCUGUUCCUGCAAAUGAACUAGUAUUGAGAACCCAUCCUGGUAUGCUAGUAGAAAAGGGUCUUUAUUUAGAACAAACUUCUAAAAGUGAGAAAUAAAGUUACAGGAGAAAAUGCAAAAUAGUGCUCCAACAAAAAAAAUCUACUUUACCAAAAACAGAUCAACCUUAAUCAUCCUCAUCCAAAUACAACUAAUAGGGGCUCAAAACCAGAUCAAUCUUUAUUGCUUACAUAUUAUUCUCCUGACUCACACUUCAGCAUCAAAUACAUAUUUGACCAAAAGAGGUUCACCAAGUCUAAAUUCUGGAGUGCCCUCCAAUGUCAGAAAAACUUUAACAUCUAGAUAUACCUUUUUUUCUAUUUUAAAUUAUAUGGAAAUUUUUAAUUUGGAUUACAUUCACAUAUGGCCACUGAUUUCAAAGACAUUGAAGCAAUAAAAGGAGAGCAGUCACGUGCUCAAUGUGAGGACUAAAAUAAUGUCUAUCCAAGGUUUCUACGAUGGGAACCUUAUAUACCAAAUGAGUCCACCAGACUGCUUUCCGUCAUGAACAAUAAGCAAAACCAGAUAAAUUUCAACCUGGCAAAGGCUCAAAGAGUCUAAGUUAGGCCACACUUUCUGCCCAAAAAAACAAAAGAAGGGCAAAUCCAGGUGCUAUGUAGCCACCAAUCCAUCAAAUAAUUCAUUUUAUAUGCUAAAAAUAUCAAAUCACUUCUGUACGUUUGAAGUAAAACAUAUGCUACUAUAGCUAGGAAAUAAAUUUAAGAUAAAAUCAACAGUUAACCAAAACUAAUAGGCAACUGCUGUUAUUUAUGCAAAGUUUGUACAUCGAACUCAACUGACACUAAAUCAAUGUAUAGGUUGAUAUCUACUUGUCCUUGAGGUAUUUAUGUAGCUAAUGUAUCAUAGCCAUAACACCUACAUCACUCGUAAUUUCAGUGCUCACGGAUGAUUUGGAUCCACCAAUUAGGAUACGUUCAAUAAGGAGAGGAGGAAAAGAGGACAAAUGUAAUCAACUGACUGAGCUCAUUACAACAAUUAUGAAAAGAAGAUUAUAUUACUUGUACGAGUCAGAGAAAAUUUCUCCACUUAAAAUUCAUCCAUCCAGUUUAUGCUCCAUCUCCUGAUAUGCUGGCUUAGAGCGGAAUAUUUGAUUAAAAAAGAAUGAGGCUUAAUAGUCACUAAAUACAGAUGCACAAUUAACUAGGCAAACUAAUAACAACUGGAGACACAAUAUUUUACCUGCAAGUGCUGACCAGAUUGCUAUAUCUGCAAUUGACAGACUAUGACCGACUAAAAAAGUAUGCUGCAGUAGAUAUCUGUCCACAUAGCCACAUGCCCCUUCAAAUUCAGAGCCAGAAGAGAAAACAGGGGCAUACUCAAGCCAUUCAUCAAUCUACAAGACAGAUAAAAGGACAAUUUAAACAACAAAGUAAAAUGGAAUUCUAUAUCUUCAUUUACCACAUUAGAACUAACAAGAACAAUUCAGUAGUCAAUAAACAAAAACUGCCACAAAUGUGUUUAUUGGACAUUCCAAACAGAGUAAUCAACACUCCUUUUUUUUUUGGGUGAAUAUAUAUAUAUAUAUAUAUCUUUGUAGCAUGAUGGUUGUUACUGGUAGUAUCCUCUCAAAAGACGUUAACUGUAUGCUAAUUAAGCGUCACAAUAAAUAGCUUAUGCCACACAGGCGGAUGAAAAAGUUGCAAUUAAACACAUUUAAGCUGCAGGCAAGCAAUAAAAAGGCACCUGGGUGGACUCAAAUGCAUCCCUAUUGUAAAAAUCUGGAAUCUUUGCAACCCGGCCGAUGUAUCGCAGAAGCACAUACAGUCCCCGCAGUUUUCCACUGCAUCCAAAAAAUUGAGUUACUACAAAGCUCAAUCACCUCAUUGAGCUAUAUAAAGACGAUUGCAUCAUCUGUUAAUAUUAUAAGAAAAAAAUGACAUCUCCAGAAUAACAGAAUAAUCGAAAUUUCAUCCCACCAAUAUGAUAGACAAAAAAUUCCUCAAGCUCACAGGGCAAAAGAAGGAACUUAAGAGUUGGAAAAAAAAAACUCACAAAUCCGACAGAAAGGGAAACAUUAAAACGGAGAAAUUACCCAUCCGAGAAGUGGAGGAUAGGGGUUGAGCCAGAAGGGAGGGAAGGAUCAGUAGGGAGAGAAAGACCGGCGAUUUUAGAAGCCACAAUGACGGCAAGUGGCGGAGCAUCCGCCGGAAAACACAGCAUCUGUAUCUCCAUUGGCGCCUAAUUUAGUAGGAAAAAACAAAAAAAAAAAUGAAAUGUAACGAGAGAGCAGAGGUGGAAGGGGUUUAGGGUUUUAUAUAGUUAGAGAGAAUCAACGGCGCCAAACCAAAAACUGGGGGCUACCAAAAGCUGGAGCGCAGGUAAGAUUCCCGUUGAGUUUAGCCAAUACUAUUCGACGACGACGAGACAACGAUUUGAGGUUUUCCCUUUGUUUUUUCAAAUUUAACUUAUUUGGGCCGGGAUCAGCACUGGUGCUGGGCCUUUGUGGUCAGAUCUUUUAUGUCCAAAGACGGGAUCUGUGUGAUCAGAUCUUUUAUGAGAGCUUCCCUAAACCCAAAUUCAAUUGGUAGAGAGUAGUGAUUUAUUUUAUUCUUCUUUUAGUGAUUUUUCUAUGCGUUUGGUUUUCUUGAGUGAAUUUGAUGAUCAACCAGUACGUUUUCUUCAUACUCUUGUAAUUGUUUGUUGUUUUAAAUUGGUGAUUAAUUUGUAUGACCAUCGAGGGACUUUUUUGAUAAUUCCUUUUAUUUCAACAGAUUUUUUUGAAAUUUUUGAUCAAUGGAAUAGGUUUGAAUAACAUUCAAUAGAAAAUUUGAAAUUUUUUCUUUCUUUUUCAAAAGCUUCUCCUUUCCUUUCUUUUACGAAUUCGAGGACAAAGGGUUAAAUCUCAGAGAGGAUUGUGGCAACAAGGACUCAAACAAUCGUGUGGCAGCAAGGUUUAGAGUCUUUCCUUAAAUCAAAUAAAAUCCCUUUCCUUCCCUUUUCCUUAGAAAAAGAAGAAUUUGAUGAGUAUUAACUUGCGUUUUCAGACUCAGACCAGGUAUCGAGUCAGCCGAGAUCAAGGGGCAGGGGUCAAUGGGUUCGAUCGGAUUCGAUGGGGUUGAACCGGAUGAUGUCAUAAAUAAAAAUUAUUUAAAAAUUAAAAUAUUGUAUAUAAAAUCCCUAAAAGUAUGUUAAUAUGAAUAAAGGUAUAUUCUUAUAUAUUUGAUGUUUCAAAUAUAUUUAACAAGAAAAUACAAAGAAAUUAGAACAAUCAAGUAGCAAUUUAUAUUAUUUAAUGAACUUUAACAAAUUUAGAAUUAAAAUUAUAGAUUUGAUUAAAAAAAUAACAUCAAAUUUUAGGACAACAUUUAUAAAGUAUGAAAUAUUUGAGGUAUAUUAUAAGUUUUAACAAUUUAGGGAUCAAAACAUAAUAUUGAAAAAGUUUAACCUUUUUUUAAAAAAUGCUCUGGUUGAACCGAUUUUUCCGGUUUUUUCCCUGUCAACCCUGGUUUUUGACUGGAUUUUUUGUCUUCUAGUUUUGAAGAACAACUCGGACCGAACACUUGGCCGGUUUCAGUCCGGUCCGAGUUAUAAAACACAGGUAUUAACUUGAUCUCUACAUGUGAAAGAAAAAGUUUACUUGUUAUUGUAAAAAUAGGAAGAAAGAAAAAAACGGAAAAAAGAUUUAUUAGUGCAAGUGUCAAGAAAAAGCAAAAAUGCCAGUCUUGAGAAUAAUAAGGAAAUAAAACGUUGGUGAAUAUCAUUGAUUUACCAAAUUACAAGUUAAGGGGUGUAUGUAAACACAAAAAUCCCGUUCUUCUUUACAAAAUUCAAUUGAGAUGCACUUCUCUAUCAUGCGCUUGGGCAUAAAGGAUUUGGACUGGCACCUCCUGUGUCCAAUAUUGGUUCCUAAUGCAUAAGCUUAUUAGCUUAAGAUGAUUUUUCAUAGGAAUCUUAUGAUACAUCUUUCUUCCAGUGGCCAUUUGUUGAAGUUGUUUUGUAACUUUUGUUGCACCUCUCCUGCUCGGAUGGAAUUUGUAGCUGUUUGUUUCAGAAGUAGACAGUUGACGGGCAGAAAACGGACUGCAUGAACUAUGCAGUUAAACACACAAUAUGCUUCUGCAGAAACACUUGUAAGUUGCUCAGAAGUACCAAAUGGUUAAAAACGAUCAAAUAAGUCCAUAACAUCAUAUAAUCAUAUUAAAUGUAAUAUGGCACUAGAGUUCUUUUCCUGGUUUCUCUGGUUCCCAACAGCAUAAUCCGUUGUACAGAGCAAAAGUUAGAUGGAUUAAAAGGGGGCCAAUCAUAAAAUCAUCAUCCAAUUGUUUCAAACGAGGCAGGGUACAAAAAUGGAAACCAGCUUUAUUCACAUCGCAGAAGUUAAAACAACAGAAAUGUCUAAAGGAAAUUAGCCAAGCAAAUCAAACACAGACUAACUCAGGACUAUGAAUUCUUGUCCUCUUUGACUAUACACAUUUCAUUGGGAUCUUGUUAGACCUACAAGAUCACGUGAACAGCUAUGCUGCAGGCUGAUUAGCAACUGCGAGUUCGACAGAUAUGAUAAAAGUCGAUCGCCCCGCCUCCCUUAGGUACUGAACAUCUCCAUUCAUAAGCUUCACCAGUUUUCUGCUGAUAAGAAGACUUAUUCCCUCAUCAGAUGCUUCUCCAUUGGUACCGAACAUUUGGUUCAGCAAUUCUUCUGGAACCCCACCUCCAGAAUGUGUCAUCCUGCACCCAAAAGAAAUCACAGUAGCUCAUGACUCUGUAUCCCGUAGAUGGCUUAAAAAUAAAGAUACUGCAGUCAUAAAUUGGCGUAUGGUCCCAAAACAAAUGUUUGUCGAAGUAUAUUUUCAAUGGAUUGAUCCUGAUCUGUGAUCUGAAAUCUUCAUUAUCUGCCAUGCAUAAUCUAAGUACCAUAUACCUAAACCAGUUUGUAGGGUACUAAAGUACCCGCUAUAUUUGCGAUGAGGAGGAUACCUCAUUUAAGUGUAUUCCCUUCUACAUAGGAUUAAACCCAAAUAUUUACUUCUAAUGAAUUCCUUCUCUUCAAAAAGAAAUAUUAAAAGGAAGAUCCACCAAGCAUUGGAAAUCUAUGCAGUAGUUCUGAGGACUUUACAAGGAAUAUUAAAAUAAAAAAGAAACUAACAUGUUAUGCCAUAAGUAAUCAGUCCAUUCUCAAAAUCUGGUUGUAGCGGUCAAUUGAGGUAAAAAAAUACACAAUAGAAGAAAUUAAGAAGAGACAAGGAUCUCAAUACUACAUUGGGAAGCUUAGCCACAAGCUACACAGGGAGGGGGUCCAUCAUAACAUUCAAACAUGCAAUUGAACAAGUCUUUUCUCAGAAAUGGCAGGCAGAAAAGAAAAAGAUAGAAAUGAUACACCUCCACUGUAUGUAUAAUCGCCAAUAAAAUGUGUACUCCACCUAUCAUCUUGAACACAAAACCUUUUUCAACAAUCAAGUAAUGUA